rnacentral:lncRNA from 1 species
CCCAUGUGCAAUGAUGAGAAGUAGUGUUUUCCAUGUACCACCACGAAGUGAAGUUGCGGAGAGCCUCGGCCUCAGCCUCCACCUGUGCCUCACUUGUAGCAGCAGCAGCAGGAGGUGAUGAGAUCAAGAACAUGUUACAUGAUAACAAUACCACUGAAACCACCAACACCCUACAUGGAUUAAUGAAACACCACUCCAUUUUUUCUUAUUUUUGAUUAAUUUUGCUAUAUAUUCCCCAGUUGAUGGUUUUAUAGAAGUGGUGUUGGUGUUGAUCUAACAACUCUCUUCUUUCACCCACACAACAUCUCAAGCAAGUCAAACAAGUCUUCUCCCAACUCUCCAUUGGACAUUAAUUUGUUGGGAAACAAGUCUUCUUUGCACUAAUUUGAAGCAUAAUUCUUGGGUACCAUGUCACAUGGUUCCACCUGUAAUCUCUAUCUAUUAAAAAUUAAUAAAAAUAUUGAUUCACAAAACAUGUAUUAAUAUUUUAUUUUUGUACUUAAAUUUUAUUUUCUACUUGUUACUAACAUUCACAAUAGGUGUCUCUCAAAUGUCUUGCAAUGAACACAACAACAAAGAGACUGCAUCUUAUCAUCAAUUGUCAUUUUCAUAUAUAGUAACUAAUUGAUUUACCAUGCUUUGAAAAGCACUUCACAUGGUUGGCCACUUAAGUGUUUCCUUUGACUUCAAUCUAGUUAACUUAACACACCUCAAUGUGGUAAUUAAAAUGCAACUCACUUUUUCUAGUUGCCUAACUAGACACCUCAAACAAGCUAUUAGUUUACUGAAUUAGAGUCCAUUGGAUAGUGAUUUUCGAAAGCACUUCCAAUCUUUCUAUCACUUGAAAAUUUUUAUUUUUCAAGUAUUAAAAAUGUUAGAAAUACUUUUUAGAAUCAUUGUCAAACACACUCUUAGACUACUGGUAUUGUAAACUUGACCCUUUAUACCACUCACCUAGACAAAUACUUUAGUUGAGUUGCUAAAACUUAAUUGGAUUGGCCUUUCCUGUUGGAGUAAAUAAUCCUUAAAUAGAGUAGAAGCAAGCAAAAAAAAAAAAAAAAAGGUUCCUAUAGUAAGAUUUGAACAAGGACCUACAACAAUGUAGGAUAGAUCUCAACUAGAAAUUAGGCAACAACACAUUAUCAAGCGCUUGAGUGUCCAUCCAAGAUAAACACCAAUGACUUUACUUGGGGAAAAAAAUUCUUCAAGAUGGAGGUAAAAUAAACCAUGCAAAAAUGAAUAUCUUUCAUAGAAAAUAGGAAUUAAUACAAUAUUCGUGCAAGUCUUUUUCCCAAGAUAUGGGAAGAGAACUAGAAACGGUAUUAUUCUCAAGCUCACAAAACCAGCACAGAAAGUGGAAAGAUAUCACCAAAUUCAAUUGCCAUAUUUGAUGAAGAAAACCCCUGAUUCAACCAAAACCAAGAAUUAGUAUAAACUUAUUCUACUAAUUUAAUCAUGUAUAGUUUACUAUAAAAUAUUUCUAAUUCGUUCUUAUUUCAAACUAAAAAUUUAAUUUUUUUUUAAUCAAAACUUUUUGUUUUUAAAAUGAGAAGGUUGACAAAAUUUUUUUUAAAAAAAAAUAGAAGAAGAAUAAAUUUAUGAUAUAUGAAAUAUGUAUAUAUCUCAACUUAGAAUUAUUAUAUUCUAUGUAAAGAGGAUGUAUAAAGAGAAUGGGUCCAUAAAUUAUUUUAUGGAAUGUUUGAUUGAACAUGAUAUAUGAUAAUUAAAGGAUGAGAUCAUUUACCCUAUCCUAAAACUAACCAAUCCUAGGAUAAGAUAUGUUAUUUCAUCUUUUAUCUCAUCCAAUAUUAUGUAUAUCAAAUCAACUAAAUAUUGUCUUACUUUAGUAAGUAAUACGAUUGAGAUACAAGGGAUGUGUACUACUAUUAAAGACUACUAUUACUUUAAGAAGAAAUAGAGAAGCAGAAUGGACUAUUAAUAAGUACAAUGUGGGUGAUACUCUGAGUGAAUUCAAUUUAACAUCCACCUAUAUAUAUAUAUAUAUAUAUAUAUAUAUUAAUAAAUCAUCUUGGCUUAUGAAAAUUAUGAAGUUGAAACAAAAUAUGGAGCACACAUUGGUAAUAUGAAAACAAAUAAAAAUUUGUAUCAUCGUUGCAUUCUAGUUACCUAAUUAUAUUUCUUGAGUAUUCAAUAGCCAAAGUGAAAUCCCAUGAAAAGUUUCAAGAAAUGGUAAUUGAGUAAGAAGCCUCGAUGAGAUGAGUUGCAUUGUUGGACGAGAUCUCGGAUUAGAAUGUAUGCAUUUGAGUGCCAACCAGACCACAAGAACUACAUCUCUAGCAACUUGUUGAUCUUGAGGAGAUGGGAGACGUGAAUCUAAUAUAUCAGUGAGCAUUAUGCUUUGAGCUGAUGAGGAAGACAAUAAGGUGAAAAGUUCUCUUGGAUGCUUUCCCAUCAUUGUCUCAAGCGCCACCACUCCAAAGCUAUAAACAUCACAUUUUUCCGUCACAACCAUAGUGUAGGCAAGCUCUGUUAAGAAUCAAAACAAGAAAAAAAAAUAUUGCACAAAUGAGAAAGAAACAUUCAUUUAGUUUUCUCAUAUUAUCUGUACUUACAAAAUGUUGAGAAUGUUUCAUAGCAUUGCAUUGACAUUUGACAACGUUUUAUUUCUAAAUUGUGAUGAAAUUAAGUUAAUUUUUACAACUUAUAUUAAACCUUUGAAAAACUAUUGUAAGGAAUUUUUAAAAAUAUUUGGGACUUAUUGGGACAAUGAAGACAACUAUUUGGAAAAUGCUUGAGAGAACAUUGAUUAGUAUUUUUUAUAUAAAGUUCUCUUACUCUCAAACCAUUUUUUACAACAUUUUAUGAAUAACUAUUAAGAAUUUCCUUUUUUAUUUGGAACUUUAAAAGAAAUAUAUAUGCCCAUAACAAGUAAUAUCCACAUAGUUGAGAGCAGAUCAUUACAAAUGAUAUAAAGUUAAUCUAUAACCAUGAUGUGAAAGUUUGUUUGACUCUACAAUCUCAUGGGACAUAAACAGGAUAUUACCUUUACAUAAGGAAUGAAUGUGAUAUCCCACGAUAGAUAUGAAAACAAAAAGUUUUGACAUUAUAUAUGAAUGAGUUUCCCUCAACCUUAUAGGCAUGUUUUAAAUUCAUGUGGGCCCCUUAGGCCCAAAGCGAAGAAUAUCUACAUAGUUGGGAGCUAUUAUUUACUUUGCAUGAAAAAUAUAAAGAAAAACAAUAUAUUAAAAAUUUAGAAGAAUUUAUUCACUUUCAAGCUCUUCAUAAGUAAUAAUAGUAGAAAAAGUUUGGUUUGGUUGGCAAUAAUAUCUCCUUUCCCUUCAUCCAGUAUAAUUUGUGACUUCUAUGAAGUAUAUAAUAGGAAGUAUAAAAGUACUAAAUACAUCAAAUCUCAAAGAUACCAAACUUAUUAAAACAAAAACAACCAAAAGUUCAAAAGAUAUAUCGAAAGAGUAAAAGCUGAAAGAAAAACUGUUGUGUACUUACCUGGCGCUAUGUAACCAUAAGUGCCUGCAAGAACAGUUUGAUUGGAUGAAUCAUGAUGCAGCAGUCUAGCAGUACCAAAAUCCGAUAGAAAAGCGUCCAAUUUAGAGUCCAAAAGAAUAUUGCUGCUUGAUAUGUCCCUAUGAAUAAUGGGCAGAGUAUAGUCAUGAUGCAUAUAGCAUAAGGCAUGGACUAUGCUUUUGACCACAUUCACCCUUUUAAUCCAAUCCAAUUCCAAAGCUUCGACUUCAUUGCUCAAUACACCGAAUAAGCUUCCUCUUUCCAUGUACUUGUAAAUCAAAAACAUGCAUCUUUUGUGCAAACAAUAGCCAUGAAGUUUUAUGAUAUUCCGAUGUUGUAUUUUUGACAAAACCUGCACCUCAUUUUGAAAACUUUUAAAGUAUGUUGCCUCAUCUCUUUCCCAUCCAUGAAGCUUUUUCAAGGCUACCACAUUGCCUGUAGGCAAUUGAGCCUUGUAAACAGUGCCAUAGCCUCCAGUACCUAUGCAGUAUUUGAUAUCAAAGUCUUCUGUUGCUUCAAUGAUGUCUUCGUAAGCAAUCUUUCCAUCAUAGUUCCAUAUUGAAAAUAUAUCUCCAUUUUUUUCAUUUUUUUUCAAUGGUGUCUUGGUUUGAUUUUGUCUCAUCUUCCGCGAAAGCAAGAGAAACCCAAACACCGCAAAAAGAAGAAACAAGAUGGUAGAUAUAGCAAUAGUAGUGAUGAGCAUAGUUUUAUGUCCUCUUUUGCAAUGUGGCCAACCUUUUAUUUCACCACAUAAACCUUUGUUGUAGCUAAACACCUCCGGUGAAUGUUCAAGUUGUAAUUCAAUGGGUAUAUGACCCUCCAAAUCAUUGUAUGACAAAUCAAUUGAUAACCACCCAUAUUUUGGAAGAGUAGGAAUGUGACCUGAGAGUUUAUUGUGGGAAAGAUUCAAGUUUUCUAAGCUCUCCAAGUUUUGGAGCUGGGAAGGUAUCUUUACAUUGAUCAAAUUAUCGCUAAGGUCUAAGCUAGCCAUAUUCUUCAAGUUCCCUAUCUCGAAAGGGAUGCAACCCCUGAUUUGAUUUCCACAAAUAUUGAACUCAGUUAAAUUAAUGAGGUUGCCCACAGAUGAAGGAAUAGCACCAACAAGGGAGUUCAAAGUGAGGGACAAUGUAACCAGAUUGGUUAAAUUUCCAAGAGAGGAAGGAAUGACACUGGAAAGAUAGUUAGAACUCAAAUUCAAAGCGGCCAGAUUCUUUAAAUUCCCAAUUUCAGAAGGGAUGGAACCGUUGAUUGAAUUGAAACUAAGGUCCAAGUAUUCCAGGUUGGUUAAAUUUCCAAGAAAGGAAGGAAUGACACUGGAAAGAGAGUUAGAACUCAAAUUCAAAGCAACCACAUUCCUUAAAUUCCCAAUUUCAAAAGGGAUGGAACCGUUGAUUGAAUUGAAACUAAGGUCCAAGUAUUCCAGGUUGGUUAAAUUUCCAAGAGAGGAAGGAAUGACACUGGAAAGAGAGUUAUAACUCAAAUUCAAAGCAACCACAUUCCUUAAAUUCCCAAUUUCAAAAGGGAUGGAACCGUUGAUUGAAUUGAAACUAAGGUCCAAGUAUUCCAGGUUGGUUAAAUUUCCAAGAGAGGAAGGAAUGACACUGGAAAGAGAGUUAGAACUCAAAUUCAAAGCAACCACAUUCCUUAAAUUCCCAAUUUCAAAAGGGAUGGAACCGUUGAUUGAAUUGAAACUAAGGUCCAAGUAUUCCAGGUUGGUUAAAUUUCCCAGAAAGGAAGGAAUGACACUGGAAAGAGAGUUAGAACUCAAAUUCAAAGCAACCAGAUUCUUUAAAUUCCCAAUUUCAAAAGGGAUGGAACAGUUGAUUGAAUUGAAACUAAGGUCCAAGUAUUCCAGGUUGGUUAAAUUUCCAAGAGAGGAAGAAAUGACACUGGAAAGAGAGUUAUAACUCAAAUCCAAAUGAAUCAGAUUCUUUAAAUUCCCAAUUUCAGAAGGGAUGGGAUCGUUGAUUCGAUUGAAAUUAAGGGAUAAGUAAGGAAGGACACUGGAAAGAGAGUUAGAACCCAAAUCCAAAUGAAUCAGAUUCUUUAAAUUCCCAAUUUCAGAAGGGAUGGGAGCGUUGAUUCGAUUGAAAUUGAGGGAUAAGUAUUCCAGGUUGGUUAAACUUCCAAGAGAGGAAGGGAUGGCACCAAAGAGGUCAUAGUUAUAACUCAAAUCCAAUUCCUCUAAUAGAGUGAGGUUACCCAGUGAAACAGGUAGCUCACCAUAAACAUCACAUUCAGAUAUACGGAGGUAAGUGAGUUUUGUAAGCAUACCUAUCUCAUCUGGGAUGGGACCAUAGAUGGAAGAAUGGCUAACGUUGAGAUGGAGGAGGCUGGGAAAUGAAGAAAACUUCAACUGGCUAAGCUCAACCAUUGUACCAUCGAUAUAUGAAUAGGUAAUCUGAAUAACAUGUCCCUCCCUGUUGCAGGUGAUGCCGUCCCAUGUGCAAUGAUGAGAAGUAGUGUUUUCCAUGUACCACCACCAAGUGGAGUUGCGGAGAGCCUCGGCCUCAGCCUCCACCUGUGCGUCAGUUGUAGCAGCAGCAGCAGGAGGUGAUGAGAUCAAGAGCAUGUUAUAUGAUAACAAUACCACUGAAACCACCAACACCCUACAAGUAUUAAUGGAACACCACUCCAUUCUUUCUUAUUUUGGAUUAAUAUUGCUAUAUAUGCCCCAGUUGAUGGUUUUAUAGAAGGGGUGUUGGUGUUGAUCCAACAACCGUCUUCUUUCACCCACACAGCAUCUCAAGCAAGUCAAACAAGUCUUCUCCCAACUCUCCAUUGGACAUUAAUUUGUUGGGAAAUGAGGACGUUUAUUUUGGAAAUUAUGUUUUAUGAAAAAGAAAAUUUGUAAGCAAAAAUUAAAACCAUUAGUAACCAUGAUCAAACCAUAUUUAAUUUUUUUUUCAAAAAUAAAUUUUAUGAUGGGAAAUUAGUAAUCAUGAUCAAGCCAAAGCCCAAGGUUGUACACGUCACACAACUGUCUUUUCAUGAAUGGUGAGGUGUGCUUGGAUGGGAGUUCGUGACCUGCAAAAGCCAGAAAUUUUAUAUAAUAGUAAUGAAUAAUAAUAAAAUAAAAUCACAAAACAUGUUUAAUAUUGAUAUAAACUAAAAAAUAUUAUAUAAAAGUAAUAGUCAAAAGGCUGCAUUUUUAUUAUUUGAUUGUUAUUCCACUUCAUGAUUAGCUUGUCUAACAUUUCAUUUGAAGUUUCUUUCAAGCAAAGCAAGUCAACCAAGUCUUCUUAGGUCCACUUCUUAGACUUUUGAUUAUUAGAAGUUUAUGCUGCUAAUUAACUUAGAAAUUUCUUUAUGAUAGUAACAUGUAAGGACCACAAAGAAAGCUUAAAUUUGACUUGGAUCAAGCUUAAAAAAUUAUUAAUUUUACUAAUUUUAAAUAGGAAUCAAUUUUUAUUUUAAAUUUUAAUUUUUUUCUAUUUGUUAUGCAAUCAUCAAAUAUUUAUUUUUUGCUUUUUUUUUACUAAUAAAAAAUAAAAUUAGCUCCUACAAGCUGUGCUCUGUUUUUUUCUAUCCUAAACAAAGCAACCCUCCUCAAAUCAUUUUUAAAACACGAUAUUGAAAAUUUCCUAUAUUAUAUGUGACAUGUGAGACUACACAAAAAAGAACACAAAAUAAUAAUAAUAAAUAAAUAAAUGCAAAAAAGUCUUUCGAGAUUGCAAAGUUUAUUAUAUAAGGAAUUAAUGAUUUGAAAUGUUAAAAGUUAAUUAUAUUUUAUUUUCCAUGCUAUACAUUUUUUAUCAUGCAUCGAGUAAGAAAAAUUUUAAAUUCUUUUUUCUUUUCUUGCUCACUUUCUAGAAUUAAUGAUGCCUUCAUAACUCUUGUUUUAGCCACGCAACAAGUCAAGCAAGUCGUCUUCCACUCUUGAUUGGAAAUUUAGUGGGAACUAAACAUAAUUAUUUUUAAAAUUUUUAAAUAAAAACUCAAAUGAUAAUUAUAUAAAAAAAUGAUUAUUCACAAUUUUUUUUAAAACAUGAAUUGUGGGAAACAAUCAUACCCCACCUGUAUUUGGAAAAUGAUAUGUUAGUUUUUUUUAUGUAUAUAUAUAAUUCCAAAUAAUAAAGAUAUUACAAUUUUUAACAUUAUAUUGUAACUAAAUGUUUUAUUUGUCUUAUUAAUUUCACUAAUUUUAAAAAGGAAAACAAAAUAAUUUUUUAAAAAGGUUUUUCUAUUUGCUACAUAAUUAGUAAAUACAUAUUUUUUAUUUUAAUAAUAAUAAAACAUAAAAUUAAAAUUAUUAAAUAUUUUAAUAUUAAUAUAAACUAAAAAUAUACUUUAACCAAUAAUUUAUUUGGUUCUUUUCCAAGUAAUAGGUAGACAAGAAAGUCUUUUCAGUCUCAUUAUCAAUGAUUUUUAAUUUUAUUCUAUGUAAAAUUCCACAAUCGUGUGUCUGUCACUAUGUUUGGAAAAGUCGUUCAAAAAGUGUACCAUCCAUAAAUUAUGUUAAUAUUUUUUCAUUUUUUAUUUUACUUUAAAUCACACCUACUUUUUCCUUGUGCAAGUCAAAGCAAGUCUUCUUAGACGCUCAGAAGCAUAAGCGUAUACCUAACAAAAUAAAAAGCUCUAAUAGGAAUAUUAUAGAAAUCCUGUAUUCCAACCAUACUCAAUCAACAACAACCCAAAAUAAAAAUAUUUUAAUUAACUUUUAAAAAUUAAAUCAAAUUUUAAUUUUGAAAAACUCUCAAUUUAGGUUUACAACCAAUCAACAACAUUUGGUGUCAUAUCGUAUUAUUCUACCAAAUAGAUAUCACGUAGGUAUAUAUUAAAAAAAUAAUUAAAAAAUAACAAAAAUAUAAAAUCGAUAGAGAGGGAAUAUAAUUGAAAGUGAGAGUUUGCAUGCACAAAAUACAAACUUUUCAAUUCUUUUUUAAUUUUUAUUUAUUAUUUUAGAAAGAGUUUUUAAAAUGUAAUGUGUAACUUGAUAAAUAAGAGAAUAAGAAAUAAAAAUCAGUUGAAUACAUUCCACCAUUUUACUCAUCAUUCUCUAAAAGAGGAAUGUAAUGUUGAAGAUUUUUGUAACUUGACAUGUUGAAGAUGAAUUUCUAUUUUGUGAUGAAAGAAUAUAAAUAAAUUGAAAAAUAAAAUUAAUGACAUUGUUCACCAUAAUACAAUAACCGUUAUUGGCAAAUACCAACAAGAAGGUAGCACAUUAUAUUAUUUAAUCUAAAUUGAUAAUUUUGUUUCAUUAUCCGCAAGUAGGGCAUUUUACAUUACUAUAUUAUACGUUUUAUUGAAGCCUCAAGGUUGCUGCAUAAUUAACCAAGAUGUAAUACAUGUAAAUAUUCUAAUUAACAUUUUUAUAUAAUACAUGUAACACUUCUCAAAAAGAUGAGAAUAGAAGGUUGAAGAUUUUUAUAAUUGCAACAAAAAAAGAAAUAAAUAAGUUCAAAAUUGUUUAUAUAUAAAAUAAAAUUAGAUCCUAUAGGCUCUCUAUAUAUUUCUCUACUAGACAAAGCAAUUUAAGUCAAGUCAAGCAACCCUUCUCAAACACUUCUAAAACACUAGGUUGGAAAUGCUCCAUUUGUUUAUUAGAUAAAGCAAUUUAAGUCAAGUCAAGCAACCCUUCUCAAACACUUCUAAAACGCUAGGUUGGAAACGCUCCAUUUGUUUCUCUCCUAGAAAAAGCAACUUGAGUCAAGUCAAGCAACCCUUCUAAAUCAACUUCUAUAAGGCUAGGCUCGAAAUUUCUUAUAUGAUAUGUGACAUGUAAGACCACAUAGAAAGAGCACAAAAUAAUAAUAAAUAAGUUCCAAGAGGUCUUACCAAAUUUGACCCCAUGUAUACAUAUUAAUAAAUAUUCUAAAAUUUGAUAAAUAAUUUUUAUAAACUUUAUUAUUCCUUAUUUUUCAUAGCACAUGUGAAACAAAGCUAAUUUUGAUUAAAAAAAAACACUCAUGAGGAGAUGAGUGAAAAUAACUAAUGAAAAUGAUAAGAUAUUUAUUUAAUAAAAUUUUAAACUAAUGAGAACUAGAUGUAUUUAAUCAAAACCUUAAAUGAGGAAAACGGACCAAUGGAUGGCUUUCCCGUCACUUUAUGUUGUUGGUGUUCAAGUGCUCUUUGUGAUCUUGGGUUUAUUUCUUUACAAAUGUUCUAAAUUCAAUUUUUUUUUUCUUUUAAUUUACAACAACUUGAAAAUACCCUAAAUUAUGUGUGACCAACUAGUACAUGAAAGAUACAAAAAAAAAAAAAAAUAUAAGUUAAAUCUCAAUAAUUUUUUAUAUUCCAAGAUGUAAUACAUGUAAAUAUUCCAAUUAACAUUUUUAUAUAAUACAUGUAACACUUCUCAAAAAGAUGAGAAUAGAAGGUUGAAGAUUUUUAUAACUCGACGUAUUCAAAAUGAAUUUCCUUUUUGCAACAAAAAAAAGAAAUAAAUAAGUUCAAAAUUGUUUAUAUAUAAAAUAAAAUUAGAUCCUAUAGGCUCUCUAUAUAUUUCUCUACUAGACAAAGCAAUUUAAGUCAAGUCAAGCAACCCUUCUCAAACACUUCUAAAACACUAGGUUGGAAAUGCUCCAUUUGUUUAUUAGAUAAAGCAAUUUAAGUCAAGUCAAGCAACCCUUCUCAAACACUUCUAAAACGCUAGGUUGGAAACGCUCCAUUUGUUUCUCUCCUAGAAAAAGCAACUUGAGUCAAGUCAAGCAACCCUUCUAAAUCAACUUCUAUAAGGCUAGGCUCGAAAUUUCUUAUAUGAUAUGUGACAUGUAAGACCACAUAGAAAGAGCACAAAAUAAUAAUAAAUAAGUUCCAAGAGGUCUUCCCAAAUUUGGCCCCAUGUAUAUAUAUUAAUAAAUAUUCUAAAAUUUGAUAAAUAAUUUUUAUAAACUUUAUUAUUCCUUAUUUUUCAUAGCACAUGUUAAACAAAGCUAAUUUUGAUUAAAAGAAAACACUCAUGAGGAGAUGAGUGAAAAUAACUAAUGAAAAUGAUAAGAUAUUUAUUUAAUAAAAUUUUAAACUAAUGAGAACUAGAUGCAUUUAAUCAAAACCUUAAAUGAGAAAAACGGACCAAUGGGUGGCUUUCCCGUCACUUUAUGUUGUUGGUGUUCAAGUGCUCUUUGUAAUCUUGGGUUUAUUUCUUUACAAAUGUUCUAAAUUCAAUUUUUUUUUCUUUUAAUUUUAAACAACUUGAAAAUACCCUAAAUUAUGUGUGACCUACUAGUACAUGAAAGAUACAAAAAUAUAUAUAUAUAUAUAUAUAUAUAUAUAUAUAUAUAUAUAUAUAUAAGUUAAAUCUCAAUAAUUUUUUCUCUCAUAAUUUUUAAACUUGCAUUAAAAAAAAAGGCCAGUUAAUGAUUUCAUUGGACAACUUGCAUAUUGGUACUCUUUUUUUUUCACCAUUUAAAGAUUCCAUUUCACGGACUGCCCUUUUUUUAAUUAAAAAAAAAAAGACUUUUGUUAAUUAUAACAAGAAGUAGAGAUUGAUGUUAUUCCUUGGUUCUAAAAUGUUAUCUUUAUUAAUUUAUAUUAUUAUUAUUAUUAUUAUUUAUCAAAUAACAUCAAAACUAUGGUAUCAUCUUUCUUAUUUCAAUUCUUUUCUAGAGUAGUUCGGGUGUGCAAUAUGUUUUUGAAUAUUAUAAUUUAAAAAAUAACAUUUAAGAUUUAAGCAAAAAAAAUGUAUUUAUUAGUUGAAUUUUUGUUCUUCAAGAUAAAAUUUAAUAUUUAAGCUAGCGAAAAAAUGUUGAACAUCGAUCCGUUUAACCAUAUCCACUAAAAAGUACAUGCAUCCCCAAAUGUAAUCCUUGUUAUAAAUAACUUAUUAAUUGUUUCUUUAAGCAGCUAUCGAAGUCUUGUUUGAAUAUAAUAUAUAUAUAUAUAUAUAUAUAUAUAUAUAUAUAUAUUUAUUUUUUUUCUUAAAAUAUUUUUUUUAAUAUUUGAGAUAGUUAAUUUUUUUUUAUAUUUAAAUUGUAUUUAAAACCUUUACUUUUAUAUAAGUCUUUAUAGAAUUCUUAUAUUUUAUAUAAAAAUUACUAUUAAUUUAAGUUUUUAAAAACAAAAAAUAAAAAAUGUACCAAUUUAUAAAAAUUAUAAAAUAUAUUUUUGAUAAGUAAAAUAAAACCCGAUAAUCUUUAUAAAAUUUUCUAUUAGAUGGGACAUCUAUAAUUUAAAAAAAAAAAAACGAAAUGUUGAAAGGAAUGUCCCCAACUUUCACGAUAAAUGAUACAAUAACCAAAUUAUUGAGGCAAAUAUUCGGACAAGAUUUCUUGUCAAACAAGCCUUCUCUACUGUUGAUUGGGAAUUGAGUGGGAAAUGAGUGGAGCAUAAAUAUAGACAGACUAAUUGGGGUUCGAGCUUUUUCUAUGCACAAAUUGGAUGGUGAAAGAAAAUAUACUAUUAAAAUAUUUAUAAUGAAUAAACUUAAUUAAUAUAAGCAUAUUCUACCAAUUUAAUCAUAUAUAUAUUUUACUUUUUAAAGAGUACGUCAACCAAGUCUUCUUAGUUACCCUAAAUAAGAGAGUUAGUCAUGGGUUGUGAAUGAAAAUUUUACAAGGUCAUUCUUUGGUAGUUUUAUAAGUCACUGAGAAGACAAAUCAUGUUCUCCCUUCUUCUUUCCCAUCUAGCAUGCUGUGCUUCCCACUAUUUCAAUUAUCAAGAUGGAAAGUCCACUCCAAAAAUGUGGAAAAUUAAAAUGAGAGGCAUAACCGGAUGAUAAUCAUAAGUAAUAUUUUUUUUUUCUUUUUUUCUUAAAAAAAUUUGAUUUGUUAUCCCAAUUGACGGGUAAGCUUAAGUCAAGUAAGUCUUCUUUGGUGACUUCUCCGACUCUUGAUUGGAAAUUAGGUGAUAAAUGAAGAAAAUAUCCAUUUUAAAAGCGGCUAAUUGUGGAAAAACAAUUUAUCUUAUUAAAUUAAUAUUUUCAAUAUAGACAUGUUAAUAUGGAUUUAUAAUAAUUUAUUUAUAAAACACUCCAAAAAUACAUGAUAAUCAUGGAAACUAAUUUGACAAAAAGUUAUAGAAUCUUUAUAAAUUUUUAAAUUAUGCUACAUGGCAUAUGGAAAGAAAAUAUGCAAGUCAAAGAAAGAAUUUAUAAGGAAUCCACCUCAAUUGGUAGAGGGAUAUUCUACCAAUGUAGAUUUGCCUAUAAUUCACUUAUGAUUAUGGAUUUUCAAAUAGUAGAUAGACUUGUUUCAUGAAUUCUUGAAGUGAUAGAAAGUGAAAAAAUACCUAAGCUUCUUUAAAGGCCACUAAAUGCGGAAAACAAUUUAGUUGUUUUGUUUUUGUUGAUUUCCAUGUGAAUAUCCCUAAUUUGUUGGGAUUUUGAUUUUGAAUUCAAAUCGGGAUUUGUUUCCCACUUUCUAUUUUGAGUUUUUUUUCCUUUUCUUUCAUUUUCUUAGGCAUGUAUCUCCUAGAUAGUAGAUAGAUUUUUAUUUGGUAGAUUCGAUUCUUAGCUUGUUGUUGAUGUUGUACAUGCUCUAUAGAAAAAUAUAGAAAUAUAUCAAGUUUUUUGCAUGGUACCAGAGCGGUUUCCCACUAGGACAGACUCCUAUUAUCUAGCAUUUGUUUUUUUUUGGCAACAGGCAACCUGAAGCCCUUGCAGCUAUCUCGUUGUGAAUUGUCUUCUCCAACCUAGUCACAAUUUGUCCUUCGUUCAUCAGUCCAGCCAUGAUUUAGUCAAGAUGUGAUUUGAUCCUGUUACGAAUUGAUCCAGUCCAGACAAAUCUUUUGGAAUGACUAUUGAUAGUAAAAAAUCAGUCUCUAAAGUGAACUCUAGGUUGAAGACUGUCACUUCCAAUGACCAUGGAGGAUCCGAUGGCUCUUUUCUUCCCAUCAUAGGUCACAAGUUGAAUGGGAAUAACUAUCUACAAUAUUCUCAGUUCGUUCUUAUGUUUAUCAGUGGCAAGGAUAAGGACGGCUACCUCACUGGAGAAAUUGUUCAACCCAAAAAUGAUGAUCCUAGAUUCGGAACUUAGAAGAUAGAGAAUAAUAUGGUCAAAUCAUGGCUUAUCAAUUCCAUGACCAAUGUGAUUGGUGAAAACUUUCUUCUCUAUAAGACCGCAAAAGAGAUGUGGGAUGCAAUUAAAGAAACAUAUUCCACCAAAGAAAAAACAACAUAACAGGUUGAUAUCGAGACUGUUCUUCAUGAUCUCCAUCAAGAGGAUUUAAUCACCACCAAUUACUACAAUAUUCUUGGUCACCACUGGCAACAAUUGGAUGUUUGUAAGGAGUAUGAUUGGAAUUGCCCCAAAGAUGCUGCCAAGUAUCAAAAUAUUGUGGAGAAAAGACGACUUUUCAUGUUCUUAUUAAGCCUCAACAAGCACCUUAAUAAGGUUCAUAGGAGGAUCCUUGGUACCAAACCCCUUCUAACAAUCUGUGAAGCCUUUGCCACUAAAUACCUAAGCUUCUUUAAAGGCCACUAAAUGUGGAAAACAAUUUAGUUGUUUUGUUUUUGUUGAUUUUCGUGUGAAUAUCCCUAAUUUGUUGGGAUUUUGAUUUUGUAUUCAAACCGGGAUUUGUUUCCCACUUUAUGUUUUGAGUUUUUUUUCCUUUUCUUUCAUUUUCUUAGGCAUGUAUCUUCUAAAUUGUAGCUAGAUUUUUAUUUGGUAGAUUCGAUUCUUAGCUUAUAUAAUGUCGAUGUUAUACAUGCUCUGCAGAAAAAUAUAGAAAUAUAUCAAGUUUUCUGCAUGGUAUCAGAGUGGUUUCCCACUAGGAUCGACUCCUAUCCUCUAACAUCUAUUUUUUCUGGCAAUAGGCAACCUGAAACCCUUACUGCUAUCUUGUUGUGAAUUGUUUUCUCCAAUUUAGUCACAAUUUGUCCUAGGUUCAUCAGUCCAACCACGAUUCAGUUCAGACGUGAUUCGAUCUUGUUACAAAUUGAUAUAGUCCAGACGAAUCUUCCAGAAUGACUACCAAUAGUAAAAAAUUAGUCUCUAAAGUCAACUCUAAGUUGGAGAUUAUCACUUCCAAUGACCUUGGAGGAUCCGAUGUCUCUUUUUUCCCCAUCAUAGGUCACAAGUUGAAUGGGAAUAACUAUCUCCAAUGGUCUUAGUUCAUUCUUAUGUUUAUCGGUGACAAAGAUAAGGAUGACUACCUCACAGGAGAAAUUGUUCAACCCAAAAGUGAUUAUCCUAAAUUCCGAACAUAGAAAAUAGAGAAUAAUAUGGUCAAAUCAUGGCUUAUCAAUUCCAUGACCAACGAGGUCAGUGAAAACUUUCUUCUUUACAAAACCGCAGAAGAGAUAUGGGAUGUAGUUUGAUUACUACUCAAAAAGUGCUAUUUUGUACCUUGUAAUUAACUCUUUUAAACACUUUUGAGUAGUAGUUAUUACCUUUUAACUCAAUUAGCAUAUUAAGUACCUUUGCAAUCAUUUCUAAUCAAAUUGUGUAAGUUUUGGUGUUUUUGAUAGUAAUUUGAUCACCAAAGCAAUCCAAGAUCGAGGAGAGUUCUAUGGAAUCCAUGGCAAAGCAAUUGGAAGUUCAUCAACAUGAAGAACCAAAUAUUUGAAGCUUUAUAGUCCUUUUCCAUAAGCAAAUCAUGAAUGCAAGGAGGGAAAGCAAAGAGAGAAAUCUAACAUGAAGCAUUCAAGAGGACAACAACUGUUAGACUCUUUUGAAGCACUUCCUGGAGCUUAAUUGAUGCAUAUUAUAUGUUGUUUCCAAGCUCGGGAAGUCAGCAAUCCAAUGCUUCAAACGGUGCACGAUUCGGAGUUGAAAUGAAGAAGUUAGAGCCAUUGGAAGCCGAUCACACCAAGCUGAAGGCCAAUUUCGCAGGCUGCGAAAUUAGCCUUUGGCUGCGAAAUGGUGUCCUUCAGGUUGCGAAAUUUCGCAGGCAUCUUGCACGCCUACGAAAUCAUCCUGAGUGCUUCUAGAUAUUUGUGACCGACAUUUUUAGAUUUUUUGCUUCAGAUAUUUGAUGUCUAAAUCCCCAUUCUCUCCUUGUAAUCCACCAAUUAUAGGAUUCCUUAGUUAUUAAGUAAGAACAAAGGGUAAAUAGCCUCAUAUAUAUUAUUUGUAAUUUCCAUUACAGAUAUAUCUUGGGAGCUUGUUCUCAGAGACAUCAACUUUUUGUAUAGUUUUGGAAGGAAGUAAAAUACAGAGCUUUGCUCUGCCUUACCUACCCAAUUUGAUUGUAUUGUAUUUAUUUUUUCUUACUAGCCAAACAAGCUUUGAGGAUGUUUCCUUAGAGAAUGAGUGGCUAGGCUUUUAGUUUCUUGGAGCUAAGAUAGCCGCGUAAGGCCCUGAAUGCAAGAAUUGGUAGUUUUGUUGUUUCAGCUAUUAAUGAAGAGAAAGUGUGACCCGUUAAUGAUUUCUAUGUUUUUAGUUAACUUAAAACGCCUUCAAUUCACCUGGGCCGACACUUGGUAAGGCAAGUGAUCUCCGUCCAUGGAGAUGCACUAGUUUAUCUCUUGCAAGCCUUUGGGUGGUGACUUGAAGGUAGGAUUUUCUAGAAUUGCCAACACUUGGUAAGCUUUUGGACUCUAAGGAGACAUCCAUUAGUUAUCUCUUGCGAGCUUGAGAAGGGAAGUCCAAGGUUAAUGAUCACCUUGAGUGGCGAAUGCUAGGUGAGAGGCAUGAGCCAUUGCAAGUUGCAUCAGUGAGAGGGAAUUAGUGCUGAAAUCCAUUAAUGGGAAACAUCUGUACAACACCAGUUAGAGAAUUAACUAUAUGUUAAUUCUCUAAUGCGAGGAAAAGAUUCAAGUGACCAGAGCUCUGUUUUUGCAUGAGGAGCUUGACCCCAAUGAACCUAAAACUCCAAGGAACGCUUUUCUUCAUAUGUAAUUCCCAUUACUUUCUUUUUAGUUAGCUUAAAACAAAUCCUUUUUCAACCAAAUUUUAUGUUUUCUUCUUAAGCUAACCUUGAAAUGAAAAAACACCAAUUCAACUUUGAAUUGGUAUCAGUUGUAAGUUGAAAACCCUUCCCAGUGAACGAUCCUAGAGCCACUAUGCUAUAUUAGCUAAGGCUAUCCUAGUGCAUGGUGAUAUAGGUUAUAAAUUUUGUUGAUUACUCCUGUCUGAGGACCAAACUCAAGGUACACCAACUAGGCACGCGAUCAUAGUUAAAGAAACAUAUUCCACCAAAUAAAAUACAACAGAACAGGUUGAUAUCAAGACUAUUCUUCAUGAUCCCCAUCAAGGGGAUUUAACCAUCACCAAUUACUACAAUAUUCUUGGUUGCCAUUGGUAACAAUUGGAUGUUUAUGAGAAGUAUGAUUGGAAGUGCCCCAAAAACGUUGCCAAGUAUCAAAAGAUUGUGGAGAAAAGACGACUUUUCAAGUUCUUAUUGGGCCUCAACAAGCACCUUGAUGAGGUCCGUGGGAGGAUCAUUGGUACCAAACCCCUUCCAACAAUCUGUGAAGCCUUCACAGAGGUAAAGAGAGAGGAGACCUGGAAGAAACUCAUGUUAGGCAAGCAAACUGCUAUAGCUACUACUGAAAGUUCUACUCUUGCAACUCGAGGUCAGUUUAGCAACAAUUGAGGAAAUCAACAGCAACAAAAGUGAAGACUUUGGUGUGACUAUUGCAAGAAACAUGGUCAUACAAAGGAUACAUGUUGGGAUAUCUAUGGUAAACUUGCAGAUUGGAAAUCAAGGUCAAAUAGACGUGAUAGUCAAACAAACAAUGCCACCACCGAUUCCACCUCCUAACCCAAAUCAAACCCGCUUAGCAAAGAACAAUUAGAUCUUUUAUAGAAACUACUCUAAUAGUCACAACAACCUAAACCAGCUCAACCCACUUCCAUAAUUGGUACUGGUUUUAUUGCAUAAAAAUGUAAUUUCUUGAGUGCUCUAAAUGCUAAACAGAAAAGGACAAGACCAUGGAUUGUUGACUCUGGUGCAUCUGACCACAUGACGGGAGAUGCAAAUGUUUUUGACACAUAUGAUCCUUGCUCUUCGAAUUAUUUUGUCCGCAUUGCUGAUAGAUCAUUGUCUAAGGUUGGUGGUUCCGGUUCAGUGACUAUUUCACAGGACUUAACUCUUCACUCUAUCUUACUUGUUCCAAAUCUAGAUUGCAAUUUGUUGUCCAUUAGUAAACUGACAAAAGACCUUAAGUGUGUUACUAAAUUUUUUCCUAAUCACUGUGAAUUUCAGGUUAUGGAUUUGGGGAUGAUGAUUUAUUUCAAGUUAUGGAUUCAGGGAUGAUGAUUGGCAAUGCUAAGGUGCAUGAGGGACUCUACCUACUUCAAGCUAAUGAGUAUCCUAAUCCCAGUCAUUCUCAAGCUCAUUCUAUUCAGUCUUCCAAUUCUAUUCUUUCCAUUCGUAGUGAUAAUAAAAAUGAUGCCAUAUUGUUGUGGAAUUAUAGAUUAGGCCAUCCAAAUUUUUUUUAUCUUGAGAAAAUGUUUCCAUCAUUAUUUAAUAAAAAAUCCUAGUCUUUUUAGUGUGAAAUUUGUCAAAUGUCUAAACAUGUGCAUAAUUCUUAUCCUAACCACGUUUACAAGACUUUUCAUCAUUUUUCAAUGAUACACAGUGACCAUUUGAGAUCAAGAACAUUUCUGGAUCAAGAUGGUUUGUCACCUUUAUCGAUGAUCAGACUAGAUUCACUUGGAUAUUUCUCAUGAUAGAUAAAUCUAAGGCUGGCCAAAUCUUUAUAAACUUUCAUAAAAUGAUCCAAAAUCAAUUCUAAGCCCAAAUUCAAAUUCUCAAGACCGUUAUUGGAAGAUAAUACUUCCAUUAUGCUCUGGGUACUUAUUUGAUGAAUAAUGGAAUUAUAUACCAAAGUUCAUGUGUUGAUACUCCUCAACAAAAUGGACUGUCAAAGUCCUUGUCAAGUCCUUCUCCAAUCUUAUCCUAAUUCUCGGCUAAUCUCCUCCAUUCCCAUCAAAGUGUUUGGUUGCAUUGUCUUCGUCCAUAUUCAUUCCCAACAUUACUCCAAACUUGAUCCAAAAGUUGUCAAAUGUCUCUUCCUUGGGUAUUCUCUUAGCCAAAAAGGGUAUAAAUGUUAUUCUCCUACUCAAUGGAAAAUUUACAUAUCCAUGGAUGUAACAUUCUUUAUUAUUCAACUCGUUUACCCUAAAACUGGUAUUUAGGGGGAGAAUGGACUUAGUGAAUAUUAGUUUUUGAACAUAAAUACUGAUUUUCUUGAUACAAGUUUUGAUUUUUCCUGCCUUUCUUCAUCUUUUCUUCCACUUGAGGUUGAGACAUCUUCUAAUCUUCAAUCAAAAUCCAUUUUUAAGACCAUAUAGCCUGCACAAUCUUCAAGUCCUGACCUUCCUCCUGACCAAACUCAACAUCCAACCUCAUCUAUUGUCUAUACCAGAAAAAAAAGGCUUAGAAGGUGGGAAAAAUCCAAGUGCAUCCAAUGCAAAACUAAGAGUUUGAAUCAGAUUCAAAAGAUUCUGAAAAUUGACUAGGUAACACCACUGUUGAACCUCUUUUGGAUGAAAUUUCUAAUGAUUUAGAUUUGCCUAUUACUCUAAGAAAAAUGGUGAGGUCUUGCACUAAACAUCCUAUUCAGAACUUUGUGUCCUAUAAUGAGCUAUCUCCAUCAUAUAGGGCAUUUUCAAUGAAGAUAACUGAAGUGCAAGUUCCUAGAACUAUUCAGCCAAUCGGAUUGGAGAAAAGCUAUUUUUGAUGAGAUGGGUGCUUUGGAAAAGACGGGUACAUGGGAGAUUGUUGAUCUACUGAAAGAUAAGAAUAUGAUAGGAUGUAAGUGAAUCUUUACAGUCAAACAUAGAGCUGAUGGAAAUGUUGAUAGGUUGAAGACACGACUCUUUCCAAAACGAUUUACUCAAGCUUAUGGAGUUGAUUACUAAGAGACAUUUGGCCUAGUUACGAAACUCAAUACUGUUAGAGUCUUACUAUCUCUUGUUGCUAAUCUGGACUGGUCACUAAACUAGUUAGUUGUGAAGAAUGCCUUCCUCAAUGGUGACUUGGAGGAGGAAGUGUAUAUGGAGAUUCCCCUUGGCUUUGAAAGAAACAAUGACUUUAAGAAGGUAUGUAAACUCCGAAAAGCAUUAUAUGGCCUUAAAGAAUCUACUCGUGCUCGGUUUGACAAAUUCACAAAGGUCAUAAAGAAAAAUGGUUAUAUUCAGUGUCAAUUUGAUCACACCUUGUUUGUUAAGUUCUCUAAAGGAGGAAAAAUAACUAUUCUUAUUGUGUAUGUCGAUGACAUAAUUCUUAUUGGAGAUUAUGAUGAAGAGAAAGUUAGUUUGGAAAAUCUCCUCACUAAGGAAUUUGAGAUAAAAGAUUUGGAUGAUCUCAAGUAUUUCCUAUGAAUGGAAGUGGCUUGAUCUAAGAAAGGAAUUUGUAUUUCCCAAAGAAAAUACAUCCUUGAUCUUCUAGAGGAGACUAGUAUGCUUGGGUGUAAACCCUUAGACAUCCCUAUGGACUCUAAUGUCAAGCUUGGCUUAGAUCAAGAGGGUCCUUCAGUUGACAAAGGGCGAUAUCAACAACUUGUAGGGAAGUUGAUAUAUCUUACCCACACAAGACCAGAUAUUAGAUUCUCUAUUAGUUUGGUUAGCAAAUUUAUGAAUAAUCCUACCAAAGAACACUUAGAUGUUGUCUAUAAAAUCCUUCAAUAUCUUAAAUGGGCUCCUAGAGAAGGGUUAUUUUUAAAAAAGAACUCUAACAGAGAAAUUAUGAUCUACACUAACAUAGAUUGGGUUGGCUCUUCUAUAGACCAUAGAUCUACAUCUUAUUAUUGUUCAUAUGUUUGGGGCAAUCUCGUUACAUGGUGAAGCAAAAAACAAACUGUUGUUGCUAGGAGUAGUACUGAAGUUGAAUUCAGAGCUUUAGAAAAUGAAAUUUGUGAGGGCAUGUGGAUUAAAAGACUAUUGGAAGAACUCAAGUUUCCUAUUGAUAGUCCUAUGAGAAUUUUUUAUAAUAAUCAAGCAACAAUUAGCAUUGCUAAAAAUCUUGUUCAUCACGACAGGAUUAAGCAUGUGGAGAUUGACUGUCAUUUCACUAAAUAGAAGAUUGAUGAGGGGAUUAUCACUCUUGCAUACAUGCUAACAACUCUUCAAACAAUCUACAUCCUUGCCAAAGCACUUCCUAGGGUCAACUUUGAAGAAAUGAAGUCCAAGUCGGGCAUGCUAAACAUUUAUAGCCUAGCUUGAGGGGGAGUGUUGAUUUUCGUGUGAUUAUCCUUAAUUUGUUGGGAUUUUGAUUUUGUAUUCCAACCGGGAUUUGUUUCCCACUUUCUGUUUUGAGUUUUUUUUUUCCUUUUUUUUCAUUUUCUUAGGCACGUAUCUCCUAUAUUAUAGCUAGAUUUUUAUUUUGCAAAUUCGAUUCUUAGCUUAUAUAAUGUCAAUGUUGUACAUGCUCUAUAGAAAAAUAUAGAAAUAUACCAAAAUUUCUCCAGUUUUAAAUCAUAUCAAAUUUUUUACUUCAAAAUGAUUACAUUGAAAAACUCCUAAAUUUUGACUUUGAAAUGAUUAACCUUCCAAAGAUUAUUAAAAUUGUUAUCCAUUAUUUCCAUUUACAUAGAAUUUGAGAAGGACUAUAUAAUGCUUGAAAAUUUAAACAGUAUAGAAUAAAAAUAUGAUCUAUAUUGAAUUAGAAUUUUUUUUUAAAAUAAAAUUGGGACAAGCUACCUACUUAAGGAAUCCUCACACACACACACACACACACACACACACACACACACACACACACACACAUAUAUAUAUGAUCUAAGUUGAAUUAGAAUUUUUUAAAAUAAAAUUGGGACAAGCUACCUACUUAAGGAAUCCUCAUAUAUAUAUAUAUAUGACUAAGAAAAAUGAUAAAAAAGGGUGUACAAAUAUCACAUGUUAGAAAUUUUCAAAUAAAAUUGUAAUUUUAUUAAAUUGUAGAAAAAUCUACUUCAAAUCUCCAGUUUAAUUUCAAAUUAUUCUUUCAAUAAUUGUUGACUAAGUGCUUGCAAAAUUUUGAUCUCAAGUUCUAUUGAAGAUUUGAUGUUGCUUGCUUGAACUUCAUUUAGACUUUAACUUGCUUAUGGUUUGAGUUUGGAUUGGCUUAUUUUUUACUUACAUUUUAGAAAUGAACAACAUCUUAGUCUUUGAGAUUUGAAGCUUGAUUUUAUUCUUGGCUAGGCUUGUUAGGCUUUGACUUCAUUUGAGCUUUGGCUUAAACAAUCCUAACCAAGUGCUUGAGUAAUAAUCUUAGACAACAAAAUUUAGAAGAUUUGGCUAUUAAAGUUUGAUUCUUGAUUUUUUGAAAGAUAUUCAUGAUUUGAAAAUAUUUUGAAGAAAUUAAAAACUCAUCAAAGAAAUUUUGAAGAUUUGAGAAAACUUUGAAAUCUCUUUUGAAGAUUGAAAAAGCAAUGAAUACUUUCAAAGAAGCCUUCAAUUUCCCAUAAAAAUGUUUGGGAAGCUUUAAAGGAGACCAAAUUUUUUUGAAGAAGUUUGAAGGCCAUCAUAGAAGCUUUUUGAACUUAUAAUAAAGCUUUCGUUUUACCUUCUUAAUUAUGUAUUUUUUACUUAUUGUGUGAAAUAUACCUUCAAGGUGGUUUCCUUUAUUAAUAAAGAUAGGAAUAACAAUACUUAAACAAUUUUCUAGCUCUUGAAAUAUGUUUUUAAUUAUUUAACUAAACUUAAUUUUUAAGGAGAUAUAAAAGAACAUAUUUAGAUGGUCUUUAACCCCUUGAAAACUAUUCUUUAAGGAGAAUCGGUGAUUAACCGUUUUUUUUAAAAUCAAGUCCAUUAUUGUCUUAAUUUAUUGUAAUAAUUUUCUUUUUGUUGUCAAUAUUUAUCUUUUCUCUUAUUUAAUCUAUAGAUAAUUUUUUGAGGACCCAUUAAUUUGUACUUAAAUAUUGGUAUAGAAAGUUAAAAUUAUGUUUUUAAGAUAAAAAGGAGUAAAAAUCAUUGUUUUUACCUUCAAUAUGUUAACACCCUAUUUUGGUAACUAAUGUGCUAUAUUGUGGGAACUGUAGCAAAGAGAAGAUAAAAACAUGUUUUUGUUAGGAUAGAACCCUUAAAAACAUGAUAUGAAGUAACAAAUUUGGAAUUCAUUAUUUAAUGAUAUUCCAAUUUCAUUUUUAUCUAUUCUUGUUCCAUGCAUUACACUUUAUAAACAUUCUUGCCUAGCAUCUUUUGCAUUGUACGUGAUUUGGGUGCAUUAGGAAUUUCCCAAAAGAUCCAAAUAUCGAGUUCCUUGCAAAUAGAUAACUUUUUCAUAAUCGAUUCAGGUCUAGGCAUCAUGAUAUCUCAUGGUGAAAGACCACCGAAAGUCUAAUAGGGAACAUCCAAAAAGGGAAAGAGGAGUGAAUGGGUGAUAUGAAAAUUAAAAUAAAGAGUUAUAUAUAUUAUAUUAAAUUUUUCUUACCCUAAAAUUUUUUAGGGAAGUCCUAAUUAGCACUUUGGGCAAAUGUCAAACAUAUACUCUAGUAUCUUUGGAGAAUAAGGGAUUAUAUGUUUGUGAGUCUUUGUGAUGAGUUGCUACUCUUUUCAUACCGAGAAAUUGGACUUCAAUAUGAUAAGAACUCUUGUAGGUCUACCUUUGGGUGUGUGUGCACUAUAAGUGGUUUUUAUUUUAUUUCUUUAUUUAUUUAUUUUAUAGAAACAAAGGAAGCCUUUUGGCUUAUGGGUAGUUCCCUUGACCAUAAUGUCUAAGAUCCUAUUAUGUAAUAAUAGUGGGUUGGUGGCAUGGUCUAAAAAACUAAAGUACCACUAGGAAAGGAAACACAUAUGGAGGAAGUGUAACCUUAUUCUGAGAUAAUAUGGAGAGUUGAUGAUACAAUGGAGUAGAAUUCUUUCUACGGUUCCCAAUCUAUUUUUUGGGCUAGUGGGAUUUUGUUGGGAUUAUACCCCUAAAAACAAGGCAUGAUGUAACAAAGUUAGACUUAACCAUCCCCUUGCUAUCCUUUUUGGUGUAUUGACAUUGCCUUGAGCAUUUAGCCCAUGUCUUAUACAUUGUACAUGACUUUUGUGUAUUAGGAGUUAUACAAAAGAUACAAGUCAUGGGUUCCUUGUAAGUAGAUAAGUUGUCCACAAUCGGUUCAUGGAUUUAAGCAAUCCAAUAGAGACUAUAGUGCAUCACCUUCUAAUUAGAGGGAUGACUUAUCUUGGUGAUUCGACUCAUGGUAGCUUAGCUUUAAAGGCGUAUCAACAAAAUUUAUACCUUAAAUACUAUUACUAAAGUAGCCAAGCUACUAUAGCAUAGUGGUUCUAGGAUCGUUCACUGGGAAGGGUUUUCGCAAACACUAGUGAUAUUCAAAUUAGGAAAAUAGGUGAUUUUCUUAUGGAUGUUAGCUUUAAAAGAAGAUGUAAAUGUUUUAGAAAGAUUUAAACUAAUCUAAGCUAACAUUAAAGACUAAAAUGAAAGGGUGUAAAAACAAGUUUCUCAAAGAUAGGAUAGCUAUGCUCUGGCUCUUAUGCAAAUUGGAAAUCUCAGGAUAGGCUCCUCGCGUUGGGGUUGCAACUAUGGUGAUGCUUGCUUCCCGAACCGGUAUGGAUUUAGCAAAUCAAGUUUUAAUCCUUUAAAAUGGCAAAACAGAUGAUAGUGAAUUUCAUCAAUGGUUUUUCACCUUAGACUUCCUUUGAAUGGCUCGUAAGAGAUAACUAAUGGUCUAAAGCCAAAAGCUUACCAAAUAUUGGCAACUCAAAGUCAUUCCAGGUGAUAAACUCACCUUUCAAUGGCCAUUGAAAUUGGUUCUAACGGAUUAAUGCAAAACUUGGAAUUGAAAACCUCACCUUCCAAUAGCUCGUAGGAGAUAACUAAUGGAUAGAAAUCCAAAAGCUUAUCAAGUAUUGGCCGUUGGAAGUUGUCCAAAGGAAAUAAAAACCAAACUUUGCAUUAAUGAACCUUUAAUGAAAAACGACUACCUUACCUUCCAGGUGCGAGAAAUCUCCAUGGGAUUGCAUCCAAGCCAUCACAUAACAUCCAUACUUUGAGAAACUAAAAGUUUUAGCCAAUCAUCCUCUGAGGAAAAGCCCUCAGAGGCUGUUUGGCUAUUAAGAAAAUAGAAAUGGGGAAGAACAAGAGAAGAGAGAAAAAAACAGAGCUUUAUAUAUUUCUAAGUUAAUGUACAGAGGAUCGAUCACCCAAAUCUCCCUUCUUUUGGAGGUGUUGUGCACCUCUAUAUAUAGCAAAAUUACAAGAUAAAGCCUUAUGUUGGCUGAAUACAAGGUUACAAAAGGAAUUUACACGAGAAAAUAUCAAGCUAAAAAUAUCUGGGAAGUCGGUGGUGCGUGCAUGGAGAAACAGAGGAAAAUUCACACCACGCAUGGGCUGUGCGAAUUUGGAAGGUGUUGUGCGAGUGUUGUGCGAGUUUCACACAAGCUUCGCACAACCUGAAGGUGUUGUGCGAAUUUCAAGGUGUUGUGCGAAUUUCGCACAAGCCUGGAGCAGUUGUCUUCCGAAGGCCAUAUAUUCCUCAUUUCACCUCCAAAUCGUACACGAUUUGAACCGUUGGAUUCUUCACUUCCUGAGCUUUGAAAUGGUAUAUAGAAUGUAGAAAAUGAACUUUGGGAAGUGCUCCAAAAGUGUAAAAGAAGACUACAGCUGCUGUCCUCUGUUUUCUUCACUUUGCUUGCUUUUCCUCUUUGCUUCUCUUUGCUUCUCUCCUUUGCUUGGCUUGUCUUAAUGAUCCAAAAAGCUGUCAAAACACUAAAAAUAGCCACAAAUAUGAUUAGAAGUCAUUGCUAGGUCCUUAACAUGCCAAUUGGGAUAAAGAUGGAGAACUACUACACAAAAGUGCUUAAAACAUAAUGAAUUAAAGGUGUAAAAUAACACUUUUUGGGUAGUAAUCACUUGGCCAUCAAGAUGGGUUUCCCAUGGUGAGUGCACUAGUGUAUGUGAUGCAAAUUGGACAGGACCUAGGGUGAAUCAUGACACAAAACUAUCAAUUAUCAUGAUUCACCAAGCUACUACACUACAUAGACUUUCAAACUUGAGAAGAUAUUGAGCUUGUGCAAAAAUCAAUAGGAGGCUUUGACUUAUGGGUAAGACUUUAAAGUGGUCAUAUAUCCCUAUGGAUUUGGUCACUAUUGAUGGAGGCUGGUGGCAAUGGGUAUUCUCAAUAGAGACACCAUGAUAUCUCAUAAGAUUGAGACAAUGUGUCCCCUUGGGUGAUCUAAAAACAUGUGAUCGUGAAAUCUGUGGCCAUAGUAAUUACUUAAGUGGAAUUUGACAUAUUCUCUUCAAAGCUAGAGUAUGUUAUUUGAUCACAUAAUAAGUGGGAUCUAUAACUCAAGGAUUUGAGAGGUAAUCUUGAUAGGUGAAAACACUAUCUUGUUAGAUUAUGAACACUAGUUCAUGGGGAGUCUACAUGCAGUGGAUAGUAGGUCACAAACUCAAAUACUUGGUGUCUCGUUUUAAUAUAUAUAAGGUACUGGAGUGUAGUUGACUCUCUAUAGUGGGAUGCUAAGUUAAUUUCAUAAUUGUUUAUAAGAGAGCCAAUACUCCUAUGGGUCCCAAUGGUCCUCGAUCUGGGGUCAUAUUCCUUGAUGGCAUGGUUUAUGAUGGUUAGGUGGAUUUUGAAGGGAAAAACUCAGAUCACUCCGCUUCCCAAGCCCAGAUUUGGUUAGCAACAUGCAUAACUAUCCUAGGCCUUUUCUAAAUCCUAUGCUCAAUGAAAAAAAAAAUAACAUUUUUAAACCUUAAAAGGAUUCAUAAAGAGCUAACGAAAACCAUAUCUCAGAUUCCGAUGUUCCUAAAUCAAAUCCAAGUGGUGAAAAUGAAGAAUGAAAUCACAAAAGUCUCAUAAACCCGAAGUCUUCCGUGCAAUGAAUUGAAUUGAUCUUGACACACCUCCAGUGGGGAUGGAAAGGAAUGUGGAGGCUAUAACUCUUUCUUUUUCUCUUUGGAGAUGGAAGAUGGCUCUCUAGAAAAACUAUAUGAACUUUAAGCCCUAAGAUGAGAUUUAUAGGGUUUUCUACUAGGCUUAAGUAACUUGAGCUCACUAAGUGCUUGGGUCACUUAAUCUAGCCCAAAACGGGUCCUAAUUGAUUAAUUAACUCAAUAGGGCAUGCUAAUUAAUCAAUUAGCCCAAUCUAGAGACCUUGCUCACUUACCCUUGUGCAAUCUUUGUGUAAUUACCAAAAUGGCCUUAUGCACAAAAGUGAACUUAGAGCUAAUUCGACUCUCAUUACCCAUGCCAACAAGGUAUAUGAGCUCAGAGCAAGGACUAUUAGAACCCAUAUGAAUAUUAGGUCCCUCAUAAUCCAAUUCUAAAGUUGAUUCAACAUCCCACUAGAAAGAAUCAACUGAACUCCAGUAUCCUAUGUAAAUAGCAAUGAGACAUUAUGUGCUCAGGUUCUUGACCUGCUAUCCAUUACAUUUAGUCUCCCGAUGAACUAGUGUUCGUAGUCUAACAAGAUGAAAGCUAUCAACCUUUCAAGACUAUCUCUACUAUCUUUAAGUUAUAGAUCCUCCUAUUGUAUAUUCAACUGACACGUCUUAGCUCUCAAAGAGCCUAUGUCAAGUUUCACUUAAGGAAUUACUAUGACCAUAGUUUCUAUUAACACACCUCCUUAGGAUCACCUAAGGGGAUACACUGUCUCAAUCCCAUGAGAUAUCAUGGUGCCUACAUUGAGAAUACUUUUUGCUACCAACUUCUAUCAACAAUGACCUGAUCCAUAAGGAAUAUAUGAUCAACUUACGAUCUCACCCGUAGGUCAAAACCAUUGCUAACUUUAGCAUAGGCUUAAUAUUCUCUCAAGGUUGAGAGAUAACACAAUGAAGCAACUUGGUGAGGUCAUGACUACUUGAUAGCCUUAAGUCAUGACUCACCAUAGGUCUUGUGCAAUGUGUAACCAUACACACUAAUGCACUCACCAUGGGAAACCCCUCCCCAUAGCCAAGACAAGUCAUCACUCCAAUUAGGAAGUAGUGCACUACAACCUCUAAUGGGUUGCCUAGACCCAUGAACUAGUUGUGAACAAGUAAUCUAUUUGCAAGAAACCCAUGACUUGGAUCUUCUGUGCAACUACUAAUGCACCUAAGUCACAUACAAUGCAAAAUAUGCAAGUAAGAAUGCUCAUAAAAUAUAAUACAUGGAAUAAGGAUAGACAAAAGUGAAAUUGGAACAUCAUUUAAUAAAUAAUGAAUUCCAAAUUUAUUACAUCAUGUCAUGCUUUUUAGGGCUCUAUCCUAGCAUUCUCCUACUAGCCCUAAAAGCAUCAUGCCUAUAAAGCAUGCCAAAUACUCAUUUGAAACCUAUGCUAUCCUUGUGACUAAUAAAGACUCUCCUUGUCAAUGUCUUGGUGAAGGGAUCCACCAGGUUCUCCAUAUAAGGUAUCUUGUCCCAUAUCAUGUCACCUUCUAAACUAUUUCAACACUUUGGAGCACAAGCACAUAAGCACUCGUUCUCCUAAGAUACUUCAGUAUAUGCUUGAUAGCAGUUUAGUGUUUUGGACCUGGAUUAAACUAAUAUCUACUUACCAUACCCAUUACAACAAAAUAUUUAGCCUAGUACAUAGCAUCGCAUGCAUAAGGCUACCCACUAUAGAGGCAUAGGGUAUUGAUUGGAUGCGUUUUUUCUCCUCAGGUGUUUUAGGACACUGAUCCCAAGAAAGAAGAAUUCCAUACCUAAAAUGUAACAAACCUUUCUUGGAAUCUUGCAUCACAUACUUGACCAAAAGCUUAUCUAUGUAGGUAGCUUGAGAUAGCACUAGUUUCUUAUUCUUACGGUCCCUAGGGACCUUAAUCGCAAGAAUAUACUACACUUCUCCCAGAUCCUUAAUCUGGAAUUGAGUAGAUAACCAGAACUUUACUGAUGACAAUAACCCUACAUCAUUACCAAUGAGUAAAAUGUCGUCAACAUACAAGAUCAUAAAGACCAUCAUGCUUCCUUACUCCUUCUUUUUACACACAAGGUUCAUCCUCAUUUUGAUCAAAGUCAAAGGUCUUGACUGCUUGAUUGAAACAUUUAUUCUAUGAGCGAGAUGCUUGUUUUAGUCCAUAAAUGGAUUUAUGCAAUUUGUAUACCAUAUGCUCUUAACCCUUUGCUACAAUACCUUUUGGUUGCACCAUAUAGAUGCUCUCAUCAAGAUUUCCAUUUAAGAAUACAAUCUUGACAUCCAUUUUCCAUAUCUCGUAGUCAAGAUGUGCUGCAAUGGAUAGGAGUAUUCUAAUGGACUUGAGCAUGGCUAUCGACGAGAAGGUCUCAUCAUAGUCAAAACCAAGUUUCUGACUAUAACCCUUCACUACAAGCCUAGCCUUAAAAGUCUCAACCUUUCCACCCACUCCUCUCUUUCUCUUGUAGACCCACUUACACCUUAUGGGUUUUAUACCUUCAAGUGCUUCUACAAGCUCCUAGACUUGGUUAGAAUGCAUAGAUUCUAACUAUACUUCCAUAGUCUUUUGCCAAAAAUGUGCAUCCACAUCGCUCAUUACUUCAUCGUAACAUGUGGGAUCGAUCUCAUGUUCCUUUAGAAUGACCUUAAAAGACUCUCCCAAAACAUGAAUUGGUCUAGUUGUUUAACAACCCUCCCACUACAACGAAGCAUCAGUGUACUAGAAAUGAGAAUGGUUGGUACUAGAUCCAUAGUAUUUGUAGAUUGUUUGCCUUAUUACAUGUUAUAUAGUCUUCAUAAAAAAUCUAGUAUUUGUAGUAAGCAGCACCUUUUGAUAAUCCUAACUAUAAAGUAGUAAUCCUGAAAUCCUCUUAGAUAUCCUAUAAACUAAUACACCUCUUUAGAAAAAGAAGAGGUAUUACACAGUCUUUUGAUAUAUCCCCAAAGAAUAUGGGAAGUAAUGAGAAACCAAUCACCGAUCUCACUUUGUCUACCAAAGUUUAAUAUAUUCUUUCCAUUACUCCAUUUUGCAAUGGAGUCCUUGGGGCACACAAUUGUGAUAUGAUCUCAUGCUUCAUUUGGAAAGAAUCAAACCUACUAGACUAACCACCUCAAUCUAAUCAAAGUGCCUUGAUAUGUUUACCCAUUAGGUUAUCUAAUUCUGCCUUAAAUUCAAUGAGUUUAUUCAAGGCAUCAUAUUUCCUAUCUAUAUAUCCAAAGCUAGAGUAUUUAUCAAUAAAAUGAUCAAAGACUCACACUUUCAAUAUAUAAACACAAAAAGGUUCACAUACGUGAGUAUGCACUAACUCCAAACAUUCCUUGGUUCCAAGUCCUUUAAAAAUAAAAGGGUCUCUUAGUCAUUUUACCAUCUAUAUAAGAUUCAUAAACUAAAAGAUCUUCUAGAUUAAGAAGGUCCAAACUUAAUUAGUAUUUGGAUCAAUAUGACUUAGGCAUUAGAAGCCAAAUGUUUGAUUAGUUCUAGGUUCUUUCUUUUGGUGAGAUUUAACUAUUCUCAUUACUUGGCAAAGUGAUAAUGGAGUCUCACACAGAAAGGGUAAUACCUCCCACUAACAUGCACAACUAAUCUUACAAUUGAAGCUGAGAUAAGUACAAUCCCAUCAUGUGACCUUCUCACUUGUUGAAAACCUUGUAAAGAACUACAGAUAGUGGGCCUGGAAUCUAUCCACCACUAUGUAUUCAACAACAAGAACAUGAUGUGUACUUGUCUAUUCUUAAACACUCCAAGCAUUCCAUUUUUAAGUGUCCUAAAAGGCCACAAAGGAAUCAUUGCCCAUGAGUUUGUUCUCUCAUUAUUUUUCUUGAACUUUCCUUAUUUGGUGUUGUUCUUUUCCUUCUUAGUAGAAGAACCUAAAGAACCUUGACUUCCAUAUGAACACCUUUCGACUCUUUGAGAAUCUUCUUAACCAUACUAAAGGAAUCCGGUAAGAUCUCUAGGAUAACAUGAAUCUUGGUGUUCAUAAUAGUCCUAAGGGCAACUUGUUUAGUUGACUUACUCUUAUUACCAAAUAACCCUUUCAACUUUAAAGAGAAUAUCAUAGACUAUGGAAAUAGACAUAUGUUGUUUUUGCAACACUUUAUCUAAAGACCCAAGUAUGAGAGACUUGGCCUUUUGAUCUGUCUUAUGCCAUAUUUGAUAUGUUUCUCUUACUUCAUGAUAGGUUUGUUCAAUGGAAAUAACAAACUCUACCAAAAUCAGCUUCUAUGCAAUUAAUACUAUACCCAGAUUAUUUAUAGUCUAUCAUUAGGUCCAAUUUAAACAAAAGAUAAUAGGCAACAAGUUAAAAACAUGAUAUCUAUAACAAAUAUAAUAAUUCCAUGCAUUAAUAAAAAGAAAUUGAGCAUUCAAGGAAAAUUGGUAAUUAAUUUAGCAAAAAAGUAGUGUUCUCAAACUACAUAUCCUUUUGAAAGGUAUCCUAGUAUCAUAAGAAUCAAGCCAACUUUAUGUAGGUCACGACUCUUAUUACUAAGGUAGAGUCCCUCUCUAAUUGAUCAACUCUAAUUAAACUUUAAAAGUUAUCCUAAGGCAUUGAUCAACAUACCUUUAUGUUUAGCCCUUAGUCCAUGCAAGUGGGACCACUUUAGGUGAUUUUACCACUUUAGGUGAUUUUACCACUUCAUGUCUAAGUUAAGUAUGUAACCAAGAUCCUUGACAUCAAUGUUACCAAGUGAAGAGUUCCAUCUUUAGGAUUGACUACUCUCACUAUAAACAUAUAUAGUCUUGUCCAUAAAGGAUAGUCUUUAUCCCUUGAUUCCUUGGGUCACCCUAUCUUUAGGAUGGUGAUGCACCCAAAAUCAAGAUGGGCUUGAUCUUGGAGGUUAUGGGCUUGCCUAUGGCCUACUCUUACUUAAUAUUUUGGAAAAGAGGCUUUAAGAUAAUUUUGGUAACUAUCUUAAAAUAAAUUAUCUAUCAUGAGAAUUUCCAAAACUUUUAUUUAUCACUUGAAUUGGGACUCUUGUACCAAAUAGGGAUAUAUUUCAUAUUCCUUAUCCUUGAACUUUCCUUUUCAAACUAAACAAAUUCCUCAUUCUCUCAGAUGAGAAGAGGUUGGAAGACCAAUUUAAUUGUCAUUCUACUUCUCUCUAGGGAGGAAGGCUUGGAAAACCACUUAAGCCAAAUAAAGAAAAGUCCCAAAAGGAAUUUGAAAUUCCAAAUGACAACAACCAAUUCCUUAAAUAAAUAAUAAUGGAAAUAAAACUCAUGAAAAUGUAUUCUUUUAAGAAAAUCCAAAAUUACCAUUUUAAUUUAUUUUAUUUGAAACAACAUCUUGGUAAGCUAUAUUAAUAAUGAAUCAUCUAUCAUAUAUUUUUCUAAAAAUAAUUUAUUUCUUUAAAUUAAAAUCUUGUGCUAAAUAGGAAAGAUUUUAUUUCAUAAAGGCUUGGAAAACUAAAACUUCUUCCUUAUAAUAAAAAAAUUCUUAGAGAUCUAAAAUUUAAAAAAAAUUAUUUUGGAAAAGAAAAUCUCUAAAAGUUUAAUUUUGAAAUGGAAGUAGGUUCCUUAUUACUUUCCAACUUAUCUUUUCCUAAAAUAAAAUUUUCCUAAUCCCUAUCACAUUCCAAUUUAAUAAAUUAUCUAAAACAAGAAAAAAAAUGAAAAUUCAUUUACUUAAGAAUGCCAAAAUAUAUUCUAUGUCAAAAAUAAAAAGGCAUAAAAGAUAUAAAAGGAAAUUAAAUAAAUAAUUUUCAUGGUCUUAUGGAUCUUGCUGCAAAUUUGGAUAAAAUCCAAAUUAUCAAAAUAGUCCUGCAACCAAAGAUAGGGUUAAUGAAAAAAGAAAAACCCAACAAGCCCAAUUGCCACAAAAAAAAAGCCCAAAAAGAGGCCCAAAAAAUUGAGUUCAAACAACCAAAAACAAUUUGGCCCAAACUCAAUCCCGUAAUUGCAUGCCCUUUGAGCAGCCUUGCUUCAAUCAGCCAUAUCUCCCUCGUUUCAACUCUGAAUUGUGAUAUGUUUGAAGCAUUGGAUUCCUGUAUUCCUAAGCUUGAAAACCAUAUAUGGUUUUCCCCAAAGAUCUCAUGGGAGGUAGCCCCGAUUUUGAGUUAAAUUCAGCAUCACUGUGCUGCCAUGGUCUUUGCGCAACCUUACUUCAAUCGAUUAUAACUCCCUUGUUUCAACUCCGAAUUGUGAUCUAUUUGAAACCUUGGAUUCCUGACUUCCUAAGAUUGAAAACCACAUGUGGUUUGACCUAAAAAAACUCAUGGGAAGGUAUCCUGAUUUUAAUCGUAAGAUGACAAAAUUGUGCUGCCAAGGAUCUCAAAUCAAGAAUUUCCAAGAAUCUUUCUUUUCCCUUAAAUCACCAUAGGAACUUAUGAAAGAAACUUCAAGAAGCCUUAUUUUCUCUUUUCCAAAAAAGGGAAUGUGCGCGGAAAUUUUGUGAUGCUUCAGACUGCUUCCAUAAUCUCCAUAUGUUACAAAAAAUGAUAAAAAAAAAAGGAUUUGGAGUUUACAUAUCAUUCUAAGAUAAAAAUGGGAUUUUUACAAAAGAACAAAAAUCCUAUGCCUCUUUUGAGGCUUACAACCCAUCUAGAAAAAGUAAACAACAAUCCCAGUAAUUAUUACAUCCCUAAUAAAAAACAAUCACAAUAAUAAAGAAUCCACAUUAAUUAUCCCUAGUGUCAUGGGAUAAACACAUACCUUACAAAAUAAAGUUAGCACACCCUAUAAUGGUUCUAGCACGAUUACUAACCUAUGGCUCUAAUACUAGUUGAUGGGAAAAACCUGGAUAUUUCCGUUUUCUAAGCUCGAAUCAGGUUAGGAACAUGUAUAACUAUCUUAGGCUUUUUCUAAAUCCUAUGCAUAGUGGAAAAAUAACAUUUUUAAACUUUAAAGAGAUUCAAAAGGCGCUAAAAAAAACCAUACCUCAAAUUUGGAUGUUCCUGAAUCAAAUCCAUAUGGUAAAGAUGAAGAACGAAAUCGCAGAAGUCUUGUAAACCCGAAGUCUUCUGUCCGAUGACUCAAAUCUUGAUCUUGACACACUUCCGGUGGGGAUGGAAGGGAGGGUGAAGGCUACUUUUAGGAUAGAGCCCUUAAAAGCAUGAUAUGAUGUAAUAAAUUUGAAAUUAAUUAUUUAUUUCAUGAUGUUCCAGUUUCACUUUUAUCUAUCCUUAUUCCAUGUAUUAUACUUUAUGAACAUUCUUAUCUGCAUCUUUUGCAUUUUAUGUGACUUAGGUGCAUUAGGAGUUGCAUAGAAGAACUAAGUCAUGGGUUCUUUGCAAAUAAAUGACUUGUUCACAACCGGUUCAUGGGUCUAGACAACCCAUUAGAGGUUGCAGUGCACCACCUCCAAAUUGGAGGGAUGAUUAGUCUUGAAUACUGGGAUAGGUUUUCCAUGGUGAGUGCACUAGUGUGUAUGGUUACACAUUGGAUAGGACCAAUGGUGAGUCAUGACUUAAGGCUAUCAAGUAGUCAUGAUCUCGCCAAGUUGCUUCACUGUGUUGUCUCUCAACCUUGAGAGAAUAUUGAGCUUGUACUAAAGUUAGUAGUGGUUUUGACCUAUGGGUGAGAUCGUAAGCUGAUCAUAUAUUCCCUAUUGAUUGGGUCAUUAUUGAUGGAAGUUGGUAGCAAUAGGUAUUUCCAAUAGAGGCACUAUGAUAUCUCUUGGAAACUAUGGGCAUAGUAGUUCCUUAAUUGGAGCUUAACGUAAGCUCUUUGAGAGCUAAAACAUGUCAGUUGAAUACACAAUAGGAGAAUUUGUAACUUAAGGAUGGUAGAGGUAGUCUUGAAAUGAUGAUAGCUUUCACCUUGUUAGACUAUGGACACCAAUUCAUGAGGAAACUAAACAUUAUGGAUAGCAGGUCACAGACUUGAGCACGUAAUGUUUCAUUGUUAACUUAGGAUACUAGAGUUUAGUUGAUUCUUUAUAGUGGGAUGUUAAAUCAACUUCAGAAUUGGAUUAUGAGGAAGCUAGUAUUCCUAUGAGUCUUAAUGGUUCCCGCUUUGAGCUCCUAUACCUUGUUGGCAUGGAUUAUGAGGGUCGGACUAGCUCUAAGUUCACUUUUGUGCAUAAGGGCAUUUUGGUAAUUAUAUAGGUUGCACAAGGGUAAGUGAACAAGGUCUCUAGAUUGGGCUAAUUGAUUAUUUAGUAGGUCUUGUUGGGUUAAUUAAUCAAUUAGGACCUAUUUGGGCUAGAUUAAGUAACCUAAGCCCAUGUGGGCUUAAGUCACUUAAGCCCACUUAGGAACCAUAUAUAUACCCUUUAGGGGUUAGGGUUUGCAUAGUUUUUGUCUUCCACCAUCCAGAAAGAUAGAGAGUCAUAGCCUUCACCAUUUUUUCCUUCCCAUCGGAAGUGUGUCAAGAUCAAGGUUCGAGUCAUCGGGUGGAAAACUUCAGGUUUAUGAGACUUCUGCUAUUUCUUUCUUCAUCUUCACUACGUGGAUUUGAUUUGGGAACAUCCGAAUCUGAGGUAUGGUUUUCUUAGCAUUUUUUUUAAUCCCUUAGAAUUUUAAAAAUAAAAAUUUUAUGUUGUAUAUAUCCUUUAGAAAAGGCUUAGGAUAGUUAUGCAUGUUCCUAACUUGAUCCGGGCUUGGAAAACAGAGAGAUUUAGGCUUUUCCCAUCAACUAUGGCUUUCUAUCUUUCUGGAUGGUGGAAGACAAAAGCUAAUGAAACCCUAACCCUUGGGAUAUUUAUAAGGUUCCUAAGUUAGCUUAAGUGACUUGAACCUACAUAGGCUUGAGUCACUUAAUCUAGCCUAAAAUGGGUCCUAAUCGAUUAAUUAACCCAAGGAGGUCUACCAAUUAAUCAAUUAGCCAAAUUCAGAGACCUUGUUCAGUUAUCCCUAUGUAAUCUUGCGUAAUUACAAAAAUGCCCUUAUCACAAAAGUGAACUUAAAGUCGAUCCGAUCCUCAUAAUCCAUGCCAACAAGGUAUAUGAGCUCAAAGAGAGGACCACUAGGACCCAUAGGAAUACCGGCUCACUCAGAAUACAAUUAUAAAGUUAAUUCAACAUCCCAUUGUAGAAAAUUAAUUGAGCUCCAAUAUCCUAUGUAAAUAACAAUGAGACAACAAGUACUCGGGUCCGUGACUUGCUAUCCAUUAUGUUCAGUCUCCUUAUGAACUAGUGUUCAUAGUCUGUCAUGGUGAAAGCUAUCAACCUUUCAAGACUACCACUAUCAUCCUUGAGUUAAAAACCUCCUAUUGUGUGUUCAAUUGACAUAUCUUAGCUCUCAAAGAGCCUAUGUCAAGUUCCACUUAAGGAACUACUAUGCUAUAGUUUCCAUGAAUACACCUCCUUAGGAUCACCCAAGGGGACACACUAUCUCAAUCCCAAGAGAUAUCAUGGUCCUUCUAUUGAGAAUACCUAUUGCUACCGACUUCCAUCAAUAGUGAUCCAAUCCAUAAGGAAUAUAUAAUCAGCUUAUGAUCUCACACGUAGGUCAAAGCCACUGCUAACUUCAAUACAAGCUCAAUAUUCUCUCAAGGCUGAGAAACAACAUAAUGAGGUAGCUUGGUGAAGUCAUGACUACUUGAUAGCCUUAAGUCAUAACUCACCAUAGGUUUUAUCUAAUGUACAACCAUACACACUAGUGCACUCACCAUGAGAAACCCAUCCCAAUAGCGAAGACCAACCAUCCCUCUUAUUAGGAAGUGGUGCACUAUAACCUUUAAUGGGUUGCAUAGACUGAUGAAUUGGUUGUGAACAAGUCAUCUAUUUGUAAGGAACACAUGACUUAGAUAUUUUGUGAAACUCCUAAUACAUCUAACUCAAGUACAAUGCAAAAGAAGCAAACAAGAAUGCUCAUAAAGUAUAAUACAUGAAAUAAGGAUAGAUAAAAGUGAAAUUAAAACAUCUUUAAAUAAAUAAUGAAUUCCAAAUUUAUUACAUCAUGUCAUACUUGUAAGGGCUCUAUCCUAACAGUUGUCUCUCAACCUUGAGAGAAUAUUGAGCUUGUGUUGAAGUUAGCAAUGACUUUGACCUACAAGUGAGAUCGUAAGUUGAUCAUAUAUUCCCUAUGGAUUGGGUCAUUGUUGAUGGAAGCUAAUAGUAAUAGGUAUUUUCAAUAGAGACACCAUGAUACCUCUUGGGAUUGAGAUAGUGUCUCCCCCUUUGGGUGAUCAUAAGAAGGUGUGUUCAUGGAAACUAUGGUCAUUGAAGUUUCUUAAGUGGAACUUGAAAGACUGAUAGCUUUCACCUUGUUAGACUAUGAACACUAGUUCAUAGGGAGACUGAACAUAAUGGAUAGUAGGUCAUGGACCCAAGCACUUGGUGUCUUGUUGUUAUUUACAUAGGAUACUGAAGUUUAAUUGAUUCUCUGUAGUGGGAUGUUGAAUCAAAUUUAGAAUUGGAUUAUGAAGGAGCCCGUAUUCCUAUGGGUACCAAUGAUCCUCGCUUUGAGCUCACAUACCUUAUUGGCAUGGGUUAUAAGGAUGGGAUUGACUCUAGGUUCACUUUUGUGAGUAAGGGUGUUUUGGUAAUUACGUAAGGUUGUACAAGGAUAAUUGAAGAAGGUCUUUAGAUUGGGUUAGUUGAUUAAUUAGUAAGCCUUGUUGGGUUAAUUAAUCAAUUAAGACCCCAUUUUGGGCUAGAUUGAGUGAUCCAAGCCCUCAGUGGGCUCAAGUCACUUAAUCCUAGUAGGAAACACUAUAAAUACUCCCUUAAGGGUUAGGGUUCCCUUAGUUUUUUCUAGAGAGUCGUUUUCCAUUUCUAAAGAGAGAGAGAGAGAGAGAGAGUCAUAGCUUCCACCCUUCCUUUCAUCUCCAUUGGAAGUGUGUCAAGAUCAAGGUUCGAGUCAUUGGGUGGAAGACUUUGGGUUUACAAGACUUAUGCGAUUUUGUUCUUCAUCUUCACCAUGUGGAUUUGAUUCGGGAACAUUUGAAUCUAAGAUAUGGUUUUUGUUAUUACUUUAUGAAUCCCUUUAAAGUUUAAAAAUGCUAUUUUUCCAUUGAGCAUAGGAUUUAGAAAAAGCCUAAGAUAGUCAUGCAUGUUCCUAAUCUAAUCUAGGCUUGGGAAAUGGAGAGAUUCAUAUUUUUCCAAUCACACAUAGCAUCGCAUACUUAAGACUAUCCAUUUUAGAGUCAUAGGAUACCGCUUUAAUGUGAUCUUUUUCCUAUGAUGUCCAAGGACAUUGAUCUUGAGAAAGAUAGCCCUAAACCCAAAGGGUAACAAACCCUUCUUGGAGUUUUACAUCAUGUACUUGACCAAAUACUCAUCAAUGUAGGUGACAUGACAUAAUUUUCCUAUUCUUGUAGUCCUAAAGGACCUUAACCCAAGAAUAUAUUAUGUCUUUCUCUAGAUUUUCAUCUAGAAUUGAGUAGGCUAGUAGGUCUUUACUAAUGAAAAUAUCCUUACAUCAUAUCCAUUGAGUAGAGUGUCAUAUACUUGUGCUCUAACCAUGCUUCCCUACACUUUCUUGUACACAUAAGGCCCUUUGCUAUGAAAAUAUUUGGUUGUUAUAUCUUAUAAACGAGACACACUACAAUAGAUAGGAGUAACGUAAUGGAUUUAAAUAUGACAAAUGUUGAAAAGGUUUUCCAUAGUUGAAACAAAGUUUCAAACUAUAACCUUUAGCGACAGUCUUAGCCACAUAAAACUUAAGUUUUCCAUUUACUCCUAUGUUCCUCUUGUAGACCAACUUACACCUAUAGGUUUUAUCCCUUUAGAUGCUUUUAUAGGAACUCAAACUAUGUUAGAAUAUAAAGAUUCUAACUACCUCUUCAUAGCUCCUUGCCUUAAUGUGAGCAAAACACUGUUCAUUGCUUCAUCAUAAUCUAUGAGAUAUAAAACUCCCACUACGAUGAGGCACUAGUAUACUAGAAAUCAUAGAAAAUGUAUGCCUUUAAUCCUUUGGCUCUGUGGUAUCCUAUAUAAUGUGGGACUAUCUUCUAAUAUAUCCUCCAAUCUGUCUCACUUUUUACCUUAUUCCUUAUCAUAUAAUCUUCAUAAAAAAUCUUAUAUUUGUGUUAACAAAUAUCUUCUAAUGAUCUUAACUAUAAAUGUAAUGACCAAAAAAUCUUCUUAUAUAUCCUAUAAAUUGAUAUACCCCUUUAUAAAAAAUAAUAAUUAUACAAUCUAUAAGAAAUAUCUUGAAAAAAAUCUGGGAAAAUAUGAGAAACCUAAUCCAUGAUCUCACUAUUUCCAUUAAAGUUUGAUAUCUUCCUUUCACCUCUCUAUUUUAUAAUAGACACUAGUGCAUGUUUUUGGGAACACUGGAUUACUUUGUUCCCAUGCCUAGGAUCAUGUAGGGUGCAUUCAAAUCUAUCAUAAGCUCUCUAAAUCUAUCGCGAUGAAUAAACAAGUAUUAAAAAAAAUAAGGAUACCAUAGAAAAGAUAGAAAUAUAUAAUAAAACAACAUACCUUUGAUCCGGAUGUUCCCGAAUCAAUUCUAAUCGAUGUAGAUAACUCCAAAGUCAUAAUGAAUCUCAUAAACACCAUGAUUUUCUGCUCAAUGACUCUUCCUUGUGUCUAGGCACUGAGAUGGUAGAUAUCUCAAGUGUGGAGGUUAGGGUUCUCUCUCUAGAUUGAAGAGGAGAAUAGCAAGAAUUAGAAACCCUAACCCUAAAAGGGGUAUUUAUAGGCUUCAUAUUAGGCUGAAGUGACUAAAGCCCACCAUGGGCUUGGGUCACUUAAUCUAGCACAAAAAGGUUGCUAAUUGAUUAAUUAACCAUACAAGACCAUAUUAAUCAAUUAGCCCAGUUAAAGGAUAGCACUCACUUAUCCCUGUGCAACCUUAUAUAAUUACCAAAACACCUUUAUGCAAAAAAGUGAAUGAAAAACCCAUCCAACCCUUAUAAGUCAUGCCAAUAAGGAAUAUGAGCUUAGAGUGGGGACCAUUGAGACCCAUAAGAGCACUAGCUUUCUCAGAAUCAAAUUCUGAAAUUGACUUAACAUCCCACUACAAAGAGUCAACUGCACUCCAAUACACUAUGUAUAUUACAAUGAGACACCAAGUGCUCAGGUCCGUGACUUACUAUCCACUGCAUGCAGACUCCAUAUGAAUUAGUAUCCAUAAUCUAACAAGGUAGUGCUAUUACCUAUCAAGAUUACCUCUCAAAUCCUUGAGUUACACAUCCCACUUGUUAUUGGAUCAAAUAAUAUAUCCUAACUCCAAGAAGCAUAUGUUAAAUUCCACUAAAGAAAUUACUAUGGCCAUAGAUUUCAUGAUCACAUGUCCUUUAGAUCACCCAAGAGGACACACUGUCUCAAUCCCAUGAGAUAUCAUGGUGCCUCUAUUGAGAAUACCUAUUGCCAACAAUCUUCGUCAACAGUGACCCAAUCCAUAAGGAUAUAUGACCACUUUAAGGUCUCACCCAGAGGUUAAAUCCUCCAAUUGAUUUUGGCACAGACUCAAUAUCCUCUAAAGGUUGAGAGUCCAUGCAAUAUAGUAGCUUGGUGAAUCAUGAAAAUUGAUAGUCUUGUGUUAUGAUUCAUCGUAGGUCCUGCCUAGUGUGCAUCACAUACACUAGUACACUCAUCAUGGGAAACUCAUCCUGACAACCAAGACAAUUUAUCUUUCUAAUUAAGAGGUGGUAAACUAUAGUCUCUACUGGAUUGCUCAAAUCUAUGAACCAAUUGUGGACAAUUUAUCUACUUAAAAGAAACCCAUGACUUGUAUCAUUUGUGCAACUCUUAAUACACCUAAGUCAUGUACAAUGUAAGAGACAUGGGUUGAAUGCUCAAAUCAAUGUCAAUACACCAAAGAGAUAACAUGGGGAUAGUUAAGUCUAACUUUGUUACAUCAUGUCUUGAUUUUAGGGGCUCAAUCCCAACUAACUUCCACUAGCCCCGAAAGCAGAUUGGGUACUAUAGAAAGAUUCUGCUUCACAAUCAUAUCACUUCUCUGUACUAUCUCAUAAUAAGGCUACACUUCUUCUUUAUGGGGUUCUUUUUCUAGUGGUAUUUCAGUUCUUUAGACCAUGCAAUUGUCUCACUGUUAUCACUUAAUAAGAUCUUAGACGAUAUAGCCAAGGAAACUACCUAUAAGCCAAAAGGUUUCCUUUGUUGCUAUGGAAACAACAAAAAGCCAUUUAGAGUGUACACAUACCCAGAAGUAGACUUGUGAGAGUCUUUAUCAAAUUGAAGUCCAAUUUUCCGAUACAAAAGGAGUACUAACUCAUUGCAAAGACUUACAAACAUAUAAUCCCUCAUUCUCAAAGACAUUAGAGUAUAUGUUUGACAUCGAACCAAAGUUCUUAGCAGGAAAUGGACUAAUAUCCACUUAUUAUUCCUAUAACAAAGCUGAUAUUUGGUUUAACACAUAAUAUUGCAUACUUAAGGCCAUCUAUAGCAGAGGCCUUAGAUACCGCCUUAAUGCGAUCUCUUUUCAUAAAUGUCUAAGGACAUUGAUCCUAAGAAAAACAACUCCAAAUCCAAAGAGUAACAAACCCUUCUUGGAGUUUUACAUCAUGUAGUUGACCAAAUGCUCAUCUAUGUAGAUGACAUUACAUAAUUUUCCUAUUCUUAUAGUCCUAAAGGACCUUAACCCCAAGAAUAUAGUGUCUUCCUAUAAAUUUCAUCUAGAACUAAGUAGACUACCAGAUAUUGAUUGAUGACAAUAUCCCUACAUCCUAUCCAAUGAGUAGAUUGUCAUCUACCUGCAAGAUCUUAAAGCAUCACCACGCUUCCCUUUGGUUUCUGGUACACACAAGGCCCUUUGCUAUGAAAAUGUUUGGUUGUUAUAUCUCAUAAAUGAGACACACUACAAUAGAUAGGAGUAAUAUGAUGGAUUUGAGUAUGACCACUAUUGAAAAGGUUUUCUUUGGUUGAAACAAAGUUUCAAACUAUAAUCUUUAGCUACAGUCUUAGCAACAUAAACCUUAAGCUUUCCAUCUACUCCUAUGUUCAUAGGUCUUAUCAUUUUAGGUGCUUCUAUAGGAACCCAAACUAUGUUAGAAUACAAAGAUUCUAACUACCUCUUCAUAGCUCCUUGCCUUGAGUGAGCAUAAACAUUGCUUAUUACUUUAUCACAAUCUAUGGGAUAUGAACCUCCCACUAUGAUGAGGCACUAGUGUACUAGAAAUCAUAGGAAUGGUAUGUCUUUAACCCUCUGGAUCCAUAGUAUCCUAUUCAAUAUGAGACAAUCUUCUAAUAUAUCCUUCAAUUUGUAUCACUCUUUGCCAUAUUCCUCAUCAUAUAGUCUCAUAAAAAAUCUAACAUUUAUGUCAACGAAUAUCUUUUGAUGAUCCUAACUAUAAAGGUAAUAACCCAAAAAUCCUCUUAGAUAUCCUAUAAACAGAUAUAUCUUUUAGGAAAAAGAGGUAUUACAUGGUCUAUAAGACAUAUCCCCAAAAGAAUCCGGGAAAAAAAAUGAGAAAUCUAUCCAUGAUCUCACUAUGUCCAACCAAAUUUGAUAUUUCCACCUCUUUGUUUUGCAAUGGAGACCCUGGUGCGCAUGACUAGGAAAUAAUCUCAUGCUUUAAAGGAAAGAAUCAAACUUACUAGACAUAUCACCUUGAUCUAAUCGAAGUGACUUGGUAUGUAUGUCCAAUAGGUUAUCCGAUCCCGCCUUAAAUUUAAUGAAUGUAUCUAAGGCAUCAAAUCUUCUAUGGACAUAUCCAAACCUAGAGUAAUCAUCACUAAAAGUGGUGAAAUACCCAUACCCUCCCCAUGCAUAGACACUAAAAGUUUCAUACAUGUUAGUAUGCACUAACUCCAAACAUUCCUUAGCUUUAAUCCUCUUGGUCAUUUUACCGUCUAUACAGGAUUCGUAAACUAAAAGAUCAUUUCAAAUUAAAGAGUUUAGACAUUACCAAUCUUUGGAUCCUAUUUAGAUUAAUAUGACCUAGGUCUAGAAACCAAAUGUUUAAUUAGUGCUAGGUUUAAUCCUGAGAUUUGACUAUUCUCAUCACUUGGCAAAGUAAUAAUGGAAUACAUAUAAAGGAAGAAGAUAUUACCUCCCACUAACAUGCAUAAAUAACCUUGCAUUUGAAGUUAAGGUAACUAUAAUCCCAUCAUUUAACCUUCUCAUUUGUUGAAUAUCUUAUAAGGACUUACAGAUAGUGGACCUGGAAUCUAUCCACCACAAAUGGUGAAAUCCACCACUAAAUAUUCAACAGUGAGAAAAUGAUGUAUACUUUCCUUUUUCCUUUAGGUAAACUGGCCAUUUCUUUUCUAGUGCCUAAAAGGUCACAAAGGAAUCACUUGCCCUUGACCUUGCUCUCUUAUUCCUUAUCUUGAACUUUCCUUAUUUGGCAUUGUUCUUCUUCUUCUUAAGAAGAACCUGAAGAACCUUUGACUACCAUAUGAACACCCUAUAAUCUUUGAGAAUCCCUUUAGCCAUCUCAAAGGAAAAUGGUGAGGUCUCUAAGAUCAUAUGUAUACUUGGUGUUCAUAAUUGUCCUAAGAGUAGCUUUUCAAGGCUGAUCUAUCCUUAUUACCAAAUAACCAUUGCAAACUAGAAAGAUAAUAUCAAAGUCUCUAAUAGUAGAAAUGUGUUACUAUUGCAACACAUUAUCCAAAGUUCCAAGUAUUAGACGCUUGGUCUUUUGAUCCAUCUAAUACCGCUUUGAUAUUCCACUCUUUUCUCUUGCUAGGCUAGUUCAUAAGGAAUAGCUAGCUCUACCUAAACUAGCUUCUAUGCAAUUACUUACUAUAUCUAGAAUACAAUUAGUCCAAUUGAUUAGUUAGGUUUGGCCUAUUAUGAGAAAAAGAGUGAUAAUAAAACCAACAUGAUAUCCAUAACAAAGAAUAUGACCAAGCAUAUGACAUAAUUGAGCAUUCAAGGCAUUUGGUAAUUAAUUUAGCAAAAAUGUAGUGCUCCCAAACUAUAUAUCCUUUUGCAAGGUAUCCUAGUAUUAUAAGAAUCAAGCCUAGGUGGGAUAGGUCAUGACCUUAUUACUAGUAAGAGACCCUCUCAAAUUGAUCUCCCCACCUUAUCCAUAAAAGUAUCUUAAGGCAAGAUUAACAUAGCUUUUAUUUAGCCUAUAGACUAUGCAAGUGGGACCACAUGGGGCAAUUCUACCACUUCAUAUCCAAUGUCAAGUGUAUAACCAUUGUCCUUGAAUUAUCAAUGUCACCAAGUAAAGAACUCCACCUAGGGGUGGUCGCUCCCACUACAAACAUAUCUAGUCUCGUCCAUGUAGAGAGUCCAUAUCUCUUGAUUCUUAAGGCUAACCCACCGUAAGGGUGGUGAUGAACCCAAAUCAAGAUGGGCUCAACAAUGGAUGUCUUGGGCAUGCCUAAGGCCUUCUCCCACUUAAUGUUUUGAGAUAAAUAAGAGCAUUUUAAAACCAUUAGUAAUUUCCCUGAUGAAUAAAUUAUCUACUUUGAAAAUUUUCAAAAAUAUUUAUUUACUAAUUGGAAGCCUAGUAUAAUAGGAGAAGACCAACAUGAAAAAUUUUAAAUUUCCAUGACAGUAAUUUUCAAAAAGAUUUUUUAUAAAAUAUCCACUUUCAAAAUUUUAAAAUCUAUUUUCAUUACAUUAUCCUUCUAUAUAUAAUUCCAAUUAAUAAAUAUUUUAUCUAGGAAAUGUUUCAAAUAAAUUUAUUUCCAUCAAAUUACUAAGCCUUUUGCUAAUAAUCUUUUAAUGAUAAAUUAUCUCUAAUGAAAAAUUUCAAAAUAUUUAUUUUCCAAAUUGGAAACUCUUGUGUAAUAAGAAAAUUACUAAUUCAUGAUAUUUUGAAUAAUCUUGAGAGCAACUUAUCCAAGAAAGGAACUUUUGCUUCUCAUAUUCAAAAAUCCUCAUAAGAUUUACUUUCCUUAUUCCUUACACUUUUCCAAAUUAAUAAAUAUUUCCAUGAAAAUUUCAUAAUAAUUUAUGUCAUUAAUUACUACCAAAAGUAGGACCUUUUAAUAAUUUCUUAAUAGAUAAAAUAUUCUCCAUGAAAAACUCCUAAAAAUGCUUAUCUCUAAAAAGGAAUUAAACAGUCCAUUGUGGAAAGUAUUUUUAAAAUAUUUUAUAUCUUCAUUAAAUUACUAAAACUUUCCAAAGUUAUUUUGGUAACCCUUCUUAUCAUGAAAUCUUUAUCAUGGGAUUUUCAAAACCUUAAUUACUUCUAAACCAAGAUUCCUGUGCUAAAAGAAUUGCUUUCUUAUUCCUUAUCAUUGAAUUAUCCAAACAGAAUGGUUUCCUCCCUCUCUUUGAGGAAGAGAGCCUAGAGGACAAACUGUAGGUAUAGUUUAAAAAAUAGAUAGUUCUAAAGAAAUAACAAUCUUCAUAGCAACAACAAAUUUAAAAAGAUAAUCUUAGAAAAUAUCUUCUCAUGAAAAUUUACUAAGAAUACCAAAAAACUUUUCUUUAGGUUCUAAAACUUAUUUUGGUAACCACUCUUAAUUAUAAGUUAUCUAUCAUGAAUUUUCAAAAUUAACUUUUUUUCUUUCAAUUAGAAAUCCUAUGCAAAAUAGGAAAAAUACUAUUUUACAAAGAUUUGGAAAAAUAAGAGCUUUUCCUUAAGAGAAAGAUUUUAUUCUUAGAGAUCUCAAAGAUUUGAGAAGAUUUUAAGUAAAGUUCAAAUCUCAAAGAAUUAAAUUUAAAAGGGAAGAAAGCUCUUAAUCCUUUGCCAACUUAUCUUUUUCUUUAAAAUAUAAUUUCCUAACUAUACACAUUCCAAUUUAAAUAAGUUUUCCAAUUUGAAAAAAACACGAAAAUUUAUUUUCAAUUAAGAAUACCAAAAUAUCUUGAGGCCACAUAUACAAUCUAUCAAUAUAUAUAUAUACAUAUAUAUAUAAGGGAAUAACUAAAUAGAAAAAUUCUCAUGGCCUUUAAGGAUCCAAUUGCAUAUUUGGUAAUUAAAAUUUGGAUAAAAUCCAAAUUACCAAAAAUAGUCCUACAACCAAAAAUAGGGUUAGUAAAAAUAGAAAACUCAAAUGGCCUUAUUGCCACAAAAAUUGAGCCCAAGAAGAGGCCCAAAAUUCAGCCCAAACAACGAAAAGAAUCGGGCCUGUAUGCAAUCUCGUAACAGCAUGCUCUUUGAGCAGUAUUGCUUCAAUUGGUCAUAUCUUCCUCAUUUAAACUCCAAAUUAUGAUUCGGUUAAAGUAUUGGAUUCCUAACCUCCUAAGCUUCAAAACCAUAUGUGAUAUGCCUCAACAAACUUACUGGAAAUGGCUGUGAUUUUGACUCAAAUUUGACAUCACUAUGCUGCCAUUCACUUUGCACAACCUUGCUUCUUUUAACCAUUUCUCCCUCAUUUCAACUCCGAAUUGCAAUCUACUUGAUCCAUUGGAUUCAUGACUUCCCAAGCUUCAAAUCCAUAUAUGGAUUGCCUCAAGAAACUUUUAUAAUGUAGUCCCAAUUUUGAGUUCAAUUCAACAUCAUUGUGUUGCCAUGGAUCUCAAACCAAGAACUUCCAAGAUUGCUUCUUUCUUCUUUAACCACCAUAGAAUCACAAAAAGAACUUUCAAGAUUCCUUCUACAAUAGAAGGAUGCAAAAAAUUGAAAUUUUUACACCAAUAAAAAUUCCUAUGCUCCUUUAAUGGAGCUUAUAGCCCAUCAAUUGAAAAGAAAAUAUUUUUACAUUCAAAUAAAAAUCCUAUACCCCUUUUGUGGUGUACAACCCAAUCUAGAAAACAAAAGGUAAAGAAGAUAUCCAUUCAUAUUCAUUGAUUCAAAUGAAUCAAUAACAAUAAACCAAUCCAAAUAUAUUAAUACAUUAAAAUGAUUCUCCAUUCAUUCAUCCAUUAGGGUCAUGGGAUGAAUAAAACAACCCUGCAAAAUAGAGUUAGCACAUCCUAAACAGAUCUAACAAGAUAGAACCUACCCUAGGGCUCUGAUACCAAUUGUUGGAAACCCUAGAUUACUUUGUUCCCAUGCCUUGGAUCGUGUAGGGUGCAUACAAAUCUAUCCUAAACUCUUUAAAUCUAUCACAACAGAUAAAUAGGUAUUAAAAAAAAUAAGGAUACCAUAGAAAACAUAGAAAUAGAAAAUAAAGCCACGUAGCUUUGAUCUAGAUGUUCCCAAAUCAAUUCUAAUCAAUGUAGUUAACUCCAAAGUCAUAAUGGAUCUCGUAAACACCAUGAUCUUCCACCCGAUGACUUUUCCUUAUGUCCAGGCACUAAGAUAGUGGAGAUCUCAAGGAUGGAGGCUAAGGUUCUCUUUCCAUACUAAAGGAGAGGAUAGUAAGACUUAGAAACCCUAACCCCAAAAGGGGUAUUUAUAGGUUACCUGUUAGGCUUAAGUGACUUAAGCCCAUCAUGGGCUUGGGUCACUUAAUCUAGCACAAAAAGGUUGCUAAUUGAUUAAUUAACCAUAUAAGGCCUAAUUAAUUAAUUAGCCCAGUCAAGAGAUAUUACUCAUCCAUGUACAACCUUACAUAAUUACCAAAAUGCCCUUAUACACAAAAGUGAACGAAAAACCCAUCCAACCCUCAUAAGCCAUGCCAACAAGGAAUAUAAGCUUAGAACGAGGACACUAGGACCCAUAAGAGUACUGGCCACUCAGAAUUAAAUUAUGAAAUUGACUUAACAUCCCACUACAAAGAGUUAACUACACUCCAGUACCCUAUGUAUAUUACAAUGAGACACUAAGUGCUCAAGUCUGUGACCUACUAUCCACUGCAUGUAGACUUCCCAUGAAUUGGUGUUUGUAAUCUAACAAGGUAGUGUUAUCACCUAUCAAGAUUAUCUCCCAAAUCCUUGAGUUACAGAUCCCACUUACUAUAUGAUCAAAUGACAUAUCCUAGCUCUAAUAAACAUAUGUCAAAUUUCACUAAAAGAAUUACUAUGGCCACAGAUUUCAUGAUCACAUGUUCUUUGGAUUACCCAAAGGGAUACACUAUCUCAAUCCCAUAAGGUAUCAUGGUGUCUCUAUUAAGAAUGCCUGUUGCCACCAACCUCCAUCAACAGUGACCUAAUCCAUAGGGAUAUAUGACCAUUUUAGGGUCUCACCCAUAGGUUAAAGCCUCUAGUUGAUUUUGGCACAUGCUUAAUAUCCUCUCAAGGUUGAGAGUCCAUGUAGUAUAGUAGCUUGGUGAAUCAUGACAAUGGAUAACCUUGCAUCAUGAUUCGUCAUAGGUCCUAUCCAGUGUGCAUCACAUACACUAUUACACUCACCAUAGGUAACCCAUCCCGAUGACGAAGACAAGUCAUCCCUCCAAUUAAGAGGUGGUGCACUACUGUCUUUACUGGAUUGCCCAAAUCCAUGAACCAAAUAUAGACAACUUAUCUACUUACAAGGAACCCAUGACUUAUAUCUUCCAUGCAACUCCUAAUGCACCCAAGCCAUGUACCAUGCAAGAGAUAUAGAUUGAAUGCUCAAAUCAAUGUUAAUACACCAAAGAGAUAGCAAGGGGAUAGUUAAGUCUAACUUUGUUACAUCAUGUCUUGCUUUUAGGGGCUCAAUCCCAACAUACAUAAUUGGGAAAUAAUUCCAUGCUCUAAUAGAAAGAAUCAAACUUAAUAGACAUAUCACCUUAAUCUAAUCGAAGUGACUUGGCAUGUAUACUCAAUAGGUUAUCCGAUCAUGCCUUAAAUUCAAUGAAUGUAUCCAAAACAUCAAAUUUCCUAUGUACAUAUCCAAACCUAGAGUAAUCAUCACUAAAAGUGAUGAAAUACCCAUACUCUUCCCAUGCAUGGACAUUAAAAGUCUCAUACAUGUUAGUAUACACUAACUCCAAACAUCCCUUGACUUUAUUCCUUUUAGUCAUUUUACCAUCUAUACAGAAUUUGUAGGCUGGAUGGUUUUUUGGAAUCAAAUAGUUCAAACUUUAUCAGUCUUUAGAUCUUAUUUAGAUUAAUAUGACCUAAGUCUAGAUACCAAAUGUUUAAUUAGUGCUAGGUUCAAUCCUGAGAUCUGACUAUCUUCCUCACUUGACAAAGUGAUAAUGGAAUACAUAUAAAAGAAGAGGAUAUUACCUCCCACUCACCUGCAUAACUAACCUUACAUUUGAAGCUAAGAUAAGUAUAAUCCCAUCACUUAACCUUCUCACUUAUUGAAUAUCCUAUAAGGACUUACAAACAGUGGGCCUAGAAUUUAUUCACCAUAAAUGGUGAAAUCUACCACAAAUGGUGAAAUUCACCACUAAAUAUUCAACAACGAGAAAAUGAUGUAUACUUUCCUUUAGGUAACUGAGCAUUCAUUUUCUAAUGUCCUAAAAGGUCAUAAUGGAAUCACUUUCUUAUGAGCUUGUUAUCUUAUUCCUUCUCUUAAACUUUCCUUAUUUGGUGUUGUUGUUCUUCUUCUUGAUAGAAGAACCUGAAGAACUUUUGACUUCCAUAUGAACACCUUAUAAUCUUUGAGAAUCCCCUUAGCCAUCUCGAAGAAAAAUGGCAAAGUCUCUAAGAUAAUAUGAAUACUGGUGUUUAUAACAGUCCUAAGAGUAGUUUUUCAAAGCUAACUUACCCUUAUCACCAAAUAACCAUUGCAAACUAGAAAGAGAAUAUCAAAGUCUCUAGUAAUAGACAUGUGUUGCUAUUGCAACACAUUAUCCAAAGAUCCAAGUAUUAAACACUUGGUCAUCUGAUCCAUCUAAUACCACCUCGACAUACCACUCUUUCUUUUUCCCAAGUUAGUUCAUAAGGAAUAACCUGUUUUUCCUAAACUAUCUUCUAUGCAAUUAAUUACUAUAUCCAGAAUAAAAUCAAGUCCAAAUGAUUAGUUAGGCUUGGUCCAAAGUGAGAAAGAGAGUGAUUAUAAAUAACAUGAUAUUUGUAACAAAGAAUAUAACCAAACAUAUGACAUAAUUGAGCAUUCAAGACAAUUGGUACUUAAUUUAACAAAAAUGUAGCGCUCUGAAACUACAUGCCAUUUUGCAAGAUAUCCUAGUAUCAUAAGAAUCAAGCUUAUGUGGGUAGGUCAUAUAACUAGUUAGAGACCCUCUCAGAUUGAUCUCCUUGCCUUAACCAUAAAGGUAUCUAAAAGCAAGAUCAACAUACCUUUUAUUUGGCCCAAGACUAUGCAAAUGGGACCGCGUGGGGGAAAUUCUACCACUUCAUAUCCAAUGUCAAUUGUUUAACCAUUGUCCUUGAACUAUCAAUGUCAUCAAGUAAAGAAACUCACUAUAGAGUGGUCACUUUUAGUACAAACAUAUUUAGUCUUAUUCAUGUGGAGAAUCCAUAUCUCCUGAUUCUUAAGCCUAACCUACUGUGGGGUGUUAAUGAACCCAAAUCAAGAUGGGCUUGACAAUGGAGGUCGUGGGCAUGUCUAAGGCCCUCUCCCACUAAGUCUUUUUAGAUAAAUAAAUGCAUUUUAAAACAUUAGUAAUUACCUUAGUGAAUAAAUUAUCUUCUUUGAGAAUUUCCAAAAAUAUUUAUUUCCUAAUUGGAAACCUAGUGUUAUAGAAGAAUGUCCAUACGCAAAAUCUAAAAUUUCUAUGAGAGUAUUUUAUCCAAAAAGGAAUUUUGAUAAAAUGUUUACUCUCAAAUUUUAAAAUCUAUUUGCAUAAAAAAUUCUCUUUCUUCACAUAAUUUCAAUUAAUAAAUAUUUUGUUUAAGAAAUAUUUUCAAAGAAAUUUAUUUCCAUCAAAUUACUAAAUAUCUUCUUUGUUAUAACCUUUAAUGAUAAAUUAUUUCUAAUGAAAAUUUCCAUAAGAUAUUUAUUAUCGAAAUUGAAAACUUAGCGUAAUAAGUAAACCUCUAAUUUAUAAAAUUUUGAAAACUUGAAAGCACCUUAUCCAAUUAGGAAAGAUGUAAUUCUUCAAGGAUUCUCAUAAUUUUUUUUAAAAAUAUUUUAAAUCCUUAAGAAUAAAUUUAGAAAUGAACUUUAGCUCUCAUACUCAAGAUUCCUUAUAAAUUUAAUUUCCUUAUUCCUACAUCUUUCCAAUUUAAUAAAUAUUCUUAAAUAUGAAAUCUAAUUUUCAUAAUAAUCUAUUCCAUUAAAAUUACUAAAAAUAAAACUUUUAAUAAUUCCCUUAAUGAUGAAUUAUCCAUCUUGAAAAUUUCCAAAAACAAAUAUUUACUCUCCAAAUUAAGGAUUAGUGUAAUAAGAAAGUUUCCAAAAACUUGAAAAAUAAAAACUAGAGAGCUCUUUAUCCAAAAGGGAAACUUUUAUUCUACAAGAAUUCUUACAAAAAAAUUUAAAGAAAAUAAUUUAGAAUCCUUUGAAAUAAUCUAGAAAAAGAAACUUUGCUCUCUAAUUUAUUUCCACAAUUUUUUUUUCUUAAUCUACACUAUUCCAAAAUUAAGUAAACAACAUGCUUUGGAAUCUAAUUUUCAAGAAAAUUUAUAUCCAUUAAGAUUACUAAGAGUUUCAUAGAACUUUCAUAAGAAGCUUUCAAUAAUUUUGGUGACCUUCUUAAAAUAAAUUAUCUAUCAUGAGAAUUUUCAAAAGCUUUGUUUAUUCACUAAAUUGGAAUACUUGCGCUUAUAAGGAAUAUCCAAUUUUAUAAAAAUUUUAAAAUAAAAGAGUAUUCCCUUAAUAUAGAAACUCAAGUCCUUGAAGAUCUCAAAAUUAGAAACUUUGAAAAAGAGAUCUUCUAAGUACUUUUUGAAAAGGAAACUAGAUUCUCUCACAAAUUUUAAAAUAUCUUUCCAUAUAAAAAUUCCUUAAUAGUGACAUCAUUCUAAUUUUGAAUAAAACUUUAAUUUGUAAAUAGCUUUCUCAUAAAAACUUAUUUUCCAUAAGAAAAUCCAAAAUUAGUAACUUUCAAAGCACUUCUCAUCACAUGAAAUAUAACAAUAUGCAUAAAAAAAAAGAAAAAAAAAAGAAAUAUUCAAAAAGAGAUCCCAUGGCCAAGGGAUAUUUUUUACAACUUUCCAAUUGUGAACCAAAGCCAUUUGUCUUCAACUUGACACCAAUAUUUGGCAUCAAAACUUGCCAAAAGAAGCUCUUGCAUAGCUGCCACAAUUCAGUAACUUUCAAGCCCAACAAGUGGCCUAAGAAAUGAGUCCAAACAAGCAAAAAGAAUCAGACUCGUAUGCAAUCCCGUAAUAGAAUAACCUCUUUGCAACUUUGCGUCAAAUGACUAUAUCUCCCUCUUUUCAACAAUGAAUCACAAGUCGUUUACACCAUUGGAUUCCUGACUUCAUAACCUUCAAAACCAUAUGCAACUUGCCUAAAGAAAAUCAUAAGAGGCAGCCCCGAUUUGGAGUCAAAUUGAAUGUUGCUAUGCAAUCAUGGAUCUCACAAAAACAAAACUUUUUUAUUAUUAUUAUUCAAUCAAAAGAAGGAUUCAACCUUUCUUCCACAUCCAUUAAAAUCCUUGAAUCUUCAUAAAUGAUGCUUUAAUAAAGAUCCAAUCUUUAUUGACAUCAUUAAGGAAUUCUUCUCUUGUAGCUCUCCAUAGAUAAAAAAAAACAUGACUUUAUAUCAUAAAAGAAAUCAUAUGCUCAUAUAAUGGAGCUAAUAACCCAAUUUAUAGAAAAGAUUAAAACUUUACAAGAGAAGAAGAAAACUUAUGCUCCUUUAAUGGAACUUACAACCAAAUCUAUGAAGAAACGAAGAAAACAAAUUAUCCCAUUCAAUCAUCACAAGCAAUAAUAAAAAGAAACAUACAUGCUUCUCUUGUCCAUGGGAUAACAUCAAGGUUGCAAAAAAGAUAUUAGCACGCCCUAAAUAGAGAUCUAAGCAUGUUUAUAACAUUAUGCUCUAAUACCAAUUGUUAGUAUCUUAGAUCUAAGCAAUACUAAUUUUUAUAAAAUUGAUCUUUUAGGGUUAAAGUAGUAACCUUUAGGUUUGGAUGUUCCCAAACCUUAAAUUCCACUUAUUGAAGACAACCUUGAAGUUGUUGAAAGUCUUAUAAACUCACAACUCAUUCUAUACUUGAUCAAAGAGGUAGACUUCUUAAGUUGAACUCAUAAAGUUGACUUUGAUUACUUUCAAAGGAUUUGUUGUCAUGCUCAAACCUUAUUAUCCACAUACCUUGUUUGACUAUGAUUAUUAUUUGUUUCCCGGGGUGAGUCAGUACAAAAUAUUGAAUCUUUGGUUAAGCAAAACUCUUUUACUUUUAUCCAAGAUUUAUGCUCUUAAAUGUAUACUGCUCACUUGUAACAUUUGAAAACACCACCAAAGUGGACACAAAGGCAACCAUGAAUGAAAAAAAAUAAAAAAUCAAUUGACCAUGGUGUACAAUGCCUUUACUUUCAAAAAGAAAAAGAAAAAGAAAAGAAUAGGAGGAUGAUAUCAUACUAAGGGGGAGUCAAGUUAUGUUGUAUGUAGAUCAACGAGGCCGUGUUAAAUAUAAAUCUGGUGAUCUUAGUUCAAAUUGACUGGAUGUGUUCUUUAAUUUGACUAAAGGCAUGAGUAGAUCUCUUCUAAGUAAUUAAUUUUGAAAUAUUGAACUAGACUAUAAGUCAUAUUUCCUUGAAAAUCAAUAUCAAUGUUGACUCUCUUAUACAUUUAUAGUUAUGCAUUAGGUUUUCAAAUAUGAAAUUAUGAUUAACUCUGAUCAUUGAUCUUGAAAUUUCAUUCUUGAUGGAUCAACAUAUACUAUAUGAAGUAACAUACUUCAUCUAUUCCUAAUUCAGCUAAUGUUGAAGGUUUAUGACCUUAACUAUCUACUCUUUAUCGUUAAAAUUUGUUUCAAUUGGUAUCAAUCCUUGUUUAUAUGUUAGUUAGUUGAGUAUUCUAUCCAUUGUUAGAACUUUUUUUGGCUUUGGUUGCUCAAGCACUAUAUUUAGCGUCCUUCAUGCUCAAGCACUCAAGCCUCAUCAAACGUCUCUACUACUCAAGCGCUCUAAGUUGCAUCUAGUGGCGCAUCCAUCGAGCGUCUUGUUCGAGUGUUAAUCUGUAUCGGUAUGUCUGAGUAUAAAAAUCCAUUCAACAUGUCUUUUUUCUUUUCAAACAUUUUCCUAUUCUCUCAAGAGCUCUGGGACUUUUUUUAUUUUUAUUUUUUUUAUUUUUAUCAUUUGAGGUCAAGUUUCCUUGUUUUUCACAUUUUUGACUUCAUGGUAUUGCUCUACACAUUGUUUAGGGCAUUUCUAGCUGUUUAGAUUUUUUCUGAAAUCUUCUUGGUUUUCGAAUCCUUUGGUAUUCUCUUGGAUAUGGCUAAGAUGACCCCAUCUGGGACACCUAAACCCCUUAAAGGAUUUUCACUUCAAUUUUCUUUCGACUUUAUGGCUCUACCAAUGAAUUUUUACUUUAUCAAAAGCCCCUAGUUCAAUAUUAUUUUUUUAUCCAUUGCUGUCACAUUGUGUUUGUGGGUUCAUUUCCUCAUUUGACCCUAGAACCUCAUAGAAUCAUAUUAUAUAGAGAUGGUGUCAAUGAAGUUCAACUCAUUCCAGUUUUGAUGCAUAAGAUGAAUUCAAUAAGAAAGGCUUGUGCAUCACUAGAGGAUGAGUGUUACUAACUCUUCCCAUACAUAUACUUUAGUAUCGCCUUAUCCUUAGUAUUUCCCAUCUUCACAUGCAAUUUUUUUUUUUUGUUGAUCUUAUAAUGGCUAUAUGCGUCAAGUUUUGCUCUGCCGCCACUGAACCUUUAGUGAAUUUGUUUUUUUUUUUUAUCUAGAUGUUUAUUCAUUACUUAUCUUAUGUAUCAAGAAUCAUAUUUUUAAUAUACAUAUUUUGUUCAUCUUUCUUCUUAUCUCUUAUGUGCUUUGGUAGUUAUAUUUCUAAUACUUUGUCAUUUUGUGACAAAAAAAAAAAAGAUAAUUGCAUAUUUAAUAUUUAACUCUGUUAAAUUAAGAUAAAAGGGAGAUAACAUUGAAUAUUUAGUUCACCUAAAAUGAGGAGUUAAAAAAUGGUGAAAAUAAAAAACUCCUUGAUUUAAGGGAAGUUAGUUUUUGAAUUCUUUGAUUCAUUAAUUUAGGUAAUUUAAUUGAAAUAUUGGAGGAAACUAAACAUAAGACACUGAAGUAAAUCAAAUCAGCCAUAGGAAAUAUGACUUUACGAUUCAAGAGAGAUACCUAACACGGAUGUUUCCUGCAAAUUACUUUUGUUAGAAUUGUCGAUCUCUCUCUAGAACUAAUCCUAGUUGUAGAAGCUUUUUCCCAAGGCUUUCACUACUUACCUUAUUGCUGGAGAAUGCCCCCUGCUCUUUACUAAUAAAUUAUUGGGUCUCAUCUAUCUUCGAAUAUGUUUGGUUGAUUUGCAUACAUUCAAAUUCCUCUCGACCUUUUCUUUGUACCUUGGUGUCAUUAAAGGACUCUGUUUUUUUUCAUGCUUUCAUAAGACAUCAAUCAAAGUCUCCAACUAUCCUGUUUUGUUUUCAUAAUAUUAUUUUAUCCCUCACACUACUUUGCCUUUGGUAUAAUUUCUUGUAUGUGUUCAGGUUACAAGGUUGGAAGAUAAGUACUUCAAAGCAUUACAAAGUUUUCCCUUAAUUCAAUUUUAGUUGAGUGUUAAUGUGUGUUAUGUAAACUCCAUUAUGAGGAUUGGUAUUGAAAGGCUUAUGGCAUUGCAAAGUACUUCAUAGGUACAUCUAAAAAAGUUUGGCUUAUGGCAUUAAAAGACUUAUUUGAGGUAUAAAAGGAUCGGUAUCAUUUUUUAACUUAAAAUGUUUUUCAAAAAGCAGGGACCACUCAAGCAAUUAAUCUCGCUCAAGCAGUAAGAGAGCUCAAAUGGUUAAUCUGCUCAGGCAGUCAGCCCAUUCAAGCAGAGAGCUCUCAAGCAGUCUAAGUUUGCUCAGGCGGUCAUGACAAUCCUAUCGAGUUUAAAAAUGUAUUUUCAAUGAAUUUCAACCCAACUAUAAUUUGGAAACUUAAGAUAUUGAUAUCCUUAUGGCUUUUGCCUAUAAUUUUUUAAAUCACCCAUUCACUCCUCUCAUCUCCCCCCUUCUAGGUGUUCCCUAUUGGACUUUCAGUUAUUCCAUUUUUUUUUAUAAUUGUAAGAUUUACUUAUGUGAUAAAAAUUGAGAAAAUAAAAAAUCGAUAAAAUCUAAGGAAAACCAAGGAAAGUGCAUGUCAAAGGAAAAUGACAACAACAAGUAUUUAAAAAACAGAAUUUUAUCAACCUAGGAUGUCUAAGUGGGAAUGUGCAAAAGUAGAAAAUUAAUUCAUGUGANNNNNNNNNNNNNNNNNNNNNNNNNNNNNNNNNNNNNNNNNNNNNNNNNNNNNNNNNNNNNNNNNNNNNNNNNNNNNNNNNNNNNNNNNNNNNNNNNNNNGAAAAACAUUGAAAAUCAUUUUAAAAUCAUGGAAAUCACAAAGAGAACAUAAGUUAUGCAACCAGAGAGGAAGACAACAUCUAUGUUGAAGAAAGAGUGUGCAUUAAGGAGAAAACUGUGCAUUAAGGAUGAAGACACAUGCAAAAGUAAACUAUGCGCUAAAAGAGUACACAGGAGGAAUUGUGCAUCGAGGGAAGCGCCAAGUGUGCAUUAGAAAAUAAAAGAGGAGCACCCGCAAAAAGAUAGUGCACUAAAGUAGCUUGCAUGCUUGGGAAUCACAUGCCUAAGAAGCACUACUAUGCGGAUGAAAGUGCGUGUGAAAAUUAUGCACUGAAGAGCUACACUAAUGUGCGCAAUAAUGCACUAAAGAAAGUUAGACUAUGCAUUGAAAAGUGCACACUAUAGGACACCAGUGUGUGCACUAGAUUAUGCAUUAGAUGAAAAAGUGUACAUAAUUGCUUGUGUACUGAAGAACAAGUUGUGCACUAAAGGACUUGCACAUAUGAAAUGUGCACCUAAAUGAAGGCUAAAGAGCACAUAAAGAUUGUGCAUUAAAGAGGAGCUAUUGUGUCAUGGGAAAAUCCUAAACCUCUAUGGUCCCCAAGCCUGAAUCAAGUUAGGAACAUGUGAAAAUAUCUUAGGCUUUUCUAAAUACUAUGCACAACAAAAAAAAAAAUUACAUUUUAAAACUUUAAAAGGAUUCAAAAAGUGCUAACAAAAGACAUACUUUAGAUUCAAAUGUUCCCAAAUCAAAUCCAUGUGAUGAAAAAUGAAGUUGUAGAAGUCCCAUAAACCUAGAGUCUUCCACUCGAAGACUCGAACUUUGAUUUUGACACACUUAUGAUAGUAAUCAAUUAGGGUGGAGGCUAUAGCUCUCUCUCUAAAGGAGAAAGAUGACUCUUUAGAAAAAGCUAUGAAAACUCUAACCCCUAAAGGGGUAUUUAUGGGGUUCCCCAUUGGGUUAAUUAACUUAAGCCCACUAAGGGCUUGGGUCACUUAAAUUAGCACAAAAUAGGUCCUAAUUGAUUAAUUAACCUAACAUAACCUACUAAGUAAUCAAUUAGAUAUGUAAUCUUGCACAAUUACCAAAGUGCCCUUUUGCAAAAAAGUGAACCUAGAGCUAAUCUAACCCUCUUAACUCAUGCCAACAAGGUAUAUUAGCUCAGAGUGGGGACCAUUAUGACCCAUAGGACUACUGGCUCCAUUAAAAUCCAAUGCUGAAGUUGAUUCAAUAUCCUACUAUAGCGAAUCAACUAAACUCUAGUAUCUCAUGUAAAUAACAAUGAGUUGGGUCUGUGAUUUGUCAUUAAUUAUGUUCAAUUUCCUAAUGAACUAGUGUUCGUAGUCUAACAAGGUGAAAACUAUCAGCCUUUUAAGACUGCCCUACUAUCCUUAAGUUGCAAUCCUUCUAUUAUGUGUACAACUGACAUGUCUUAGCUUUCUAAGAACUUAUGUCAAGUUCUACUUAAGGAACUACUAUGGUCAUAGUUUCCAUGAACACGUGUUCUUAGAAUGAUCCAAGGGGACACACUAUCUCAAUACCAAGAGAUAUCAUGGUACCUUUAUUAAGAAUACCUAUUACUACCAACUUUCAUUAAUAGUGACCCAAACCAUAGGGAACAUAUGAUCAGCUUAUGAUCUCACCCAUUAAUCAAAAGUCAUUGCUAACUUCAACAUAAGUUCAAUAUUCUCUCAAGGUUAAGAGAUAACAUAAUGAAGCAGUCUAGUGGGGUGAUGACUACUUGAUAGAAUUAAGUCAUAACUUACCAUAGAUCCUAUCCAGUGUGUAACCGUACAUACUAGUGCUCUCACCAUGGGAAACCCAUUCGAUAACUAAGACUAGUCAUCCCUCCAAUUAGGAGGUGGUGCACUACAACCUCCAAUAGGUUGCCUAAACCCACAAACCAACACGAACUAAUCAUUUAUUUACAAGGAACCCAUGACUUAAAUCUUUUAUACAACUCCUAAUAUACCUAAGUCACAUAUAAUGCAAAAGAUGAAACCAAAGUGCUUACAAAGUAUAAUGCAUGGAAGUAAGAUAGAUAAAAGUGUAAUGUAACUUUAUUAAAUAAAUAAUAAAAUCCAAAAGUCUAUUACAUCAUGUCAUGCUUUUAAGGGUUCUAUCAUAACAGCAUGCACAUAAGAACUAUGCAUUGAGAAGAGAAGGUCUAGGUACUAGGUAGCAUGUGGAGGGAAAUGUGCACUAAGAAUAAGAAUGGCAUACCAAGAAGCAUGCACACGUAAGAUAAAAUCACACUAAGAGGACAUAGAAUGUGUGCAAAUAUAUGAAAUAUGCACUUAAAGAACUGCCAAUGCUUAUAUGCAAAGACAUUGUGGACCGAAAAUCGCAUACUAAAGAAAAGUGUGCUCACAUAAGAGAAAAAGAGAGACAUGCAUGCAAGUGUACAAAUUGGAAAACAAUUCAAGAUGUACAUACUGAGAUAAGGAUGCUCAAAAUACAACCUAAAUAAAGAGAUGCACACGUGUAAUGCACACCAAGAAGUUAUGUGCAUGAGAAAGACACACAAAUAUUUCAUCUAAAGAGGAAAAUUGUGCACUAUUCAAUGCACCAAAACAAGACAUGAAGUGGGCAUAAAACAAUACGCAAAACAAAGCAAGACACCAAGUGCAAGCCUACUACUCAAGACAAAGAACAAAGUAUGCAAACCAAAAAUGCAAAAUAAGAGGAUGCACUAAUAGGGCAAAUGACUUGUGCAAUUUGACAUGCAAUACAAAAUGAACGCUAGAAAAAGAAAUAGACGUGCUCAACCCAAUUCACAAACAUAGUCAAACAUCGGUUGAAUGUACAACUUAGUGCAUAAAAACAAAAUAGAACAUGCAAUCCUUAGCACAACAUGAAUAGAAUAUAGGGAGCAUGCAAUCUAGGUUCACAGUCAUGAACAUCAAAUAGACUAACAAAAAUGCGCAAAUCCUAAGAUGUGAACACAAUGAAACAAAGCCUAAGAUAUGCAGUCUUGAUGCACAAUCUUGAGCACUACAGAAGACCAAAGCAAAUAGGUAGCCACAGAGAACCAACUACAAAUGAGUGGCUUCAAAAUUCACAAAACAAACAAUAAACAGAAGAAAAUCAAAUGAGAAAAAAAAACUCAAAAUAAAAUAGGUAAAAAAUAAGAAAAGCCUCAUAUCUUGCAUUAUUAGUGGGCUUAAAAAAAACAAGUGAGAUAUCCAAACUAGAUUUAAAAAAAGAACAAAAACAAGAUUUCAAGAUGUUAUAUGGAAAGAACGAACUAAAUUCAGGUUAAUCUCAAAUAAACUAAAGAAAAAUAGGGUGAAUAGAACAAUGACAAGCCUAUAAACAUCCCAAAAUUGACAAAUUAAUGUGUGGCCUCUAAUAUCCAUAUCCAAUCAACAAGCAACUUUUAACGAUAGCUAAUGAAAGAAAAACAUAACCAAAUAUGGGUCUCAUAAUGAAAAGAGCUUAACUGAGAAGAGAUGUAUUAGUUAACCUUUUCUUCUCUUUGUUUAGUUCUUUACUUUCCUUCUCUUUCCUUUUCUUCUUUCUCUAGUCCUUUUCUUUUUUUCCCUAAGCUCUUUCUCUCUAUCUCUCUUUUUACCCAACAAAUCCCUAAUGACUAGAAUAUUUUUGUGCAUCUCUCUCUCUCACACACACAACAAUGUAGAAUGUGCUCUCACACCUCUUAAAAAUGAGAGAAAAAGUCCUCUACAAAAUGCCAAAAGGACCUUCCGAGCAAGGAUCUUAAGUUAAGGUUCAUAACCAAAUUAAUGAAUGUAGGUUAAACCUAAGGUGCCAUAGAAAGUCAUGAUAGAAUCAACAAAAAUUUCCCUAAUGGUCUCUAAAAAAUUGCUCAAAUAACAACGAACUACCAAGGGACAUGAUAAAUGGAAGGGAUCCUAAGUGCAUGUUAUGAAAGAGUAUAGGGCAAGGGGAAAAUAAACAUGAAAUAAUAUGUGAGGGUCCGUAGGUUCCACAAUCCAACUGUUUGGAUAUUACCCUUAAAAGCAUGACAUGAUGUAAUAAAUUUGGAAUUCAUUAUUUAUUUAAUGAUGUUCCAAUUUUACUUUUAACCAUUCUUAUUCCAUGUAUUACACUUUAUGAACAUUUUUACCUACAUUUUUUGUAUUAUACGUGACUUAGGUGCAUUAGGAGUUGCACAAAAGAUCUAAAUCAUGGGUUCCUUGCAAAUAGAUGACUUGUUCACAACUAGUUCAUGGGUCUAGGCAACCAAUUAAAGGUAGUAGUGCAUCACAUCCUAAUUUGAGGGAUGACUUGUCUUGGCUAUCAGGAUAGGUUUCCCAAGGUGAGUGCACUGUGUGUAUGGUUACACAUUGGACAAGGCCUGUGAUGAGUCAUAACUUAAGGCUAUCAAGUAGUCAUGACCUCGCCAAACUACUCCAUUGUGUUGUCUCUUAACCUUGAGAGAAUAUUAAGUUUGUGCUAAAGUUAGCAGUGGCUUUGACCUAUGGGUGAGAUCAAAAGUUGAUCAUAUAUUCCCUAUGGAUUAGGUCCCUACUAAUAAAAUUCGGUAACAAUAAUUAUUUUCAAUAAAGGUACCAUGAUAUCUCAUGGGAUUGAAAUAGUGUGUCCCCUUGGGUGAUUCUAAGGAGGUGUGUCAAUGGAAACUAUGGCCAUAGUAGUUCCUUAAGUGGAACUUGACAUAGGUUCUUUGAGAACCAAGAUAUGCCAAUUGAAUACACAAUAGAAAGAUUUGUAACUUAAGGAUAGUAGAGUUAAUCUUGAAAGAUUGAUAGCUUUCACCUUGUUAGACUACGAACACACCAGUUCAUCGGGAGAUUAAAGAUAAUGGAUAACAAGUCACAAACCCGAGCAUGUAAUGUCUUAUUGUUAUUUACAUAAAAUACUAAAAUUCAGUUAAUUCUCUAUAGUGGGAUAUUGAAUCAACUUUUGAAUUGGAUUCUGAGAUAGCCAACUUAUGGGUCCUAGUGGUCCCUACUCUGAGCUCAUAUAUCUUGCUGGCAUAGAUUGUGAAGGUCAGAUUAGCUAUAGGUUCACUUUUUUUCAUAAGAGUGUUUUGGUAAUUAUGCAAGGUUGCACAGAGGUAAGUAAACAAGGUUUUUAGAUUGGGCUAGUUGAUUAAUUAGUAGGCCUUAUUGUAUUAAUUAGUCAAUUAGAACUCAUUUUGGGCUUAAUUAAGUGACCUAAGCUCAUGAGGGCUCAAGUCACUUAAGAUUAAUUAGGAACCUUAUAAAUACCACCUAAGAGUUAGAGUUUCCAUCACUUUUGUCUUCCACCAUCCAGAGAGAAAGAGAGCCAUAACCUCCAACAUUUUUCUUGCUUAUCAAAAGUGUGCUAAGAAUAAGAUUGAGUCAUCGGGUGAAAGAUCAUGGGUUUACGAGACUUCUAACAACCUUAAGGUCAUCUUCAACACUUGGAAUUUAAGAUUUGGGAACAUCCAAACCUAAAAGGUUAGUACUUUAACCCUAAAAGAUCAAUUUUUUAAAAACUGAUAUUGCUUCCAUUGCUUAGAUCUAAGAUGUCAACAUGGAGUGCAAGAUCACGGUUUGAGUCAUCAAGCGAAAAAUAUUAGGUGUACGAGACUUACAAAUUCAUUGUUCAACUCAUUGUUCAACACCUUCACUAUGUGGAAUUGAUUUGGGAACAUCAAAAUCAAAGGAAAAUUUCUCUAAUGACUUUUCUCUUGAUCCUAGAAUGGUAAAAAAUUGAUUUUUGCUUCUGUUGCAUAGGAUCUAGAGGCUUAGGGUAUUUUUGCAUGCACCUAUACGAUAUAGGGUAAGGGAAUGAAGAAAUCCAAGGUUCCUAGCAACGUCUCCUUUCCAUAAUUUUCUUUCUCAUUUCUCAUGUGAUUCGACUCAUGGUAGCUUAGCUUUAAAGGCGUAUCAACAAAAUUUAUACCUUGAAUACUAUUACUAAAGUAGCCAAGCUACUAUAGCAUAGUGGUUCUAGGAUCGUUCACUGAGAAGGGUUUUCGCAAACACAAGUGAUAUUCAAAUUAGGAAAAUAGGUGAUUUUCUUAUAGAUGUUAGCUUUAAAAGAAGAUGCAAAUGUUUUAGAAAGAUUUAAACUAAUCUAAGCUAACAUUAAAAACUAAAAUGAAAGGGUGUAAAAACAAGUUCCUCAAAGAUAGGAUAGCUAUGCUCUGGCUCUUAUGCAAAUUGGAAAUCUCAGGAUAGGCUCCUCGCGUUGGGGUUGCAACUAUGGUGAUGCUUGCUUCCCGAACUGGUAUGGAUUUAGCAAAUCAAGUUUUAAUCCUUUAAAAUGGAAAAACAAAUGGUAGUGAAUUUCAUCAAUGGUUAUUCACCUUAGACUUCCUUUGAAUGGCUCGUAAGAGAUAACUAGUAGUCUAAAGCUAAAAGCUUACCAAAUAUUGGCAACUCAAAGUCAUUCCAGGUGAUAAACUCACCUUUCAAUGGCCAUUGAAAUUGGUUCUAAUGGAUUAAUGCAAAACUUGGAAUUGAAAACCUCACCUUCCAAUAGCUCGUAGGAGAUAACUAAUGGAUAGAAAUCCAAAAGCUUAUCAAGUAUUGGCCGUUGGAAGUUGUCAAAAGGAAAUAAAAACCAAACUUUGCAUUAAUGAACCAUUAAUGAAAAACGACUACCUUACUUUCCGGGUGCGAGAAAUUUCCAUGGGAUUGCAUCCAAGCCAUCACAUAACAUCCAUACUUUGAGAAACUAAAAGUUUUAGCCAAUCAUCCUUUGAGGAAAAACCCUCAGAGGCUGUUUGGCUACUAAGAAAAUAGAAACGGGAGAGCUCUGUAAAAUUUUCUAUCUAUAUAUCAAUAUAUCGAUAUAUCAAUAAUAAUUGUUACAACGGAUGCAAGGGGAUAUAAAUAGAGAAGUUUUUCCAACCUUCCUAGCUAAGAAAUCUUAUGAUUGGUGGAUUACAAGGAGAAGAAUGGAAAUUUAUACAAAAAUAUCUAAAAGAAAAGAUCUCGUGUGGAGUCGGCAGAAACAGGGGAAAAUUCGCACGUUGGAGUUCCAAUUUCGCACUUUGGUUUGAGGUGUGCGAAAUUCCCACACUUUGGACUGAGGAAUUCGCACCUUGAUUUCCAUCGUGCGAAAUUAUCCCUCAGCUUGAUGCAGUUGUCUUCCGAAGGCCAUAUCUUCCUCAUUUCAGCUCCAAAUCGUACACAGUUUGAAGCGUUGGAUUCUUGACUUCCUGAGCUUUGAAAUGGUAUAUAGCAUGUAGAAAAUGGACUUCGGGAAGUGCUCCAAAAGUGCCAAAGAAGACUGCAGCUGCUGUCCUCUAUUUUCCUCUUUGCUUCUCUUAGCUUCUCUUUGCUUCUCUUUGCUUUUCUCCUUUUGUUGGCUUGCUUUGGUGUAGCUAAAAGCUUGCUUUAACUUGUCCAAGUAGCUCCUCCAUCAUUUGGCAUGCUUGAAUUGAUUCAUAAGCUGAUAUAAACAUGUAAACUUGCCACAAAAUGGUUAAAACCAAUUACUAAGGACCUUAAUGAAUUAAUUGGGUUAAAUGAAUAUGAUUACUACACAAAGGUGCUUAAAACCAUUAUAAUUAGGUCUACAAAAUAGCACUUUUUGGUAGUAAUCAUCAUGCUAUGCAUUCCUUUAUUUGUCUUUGUUGCAUUUUUUCCUACUCUCAAACUUGAGACUUAUCUCAAAAUAUAUGGAUAGGGUCUUUUAAAUAAUUCAAGUUAAUUCAGGUAUUAAGAUAGAGCCCUUAAAAGCAUGACAUGAUUUAAAAAAUUUUGAAUUCAUUAUUUAUUUAGUGAUAUUCCAGUUUCACUUUUCUAUAUCCUUAUUCCAUCCAUUAUGCUUUAUAAGUAUUCUUACCUAGAAUGUUUUGCAUUGUACAUGACUUGGAUGCAUUAGGAGUUGUACAAAAGAUCCAAGUUAUGGGUUUUUUGCAAGUAGAUGACUUGUUCACAACUGAUUCAUGGACUUAAGCAAUUCAUUUGAGGCAAUAGUCUACUACCUCAAAAUUAGAGGGAUGGCUAACCUUUGCCAUCGGGAUGGGUUUCCCAUGGUAAGUGCACUAAUGUGUAUGGUUACACAUUGAAUAAGACCUACAAUGAGUCAUGACAUAAGGCUAUCAAGUUGUCAUGAUUUCACCAAGCUCCUUUAUUAUAUUGUCUCUCAACCUUGAGAGAAUACUAAGCUUCUGGCCAACUUAGUGAUGGCUUUGACCUAUGGGUGAGAUCUUAAAGUGAUCAUAUAUUCCUCUAUGGAUUAGGUCACUUUUGAUGAAAGCUGAUAGCAAUAAGUAUUCUCAAUAAAGGAAUCAUGAUAUCUCAUGGGAUUGAGAUAAAUUGUUCUUUUGGGUUGUUAGGACAUUGAGUCUUGUUUAUAUGUUGUUAAUUUUGUUCUUUUUUAUGUUUGGUCAUAGAAGUCUUUUUAGAUAGUAACUUGCUCUCCAUUGAAGAUCAAGCGUUGCAAUCUAUCUAAUCGGGAAGUCAUAAGUAUGUCUAAAAAGGUUUAACUUGUGGCAAUUGAGGAUCCAUUGAAGUAUAAAGAGGAUUGGUAAGUUUUUUGAACUUAAAAUUAAUUUUUGUCAAGUUUUUGAAAAAUAGAGGACACUUAAUGAUUCGUGCCCAGCUGGUGUAUGCCUUGUUGAUUGGUGUUCAAUCAACUGGUGUACUCUGAUUUCGGUCCUCAGAUGGGAGUAAUCAACAAAACCUAUUUCACCAUAUACUAGGGUAGCAUUAGCUAGCAUAGCAUAGUGGCUCUAGGAUCGUCCACAGGGAUGGGUUUUCAAAUUACAAUUGAUAUUAGUUCAAAAACUGAAUUGGUGUUUUUUCUUUUCAAGGUUAGCUUUAAAAGAAAACAUAAAUAUGUUUGAAAAGGUUGGUUUUAAGUGAAACCAAAAAUAAAGUAACUAAAAUUACUUACAAAAAAAAGUGCUUCUUAGAGUUUUAGAUCACUAGGCUCAGGUUCGUCAUACAAAAAAGGAGAUUCCAGUCACUUGGAUCUUUUCCUCGCAUUGGGGAUUUAACAUAUAGUUAUUUCCCAAACCGGUGUGGUACAUAUGCUUCCCCUUAAUGGUUUCAAACAUUAAAUCCCUAUCACUGAAUCAUCUUGCAAUGGUUCAUACCUCUCACUUAGUAUUGGCCAUUCAAGGUGAUCCUUAACCUUGGAUUACCCGUCAAAAGCUCGCAAGAGAUAACUAAUGGAUGUCUCCUGGGAGUUCAAAAGCUUACCAAGUGUUGGUUAUUCUAGAUAAUCCUACAUUUAAACCACCUCCCAAAGGCUCGCAAGAGAUAAACUAGUGUAUCUCAAUGGACGGAGACCACUUGCCUUACCAAGUGUUGGCCUAGGUGAUUUUAAGGGAUUUUAAGUUAACUAAAAAGAUAAAAACCAUUAACGGGUCACACUUUCUCUUCAUUAAAAACUAAAACAACAAAACUUCCACUUUUGCAUUGGGAACCUUACCUAGCUUUCAUCACUCCAAGAAAUAAAAAGCCUAGCCACUCAUCCUCUGGGAAAACAUCCUCAGAGUUCGAUUUGCUAGAAAUAAAAAUAACGAGAAAACAAAAUGAGAAGGUAAGGCAGAGCAAAGCAUUGUGUAUUACUUUCUAAAAAACUAUACAAAGUGUCAUCUCCGAGAAAAACUCCCGAGAGAUCCUUUUAAAAGAAAAAUUACAAUAGAUAUUAUAUAGAGAGGCUAUUCACCCCUCCUGCUAACUUCCCAACCAAGAAAACUUGUCAUUGGUGGGUUACAAGGAGAAAAUAGGGAUUUACACACAAAUAUCUGAAGAUAAAUAUCAAACGGAGUCAGUGCACAAAUAUCUCAAAUUAUAGGUGGAUUUCGCAAGUUCAAAUGCAACUUGCGAAAAUUUCGCAAGUUGAAAUUAUCCAUUUCACAAGUUACGUAAUUGUCUUGCAACUUAUUAGCUCUCUGUCCUGCAGUGAUUCCUUUCCUCUUCCUAUUUCGCAAGUUACGAAAAUUUCGCAAGUUGGAUUCCACAACUUACGAAAUUGUUGGAUGGUUGAUUUCUUCUGUGCUUUUCCUCAUUGCAUCCUUGUUUGGUUUUGGCGAAGGGUUAUGAAGCUCCAAAGCUUAGUUUCUUCAGGAAUUUGAGCUUCAACUUGCUUUGCCAUGAACUAUACAAAGAUCUUCCUCACUCUUGGAUUGCUUUGAUGAUCAAAAGCUAUCAAAAACACCAAAACUUAACACAAUUUGAUUAGAAACGAUUGCAAGGGUCCUUAACAUGCUAAUUGAGUUAAAAGGUAAUAACUACUACUCAAAAGUGUUUAAAAGAGUUAAUUACAAGCUAUAAAAUACACUUUUUGAGUAGUAAUCACUCCCCCCAACCGACACAUUGCUAGUCUCUUAGCAAUGAAGGAGAGAAAAAUAAAAAUAAAUAGUACUAUAAUUUACAACAUCAUGCUGAUCACUUCAAAAAAUUUCAAGUGGCAUGAUGAUCAAACUUUCACAUGGGACAUUAAAGAUAUAAAACUCAAACUUCAACAAGAGUUAUCAAAUAACUUGCCUAAUCACAAUUCAUAAAGAGAAGACAUUAUGCAAAUUUUAGUUUUAAAAGAAUUUCCACUCCCAAAGGGUCAAUCCUUACUUUUCCACAAAAAUCUAAGUGUUACUUAUUAGUUUCUGAAUAUAGUAUGCUGAACUAAUCUCUCCCCCCAACCUAGUUCUUUUUCAAAACUUAGCAAACUAACAACCUCCAAUAGGCUAAGAACGCACCUCAUUUAUUUCACACUAUUUUUUUCUUGUAGGAGUAUAAAGCUUAAAAGUAUUCUUUUUUAAAUUGUCCAUGUAACAGGGGUCCAUCGAUGACUCCCAACCAAUUAAGGUUUAGAGCAUCAAGCUUCAAGGAUCUUUCGACCACUAACUCCUCGGAUUUUACCCCGGACGUUUGAGAUUGGAAUUCAAUACCUAAGCACCUACACUAUGUUAAACUCAACCUAUUCACCUUUGUAACGAGCAUUGAGGUUGGUGACUCCCAACUAAUGAUGGCUUAAGGCACCAGGUUUUAAAGAUUUUCACCAUAUACCCCUCAGACCUUGCUCGGGUUUCAAGGUAAGUAAACAUUAAAGGCUCAUUGGCCUUUUCUAAGGUGUCCCAACACUAUUAAAAUGAGGUCAAAGGUACCAAGUCUAAAAUUUCCUAAGUCAAGGGGCGAAAUAGUUUUUCAUCUUAUAAUCGGAACCUAGUGUGCACAGUGUGUGGUAAGCUUAAAGUGGAAGAAAUAAGGUUGAAUUCAACAGAAGUUUCAACAAUUCAACAACUUUAAUAAGCAUAAUACAAACUCUAAGUCAAGUAAAAAGACAAAAAUUCAAUUUUUCCCAUUUCAUUUUGAGAAUUUUUCCUUGAUAACCAUGAAGAGUAUUCAAUUUUUUUUUAAAAAUUUAGACAAAAAGUAACUAAAUUACCAUUUAUAACCUAGCAUUAUAAACAAUACUUCCUUCGUCAACUCCCCCCAACCAUGCUGAACAUUGCCCUCAAUGUUUGAAGAGUAAUUGAAAAUAAAGGAAGGAAGUGGUACAUUCUGAGUGGAAUAGAGUCUGAAUUGUAUAGGAGAAACCACAUGAUUCAAGAAAACAAAAAAAAAAUGAGUAGAGGAAAUAAAAUAAAAAUAUGCCAAGUAUAGUAAAAAAUGAUGGAUAUGUAUUACUUUAAGAAAGUACAAUAUGAAAUAUGCACAAGUAAUACAUCCAAUCCCAGUAUAUAAAACAUAAAGAACAUGAGAUUAAGAGUUCUACUAUUAUAAGUAAAUACAAAAAUUAGAUAGAUGAUCAAGUAGUGGUGGGAGGAUCAUGUGGAGACAAUGGCUCUACUGUGGUCUCCUGAGUGCUCUAGAUAGGAGUCUCGACCUCUGCUGUAGUAGUCUCCUCAUGGGGCAUAGUCUGCUCUGCUGGAGUAGCCUCCUGAGAUGGAAUAGCUUGCUCAGCUAGAGUAGCCUCCUCAGAUGGAGUUGUAGGCUCUGAUGGACCAGGCAUAUCAUGCUCAGGUGGUGGUGGAAUACCUAAAUGCUACCGUAUCUGACUAAGGAUGGCAGUAUGUUGGGUUUGCAUGGCAAUAAGUUGAUCCUGACGUGCACGUAUGACUGUUAUCUGUUGGGCAAGAACACUUUGAGUAGUACUCAAUGUCUGCAAUGUAUGACAUAGGCCUCUAAACUCUAAACUGCAUAUAGUGAUAGAAGACUUAAAUGGAGGAGGUGCUGAUGUAGCUGGUACAACUGGUAGAGCUUCAAGAGUGGUAGGAGGAGCAAAAAAUGUAGCCUCGAGCGUGGGCACUGUAGAAGGUGCUGCAGGGGCAGGUAGUAUGAUCUCUGUAGGUAUCUCAGCCCGUUGUGCCUGUGGUGGCUGCUCAUCCUAUGGUAACUCUGGAGGUGCUGGCAUAUUUGGGGCUCCUGGGGGUGCAACAUAGGUCGUCAAACGAUUCCAUUUGUCGAGAGUGAAUAGCUCUCGAAAAAUGAGGCGGUGCUCAAGCUGAGGCUCAGAAGGAUAGCCCAAAUGCUCUAAUAUCUAAUAGAGCAGGUUGGGAAAAAGUAAUGGAAUGGCAUUUGCUCUCUGGAGCUUCUUCCUAUGGACCUUCUCUUUAAAGUAGAGAAGAGAGGUCAUAAUCAAAAUAUGAGGGCCAAAAUAGAAACCCUCUGAUAUCCGGAAUAAAGCCUCCAGUAUAGCUCAUAUCCUCUGCACCAUAUGCUGAAGUGGAAAUAUGUUGGGACGCAACACCACAUCUAGAAGAAGCAUCCCAGGUGGAAACUCCUUCCUAAGAAGAAAUGAGCGUGUAGAGGUCCCCUUAGACAAUAUACGGACCAUGUUUCUCUGAGAGAAAUGGGACCACUCUCUGUAAUCUGCUGGACUCAUAGGCUCAUAUGGCAUGUGCAGGGCCUCUGCAAUGUGUCUAGCUCUUAGGAUACCAUGGCGUCCAUCAAUAGUGAAGUGGAUGACAGUAGGAUCCCAGACGCGAUGAGUAGUCAUAGACUGAUAAAACUCUAGUGCUACUUUGGGAUAGAAAAAGUCCCUAGGAGUCAUCAGGUGCUCCAAAUGGUUUCUCUGCAGUAGGCAAAAUGAAUCUCUAAGUUCUGGUUGCUGUCUGAAAGUCUCCAUAUCAAAACAUAGCUUGGAGUGGAAUGGCCUAGCUCGACAAUCCAAAUUUCCCUCUAUAGGUGGCUGUGUAACCAUAGGUCGCCUGAUAAUCACUUCUAGAGUCAUCCUAGAAGGAAUUUGAGACUCUGUAGCAGGGGGCUGAGGCUGUGGAGGUGCAGAUGACUCUCAUGGGCCUGAAACUCUGGCUUUCUUUGCAGAAGGGCGAUGAACUGAUUUCUUGGGGUGCGAAGUGCUUGCCCCAGGUGUAGUGGGUGAUCUCCUCGUCUCGUACCUAUGCUGAGGAGGGCUAGAUGGCACUCCAACCUCAGAAGGUGGAAUGGUAAAGGCCUGUGGAGCCUCAGAUGUGGAAUCCCGCGUAGGUGAAGCUCUUGGCAUUGGAUUGCGGGUUGAUGGAGAUGCGAUGUGGGCUCUUCUUGUCUUGGCCAUGGCUGAAAUGGAGAGGCUUGUGUUCCACAGGGUGAGCGGAGGUGCGCGAAGUGGUUCUUCUUCAAACGCACAACCUCUGGGCUUCCUACUAUAGAAUUUGGGGGGUUUCGCAACUUAUAGGGUUAUUUCGCAACAUGAAAGGGUUGUGCGAAAUGAAAAUGGAAAAAAUCAGAGGUUUAAAUAUGAAUUUAAACGUCGGUUGGCAUUUUCGAAAGUUAGCCUAAAUUCGCAAGUUGGUUCGCAAGUUGCCCCUUUUCGCAACUUGAUUCACAGGCUGUGAAACUUGAAAUUGAACUUGCGAAAUGGCACACGUGUGCUUGGAGGUGCUUUCGCAGGCUCCAAAAAUUUUCGCAAGUUGAAUAGUGGACUUACGAAUUUGAGCUUUGAGGAUUUCACAAGUUGGACCCUAUUUUCACAAGUUGGAAUUUUAGCUUGCAAAAUUUUCGCAAAUUGAAAUAUUGCUCUAUUUUUCAGGCUUUUUCUCCUUCUUUGGUUCUUUAAGGCUUUCCUCCAAUUCCUUUGAAGUUCCUCCUAAUUUUGAUCAUCCAAAAAGUCUACGUUAGAUCAAAAUAAAAUAAAUUCAAGCUAGAAUUAAAAUUAAAACAAAUAAUAAAGCUUUUAAAUCAACAAAAUUGAAACAAAAAACAUGGACUUUGGUUAGUCUUCAAAAAGACUAAGUCCAUCUACUCCUUUUUGGUUAAGAUUGUUGUGGCUCAAGAAGACUGACUUCCUCCUUGUCUUGAUUGAAAGGCUUCAUGAAUGGCUUGAAACGGUGGUCAUUGACUUUGAAAGUGUCUGUGCUGUUGGAAUUGAGUAGUUCAACUACUCCAUUGGAAUGCACUUGGUGAAUAAUGAAAGGGCUUAUCCACCUUGAUUUUAGCUUUCCUGGAAAGAUGUGGAGCCUAGAGUUAUAGAGUAAGACUCUUUAUCCCUUUUGAAAUUCUUUGUUGGAGAUUAACUGAUCAUGCCACCUCUUCAUCAUAUGUUUUGAAAUUUUGGAAUUGAUGUAGGCAUCAUUUCUCAAUUCCUCCAUCUCAUUAAGGUCUAAGCACCUCUUCAUCCCGACUCUGUUCAAGUCCAUGUUUACCUUCUUAAUUGCCCACCAAGCCUUGUAUUGAACUUCCACAGGGAGAUGGCAUGCUUUACCAUAGACUAGGCGAUAAGGAGACAUGCCAAGAAUAGUCUUGUAAGUUGUUCUGUAUGCCCAUAGUGAAUCAUGGAGCUUAACAAACCAAUUUCUUCUACUUGUGUUCACCACCUUCAUCAAUAUAUUCUUGAUUUCCCUGUUUGCUAACUCAACUUGCCCAAAAGUCUGAGGGUGGUAAGGUGUAGCUACCUUGUGCUUCACCCCAUACUUGGCUAAGAGAGUUUCAAAAGGCUUGUUGCAAAAAUGAGUACCUUCAUCACUGAUUAUGGCCUUGGGCACCCCAAAUCUUGAGAAGAUGUUCUCUUUGAGAAACUUGAGAACAACUCUGUGGUCAUUUUGUUUACACAGGAUUGCCUCAACCCAUUUAGAAACAUAGUCUACCCCCACCAAAAUGUAAGAGUUACCAAAAGACAUAGGGAAAGGUCCCAUGAAGUCAAUGCCCCAAACAUCGAAAAAAUCAACUAUAAAAUGGGGUUCAUAGGCAUUUGGUUCCUACAUGUUAACUUCCCAAGCCUUUGGUAUCUAUCACAGCUCUUGCACAUGGCGUGAGCAUCUUUGAAAAGUGAUGGCCAACUGAAACCUGAUUGCAACACCUUCAUGGCUAUUUUCUGAUAGGCAAAGUGGCCUCCACAUGCACUUUCGAGGCAAUGACUGAGGAUCCCCUGUUGCUCUUGUUCAGGGACACACUUCCUUAUUAUUUGAUCUGCACAAUACUUGAAAAGGAAAGAUUCUUCCCAAUAGUAGGCAUGAAUUUUUGUAAAGAAGUGCUUCCUAUCUUGUGCUUUCCACUCACUUGGAACUUCACUAGUAACUAUAUAGUUAGCAAUAUGAGCAUACCAAGGAGCAUCUUCUAACAACAUGAGUGACUCCUUCGGAAAAUCAUCAUUAAUAGGAAAACCAUGGGAAUUAUGCGAUAUAGCCAGCCUAGAAAGGUGGUUAGCUACCACAUUCUCCACUCAUUUCUUGUCUUUGAUUUGGAGAUUGAACUUUUGUAGUAAGAGAAUCCAUCUAAUCAGCCUUGCUUUUGCAUCUUGCUUUGUCAAUAAGUACUUCAAAGCUGAGUGGUCAGUGAAAACCACAAUGAAAGACCCUACCAGAUAAGCACGAAAUUUGUCCAAGGCAAAAACUACAGCGAAAUAAUUCUUUCUCUAUGGUUGUGUAGUUUCUUUGUGCUUCAUUUAAUGUUUUACUUGCAUAGUAGAUCACAUAGGGCUUUCCAUCAUCUCUUUGACCAAGAACAACUCCUAUAGCAAAGUCAUUGUGAUUACUACUCAAAAAGUGUUAUUUCAUAGCUUGUAAUUAACUCUUUUAAACACUUUUGAGUAGUAGUUAUUACCUUUUAACCCAAUUAACAUGUUAAGGACCCUUGCAAUCAAUUCUAAUCAAAUUGUGUUAAGUUUUGGUGUUUUGAUAGCUUUUUGAUCACCAAAGCAAUCCGAGAUUGAGGAGAGUUCUUUGGAAUCCAUGGCAAAGCAAUGGAAAGCUUAGAAACAUGAAGAACCGAAGCUUUGAAGUCCUUUGCCAUAAGCAAAUCUGGAAUGCAAGGAGUUUGGGAUCCUCCCUAAAAAAUGCCACGUGGCUCUCUCUCCCUUAUGUUGAUGCCUUGCGUCCUAGUGAUCCACGUAGCUACCAAGUGGACGCACGCUUUCAACCCUGAUUGAGUUCUGGUUCAGUCUUCCCUACAAAAGAUGUCCGGACAGGGCGUCCGGGCACACCAUCGGAGGGCGGCGGAACGUGGGCUGUGGCAGGCUGUUGAUUACUACUCAAAAAGAGCUAUUUGAUAGCUUGUAAUUAACUCUUUUAAAUACUUUUGAGUAGUAGUUAUUACCUUUUAACCCAAUUAACAUAUUAAGGACCUUUGCAAUCACUUCUAAUCACUUUGUGUAAGUUUUGGUGUUUUUGUUAGUAAUUUGAUCACCAAAGCAAUCCAAGAUUGAGGAGAGUUAUUUGGAAUCCAUGGCAAAGCAAUGGAAAGCUCAGAAACAUGAAGAACCAAAGCUUUGAAGCUUUAAAGUCCUUUUCCAUAAGCAAUCCGGAAUGCAAGGAGGGGAAGUAAAGAGAAAAUCUGCCAUGAAGCAUUCUUGAUGACAGUCAUUUUAGCCACUUUUGGAGCACUUCCUAAAGUCCAAUUUAUGCAUUCUAUGUGUCGUUUCAAAUAUUAGGAAGUCAAAAAUCCAAUGCUUCAAACGGUUCACAAAUCGGAGUUGAAAUGAAGAAGUUAGAGCCAAUGGAAGCAGAUCACUCCAAGGUGAGGGCCAAUUUCGCAGGGCUGCGAAAUCAGCCUUUGGCUGCGAAAUGAUUUCGCAGCCAUCUUGUUCGUCUGCGAAAUUUCGCAGCCAUUUUGUGCGCCUGCGAAAUUCUCCUGAGUGCUUCCAGAUAUUUUCGACCGACGUUUUUUGAUAUUUUGCUUCAAAUAUUUGUUGUCUAAAUCCCAAUUCUCUCCUUGUAAUCCACCAAUUAUAGGGUUCCUUAGUUGUUAAGUAAGAACACAAGGGUAAACAACCUCUUAUAUAUUGUUUUUUAAUUUUCAUUUUCUAUGGAUCUCGGGAGCUUGUUCUCAGAGAAUCAACUUUUUGUAUAGUUUGAAAGGAAGUAAAACACAGAGUUUUGCUCUGCCUUACCUUCUCACUUUGAUUGUAUUUUUCAUUCACUAGCCAAACAAGCUCUGAGGAUGUUUCUUCAGAGGAUGGGUGGCUAGGCUUUUUGUUUCUUGGAGCUAAGGUAAUCGGGGAAGGGCCGAAUGCAAGAAUUGGUAGUUUUGUUGUUUCAGCUGUUAAUGAAGAGAAAGUGUAACCCGUUUAUGAUUUCUAUGUUUUUAGUUAACUUAAAACGCUUUCAAUUCACCUGAGCCAACACUUGGUAAGGCAAGUGAUCUCCGUCCAUGGAGAUGCGCUAGUUUACCUCUUGUGAGCUUUUGGGAGGUGACUUGAAGGUGGGAUUUUCUAGAAUUGCCAACACUUGGUAAGCUUUUGGACUCUAAGGAGACAUCCAUUAGUUAUCUCUUGCGAGCUUGAGAAGGGAAGUCCAAAGUUAAUGAUCACCUUGAAUGGCAAAUGCUAGGUGAGAGGCACGAGUCAUUGCAAGUUGCAUCAGUGAGAGGGAAUUAAAGCUGAAAUCCAUUUAAGGGAUGCAUCUGUACAACACUGGUUGGAGAGUGAACUAUAUGUUAACUCUCCAAUACGAGGAAAUGAACCAAGUGACCGAAACUCUGUUUUUGCAUGAGGAACCUCCCCUGUGAACCUGAAUGAUUACUACUCAAAACAUGCUAUUUUGUAGCUUGUAAUUAGCUCUUUUAAACACCAUUGAGUAGUAAUUAUUACCUUUUAACCCAAUUAGCAUGUUAGGAGCCCUUGCAAUCGUUUCUAACAAUUGUGUUAAGUUUUGGUGCUUUUUGAUAGCUUUAUGCUCACCAAAGCAAUUUAAGAAUGAGGGAGAGCUAUUUAUAGUUCAGGGCAAAGCUUUUGAAAGCUUAAAUUUAUGAAGAAAUCAAGCUAUGGAGCCUCAUAAUCCUUUGCCUUAAUCGUUCAAAGUUUACAAGGGAGAAACAAUGGAGAAGAAGAAAACAGGGGAUGAAAACAGGGGACACAGCUGCAGUCUUUUAGUGCACUUUUGGAGCACUUUCCAAAGUCCAUUCUUUACAUUCUAUAUACCAUUUCGAAGCUCAGAAAGUCAAGAAUCCAAUGGUUCAAACCACGUAUGAUUUGGAGCUGAAAUGAGGAAGAUAUGGACUUCGGAAGACAACUGCAUCAAGCUGAGGGACAAUUUCGCACACCACUGUUUAAGGUGCGAAAUCCUCAGUCCACUGUGCGAAAAUUUCGCACACCUCAAACCAACAUGCGAAAUUGGAACUCAGCGUGCAAAAAUUGGAUAUUUUUGCCGACUCUUUUUCUUCUGAUAUUUUUGUGUUUAAAUUUCCAUUUUCUCCUUGUAUUCAACCAACCAUGUAAUUCCUUAGCUAGGAAGUAUCCAAGGAAGGGUAAAACUACCUUCCUAUAUAAAUUCUCUUGUAAUCACUGAAAACAGAUCUUCGUCGGGGAGCUUUCUCCAGGAGACCAACUAUUGUAAAUUUGUUACUUAGUGAAAUACAGAGAUCUCUUUUACUUUCCUUUUCUCUCUUCUAUUUUCUAUUUUCUUGCAAGCCAAACACCCUCUGAGGAUGUUUUCCCAGAGGAUGAGAGGCUAAGCAUUUAGUUUCUUGGAGUAAAGGAAGUUAGGUGAAAAGUCCAGAUUAAAAGGUGGAAAGUUUCCGUGCAUUAAAUUCAGGUAGUUGGAGUCCAUAAAUGGUUUCUAAAGCCAAGGUUUUGCCUUAAAUCCCUUAGGAUCACUUUGACUGGCCAAUACAUGGUAAGCUUAAGGUCUCUGUGGAUGCUUAUUGCUAGAUCCAUAUCAGUCCAUUAGUUAUCAUGUACGAGCCAUUGGAAAGUGAUUCAAGGUGAUAGCCCAUAGUGUCUUAAGCCAUUAAUGGACCUUGAUUACCAUCUCUAGUGAUUUUUAUGGAUUAAAACUUCAUUGUCAAACCUAUACCGGUUCGGGAAAUAACUAUAGGUUAAAUCCCCAAUGCGAGGAGAAAAAUCCGGAAUUUUCCACUUUGCAUCUGGAACUUGAACCUAGCAACCUUUAGCUCCGGGAGACUUUCUUUCUUCCACUUUUUACUUAGUUCUAUGUGAGUUUAGUUUAAAUCACCACUUUCAAAACAAUUUUAUUUUCUUUUAAAUUUCAAGUUUGUGCUAAAGGAAAUCAUCAGAAUCAAUUUCUAAUUUAGAGUCUAUCAUUGGUAGAGUGAAAACCCAUCCCUGAGUUCGACCCUAGAACUGCUAUACUAUAGUAGCUUUGCUACGCCAGUAUAAGGUCAUAGGUUUUAUAAAUGUUUUUGAUUAAAAGAUCCGGCUGGGAAGUCAAGCGAAGAAUCACUGAACCUCCAAGGAAUGUUUUCUUUAUAAAGUAAUUCCCAUUACUUUCUUUUUAGUUAGCUUGUAACCAAAUCUUUUUCAACCAAAGUUUAUGUUUUCUUUUGAAUCUAACCUUGAAAUGAAAAGGCACCAAUUCAACUUUGAAUUGGUAUCGGUUGUAAGUCGAAAACCUUUCCCAGUGAACGAUCCUAGAGCUACUAUGCUAUACUAGCUUAUGCUAUCCUAGUGCAUGGUGAUAUAGGUUAUAAAUUUUGUUGAUUAAUCCCAUCAGAGGACCAAAAUCAAGGGCAUCAGCUGGGAAUACACGAAUCAGCUGUCGGAAUGACGUAGCAAGGCUUGCUCACUUUAGUCAAUGAUCCGGACAACAUAUCCGGAUAGGAUAUGCUAUCGUCCGGGGUGUGAUGAUCGCGAGUACCGUGUGCUUCUCCCUGAGGGAGUCCGGAUAGGGGAGCGCGCCACGUGUCCUCUUGGGGAAUUCGGAUGGAGUGCUCCGGAUAGCAAUGCGCGCUCCGUGUCAUCAGGGGGAGGGGUCCCUACACCUUGCACACGCAGACGGUCCCCCUUGCGACGUUCCACCUUCUCCGGAUAUCUCACAUCCGGAAUUCUGUCCGGCCGACGUUCCACCUUCUCCGGAUAUUUCACAUCCAGCGCCUGACGCCGGAUGGGAGAGGAGGGCGUUUCAACUUCCCCGGUCAGACAUAUCCGGAUCCUCUGAUAGCGCUUACCCGGAGAGUUUCGCAGCCAUUUUGCAUAGUGCCGCGGUGUUCUCUUGAAGCUUCCCGAUAUGUGCGACCGACAUUUUGAGAUAUUUUUCUUUAGAUAUUUGAUGUCUAAAUCCCCAAACUCUCCUUGUAACCCACCUAUCAUAGGAUUCCUUAGUCUUUAAGUAAGAACAAAGGGUGAAUAACCCCUUAUAUAUAGCUUUGUAAUUUUCUUUACAAGAAAGAUAUAUAAUGUAAUCUCUCGAGAGCUUGUUCUUAGAGACAACCUUUUGUAUAAGUAAGAAAUAUAUCUACAGAGCACUUGCUCUGCUUUUCAUAUAUAUUUUUGUUUUCUCGUUAUUUUUCUUUCUAGCCAAUCAAACUCUGAGGAUUUUUCCUCAAAGGAUGAGAGGCUAGGCUCUUCGUCUCUUGGAGUGAAGAAAGCUGGAUAAGUUUCCAAAUGCAAGAAUUGGAAGUUUUGUUGUUUUAAGUUUUAAUGAAGAGAAAGUGUGACCCGUUAAUGGUUUUUAUCUUUUUAGUUAACUUAAAACGCCUUCAAUUCACUUGGGCCAACACUUGAUAAGGCAAAUGGUCUCCGUCCAUUGAGAUACACUAGUUUAUCUCUUGCUAGCCUUUGGGAGGUGGUUUGAAGGUAGGAUUUUCUAGAAUAGCCAACACUUGGUAAGCUUUUGGACUCUUAGGAGACAUCAAUUAGUUAUCUCUUGCGAGCUUUUGAUAGGUAAUCAAAGAUUAAGGAUCAGCUUGGAUGACAAAUGCUAGGUGAGAGGCACGAGCCAUUGCAAGAUGCAUCAGUGAGAGGGAUUUAGUGUUUGAACCCAUUAAGGGGAAGCAUCUGUACCACACCGGUUAGAGAAUUAACUAUAUGUUAAUUCUUUAAUGCGAGGAAAAGAAACAAGUGACCGGAACUCUCCUUUUUGUAUGAGGAACCUGAGCUUAGUGAUCUAAACUCCAAGAAACACUUUUCUUAGUAAGUAAUUUCCAUUACUUUAUUUUUGGUUUCUGAUUCGUGCCCACUUGGUGUAUCAACUGAUUCAUGUCCAACUGGUGCUCCUUGAUUGAGGUAGUAAUCAACAAAAUUUAUAACCUAUUACACCAUGAACUAGGGUAGCAAAGACAAAGCUACUAUAGCAUAGCGGCUCUAAGAUCGUUCACUGGGAUGGGUUUUCACUCCACAAUUGAUAUCAAUUCAAAGCUGAAUUGGUGCCUUUUCAUUUCAAGGUUAGCUUUAAAAGAAAACAUAAAGAUGUUUAAAUGAAAAAGGUUUGGUUUUAAACUAACCAAAAAUAGUAACUAAUUUUACUUACAAAGAAAAGUGUUUCUUGGAGUUUAGAUCACUAGGCUGAGGUUCCUUGUACAAAAAGGGAGUUCCGGUCACUUGUUUCUUUUCCUCGCAUUAGAGAAUUAACAUAUAGUUAAUUCUCUAACCGGUGUGGUACAAAUGCUUCCCAUUAAUGGGUUCAAACACUAAAUCCCUCUCACUGAUGCAUCUUGCAAUGACUCAUACCUCUCACCUAGCACUUGCCAUUCAAGGUGAUCUUUAACCUUGGAUUACCCGUUAAAAGCUCGCAAGAGAUAACUAAUGGAUGUUUCCUUAAAGUCCAAAAGCUUACCAAGUGUUGGCUAUUCUAGAAAAUCCUACCUUCAAACCACCUCCCAAAGGCUCGCAAGAGAUAAACUAGUGAAUCUCAAUGGAUGGAGACCACUUGCCUUAUCAAGUGUUGGCCCAGGUGAUUUAAAGGCGUUUUAAGUUAACUAAAAAGAUAAAAACCAUUAACGGGUCACACUUUCUCUUCAUUAAAAACUAAAACAACAAAACUUCCAAUUCUUGCAAUUGGAAACUUACCCGGCUUUCUUCAUUCGAAGAGACAAAGAGCCUAGCCUCUCAUCCUCUGAGGAAAAAUCCUCAGAGUUUGAUUGGCUAGAAAUAAAAAGAAUGAGAAAACAAAAAUAUAUAUGAAAAGCAGAGCAAGUGCUCUGUAUUUUACUUCCUUCCAAAACUGUACAAAAGAUCCGUCUCUGAGAACAAGCUCCCGAGAGAUUGAUCAUAUAUAAAGAAAAUUACAAACUAUAUAUAAGAGGUUAUUCACCCUUUUUCCAAACUUAAUAACUAAGGAAUCCUAUGAUUGGUGGGAUACAAGGAGAGUUUGGGGAUUUAGACAUAAAAUAUCUAAAGCAAAAUAUCUCAAAAUAUCUCAAUUGUCGGUCACACAUAUCUGGAAGCUUCAGGAGAAUACUGAAGAAAAAUAUCUCAAAAUGUCGGUCACACAUGUCAGGAAGCUUCAGGAGAACACCGUGGCACUGUGCAAAAUGGCUACGAAACUCUCCGGGUAAGCGCUAUCAGCGGAUCUGGAUAUGGCUGACCGGAGAAGUUGAAACGCCCUCCUCUCCCAUCCGGCGUCAGGCGCCGGAUGCGAAUAUCCGAAUGGAAUGGCGGCGGAGCAAAAUUCCGGAUGUGAGACAUCUGGGUGGAAUGGCGGCGAAGCAAAAUUCCGGAUGUGAGACAUCCGGGUGGAAUGGCGGCAAAGCAAAAUUCCGGAUGUGAGACAUCCGGGUGGAAUGUCGGCGGAGCAACUCCAUCCGAAUUCCCCGAGAGAACAUGUGGCACGUUCCCCUAUCCGGACUCCCUUAGGGAGAAGCACACGGCACUCACGAUCAUCACACACCCGGACGAUAGCAUAUCCUAUCCGGAUAUUCUGUCCGGAUGAAAAGAAGAGAAAAGAGCCCACAUUCCGCCGCCCACCGAUGGUGUGUCCGGACGCCCUGUCAGGAUGAUAGCAUAUCCUAUCCGGACAGCUCUUCAUUGCUUUGCCAUGGAUUCCAAAGAACUCUCCUUAAUCUUGGAUUGCUUUGGUGAUCAAAUUACUAACAAAAAACACCAAAACUUACACAAUUUGAUUAGAAUUGAUUGUAAGGGUCCUUAAUAUGUUAAUUGGGUUAAAAGGCGAUAACUACUACUCAAAAGUGUUUGAAAGAGUUAAUUACAAGCUAUGAAAUAACACUUUUUGAGUAGUAAUCAGUUUCACUUAAAAACCAACCUUUUUCAACCAAAGAUUAUGUUUUCUUUUAAAGCUAACCUUGAAAUGAAAAGGCACCAAUUCAUCUUUGAAUUAAUAUCAAUUGUGAAGUGAAAACCCAUCCCAGUGAACGACCCUAGAGCCACUAUGCUAUGCUAGCUAAGGCUAUCCUAGUACAAGGUGUAAUAGGUUAUAAAUUUUGUUGAUUACUCCCUUCUGAGGACCACAAUCAAGGGACACCAGCUAAACACGAAUCAGCUAAGACACCAAUUGGAAACGAAUCACAUUGGCAUCACACAUCACUUCAAAAGGUAGUUGCCAGUUAGGAGCCCUCACCAUUGGAGCGGUUGUCAAGAACUGCUUCAGUUGCUCAAAACUCUUUUGACAUUUUUCAUCACAUACAAAUUUAGCAUCCUUCAGCAAUAGUUCACAAAGAGGCUUUGAAAGUUUAAAGAAAUCUUUAAUAAACCUCCCGUAGAACCCAACAUGGCCAAGGAAUUGCCUCACUCCUUUUACAGCUGUUGGGGAUGGCAAUUUCACAAUAAGUUCCACCAUUGCUUUAUAAACUUCAAUGCCUUUCUUGGAGAUGAUGUGGCCAAGGACAAUUUCUUGUUGUACCAUAAAAUGACAUUUCUCCUAGUUAAGCACUAAGUCUUUUUCAAUGCAUCGGUUCAGAACAAUUCCAAGUUGACUAAACAUUCCUCAAAUGUGCUUCCAUAUAUGGUGAUAUCAUCUAUAAAAACUUCCAUAAUACGCUCCACCAUAUCACUGAAAAUGCUUAACAUACAUUGUUGGAAUGUUGCAGGUGCAUUGCAUAAACCAAAAGGCAUUCUUCUGUAGGCAUAUGUGAUUACUAAUCAAAAAGUGCUAUUUCAUAGCAUGUAAUUAACUCUUUUAAACACUUUUGAGUAGUAGUUAUUGCCUUUUAACCCAAUUAACAUGUUAAGGACCCUUGCAAUCACUUCUAAUCAAUUUGUGUAAAGUUUUGGUGUUUUGAUAGCCUUUUUGAUCACCAAAGCAAUAUGAGAUUGAGGAGAGUUCUUUGGAAUCCUUGGCAAAGCAAUGGAAAGCUCAAAAACAUGAAGAACCAAAGCUUUGAAGUCCUUUGCCAUAAGCAAAUCCGGAAUGCAAGGAAGGGAAGCAAAGAGAAAUCUGCCAUGAAGCAUUCUUGAUGACAGUCAUGUCAGCCACUUUUGGAGCACUUUCUAGAGUCCAAUUUAUGCAUGCUAUAUGUCGUUUCGAAGCUCAGGAAGUCAACAAUCCAAUGCUUCAAACAGUACAUGAUUCGGAGUUGAAAUGAAGGAGUUACAUCUAUUGGAAGCCAAUCACUCCAAGUUGAAGAAAGAAUUUUACACGGCUGCGAAAUCACCCUUUUGUUGCGAAAUGAUUUCGCAGCCAUCUUGCACAGUGCUCUGGAAUUUCUCCUGAAGUUUCCCGAUAUUUGCGACCGACUCUUUUAGAUCUUUUCUUCAGAUAUUUUUGUAUAAAUUUCCAUUCUUCUCCUUAUAAUCCACCAACCAUAAGAUUUCUUAGUUAGGAAGGUUGGAAAAACGUCUCUAUAUAUAUUCCCUUGCAUCCACUGUAAAAGAUAUAGAUAUAUCAUAUAUAGAAUCAACGAACAGAGCACUUGCUCUGUUUUUCAUAUAUAUUCUUGUUUUCUCGUUAGUUUUCUUUCUAGCCAAUCAAACUCUGAGGAUUUUUCCUCAGAGGAUGAGAGGCUAGGCUCUUCGUCUUUUGGAGUGAAGAAAGCCGGGUAAGUUUCCAAAUGCAUAAAUUGGAAGUUUUGUUGUUUUAGUUUUUAAUGAAGAGAAAGUGUGACCCGUUAAUGGUUUUUAUCUUUUUAGUUAACUUAAAACGCCUUUAAAUCACCUGGGCCAACACUUGGUAAGGCAAGUGAUCUUCGUCCAUGGAGAUGCACUAGUUUAUCUCUUGCGAGCUUUUGGUAGGUGGUUUGAAGGUAGGAUUUUCUAGAAUAGCCAACACUUGGUAAGCUUUUGGACUCCAAGGAGACAUCCAUUAGUUAUCUCUUGCGAGCUUUUGACGGGUAAUCCAAGGUUAAAGAUCACCUUGAAUGGCAAAUGCUAGGUGAGAGGCACGAGCCAUUGCAAGAUGCAUCAGUGAGAGGGAUUUAGUGUUUGAACCCAUUAAUGGGAAACAUCUGUACAACACCGGUUAGAGAAUUAACUAUAUGUUAAUUCUCUAAUGCGAGGAAAAGAAACAAGUGACCGAAACUCUCCUUUUUGUAUGAGGAACCUGAGCCUAGUGAUCUAAACUCCAAGAAACAUUUUUCUUUGUAAGUAAAAUCAGUUACUAUUUUUGGUUAGCUUAAAACCAAUCCUUUUUCAUUCAAACAUCCUUAUGUUUUCUUUUAAAGCUAACCUUGAAAUGAAAAGGCACCAAUUCAACUUUGAAUUAACAUCAUUUGUGAAGUGAAAACCCAUCCCAGUGAACGAUCCUAAAGCCACUAUGCUAUAGUAGCUUUGUCUUUGCUACCCUAGUAUAUGGUGUAAUAGGUUAUAAAUUUUGUUGAUUACUCCCUCAAUCAAGGAGCACCAGCUGGACAUGAAUCAGCUGAGACACCAAUUGGGCACGAAUCAAAUGGCGCCAUUGCCGGGGAUGGUGCCACUUUACAGUGAUAUCACCUUUUCAGAGUACUUGUGAUCUUCAUCACAAGUUUGGUGACUUUUCUUUUCCUUUUACUAACUCUUUUUAUUGUUCAUAUUUUAGUAUACCUUUUAUUUAGUUUUUAGUUUACCUUAAUUUUUUUUCUUUGAAUUGUUUUUCUUUUGUGUUCACUGUUUUAAAUUCACAAAUUGCUAGUUGUGCAUGCCAUAUUGAAUACCAUAGCAGAGAAAGCCAUGAACUUCAUGAGUUAUGUGGUUGAAGUCUCAAGAGGAUGGGAUGAACCAAAUGCUAGAGAUAUGGGAAGAAUGACGUCUCAACCUAAUGCUAAGGGUGAGAUGUAUAUUUUAAAUGACGGCAUAGACAUGAGGACAAAGUUUGCAGCUAUGGCAAGGAGAUUAGAAGAGCUAGAAAUGAAGAAGAUGCAUGAAGUGCAAGCCAUCUCUCAGACACCAUUGCAACCUAUGCCCUGUUCCAUUUGUCGAUCUUUUGAGCACUUGGGGGAAGAGUGUCCUACCAUUCCAGCCGUGAGGGAAAUAUUUGGUGAUUGCAACACCUACAAUUCCAAUUGGAGGGACCAUCCAAAUUUCUCUUGGAAACCACAGCCACCUCAGUAUCAGCAACCUGCUCAAGCACCACAGCAAGCCUCAAGCCUUGAACAAGCUAUGGUGAAUCUUAGCAAGGUCGUGGGAGACUUUGUUGGAGCUCAGAAAUCCAUCAAUGCUCAGUUCAGUCGAAGAAUUAACAGUGUAGAGAGUUCAUUGAUUAAAAGGAUGGAUGAAGUGCAAAAUGAUCUAUCUCAUAAGAUAGAUAAUCUCCAAGAUUCAAUCUCAAGGUUUGCCAACCUCAACAUAGUGCAAGAGAAAGAAAACUCUCCUUCUCAACCUUAUCAAAAUUCCAUGAGUAUCCAUGAAAUGGAGGCUAAGGAGGGAGAACCUUCACAAAAGAGGGAAGUUAAAGAAGUGAUCACUCUGAGGAGUGGUAAAGAGGUUGAUCUGCCCACAUGCAAGCUAGAGCAUAAGGUAGAGAGUGAAACAGAGAAAGAAAAGAGGGAGGAAAUCAAAGGAAAUAAAAAAGGGAAAAGCAUAGAGAAAGAUGACUAUAUAGAUGAAGAACCACAGAGGAUAGUCAUCAAGAAAGAAUUGAUGAAGAAACACAUGCCUCCACCUUUUCUCCAAGCUUUGUAUGAGAAAAUCAUACAAACCAAGUCUCAAGUGAGGGAUGCAAGCUUCAUAUGGGAUCCGGGCAAGUUAAAUCAGGAUCAAAUUUUUUUUAUGGACUUAGUCUUUCUAAAGACUAGCUAGUCCAUAUCUUUUUGUUUUACUUAUUACUUGUUUUAAUUUUGAUUUCAAUGCUUUAAUUCUAAUUUGUUUUUAUGUAAUAUAGGUUUUUGGAUGAUCAAAAUCAGGAGGAAUUGCAAAGAAAUUGAAGGAAAGUCGUUUGGAGUAAAAACGGAGAAAAAACAGGGCAAAAACAGGAGGAAAACAGGGGUCUGCGAGAUUUCGCAGCCUCAGGCCCCUCUCUGCGAAAAUUUUCGCAGCUGCGAAACCAAGUUUUGGCACACGAGUGCCAUUUCGCAGCACAGUGACUCCCAUUUCGCAGCUGCGAAACGGUUGCGAACCACCAAAGCAUGAAAGAUCCUAUUUUCGCAAGGAAAGCUCCAUUUCGCAGAGGAUUUCGCAGCUGCGAAACCACUUUUGGCACACGAGUGCCAUUUCGCAGCACAGUGACCCUCAUUUCGCAGUUGCGAAACGGCUGCAAAAUGCCAAAGCGUAAAAACUUCCAAUUUCGCAGCCAAAGCUCCAUUUCGCAGGGUGUUUCGCAACUGCGAAGCCACUUUUUGGCACACGAGUACCAUUUGGAAGCCCCGUACACUCAUUUCGUAGCUUUGAAAUGGCUGCAAAACCUCCACACCUUAAAAUCCUUCAGCGCGCACACCAUAAACAGACAUGUCACAACCGUACCCCCAUUUCGGCAACUGUUGGACACAAUUCGAUCACUUACUGAACCUCAAAUUAUACAUACCAUAUCUUGUUUCAAAUCUUGGGAAGUCAGGAGUCCAUAGCUUCAAACAGUGCUCGAUUUGGAUUUGAAACGGAAAAGUUAUGGCCGUUUGAAGAUGACUGUGCAAACCAUAAGCGGAAAUGUCGCACCUCCAUUUUGCUACUGUUGAACACAUUUUUGAAACACUUCCUGGAGCUCAAAUUAUGCAUACCAUAUCUCUUUUCAAAUCUUGGGAAUUCAGGAGUCCAUAGCUUCAAACGGUAUGCGAUUUGGAGAUGAAAUGAAGAAGUUAUGGCCAUUUGAAGACGAACAUGCAAAGCUGAGCGGGAAUUUUCUUCCCAUUUGGCUGCGAAAUGAUCUCCAAGCUUCAAAAUGGCUGCGAAAUCACUUUUGAGCAGCGAAAUGGCUAUGAAAUGAUCUCCAAGCUUCAAAAUGGCUGCGAAAUCACCUACAAGCUUCGAAAUGGCCUUCAAAUUGCGAAAUUGACUUGCAAAAUGGAGGGUGAUUUGCAAAAACACCUUGCAAAGCCAAGGAAAGUUGCUAAAAUGCCAACAGAGCCCCGCGACCAUGCAUAUGAAGAGGAGAGCCCCGCGCACCCUGAGAUCACACACACUAAGCCUCUCAUUCCAUUUCUGACUUCCUAAAACCAUCAGAGCCCAUAGCUCCAGCUCAGAGCUCAUAGCUCCAACUGAGAGCUCCAGUUGAAGAGACUAUGCCACCUAAGGAGACUACCAGAACAGAGGCCAAAGUCCUGAUCCAACCCAUUCAAGAGGCCACCACAGAUGCAUCAGCUCCACAGGACCCUACCAUUGCUUGAUCAUCUUUUUACUUUUUGUCUUUACAUAUUAUAUUAGUAUAGAUAAUUCCAUGUUUUGAUGUCUUAUAUUCUGAGAUUGGAUGUAUUACUGAUAAUACAUCAUAUAUAGACAUCAUUUUUGUUUAAACUUAGCAUUUUUCUAUUUUCACUAACUCUGUUGUUUUUUUGAAACAUGUGGUUUCUCCUAUACGACUCAGACUCCAUGUCACUCAGGAGGUACCAUUUCCUCCCUAUUUUUCAAUCGCUUUUGUCACAUUGAGGACAAUGUUCAGCUUGGUUGGGGGGAGAUUUGAGGAAGUAAGUAUUGUUAAUAAUGCUAAAUUAUUUUGGUAAUUUAGUUGCUUUUUGCUUAAUUUAAAAUUUUUUUUCUACUCUCCAUGGUUAUUAAGGAAAAAUUUUCAAAAUGAAAAGGGAGAAAUUGAAUUUUAGUCUUUUUACUUGACUUAGAUUUUGUAUUAUGCUUACUAAAGUUGAUGAAUUGUUGAAACUUCUAUUGAAUUCAACCUUAGUUCUUCCACUUUAAGCUAUUCACACACUGUGCACAAUAGGUUCCGAGUAUAAGAUGAAAAACUAUUUCCCUCUUGACUUAGGAAAAUUUUAGACUUGGUACCUUGACCUUAUUUAAUAGUGUUGGGACACCUUGUAAAAGGCCAAUGAGUCUUUGAAGAAAAAAAAGAAAGAAAGAAAAAAUGUUUGCUUGCCUUGAAACCCGAGCAAGGUCUGAGGGGUAUAUGGUGAAAAUCUUUAAAACCUGGUGCCCUAAGCCUUAAUUGGUUGGGAGUCACCGACCUCAAUGCUCGUUACAAGGGUGGAUAGGUGGAGUUUAACAUACUGUAGGUGCUUAGGUAUUAAAAUUCAUUCUCAAAAGUCCGGGGUAAAAUCCGAGGAGUUAGUGGUUGAAAGAUCCUUAAACCUUGAUGCCCUAAACCUUAAUUGGUUGGGAGUCAUCGAUGGACCCCCGUUACAUGGACAAUUUAAAAAAGAAUACCUUUAAGCCUUGUACUCCUACAAUGAAAAAAUUGUGAAAAAAGAGGUGCGUUCCUAACCUAUUAGAGGUUGAUCAGUUUGCUAAGCUUUGAAAAAGAACUAGGUUGGGGGGAGAGAUUAGUUUGACAUACUAUAUUCGGAAGCUAAUAAAUAACACUUAGAUUUUUGUGGAAGAGUAAGGUUUGACCCUUUGGGAGUGGAAACUCUUUUAAAGCUUAAAUUUGCAUAAUGCCUUCUCUUUAUGAAUUGUGAUUAGACAAGUUAUUUAAUAACUCUUGUUGAAGUUUGAUUUUUAUUUCUUUAAUGUUCCAUGUGAGAGUUAGAUCACAUCAUGCCACUUGAAAAUUGUUUUUUGAUCAGCAUGAUGUUGUAAAUUAUAGUAAUGAUUAUUUUUAUUUUUCUCUCCUUCAUUGCUAAGGGACUAGCAAUAUGUCGGUUGGGGGGAGUGAUUACUACUCAAAAAGUGCUAUUUCAUAGCUUGUAAUUAACUCUUUUAAACACUUUUGAGUAGUAGAUAUUGUCUUUUAACCCAAUUAACAUGUUAAGGACCCUUGCAAUCACUUCUAAUCAAUUUGUGUAAAGUUUUGGUGUUUUGAUAGCCUUUUUGAUCACCAAAGCAAUAUGAGAUUGAGGAGAGUUCUUUGGAAUCCUUGGCAAAGCAAUGGAAAGCUCAAAAACAUGAAGAACCAAAGCUUUGAAUUCCUUUGCCAUAAGCAAAUCCGGAAUGCAAGGAGGGGAAGCAAAGAGAAAUCUGCCAUGAAGCAUUCUUGAUGACAGUCAUGUCAGCCACUUUUGGAGCACUUUCUGGAGUCCAAUUUAUGUAUGCUAUAUUUCUUUUCGAAGCUCAGGAAGUCAACAAUCCAAUGCUUCAAACGGUGCAUGAUUCGGAGUUGAAAUGAAGGAGUUACAGCCAUUGGAAGCCAAUCACUCCAAGUUGAAGAAAGAAUUUUACACGGCUGCGAAAUCACCCUUUUGUUGCGAAAUGAUUUCGCAGCCAUUUUGCACAGUGCUCUGGAAUUUCUCCUGAAGUUUCCCGAUAUUUGUGAUCGACUCUUUUAGAUCUUUUCUUCAGAUAUUUUUGUAUAAAUUUCCAUUCUUCUCCUUGUAAUCCACCAACCAUAAGAUUUCUUAGUUAGGAAGGUUGGAAAAACGUCUCUAUAUAUAUUCCCUUGCAUCCACUGUAAAAGAUAUAGAUAUAUCAUAUAUAGAAUCAACGAACAGAGCACUUGCUCUGUUUUUCAUAUAUAUUCUUGUUUUCUCGUUAGUUUUCUUUCUAGCCAAUCAAACUCUGAGGAUUUUUCCUCAGAGGAUGAGAGGCUAGGCUCUUCGUCUUUUGGAGUGAAGAAAGCCGGGUAAGUUUCCAAAUGCAUAAAUUGGAAGUUUUGUUGUUUUAGUUUUUAAUAAAGAGAAAGUGUGACCCAUUAAUGGUUUUUAUCUUUUUAGUUAACUUAAAACGCCUUUAAAUCACCUGGGCCAACACUUGGUAAGGCAAGUGAUCUCCGUCCAUGGAGAUGCACUAGUUUAUCUCUUGCGAGCUUUUGGUAGGUGGUUUGAAGGUAGGAUUUUCUAGAAUAGCCAACACUUGGUAAGCUUUUGGACUCCAAGGAGACAUCCAUUAGUUAUCUCUUGCGAGCUUUUGACGGGUAAUCCAAGGUUAAAGAUCACCUUGAAUGGCAAAUGCUAGGUGAGAGGCACGAGCCAUUGCAAGAUGCAUCAGUGAGAGGGAUUUAGUGUUUGAACCCAUUAAUGGGAAACAUCUGUACAACACCGGUUAGAGAAUUAACUAUAUGUUAAUUCUCUAAUGCGAGGAAAAGAAACAAGUGACCUAAACUCUCAUUUUUGUAUGAGGAACCUGAGCCUAGUGAUCUAAACUCCAAGAAACAUUUUCCUUUGUAAGUAAAAUCAGUUACUAUUUUUGGUUAGCUUAAAACCAAUCCUUUUUCAUUCAAACAUCUUUAUGUUUUCUUUUAAAGCUAACCUUGAAAUGAAAAGGCACCAAUUCAACUUUGAAUUAACAUCAUUUGUGAAGUGAAAACCCAUCCCAGUGAACGAUCCUAGAGCCACUAUGCUAUAGUAGCUUUGUCUUUGCUACCCUAGUAUAUGGUGUAAUAGGUUAUAAAUUUUGUUGAUUACUCCCUCAAUCAAGGAGCACCAGCUGGACACGAAUCAGCUGAGACACCAAUUGGGCACGAAUCAAUAUGUUCCAAAUGGACAUGUGAAAGUGGUUUUCUCCUGGUCUUCAACAUCAAUUUCUAUUUGAAAAUACCCGGAGAAGCCAUCCAAGAAACAAUAGAAAGGAUGGCCUAAGACUCUCUCCAACACUUGAUCAAUAAAUGGCAAUGGAAAAUGAUCGUUCCUUGUCACAACAUUCAAUUUUCUAUAAUCAAUACACACCCUCCAACUUGAAGUGAGGCGUGUAGCAACUUCUUCUCCCUUAUCAUUUUGCACUACUGUGAUCUCUGAUUUCUUUUGCACUACUUGAGUAGGACUCACCCAUGGGCUAUCUGAUAUGGGGUAGAUAAUACCGGCCUGAAGUAGCUUAAGAACUUCAGUUUGCACCACCUCUUGCAUAUGAGGAUUCAAUCUUCUUUAAGGUUGACGAAUUGGCUUAUUUUCUUCUUCUAUGUACAUAUGAUGCGUACAGACUAAAGGGCUGAUACCUUUCAAGUCAGAUAUUUGCCAUCCUAUUGCUUUCUUACAUCUCUUGACAACUUCAAGUAAACACUCCUCCUGAGGAGUGGUAAGAGAUGAAGAUAUAACAACAAGGCACUUCUUAUUCUCUUCUAGGUAUGCAUACUUCAACUCCGUGGGUAAUGGCUUCAAACUAAGCUUUGGGGCCUUCUCUUUAACAGCUUCUUGUAUCUCCUCCUCAUUGAACAAAGGUAGAAUUUCUUUUAUCCUCCUCUAACCUGGUAGAGUAGCAAGCAAAUUUGAGGGUUCAGGCAACCCUUCAUCAAGAUCCCUAAGACUUUCAUUCAACUUCUCUUGUAUUUUCUAAUUACAAUGCUCCUCCACUAAAGUGUCAAUGAUGCACACCUCUUUUGGACCUUCUUAUUCUUUCAGCUUGAUUGGCUUCUUGGACAUAUAGAAGAUAUUGAGUUCCAAUGUCAUGUUCCCAAACAUGAGUUGCAUGAGUCCAUUCCUACAAUUGAUGAUUGCAUUUGAUGUAGCUAGGAAUGGUCUUCCAAGUAUGAUAGGAACAUAAUUCGUUUCCUUGACAAUUGGGUCCGUAUCAAGAACAAAAAAAUCCACUGGAUAGUAGAAAUUGUCAACUUGAACUAAGACAUCUUCAAUCAUCCCUCUUGGAAUCUUCACUGAUCUAUCUGCUAGAGAUAGAGUGAUUGAUGUUGGCUUCAAUUCACCAAGUCUCAAUUGCUUGUAGACAGAGUAUGGUAGCAAAUUCACACUUGCCCCCAAGUCCAACAAAGCUUUCUCCACUAAAGUCCCUCCAAUCAUCACUGAGAUGGUAGAGCAGCCUGAAUCUUUGUACUUCACUGGAGACUUGCACUGUAUGAUGGCACUUACUUGCUCAAUCAAGAAGGUUUUCUUAUUCACAUUCAACCCUCUUUUGAUAGUGCACAAGUCCUUCAGGAAUUUUUCAUAAGUCGGCACUUGUUUGAUCAUGUCUAGCAAUGGGAUGUUGACCUUCACUUGCCUCAAUACUUCAAGAAUUUCUGAUGCAUUGCUGAUUCCCUUUUUCCCAUGCAAAGAUUGAGGAAAAGGUGGAGGCAUGUGUUUCUUCAUCACAUCUCCAUUGAUAACUAUCUUCUCUGGAUCUUCAUUCACUAUUGAAUCAUGGUCCUCUUUCCUUCCAUUGCUUCAUUUCUUCUUUCCUUUGAUUUCCUCCAUUUUCUCUGUCUCUUUUUCACUCUUUGUUUCAUCAUGUGGCUUGGGUGUUGGUAGCUCAACCUCUUUACCACUCCUCAGAGUGAUCACGGCUUUGAUGUCCCUCACAUGUGAAGAUUCUCCCUUAUGAGCUUCCACUUCAUGGAUACCCUUGGGGUUUUGGUGAGGUUGAGAAGGAAACCUUCCCUUCUCUUGCACUGUGUUAAGGUUGGUGAGCCUUGAGAUUGAGUAUUGGAGAUUAUCUAUCUUUUGAGAUAAAUCGUUUUGCAUUCCAUCCAUCAUUUUAUUCAAUGUAUUCUCUACACUGUCAAUUCUUUGAUUGAGUUGAGCAUUGAUAGAUUUCUGGCCUCCAACAAAAUCUCCCACGAUUUUGCUUAGAUUCACUAUUGCUUGCUCAAGAUUUGAAGCUUGUUGAGAUGCUUGGCCUGGUUACGUGUACUGAAGUGCUCUUGGUUUCCAGGAGAAAUUUGGAUGGUUCCUCCAAUUUGAAUUGCAGGUAUUUCCAUAUGAAGCAUUGUUAUUGGUCUUGAAUUGUCCAAUGAUAUUCGCUUGAUCCCCAAACAUUUCUCUAACACCUGGAAUUGUAGGACACUCCUCCACCAAGUGCUCAUAAGAUUGACAAAUGGAACAAGGCAUAACUUGCAUUGGUGUUUCAGAAACGGCUUGCAUUUCACGUAUCUUUUUUAGUUUUAGCUCCUCCAAUCUUCUUGUCAUAGCUCCAACUUUUGCUUUCAUGUCAAUAUUUUCGUUCAAGGUAUACAUCCCAACCUUAACUUUAGGAUCAUUUGGUUGAGACUUCAUUUUUCCCACUUCUCCCUUGUUCGGUUCAUCCCGUCCUCUUGAAACUUCAUCAACAUAAUUCAAGAAAUCCAUGGCUUCCUCCGGAUUCUUACUCAUGAAAUCUCCUCCACACAUAGUCUCUAGGAGUUGCUUCAUUGAGGACGACAUACCGUCAUAAAAGUAGCUUACCAAUAGCCAUGUAUCAAAGCCAUGGUGAGGACAAGCAUUGAUAGCUUCCAUGUAUCUCUCCCAACACUCAGAAUUUCUCAUUCUCUUUAGCUGAGAAGUUUGAAAUUUGCCUUUUCAAGCCAUUGGUCCUAUGAGUAGGAAAAAAUUUCUUGAGAAAUUUAGCUUGCAAAUUAGUCCAAGUUCGGAUAUUCCUUGGCCUUAAAGAAUUAAGCCAAAUCUUGGCCUUAUCCUUUAGAGUGAAAGAAAAUAGUUUUAGCCUCAUCAAGUCAAUUGAAGCUUCGGCCUCUUGGAAUGUAUUACAAACAUCUUCAAAGUCUUUGAUGUGCGCGUAGGGAUUCUCACUUUCCAUCCCAUGGAAAGUAGGUAGAAGUGGCACAAUAUGCAGUCUGAUUACUAGCUGCUCUGUAAGAGGCACUAUGCAUGAUGGUGCACUCAUACGAGGUGUAUGCAUGCGGUCCCUCAUUGAUCUGAAUGCAUUGGGAUUGUCCUGUUGACCAUGGUGACUAUGUUGAUCUUCAGGUGUAGCUUCCAUGAUGUUCAAGCACAAUUCCAACUCUGUUUAGUGAGGUGUUUCAAUUUUUACAAGUCUUCCUCCACUGCCUCGUAUCCAAUAUGGCAUACACAACUAGUAACAACUGUAACAAAAACAAAGAAAACAAUACUACAAAAAAAAAAAAAAACUAAGAUUAACUAAAAACUAAAUUAAAAGAUAGGCUAAAAUAUGAACAAGUAAAAGAAACAAUUAAAAAUAGUUAGUAAAAGAAAAGAAAAAUCACCAAACUUGUGAUGAAGAUCACCAAACUUGUGAUGAAGAUCACAAGUGUUUUGGAAAAGGUUAUAUCACUAUAAAGUUGGCACCAUCCCCGGCAAUGACGCCAUUUAAUUCGUGCCCAGCUAGUGUAUGCCUUGUUGAUUAGUGUUUAAUCAACUGGUGUACUAUGAUUUCGGUCCUCAGACAGGAGUAAUCAACAAAAUUUAUAAACCUAUUUCCUCAUAUACUAGGGUAGCAUUAGCUAGCAUAGCAUAGUGGCUCUAAGAUCGUCCACAGGGAUGGGUUUUCAAAUUACAACUGAUAUUAAUUCAAAAACUGAAUUGGUGCUUUUUUUUUUCAAGGUUAGCUUUAAAAGAAAACAUAAAUAUGUUUGAAAAGAUUGGUUUUAAGUGAAACAAAAAAUAAAGUAACUGAAAUUACUUAUAAAGAAAAUUGCUUCUUGGAGUUUUAGAUCACCAGGCUCAAGUUCGUCAUACAAAAAAGGAUAUUCUGGUCACUUGGAUCUUUUCCUCGCAUUGGGGAUUUAACAUAUAGUUAUUUCCCGAACCGGUGUGGUACAGAUGCUUCCCCUUAAUGGUUUCAAACACUAAAUCCCUAUCACUGAAUCAUCUUGCAAUGGUUCAUACCUCUCACCUAGUAUUGGCCAUUCAGGGUGAUCCUUAACCUUGGAUUACCCGUCAAAAGCUCACAAGAGAUAACUAAUGGAUGUCUCUUGGGAGUCCAAAAGCUUACCAAGUGUUGGCUAUUCUAGAUAAUCCUACCUUUAAACCACCUCCUAAAAGCUCGCAAGAGAUAAACUAGUGUAUCUCAAUGGACGGAGACCACUUGCCUUACCAAGUGUUGGCCUAGGUGAUUUUAAGGGAUUUUAAGUUAACUAAAAAGAUAAAAACCAUUAACGAGUCACACUUUCUCUUCAUUAAAAACUAAAAUAACAAAACUUCCACUUUUGCAUUUGGAACCUUACCUAGCUUCCUUCACUCCAAGAAAUAAAAAGCCUAGCCACUCAUCCUUUGGGAAAACAUCCUCAGAGUUCAAUUUUCUAGAAAUAAAAAUAACGAGAAAACAAAAUGAGAAGGUAAGGCAGAGCAAAGCUCUAUGUAUUACUUUCUGAAAAACUAUACAAAGUGUUGUCUCCGAGAAAAACUCCUGAGAGAUCCUUUUAAAAGAAAAAUUACAAUAGAUAUUAUAUAGAGAGGCUAUUCACCCCUCCUACUAACUUCCCAACCAAGAAAACUUGUCAUUGGUGGGUUACAAGGAGAAAAUAAGGAUUUACACACAAAUAUCUGAAGAUAAAUAUCAAAUGGAGUCGGUGAGCAAAUAUCUCAAAUUACAGGUGGAUUUCACAAGUUCAAAUGCAACUUGCGAAAAUUUCGCAAGUUGAAAUAAUCCAUUUCGCAAGUUGCGUAAUUGUCCUAUAACUUAUUAGCUCUAUGUCGUGCAGUGAUUCCUUUCUCUUCCUAUUUCGGAAGUUGCGAAAAUUUCGCAAGUUGGAUUCCAUAACUUGCGAAAUUGCUGGAUGGUUGAUUUCUUCUGUGUUUUUCUUCCUUGCAUCCUCAUUUGAUUUUGGCAAAGGGUUAUGAAGCUCCAAAGCUUAGUUUUUGCAGGAAUUUGAGCUUCAACUUGCUUUGCCAUGAACUAUACAAAGAUUUCCCUCAUUCUUAGAUUGAUUUGGUGAUAAAAAAGCUAUCAAAAACACCAAAACUUAACAUAAUUUGAUUAAAAACGAUUGCAAGGGUCCUUAACAUGCCAAUUGAGUUAAAAGGUAAUAACUACUACUCAAAAAUGUUUAAAAGAGUUAAUUACAAGCUAUAAAAUAACACUUUUUGAGUAGUAAUCACUCAAGCAAGGAGCAGUGAUCAACCCACCAAAGUGGGCUUGAGAGGUAAUGAAUUUUCAGCCAAGAUUCUUUCACAUAAAUUUGAUUUGGAAGUCUUUUAAAACCAAACCUCUUUGAGAUUUACUCCUAUGUAUACCUCCUUAUAAUCCCUUAAGGGUUAGAGAUCGAAAAGAGAUCAUAGAGAGUUUAAAGAGAUUUCAAAAUGGAGUCUCCUAGAGUGAAAGCCUAAAGGGCCACAACAUUCAUAAUCUCUCAUUCAAGGAUUUGAUAUUUGAAUCUUGGUUUGAAGACCUUCAUCCCUUCAACAAGGCUGAAGUGUAUUCAUUGGAGCAAUCAAAGGUUGCUACAUCGUAGAUGUGGUUCAAGUUGUAGGUACUGAAGAGCAAGUCUUUAGGGUAAAGGAGCCAGGUAAAUCUGUGUAACUUGAUUUCAUAUAAUGGAUUUAGAUUAGUGGGUCUUAGACGUCAUGGUUUUUUAUCUCCAUAGUUAAUGUGGGGGGUUUUCCAUGUAAAAAUUCGAUGCCCAUUGCAUAUCUGUUAAUGUCAUUACUAUAUCUUUGAAUACUUGAUUAUCAUUGUUAUCCCUAACAACUUGUAGGUUAUCCCUAAUAGAUUAAAACUAUAUUUUAAUUCUUAAAGAUUUCAAGUAUAAUUCAUUUGGUUAUACAAGGUAUCCUUGGGAUCUCUUAGGAUAAAAUUUGAGGAUAAUAUAUAUAAAUAUUUAUUUUAAAUUUUAAAAACACCCAUUCAUCCCCCCUUUGGGUGUUCCCUAUUGGACUUUUGAUUUUUUAUGGGUGAUCCUAAAUUAAGGAAUUACUAAGAGGUUGUGAUUUUGGUAGUAUUUAAUGGAAUAAAUUCUUAUGAAGUUUUCAUGAGAGUAUUUAUUAAAUUGGAAAGGUGCAAGGACAAGGAGAGUAAAUUUGUGAGGAAUUUUAAAUAUGAGAGAAAAAUUUCCUUUAGUAGAUAAGGUGCUCUCAAGAUUUUCAAAAUCUCAUAAAUUGUUAAUUUCCUUAUUUCACUAGAGUUUCCAAUUUGGAAAUUUUCAUUAGAGAUAAUUUAUCAUUAAAAGAUUAUUACCAAAAGGCUUAGUAAUUUGAUGGAAAUAAAUUUUUUUUGAAACAUUUCCAAGAUAAAAUAUUUAUUAAUUGGAUUUGUGUAAGAGAAAGAGAAUUCAUUCUCUUAUUACACUAGGUUUCCAAUUAUGAAAUAAAUAUUUUUGGAAAUUCUCAAAAAUAGAUAAUUUAUUCAUCAAAGUAAUUACUAAGGAUUUAAAAUGUUCUUAUCUAUCUUAAAAUAUUAAGUGGGAGAGGGUUCUAAGCAAGCCCACGACCUCCAUUGUCAAGCCCAUUUUGAUUUGGGUUCAUCACCACCCUUUCAAGAUGUAUUGGAAAAAAGAACUAGAUUGUGUAAUGAUGCACUAAAAAAGAAUACAUGCCUAAAAUAUAUGAUCCUUUCUUGAGUAGACCAUAUCAUGGAACAAUAAAAAAAAUGUUUUCACCUUCAAUCAUAAAUGACACUUCUAGAGAAAAUUAUAUUAGACAUGUUUGCAGUGGGAGUGACCACCGCUUCAAUGAGGUUCUUUACUUGGUGACAUUAAUAGUUCAAGAACAAUGGUUAUACACUUGACAUUGCAUAUGAAGUAGUAGAAUCACCCCCAUGUGGUCCUGUUUGCAUUGUCCAUAGGCCAAAUUUAGAAAGUAUGUUGAUCUUAGCUUUAUAUACCUUCAUGUUUAAGACAGGAAGAUCAAUUUGAGAGAGUCUCUAACUAGUAAUAAGGUCAUGAUAUGCCCCACGUAAGCUUGAUUCUUAUGAUACUAGGAUACUUUGCAAAAGGACAUGUAGUUUGAGAGCACUAGAUUUUUGCUAAAUUAAUUACCAAUUGCCUUGAAUGCACAAUUAUGUCAUAUGCAUGGUUAUUUUCUUUGUUACAUAUAUCAUAUUGGUUAUUUAUUAUCACUUUGGACAAAACCCAACUAAUCAUUUGGACUUAGUAUUAUUCCAGAUAUAAUAACUAUGUACUUGCAUAGAAGCUAGUUUAAGUAGAGCUAGCUAAUCCUUAUGAAUAACCUAGCAAAAAAAAAUAGUGGCGUAUUAGAGGUGGUAUUAGAAGAGUUAGAAGACCAAGUGUUUAAUACUUUAUCUUUAGAUAAUGUGUUGCAAUAACAACAUGUGUCUAUUAGUAGGGACUUUGAUAUUCUAUUUUUAGUCUACAAGGAUUAUUUGGUUAUAAGGGCAGGUUAACUUAAAGAAGCUACCCUUAGGACUAUUAUGAACAUCGGAUUUUAUAUGGUCUUGAGGACCUUGCCAGUUUCUUCAGGAUGGUUAAAGGGAUUCUUAAAGAACAUAGGGUUAUAUAAAUACUUUCUUACCAAAUCAAGAUGACCCUUUUGGGCUAGAUUAAGUGACCCAAGCCUUGAUAGGCUCAAGUCACUUAAGCCCAGUGGACAAUGCUAUAAAUACCCCCUUAUUCAAUUAGUCGUCUUCCACUUUUAGAAAGAAAAAGAGAGCUAAAGCUUUUUUCUUUCCAUUACCCAUAGUUUGGAAUGCCAAGAUCGUGGUUCAAGUCUUCGGAUGAAAGAUCUUGGGUGUAUGAGACCUUUAAACUUUUUCUUUUCCACGUGGAAUUGAUCUAGGAACAUCCAGAUCCAAGUAUGAGUACUACAUAUCUAGAUCUAUAAUUAAUGAUGAUUUUUAUUGCCAUUUUACUCACUAUGAUAGAUUUAAAGAUGCCUAGGGAUAGAUGCAUGCACCCCACAAGAUCUAGGGACAAGGAAUAGAGAUAUUUAGGUUUCCCAACACUAUCACCAAUAACACACUAAGAGCUAUAAAUUAUGCACUCAGUGAAAUAUGAUGAGAAUAGCACCCUCUAAGGGUGAUAAACAAUAUUUUACACUUAGAGAGCACUUCAAUAGCGCAACUUUAAGUGAUAGUGUAGAUUGCAUGUUUAGGAAGCCACCAUAUUACACACUUAAAGAACUCUUCUCAAAUUGCGCUUGGUUAAAUAGUGCACAUUUCUUAGGCAUCCAACAAUGGCACACCCAACAUAGGAGAACCCUUUGUAGGUUGUGCACUCUAAAGGCAUCAAUCCACAUUGUACACUUGGAGAAGUGCACUUAAAGUGUACACCAUUGAGUAAAGGUUUAGAUUGCUCACCUAAGAGUUAGGCUACAUAGUGUACCUCCUAUUAUGCACUAGCAGAACCUCUAUCAAGCUAUGCACCAUUCAAGCGCACCUUAUCCCAACAUGUAUAGUGCUCACAAAACUAGUAACCAUUAGUGCAUUAUUCAUUCAACAAUAAAUCAAAUGCAUAUCAAUAUUCAUUAAUGCGCAAUUUUGUCACCAAUAACUUAGUACACUUCCCCUUAAUAAAGCGUCUUCUCUCACUUCAAGAAGUGCACCCCAUAACUCAUCUCACUACAUUAUCCUAAUAACUUCACCAGGCAUGAGCUCCAAAAAUUAAUCUUUCAUCAAGUUGCAUACCAAAUAGUGCCCCUAAGGCUCCUAAAUGUUCAAUCAUCACAUCAUUAUGUUGCCACACUAACAAAACAAGAAGUGCAACCACCAUUCAUACUACACUGACAUGUUUUGACUAAAACGACCACAUCGAUACAUUACUUAUUAGGAUAGAGCCUUUAAAAGGAUGAUGUGAUGUAAUAAACUUUUGGAUUUUAUUGUUUAUUAAAAAAAUUUCUAGUUCACUUUUAUAUAUCUUAAUUUCGCACAUUAUACUUUGUAAGAAAUCUAAUCUGUAUCUUUUGCAUUGUAUAUGACUUGGGUACAUUGGCAAUUGCAUGGAAGAUUCAAGUCACGAGUUCCUUGCAAGUAGAUGACUAAUUCACAACCAAUUUGUGGGCUUCCCAUUAGAAGUUCUAGUGCACUACCUCCUAAUUCAAGAGAUGGUUGGUCUUGGUCAUUAGGAUGGGUUUCUCAUGGUGAGUAUACUAGUACAUAUAGCUACACAUUGGAUAAGACAUACGACGAGUCAUGAUUUAAGGCAAUGAAGUAGUCGUGACGCUACCAAGAUUCUUUAUUAUAUUGUUUCUCACCCUUGAGAGAAUAUUAAGAUUGUGUUAAAGUUAGCAGUAGCUUUGACCAAUAGGUGAGAGAUCAUAAGUUGAUCAUAUAUUUCUUAUCGAUUAGGUCGCUAUUAGUGGAAGUUGGUAGCAAUAUGUAUCUUGAUAGAGGCACCAUGAUAUCUCAUGGAAUUGAAAUAGAGUGUCUCUUUGGUGAUCUUAAGGAGAUGCGUUCAUGUAAAUUAUGACUAUAAUAAUUCCUUAAGUGGAACUUGGCAUAUGAUCUUAGAGAACUAAGAUAUGUUAGUUGAAUACACAAUAGGAAGAUCUAUAACUCAAAGAUAUUAGAGCUAGUAUUGAGAUGUUGAUAACUUUCACCUUAUUAGAUUAUGGACACCAAUUUGUAGGGAGAUUGAAUGCAAUAGAUGGUAGAUCACGAACCCGAGCACUUAAUGUCUCAUUAUUAUUAACAUAAGGUAUUGGAGUGCAAUUGAAUCUCUAUAAUAGGAUGUUGAAUCAACUUUAGAAUUGGAUCCUAUAGGACCAUUCCAAUGGUCCUUGCUUGAGCUCUUAUACCUUAAUGACACAAUCUAUGAGGUUUGGAUUAACUUCAGGUCCACUUUUGUGCAUAAGGGCAUUUUGGUAAUUACAUAAGGUUACAUAACUGUUAGUGAAUAAAGUCUUUACAUUGAAUUAUUUAGGACCUACUUUUUACUAGAUUAAGUAGCGUAAGCCCUUGGUGGGCACAAGUCACUUAAGCUCAAGUAGGGAACCUUAUAAAUACCCCUUAGGGGUUAGGGUUUCCAUCACUUUUUGAAGUGAACCAUCUUCCACCAUCUUCCACCAUCUUGAGAGAAAGAAAAAACAAGAGCCAUAGCCUCCACCCUCCCUUCCUCCCCACUUGUUGUGUGUUAAGAUAAAAAAGAGCCAUCAAGUGGAAGAUAUUAUGUAUUUGAGACUCUAACAACUUUGAUUUUCAACUUCACUACAUGGACUAGAUUUAGGAACAUCAAAAUCUUAGAUAAUGUUUUCUAAUGCAUAUUUUGAAUCUUAUUAUUGUUUUAAAAAAUGUAAUUUGGUCUUUGUGCAUUGGAUUUAGCUUUGGAAGAUUUGCAUGUACUUAACUUGAUCCUAGAAUAGGAAAUGAAGAGAUUUGAGUUUCCCCACAUCACCUACAUGGGCAAGAGGUGUAGCUUAGAGGAAUAAAUUUGAAGUAAUAAAAAGGAGAGAGAUUUUUCACCUAUAAAUAUGGGAACUGUAGAUAGCAGUCUCUUUUACAGGGAGACUUUCUUAGAGGUGGCACCUUAUCUCUUAGAGAGGAGAUACAUUCUUUUCUUCUGGAGUAAAGGUGUUAAGAAAAUAAGUUAGUUUUUUUUUCUCUCUUUUCCUAUUCUUGUAAUUUAUUUUUUAUUUUAGUAAAGUUUUUUGUUUUUAAUUUCAAUAAAGAUUUUGGUCUUAAAUUUUAAUAAAGUUUUUUGUUUCAACUUGAUGUUUCUAUAUUCAUUUUUGUGUGUUUUCUUUUCUAUCCUUGUGUUUUUGUUUCUUAGUUUGUGAAGGGGACUAAGGUCUCGUAUCUUUGUUUGAUUCACCGUGAUUUAGCUAUCUAUGGUUGAAAAAGGCUCUACUAAGGUCUAUGGUCAUGAGAACCAAAAUGAGUCUCCACAUGCCAGAGUUAAUGGUUAUGAGGACCAAAAAGAGUAACCAUGGUCAUGAAUCUAUUAGAUAAGAACAAACUUUUUGACAUAAGAAUAAACCCAUCUAAAUCAUUUGAUUGAGAUGACCAAAAGGAGAAAUUAGAUCUAGUUGAGCCUUUGUUGAGGUGGUUGAUUCUCUUAUUAAAUAGAACCAUGUUUUUGGUGCAAAACCCUUUGCUCGAUCUAAAAGCCACAAGCACUAGGCUAGGACCAAGUGAGUGAGUUAAGCUUGAGAGAAGGAAUUUCAAUGACUUUCCUAUCUAGAAGCCUGUGUUCUUUUUCUUUUCAAUUUAUAGAUUUCCUACCUCUUCCCACCCAAAAAAAGGAAGAAAAAAAACACUAAAAAUAUGUUUCAUCCUACACACUCACACCCUAGGUUCCCACCUCUGAUAUUGUCAAUCCUAAGUUAUUUAUGGAGACGACCUAAUCUCUAUACAACUAUUAGUUCCUCUUUGUUUCUUUAGUUUAAGAACUAAAAGUUUCAAUUACUAAACUAGUUUAAAUUUUGCUUGAAUAAAAUUUUAUUAUCAAAUCAUUUUCACAUUAAUUUUAUUAUUUUAUUUUUAAACCUGCAAAUACAAACCCGAACCAAAUAACACUCUUGUUGUCACAAUACAUAGGAGUAGGACGAGAAAGAGAAACACCGAUAUCAACAAGUAACCAACAUUACAAAACUAUCUUUCUAGUGGUAGAUGGAAUAUUAUGAAACAAUAGUUUGUUUCUUGGUCUUUUUAAAACAAAAAGGCAAAUCCCCCAAUAAAAUAUACAAAAUCUAGUAAUAGACUUGAGAUCCUCAAGAUCACAAACCCAUAAUCAGUAUCAAAAUAUGCAUGCAACUCCAAAGAGGAAGUGGAUAGAAGUAGAAGGCUCCAAAAUAAAGUGCCCUUAAUAUACCAUAGAAUAUGAAGAACAACUACCCAAUGAACUAUAGUAAGGGAAGCAACAAAUUGAUUAACAAUGUGAAAAACAUAAAUAAUGUACCAUCAGAAAAAGAAUAAUGAACAUUAACUUCAAGAGGAGUAUCAAUAGUCUUAAUAUCAAUAAGGUGAGUACAAUUGAGAAUAUCAACUAUGUAUUUAAACUACGAGAGACGAAACUUUUUAGAGAAUAAGCUAUCUCAAUACCCAAAAAGCAUGGUAGAAAGCUCAAAUCCUUCAUAAGAAACUAAGUUUGAUUUCAACAUUACAAUUCCAUCAACAUCAUCACGUAUGAUAAUCAUGUCAUCAACAUGUAGAGAAAGUAGAAUACCCAUUGUAAAUUAGGUGGAAUUAAAAUGAAUGAAUGGUUUUUUCUAUUCUCUUUUUAUUUAGCAAAUCCUUUUGAUGCCCAUUGUAUGCUUCUUGUGUAGCUGGGGUAUAUAGUUUUCUUUAAAUUUUAUAAUAUGCUCUUCUAGCUUAUUAGAAAAUCAUAAAGAGGACCCCUUUGGCUUUUUUUUAUAUUAUUUUUCUAUACUUAAAUGACAAAAAUGAUGAUUGAGGUUUGGCUUUCUUGCUUAUAUAUACUCUUUUGGUAAAUGCUUCAAAGCAUAUUCAUGAUACUAUCCUCUUAAUCUUGAGGAUGAGGUAGCAAAACUUCACGAAGGUAUUUGCAAAGUAGAAUGUACAACUUCUAGAUUAAAUUUGUUUGGAACUGUUUAUAAAGUUUGGAUUUGAAAUUAUUAUGAACUAUUUUUAAUAAAGUAUGAUUUUUAGAAACCUUAUCAUGUAAUCUAUUUAUACAAAUAAUAAUAAUAAUAAUUUCGAUGUCUUCUACAAUAUGUUUUCACUUCUAUAUUGUCUAAAUAACAUUUUCUAAUAUGUUGUCAUAUGUAUGUUUUCUAAUAUUAAUUUCUUCCAAUAUUUUACUUGGGAAUGAAAAUGAAAUACUAUAAUAACAACAUUUAGUUUGAACUAAGUUAAUUUAAUUUUGUUUUUUUCCCUACACACACAUAUAUAGAGCCCAUCUAAAAAAGGAUUGAUUGGGGUUCAAUUCUUUGAACAAAUUUCAUCAUAAAUGAAAAUAUCCUAUUAAAAUUGUAACAAUGAAUCAAUUUAAUUAGUAUAAACAUAUUCUACUAAUUUAAUCAUGUAUAGUUUACUAUAAAAUAUUUCUAAUUCUUUCUUAUUUCAAACUAAAAAGUUAAUUUUUUAAUCAAAACUUUUUGUUUUUAAAAAUAAGUGAUACAAAAGGUUGACAAUUUUUUUUUAAAAAAAAAAAACAUAGAAGAAGAAUAAAUUUAUGAUAUAUGAAAUAUGUAUAUAUCUCAACUUAGAAUUAUUGUAUUCUAUGUAAAGAGGAUAUAUAAAGAGACUGGGUCAAUAAAUUAUCUUAUUGAAUAUUUGAUUGAACAUGAUAUAUGGUAAUUAAUGGAUGAGAUCAUUUACCCUAUCCUAAAGCUAACCAAUCCUAGGAUAAGAUAUGUUAUCUCAUCUCUUAUCUCAUCCAAUAUUAUGUAUAUCAAGUCAAGUAAUACAAUUGAGUUGCAUGGGAUGUGGACUACUAUUACUUUAAGAAGAAAUAUAGAAGUGAUAUAAACUAUUAAUAAGUACCAUAUGGGUAACUCUGAGUGAUUCAAUUUAACAUCCACCUAUCUAAAUAUAUUUAUAAUAGAUCAUCUUGGCUUAUGAAAAUUACAAAGUUGAAACAAAAUUUGGAGCACAACUAGUAAUAUGAAAACAAAUCAAAAUUGGUAUCAUCGCUACAUGCUAGUUACCUAAUUAUAUUUCUAGAGCAUUCAAUUGCCAAAGUGAAAUCCCAUGAAAAGGGCCAAGAAAUGGUGAUUGAGUAAGAAGCUUUGAUGAGAUGUGUUGCAUUGUUGGACGAGAUCUCGGAUUAGAAUGUAUGCAUUUGAGUGCCAACCAAACCACAAGAACUACAUCUCUAGCAACUUGUUGAUCUUGAGGAGAUGGGAGACGUGAAUCUAACAUAUCAGUGAGCAUUAUGUUUUGAGUUGAUGAGGAAGACAAUAAGGUGAAAAGUUCUCCUGGAUGCUUUCCCAUCAUUGUCUCAAGCGCCACCACUCCAAAGCUGUAAACAUCACAUUUUUCUGUCACGACCAUAGUGUAGGCAAGCUCUGUUAAGAAUCAAAACAAGAAAAAAAUAUUACACAUAUGAGCAAGAAACAUUCAUUUAGUUUUCUCAUAUUAUCCAUACUUAUAAAACGUUGAGAAUAUUUCAUAGCAUUGCAUUGACAUUUGGCUACAUUUUAUUUCUAAAUUAUGAUGAAAUUAUGUUAAUUUUUACAACUUAUAUGAAACCUUCGAAAAACCAUUCUAAGGAGAUUUUAAAAAUAUUUGGGACUUACUAGGAAAAUGAAGACAACUAUUUAGAAAAUGCUUGAGAGACCAUUGAUAAGUAUUUUGUAUAUAAAGUUCUCUUACUCUCAAAUAUCUCAAACCAUUUUUUACAACAUUUUUUAAAUAACCAUUAAGAAUUUCCUUUCUUUUUUUUUUUUUUGGAACUUUAGACGAAAUAAUUAAAAAAUAUAUAUUUAAGAUAUUUCAACUUCUAUGAAGGCCCUUUGGGCCCAUAACAAAUAAUAUCUACAUAGUUACGAGUGGGUCAUUACAAAUUGUAUUAGAGUUAAUCUAUAACCAUUAUGUAGAAGUUUGUUUGGCUCUACAAUCUCAUGGGACAUAAAUAGGAUGUUGUGUUUGCAUAAAGGAUGAGUGUGUUAUCCCACUAUAGAUAUGAAACAAAAAGUUCUGACAUUAAAUAUGAAUGAGUUUCCCUUAACCUUAUAGACAAUUUUUAAAUUCAUGUGGGCUCCUUGGACCCAAAGUGAAGAAUAUCUAUAUAGUUGGGAGCUAUUAUUUAGUUUGCAUGAGAAAUAUAAUGAAAAAUAAUAUAUUAAAGAUUUAGAAGAAUUUAUUCACUUUCAAGCUCUUCAUAAUUUUGAAAUAAGUAAUAAUAGUAGAAAAAGUUUGGUUUGGCUAGUAAUAAUAUUUCCUUUCCUUUCAUCCAACAUAAUUUGUGACUUAUAUGAAGUAUAUAAUAAGAAGUAUGAUUGUACUAAAUACUUCGAAUCUCAAAGAUAACAAACUUAUUAAAACGAAAACAACCAAAAGUUCAAAAGAUAUAUCGAAAGAGUAAAAGCUGAAAGAAAAACUGGUGUGUACUUACCUGGUGCUAUGUAACCAUAAGUGCCUGAAAGAAGGGUUUGAUUAGAUGAAUCAGGAUGUAGCAGUCUAGAGGUGCCAAAAUCCGAUAGAAAAGCAUCCAAUUUGGAGUCCAAAAGAAUAUUAUUGCUUGAUAUGUCCCUAUGAAUAAUGGGUGGAGUACAAUCAUGAUGCAUGUAGCAUACGGCAUGGACUAUGCUUUUAACCACAUUCACCCUUUUAAUCCAAUCCAAUUCCAAAGCUUCAACUUCAUUACUCAAUACACAAUACAAGCUUCCUCUUCCCAUGUAAUUGUAAAUCAAAAACAUGCAUCUUUUGUGUAGACAAUAGCCUUGAAGUUUUACAAUAUUUCGAUGGCGUAUCUUUGAUAAUAUUUGCACCUCAUUUUGAAAACUUUUCAAGUAUGUUGCCUCAUCUGUUUCCCAUCCAUGAAGCUUUUUCAGGGCUACCACAUUGCCUGUAGGCAAUUGAGCCUUGUAAACACUGCCAUAGCCUCCUGUACCUAUGCAAUAUUUGAUGUCAAAGUCUUCUGUUGCUUUAAUGAUAUCUUCAUAGGCAAUCUUCCCAUCAUAGUUCCAUACUGAAAAUAUAUCUCCAUUUUUUGUUGGUAUUUCCUUGGUUUGAAUUUUUCUUGUCUUCCGUGAAAGCAGGAGAAACCCAAGGACCACAAAAAAAAAGAAACAAGGUUGUAGACAAAGAAAUAACAAUGAUGCGUGUGGUUUUGUAUUCUUCUUUGCAAUGAGGCAAGCCUUUGAUGUCACCACAUAAACCUUUGUUAUUGUCAAAUGAACCUUGGGAAAAUUUAGACUGCAAUUCAAAGGGUAUAUGACCCUCUAAAUCAUUGUAUGAUAAAUCAAGUGAUGGCCUUAUGUGGUCAUAUAUUAGAAGAGUAGGAAUGGAACCAGAGAGUUUAUUGUGGGAGAGAUUCAAGUAUACUAAGCGCUUCAAGUUUUGGACUUGGGAAGGUAUCUUUCCAUGGAUCAAGUUGUCACUAAGGUCGAGUCUAGUUAGAUUAUUCAAAUUUCCUAUCGAAGAAGGGAUCUGACCACUGAUUUGAUUUCCACUAAUGUUGAACUCAUGUAAAUGAAUGAGAUAACCCAAAGAUGAAGGAAUAACACCGGUAAGAUUGUUGUGAUCCAAUCUAAGAUGGAUUAGAUUCUUCAGAUUCCAAAUUAUAGGAGGGAUAGAACCAUUGAUUUGAUUAUAACAAAGAUACAGAUCUGUCAAAUUGGUAAGAUGACCAAAUGACAAGGGGAUGCCACCCUGGAUUUGAUUGUUGAAGAGAUGUAAAUAAGUCAAAUUGGUAAGAUGACCCAAAGAGGAAGGAAUAGCACCGAUGAGGGAGUUAUGACUAAGGCACAAUUGAACCAAAUUCUUUAAAUUUCCGAUUUCAGAAGGGAUGGAACCGUUAAUUCGAUUGAAAUUAAGGAAUAAGUAUUCCAGAUUGCUUAAAUUGGCAAGGGGGGAAGGGAUGACACCAGAAAGAGAGUUAGAAACCAAAUACAAAUGAGUAAGAUUCUUCAAAUUCCCAAUUUGGGAAGGAAUAGAACCAUUGAUUUCAUUGAUGCUAAGGUCUAAAUAUUUCAGAUUCUUCAAAUAUCCAAGAGAGGGAGGGAUGACACCAGAGAGCCCAUAGUUAAAACUCAAAUCCAAAUGAAUAAGAUUCUUCAAAUAUCCAAGAGAGGAAGGGAUGACACCAGAGAGAUUGUUAUAAGCCAAAUCCAAUUCCUCUAAUAGAGUGAGGUUACCCAGUGAAACAGGUAGCUCACCAUAAACAUCACAUUCAGAUAUACGGAGGUAAGUGAGUUUUGUAAGCAUACCUAUCUCAUCUGGGAUGCGACCAUAGAUGGAAGAAUGGCUAACGUAGAGAUGGAGGAGGCUGGGAAAUGAAGAAAACUUCAACUUGCUAAGCUCAACCAUUUUACCAUCGAUAUAUGAAUAGGUAAUUCGAACGACAUGUCCCUCCGUAUUGCAGGUGAUGCCUUCCCAUGUGCAGUGAUGAGAAGUCGUGUUUUCCAUGUACCACCACCAAGUGGAGUUGCGGAGAGCCUCGGCCUCAGCCUCCACCUGUGCCUCCGUUGUAGCAGCAGCAGCAGGUGGUGAUGAGAUCAAGAGCAUGUUAUAUAAUAACAAUACCAUUGAAACCACCAACGCCCUACAAGUAAUGGAACACCACUCCAUUUUUGCUUGUUUUCGAUUAAUAUUGCUUUGCCCCAGUUUCAGCCUUUAUUAACUCGUGUUUCAGCGGCUGCAACUCAAGCCAGUCAAAGAAGUCGGCUGGAAAUUCAGCGGAAAUGAAGAUAAGAUCAAGAGCAUGUCAUAUAAUAACAAUACCAUUGAAACCAACCAACGCCCUACCAGUAAUGAAACACCACUCCAUUUUUUCUUGUUUUCGAUUAAUAUUGCUUUGCCCCAGUUUCAGCCUUUAUAACUCGUGUUUCAGCGGCUGCAACUCAAGCAAGUCAAAGAAGUCGGCUGCAACUCACGCAAGUCAAAGAAGUCAGCUGGAAAUUCAGCGGAAAUGAAGAUAAUUAAUAUUUUUGAAAUUUUAAAAUAAAAACUCAAACGAUAAUGAUAUUAUAAAAAAAUAAUAUUCACAAUUUUUUUUUAAAUUAAUUUUAGGAAAUAAUAAAACCUCACCUGUAUUUAGAAAAUGAUAUAAUAUUUUCUAACUCUAAAUAUAUGUAUUAUAAAAAUAUUACAAAUUUUAACGUUAUGUCAAUCAUUGCAAAAUAAAUGUUUUAUUUACCUUAUUAAUUUCAUUAAUUCUAAAAAGGAAAUCAAGGCAAAUUCUAUUUUAUCUUUUCUUCUUUUGUCUUCAAAUCAUACCUACUUUACAGGUGUUGAGCAAACUACAUAAAGUCAACCAAGUCUUCGUGGGCUCAUGUGGCUGGAAACUAGGUGGAUGAAGUAUGAAUAGAGCAAAAAUGUAUACCUAAAAAAAUAAAAAACUUCUAUAAGAAAAUGGUAGAAAUCUUGUACUGCAAUGAUACCUGAUCAACAACUCAAAUAAAAAUAAAAAUAAAAAAUUAAUUAACUUUUAGAAACUAAAUCAAAUUUUCAUCUUGAAAAAUUCCCACUUCAGUUUUACAACCACUUAAACAACAUUCCGUAGUAUGAUUUCACCAAUAGUUAUCAUGUAAGUAUAUAUAUAUAUAUAUAUAUAUGAUUGAGUGGGAAAUAUAAUUGAAAGUGAGAGUUUACAUGCGUUCUAAAUUAUAUGCAUUGCAUAAAAUACAAACUUUUCAACUCUUUUUAAUUUUUUUUAUUUUAUAAAUAUUUUUUUAAUGUAAUAUGUAACUUGAUAAAUAAGAGAACAAAAAAUGAUGAAAGUCAUAUAUAUUAAAAAUAAUAAAAAUAUAAAAUAAUUGAGGGGGAAAUACAAUUGAAAGUGAGAGUUUGCAUGUGUUUCAAUUAUAUGAAUUACACAAAGUACAAACAUUUCAAUUUUUUUAAAAAAAUUUAUUUAUUAUUUUAGAAAUAUUUUUUUAAUGUAAUAUGCAUGGUUUUAAAAACUAGAUGAGACCGUCGAUCGGUCACCGUUUCUAUCCGAUUCACACCUUUGAGUUGGACAGUUUUUGAAUCGCCUUGAGACUGAUGAACCGAUUGACCUGACCGAUUUUGGACAAAAAGAACGGUUCAAAAAAUAUAUAUCAAUCUCAAAACACUAUCACCAUGAUGACGCCAUUCUGACGGUCCUAACAUUGACUCUUCCCAUAAGUAAUAAUUCAAUAAAUUGUUUUAAAGUUUUGAUAUAGAAAUGUCAAAGUGACUAAAUUUGUGGCUCUAAAUUAAUAAUUUUGUGAAUUUUAAAUUUAGUUAUUAAAUAAGUUAAAAAAAAAUCUUGAUAUUUGAAUUGAUUAUCUUUAAAGAGAAAAACUUUAAAAUAUCCAUUAUAUACAUAUAAAUAUGUUAUUGAAUGAAAAUACCAAUUAUAUACAUAGAAGUUUGUCAUUGAUUGAAAAUAAGAUAUGUGAUAGAGAAAAGUUAUUUUUUUGGUAUCAUAAUUAAAUUUAAAAAAUAAAAUAAAAUAGUGAAUUAAUAAUUCAAUAACAUAUCAAUAUUUUAAUUUUAACAUUUCAUAUCUGUGGUUAAAUAUGAAUUAUUAAAUAAAAAUGUCAUAAAAUAAUAUUUGAAUAUACAAACCCAAGAUUAUGAGUCUUUCACUCACAUUUUUAUAUUUUUUUUUAUAUUUUAUAUUUUUAUUUUUAUUUAUUUUAUUUUUUUAUUUCCAUUAUUAUUUAUUUUCAUUUUACAAUUGUAAUUUUUUUAACUUUAUGGUUUCUAAAAUUAUAAUUUUAAUUCAAAUAAAUGAAAAUAUUAUGAUUUUAAAUAAAUUUAUGAAAAUAUUGUGUUACUCAUAAUUUAUCAUUUUUAUUUUUAAAAUUAUUUUUAAUUUUAAUAAUAUAUAAAAAUAUAUAUUUAUGACGUCACCGGUUCAAUGCCGAUCCGACUAGUGAACCGGUAACUUUUUCAUUUCAAUGAUCGAUUCGAUUAUGAAAACAUUGGUAAUAUAUCAAAGAAGAUAAAAAUCAUUUAAAUAUAUUCUAGCCUUUUACCCAUCAUUCUCUAAAAAAAGAAUGAAAUGUUGAAGAUUUUUGUAACUUGACAUGCAGAAGAUAAAUUUAUAUUUUUUGAUAUAAAAAAAUUAUAAAAAUUGAAAAAUAAAAUUAGGGACAUUGAUCAUAUAAUACAAUGGAUGUCAUUAGCAAAUUCUAAUAAGAAGGUAAAAAAAUUAUACCCUUUGUAAGUGCAUUUUUAAUUUAAGUUGAUAAUUUUAUCUUUUUUAUUCACAUGUAGGACAAUUUAUAUUACUAUAUCAUAUACUUCAUCAAAGAUUUAAUGUUUCUAAUAAUUAAUCAAGGAUGAAAAGGGUUUUUUUUUUUUUUUUUUUUUUUUUUUACAUAUAACGAAAACUAAAAUUAUUUCUUGUUUUUAUUUUUUUUACAUAAUAGCAAAUAUUUCUUAUUUUUUAUUUUAAUAGUAAUAAAUAAUAAAAUUAGAAUUAUUAAACAUUUUAAUAUAAUUAUAAACUAAAACAUACUACAUAACACAUUAAAACCAUCAACGCAUUAUUUGAUCAUUAUCUUAAUUACAUGGUUAGCCGAGAUUGUUGAGGGUUCGCAUUACCGGGACCACUGCAACUGCCUGAUGGACGCGCCUCCUCAAUUGAAGAUUAUGCUUCCUUUCUUCGACCUGCAAAAGAUGUUCGGAUAGGGCGUCCGGACACACCCUCCGAUGAUUUUGUUAGUUUUUCUCUCUUAACACUUUGAUAUUCUCUCUUGGGCCCUCCUCCUUAGGAAAAAUGCUUACCUUCUUUUAUUGUGUGGGGGCCUUUUAGAGUGCUAGGAGCUUUGUCCCUUUUAAUGGUGGGAAGACUUUUUGGCUUGUCAUGAUGGUGCUUAGAUGGUGGCAGAGCCAUCAUUAUCCUGCAGGUGGCUGUAAGAGAUUAUUGGGGGGAUGACUUGUCGUCAUCCUUGUCUUUUCAUCCUGCAGGCGGUGCAGGGCAGGUCGUGGCAAAUUGCCUGAAGUGACCUAGAAGGGUCCUGUCAAGCUAUUGAGUCUGCUUUUAGUAGUAUGAAUAAUGAUGGCCCGUGAAACGCGAUCAAGACUUUUGUCUAAGACGCUAGCCACUGAGUCCAGACAGGACAUCCGGACAAGGGAGGUGUGGAUGGCAUGCCCGUCCCAUGGUCAUCUGGAUGGAGGGUUGGACGCGCCACGUGUCCAAUGGAGGAGUGCUCUUAUGGUGGGAUAUUAGAGUAUGGGAGGAUUCUCACCUCCAUCAUUGCCAGAGUCAUAUGCUGCCAUGGUGCUUAUGCUGCUUUCACUGCACACAAGUUAUUUUGAGUUUCUAAUUAACCUUAACAGAACAAUAAAAAUUAGACUCCAAAAGAAUCAAGUGAUUAAAUUAAGUUAAAUACACACCUCUUUUAUCCACCAAAAGCAAACCUAAAUUAAAAGAUGAAAAAAAAAUAAAAAAUCAAGGAGCUGAAGUACUUACUAAGAUAAUUGGAAAUGGGUCACGAAGCUUAAGAAAAAUUUAAAAAUUAGAAAUUUAAUUCCUUCUCCAAAGCACUGCUGACAAAGGAGAGAGAACUUUAAUGUUAGCACUGAUUCAUUCCCAAUUGGUGUCUCAGCUGAUUCAUGUCCUCUCAAUGGUCCCUGAUAAUGGUACCAUUUGAUUUGUGUCCAGUUGGUGUUCCUUGAUUGUGGUCCUCAAAAGGAAGUAAUCAACAAAAUUUAUAACCUAUAUCACCAUGCAUUAGGAUAGUCUUAGCUAAUAUAGCAUAGUGGCUCUAGGAUCGUUCACUAGGAAGGGUUUUCAACUUACAACUGAUACCAAUUCAAAGUUGAAUUGGUACUUUUUCAUUUCAAGGUUAGCUUAAGAAGAAAACAUAAACUUUGGUUGAAAAAGGUUUUGUUUUAAGCUAACUAAAAAGAAAGUAAUGGAAAUUACUUAUGAAAGAAAGCAUUCCUUGGAGUUUUAGGUUCAAAGAGGAGGCUCCUCAUGCAAAAACAGAGCUCCGAUCACUUGAAUCUUUUCGUCGCAUUAGAGAAUUAACAUAUAGUUAAUUCUCUAACCGGUGUUGUACAGAUGUUUCCCUUUAAUGGAUUUCAGCACUAAUUCCCUCUCACUGAUGCAACUUGCAAUGGCUCAUGCCUCUCACCUAGCAUUUGCCAUUCAAGGUGAUCAUUAACCUUGGACUUCCCUUCUCAAGCUCCAAGAGAUAACUAAUGGAUGUCUCCUUAGAGUCCAAAAGCUUACUAAGUGUUGGCAAUUCUAGAAAAUCCUACCUUCAAGUCACCUCCCAAAAGCUCGCAAGAGAUAAACUAGUGCAUCUCCAUGGAUGGAGAUCACUUGCCUUACCAAGUGUUGGCUCAGGUGAAUUGAAGGUGUUUUAAGUUGACUAAAAACAUAGAAAUCAUUAAUGGGUCACACUUUCUCUUCAUUAAUGGCUGAAACAACAAAACUACCAAUUCUUGCAUUUGGGGCCUUACCUGGCAACCUUAGCUCCAAGGAACUAAAAGCCUAGCCACUCAUUCUCUGAGGAAACAUCCUCAGAGCUUGUUUGGCUAGUAAGAAAAAUUAAAUAAUAUACAAUACAAUCAAAACGAGAAGGUAAGGCAGAGCAAAGGCUCUGUAUUUUACUUCCUUGCAAAACUAUACAAAGGAUGUCUGAGAACAAGCUCCCGACCUCUUGUAAUGGAAAUUACAAACAAUAUAUAUGAGGGUAUUUACCCUUUGUUCUUGCUUGAUAACUAAGGAAUCCUAUGAUAGGUGGAUUACAAGGAGAGUUUGGGGAUUUAGACAUCAAAUAUCUAAAGCAAAAAAAAAAUCUAAAAAUGUCGCAAAUAUCGGGAAGCUUCAAGAGAAUUUCGCAGCCGUGCAAGAUGGCUGCAAAAUUUCGCAGCAUGAAGGACACCAUUUCGCAGCCAAAGGCUGAUUUCGCAGCCAUCCUCUUGUGAUUUCGCAGUCCGCGAAAUUGGCCUCAACUUGGAGUGAUCGGCUUCCAAUGGCUCUAACUCCUUCAUUUCAACUCCGAAUCACGUACCAUUUGAAGCGUUGGAUUUCUGACUUCCCGAGCUUCGAAACGACAUAUAGUAUACAUAAUUUGAGCUCCAUGAAGUGCUCCAAAAGUGGCUGACAGAGACUGUCCUCUAGAAUGUUUCAUGGUAGAUUUCUCUCUUUGCUUUCCCUCCUUGCAUUCUGGAUUUGCUUAUGGAAAAGGACUCUAAAGCUUCAAAGCUUUGGUUCUUCAUGUUUUUAAGCUUUCCAUUGCUUUGCCAUGGAUUCCAAAGAACUCUCCUCAAACUCGGAUUGCUUUGGUGAUCAAAUUACUAACAAAAACACCAAAACUUACACAAUUUGAUUAGAAAUGAUUGCAAAGGUCCUUAAUAUGUUAAUUGGGCUAAAAGGUAAUAACUACUACUCAAAAGUGUUUAAAAGAGUUAAUUACAAGCUAUCAAAUAGCACCUUUGAGUAGUAAUCAAGCACAAAAAGGGAUCUUCGUGAUGCUAUAUUUUACACCGCACAUGCUUGUGUCUUCUAUACCUUCCAAUUUGCAAAUAACUCUGCCUCUUCUAAUCCACAUCAAUCAAUGGUUUCCUUCUCAUAUUUCCAAUUGAUUGAUCUGAUCUGAUUUUCAAAGUGGGUACAUGCAUCUUCUUUCUAACAUGGAGAUUACUUGCCAAGCAAUUGGCUGCGCGCAUUAAUCAUUUCCCAUGAUAUCUAGUUGCAUAAAGAAAAGUAAGCUCUCAAGCCUUUUGCUAAUUGAUUAAAAUCAUAGUGAAGAAGACAAUAAUUACAUAAUAAUCAAAUACUGUUCACAGUGAAUGAGACAUGAAAGCUCUAAGCAUUUUCAAAAUUCUUCUACUAAGUGAACAACCAAAUUGUAUCCAGUGUAAAGGUCAAAUCAUCUUCAAGUAACUUGCCUGCUUCUCAUGGUGCAUUAUCUAAAAAUCUAAAAAUCUUGUGACGAAUGACUAAGGCUUCCAAGAAUAUUUGAUGUAUUGAGCCAACAAAUAUUAGACAUAGAAUCGACACACAUAAGUAUUGUAGUCCUUUGUCCUACUAAAAAGAAUGAAUAAAUUAUUAGAUCAAUUAUUAGUGUCUGAAUACUGUAAUUUAAGUGUUAUAUUCUUGCUUACUUCACCACAAUAUUAAAGAAGAUUUGACAUUAAAAAAAAGUAAUAAUUAUUCAUAUUCAUGCCAUGAACAAGGACCUCUUUUAUGUUAUGGAUAUAUAAAAUAUAUUAACAAUCCAUUAUGCUAUGUUUGAGAGCUCACACACAAAACAAAGUAUUGGAAUAAAUUAAUAUAAAUUCAGGACUGAUAGCUCCUAUCCUACUUCCGCCCUUUUUAUGAAAGCAAUUUCCCAUGCUUGGGCCAAACUUGUGAUCGGGAGGAGCAAAUUGGGGUGGGUAAGCAUAAUUGAUAUUUAUUCUUGCCCAAUUUUCCCCUCAAUUUCUGUAAUUCGAUUAUAACAAGCUAAAUUAGGUAUCAAUAAUUACUAUGAGAAAAAAAAAUGGGAUUAAAGGUAUUUCUCUUCUUAGCAAUCAUACAUUACAAAGAGAAUCAAGAUUGCUUACCUAUCAAUUUUCUUUUCUUCUACAACAAGUUAAAAUUAUAGAAUAAAAUAAAUUAAUAAAAUGAAAAUACUAGCAACCAAACUAGUAAAAAAUUUGUUGGACCUUCAAAGAGAUGAUGAAGAGAAUACUAAAAAUGAUGAAAAUAUUGUUGGCAACAACAAUAAGAGUAUAGUACUGAUGUGACAACAAUAAUGACAAAGAUUACUAUGACAUUAGAGGGAAAGAGUACCCAUGAUGCGAAUCAUUCAUAGAGAUGUGAACAACGAUAGUGAUAGAGAUGACUAUGAUACUAGAGCUAUAAUUGGAGUGAAGCUAAGAUAAGUUCCUCACAAGCGUUGAGGUUCAUUGAUAAGAAUUAUCACAUCAAUUUCUUGUCUUAAGGAUGCUCAUCUUUGCUAUAGUUUUUUUUUUUUUUUUAAUCUUUGAAUUUUGGGAUAAUUUUGUUUUGGACCCAGCUAGGCCCAAAAAUUAAGUAUUGGUCCAUAUAAGUUCACCAUUUAAGCCCAAGACCCAAAGGAAGUGUGAAAAUCGAGAAGAAGGAUAUGAAUUUUUUAUCUUUCUGAAAAUGACCUUUGUUGACUAUGAAAAAAGAAUUUAGAAAAAUCCACUCUGAAAUUCUAUUUAUGUUACCCUAAUUUUACUCUCUUCGACAUUUCAUUUCAGCCCUAGAUAGUGGCAUUUUUCAUCUCUUCCAAUUUCCUCCCUCGCUUCCAUUUCAUUUGAGGCCUAAACAUUGCCCUAAUCUCUGAGGCGAUUUCCUUAUCUCUCAAUUUCGUCUCUCCCAACCAUUUGAUUUCAAGCCAGUGGCAUUUGUCAUCUCUACUGAUACAUUACCCUCAUCAAUCCCCAUCGAUGUUACCCUUCGUGUCAUAGUAGUUGGAUAUUUGAGGUUAGUUGGUUCUCCAAUUUCAUUUUCUCUUGAUUUCGUCUCUCGACCAUUUGAUUUCAACCCAAAUACAUUGCCCUAAUUUCUCUCCUGAUUUCAAUUUGUUGUCUAUUGUUCUCUCGUCAAUCCCCACCGGCGUUGCCCUCUAUGUCAACCGUAGUUGGAUAUUUGAGGUUAGUAAGUUCUCUAAAUCUAGCCCUAGAUUUGUUUAAUCCUACAUUUUGUUUAAUUGUCAUUGGUAUGGGGAGAGAGAUUCUUGUUUUCUAUUAACCUUCAGUUUACGAAGUAAAUUUAGGGUGCUAUUAAUAUUUUUUGCAACCUAUCUGUGAAUGGAAAUAGUUUUUAUUUAUUAUAGUGUUUUUUUUUGCUGAGAUACAUAGGUGACUUAUGAAAUUUGGGUGCUUGGGUUUUCUCUUUUUACACUAAUGGAUUUUUUCGAUAGUUGAACCAAAUUCUAGGGAAGGAAUGUUUCAAAAUUAUGCACCAUCCCUACUUAAUUUUUGGAUAGUAGUAUUCAUUUGUACCCUGUUUUAUUGGUGAUACUACUAGUGGCCCCCGUUUUUUGUUCCAAGAUAAACAUGCUUAGUUGUUAUCUGCCUUUUAUGAGUGGUUAUGAAUUGUUCUCCUCAUGACAUAAAUUGAAAUUAUUAUGCGCCUAAAUAUAGUGAGUAUCUAAAUGGAAUUCGAUGAUGGCACCAAGAAAUAAAAUGUGCCAAUAUUCUUAAAAAAAUAAAAAUAAAAAUUAUUGACCAUGUUACCCUUCAACCUUGAGGACUAGGGUUAUGGAAUCAGAUUCAACCAACAUUGGCUCACACUUACCUCAAUAUGAGCAUGAACCUGUGUCCCGUGUGAAGGAAUAGAUAGCUUAUAUGACUUAUCAACACCAUUUUGUAACUACACAACACAACAAAUUUCACUGGCAGAAUUGGCAUUUCUUCAAUAAAAUAAACAGAAUAAUGCAAACUAAAACAAACUUCGAACAACUUUUAGAGACAAACAUGUGAAUAUGAAAAUAAAGUUCUAAUGAAAAAGGAAAUCAUACACUACUAUUUUCCUUAAGGAAAAGAAUUUUGUUCCAAACCUUCGGCUCAGGGUUUGAUUUCCACCUCAAAAAAAGUACUCAUCAAAUAGAAUGUAUAGAACAUCACUACAGUUCCCAUACCAAGUCAAUUUUUAAAUUUUUGUAAGCAUAAAUUGAAAUUAUAUGAACAGUAAAACUCCUAUGCAUUACAGUACCUAAAAACCGAAUCUCUUAUCUUCAUUCAUAAAAAAAAAGUGCUUACUCAAAAGUUGUAUUCAGAUCAUGAUUUAACUUCAAUUAUUUAGAGAUCUCCUUAUGGAAUAAAUAAAAGGGUUUGCUUGAACAAUGUCAAGUGUACCAAAUGGACUUGGUUUUCUUAAUCAAGUCUCUGAAUCAGUGUUAAGUUUGCUUUAAUAAUAGAAAGGUUUUUUUAUUCUGUUAGUAGUUCAGAGUCAUAUGCACACGAGCAUAGGUGUAAAUGAUGCUAUGAACAAGCUGUGGAACCUCAAAUUAGUUUAUCAAUGUAAGGUUGAAGACCUAGUCAGGUACUUCAUUCAUAGGAACAUGAAUUACUUUUAUGAAGAUUAUGGAGCAUAAGAUCACAUAUGUUAUUGAAUAAGCUAGGAUUUAGGGCUUGGUAGUUAAAAGUUGUAGUAGAAGUGAUAUUCUGAUGCCUAGGUUAAAUGUUUCAGUAGCUACUAUGUCUCAUGUAUAUGUUAUUAUUUGUUAUUAUUUGUUUCAAUCCAUUAUUCUGAUUUCAGGGAAUGUUUUAUUUUUUUUCAUGCUUGUCUUUAUGAAAAAAAAAAAAAAACUUUCAAAAGUGACCAACACUAAGUCAUGCUAGGGUGAGCAUUUCUUAGGGUCAAACAAGGCACCCACUCCACUUUAGCCCAUGUCGUUGCAAUUUUCAAUAUAAUAGAAAGAACACAAAAUACAAAAAAAGUAAAAAAAAUAUGUUUGUGUUAUUACCUAUUAUUACUUCAAUUGACUGUCAAUAGACUGCGUAAUUAAUAGUUAAAAGUUAUCCAUCUUAACUUCUCCAUUUCAGCAUGCUUAUUUGAUGUGGGUAGGCACCAUUAGUAUAGGGCCUUCCCUAUUAUUAUUCUCCUUCCUAAUACAUAAAGGGGUUUCAAUCAUACAAUUAAUGGGGUCUCAAACAUAAAGAAUUUUAACAAAUAUGGAUGUGACAAUUCAUCCCUAAACCUAAUAAAAAUACCCUCAGUCCUCCACAAACCUUGGUUCCAAUUCCAAAAACUGUACUAACCCAAAAACCACUUCAACAGAUGGAACAUAUUUUCAUGUUCAAAGGAGGUCAUUGGGCAUAUACCCCACUACCAGUUCUGCAGCGACUUUAGAUCUUCAAGGGAAUUCUUGCUUUUCAAAUUUGUUUGACCCAAAGGAAUUGUGGAGGAAUUACAUGAUCUUCACACAAUCUUUUCCCCCAAACUUCACCAUCUUUCUCCACGAACCAUACUCAAAUUCUCUCUUUGAAUUUAUUUUAUUGGACAAUAUACCCAGGUCAUAGCCACAUACACAUUUUAAAGAUAUCUAACAUGGCAACUUCAAUUGAUCGCAUAUAAAACCCAAAUUUUACAAACAUCUGCUAUGGAAAUUUGAAGGGUAUAUUUGUCUAAUAAUAUUCUAUAUCUUCUCUCUCAAUUAUGCAACUUAUAUGGCCCAAAGGUUAAUUUUUCAUUAGAAAUGAGUGUGUGAGUUCUUCAAAAGCAUUUGAAAUCCAUCAAGAUAGGUAGUCUUGUACACCCUUGUAUAGUUAACACAUUUGCCUUGUACACUUAGUGCAAAUGCCUUGUACAGUCAUAGAAAUUCCAUAUAGGUACAACUGAACAAGUGCUUAAGGGUGGGUAAACAAUGUUUCCAUUCUCAUGGAUCAAGGAAAAUGAGAAAAAAAAAUUACCUUAAUUUCGGUUCAUAUUCAUGAUUAGUGGAUGAUCUAAUAAAAUGAAUGAACAUGGUAGACAUCAAAUAAAAUGCAUGCAAUGGGUGUGUGGUCAAGCAAUGUGUGUGAAGAAUGUCCCCCAUGAUUGGAAAAAGUAAAUGAGUAAGUUCUUCAAAAUCAUUUCAAAUCCCUUAAGAUAGACACCCUUGUACACUUUUGUAUAGUUAGUACAUUUGCCUGGUACACUUUGUGUAAAUGCCUUGUAAAGUGGUAGAAAAUCGACAUAGCUACAAUUGAAAAUGAGAGCAUAUGGGUGGGGUAACCACAUUCCAAUGUCAUGGCUGAGCAAAAAUGGGGAAAAUGAAACCCAAUUUAGGUACCUAUUCAUCAUUACUACGGUAGCUCAUCCAAUGAAUGUGUACGAAGAGGAAUGAGGAAUGUCCCACAUCCUUAGAAAAGGGAAAUGAGCAAGCCAGUUUUUCAAAAGGAUUUGAAAUCCUUCAACAUAGGUACCCUUGUACACCUUUGUAUAGUAAGCACAUUUGUCUUGUACACUUAGUGUAAAUGCCUUGUAUAGUGGCAAAAAAUUGACAUAGCUACAACUGAACGCAUGCAUAUGGGUGGGCUAACCAUGUUCCAAUGUGAUGCCUAAGGUAAAAGGGGGAAAUGAAACCCAAUAUAGGUUCAUAUUCAUCAUUAGUACGGGAGGUCAUCAAAUGAACAUGUAUGAAGUAAUAAAAUUGAAUGGGAUCAGUGCGUGAUCAAGGAAUGUGUGUGACAAAUGUCCUUCAUCCUUACAAAAUGGAAAUGAUUUUAAACAGAUUUGAAAUCCUUUAAUAUAGGUACCUUUGUACACCCUUGUGCAGUUAGCACAUUUACUUUGCACAAUUAGUGUAAAUGUCUUGCACAGAGGAAGAAAUUCCAUACAACUACUACUGAAUAUCUGCUCAUACAUAGGUUAAUCAUGUUUGUAAUGUUUUAGUUCAUAAAAUAAGGAAAAACUGAAGUAUCAAUUUCUUCCCCAACUACUAGUCAUCAAACAUAAAGGAGUUUCAAUCAUACAAUUAAUGGGGUUGUGUUUUGGAUCAUAGCAUAAUAAUUUUCAUAAAUAUGAAUGUCACAAUUCAUCCCUAAACCUAAUAAAAACACACUCAAUCCUCCAUAAACCUAGGUUGGAAUGCCAUAAAAUAUAGUUACCCCACAAUUCUACUCCAAAAGGCCAUAUACCUUAUUUAACGUAUUUUCAUCUUCACAGGAGGUUGUUGAGCCACUGGCAUCAUCAUGACCACACUUGUAGCUGCUUUAGAUCUUCGUUGGAGUUAUUCCUUUUCUCUAUUUUGUGUAGUGGACCAACCUCACAAUCAUGACAACCAUCUUCUUUGCUUUUAAUAUACGUUUGAUUUGAAGGAUAGUUAUUAUGGAGGAAUUGCAUCAUCAUCAGAGAAUCUUCUUCCCCAAACUCACCGUCUCUCUCUGUCAACCAUACCCAUUUCUUUUCUUUGGACGAUUGACCCAACAAGAAGAUUUUUAAGUCGGAUUUUUAAGACAAGUGACAUGCCAAACUUAAGGAGAUCUUCUCCAUUUAUGAGUUGCUCACAAUCCUCAGUUGUUGAAGGAAUUGAUUGGGGGACGUCAGAGUCGAGGGAAAAAAAGGGGUAGGAGUGGUGACCGACCUUUAUUUCAAAUUUUUAAGAUAAGUGACGUGGCAUUUUUUUAUUGGUCUCUUAAUAUUUAUAUCCUCCCCAUCAAUUAUGCAACUUAUAUGGACCAAAGCUUAAUUUUUGGGCCCAGUUGGGUCCAAAACCAAUUGUCCCUUAAAUUUUUGCUACUUUUGUAUGUUACUAAUGGAAAUGUUCAUUAUUGAGAGUAGGAAUGACUUUGCUAAAGAUUAAAACUCAUUAUUUCAUGUCGGUGAAAAUGAGUAUGACUUCAAAGGUGGAUAGUGUGAUAAGAUUUAGGGUUUGAGAUUUGAGAGAGAGGGAGUUGUUAAUGGAAAUGGGGUUAUCUUUUUCCACUUUUCACUUUAUAUGGGGAGUAUUUGGAAAUAUUAAGAAUAUAAAAAACAAAUUAAUUUGUCUUUUUCAUUGAUAAGAGGGGCAAGUGGGAGUGGGUUAACACAACCUAAACUUGUCCAAGAUAUAUAAUCCCAUGCUUGACUUGCUUCAGUUAGGAUUUUUUCAAAUCCAUUCCAUUAGAAGUGGCAAUGAUAGCUAAUGCCACAUAUUAAAAACAAAACCAAAAUUAAGUACUAUUUAUUAUUUUUAAAAAGAAAAAUAUGAGGAUGAUGUAAAAUUAUUAGCAACAUGUGUUCAAAAAUCAUUUUGGAAACUUUUUGUCCUCUUGAAAAUGAAUAAUUUAAAAAAAAAUUGUUUUUCAAUUUGUGUUUUAAAUAAGGUAAGUUUUUAACAAUUGAAAAUGAUUAAUUAGUUUUGUAGGUACACUGGAAACUAUUGGUUAGUCGCAAAAUAAGAAUCUUCUAUAAAGUUAAACAAAUGUUUUCCUAAUGAAAUUCAUAAUUUCCCUACAGAUGAUCAAUAUAUCAAAUGCCACAAUAUUGAAGGUCCAUCAAUAAAACUGAGAAAGAUUAAGUUAGUCUAAUUGUUACGCCUACAAAUAAAAGAAAUUGCAAAAUAGCUUAUUCAAAAACCAACUAUACAGACCGAGAUGCAAUAAUACUAUCAAGACUAAGAUCCAUGUCUUUGAUAAUGUUUAUAUUCAAAGUACUUUAAAUGAAAUUCUUGAUGAAAAAAUAACUUAUUAAGCAUUUCUCCAGUAAAUACUAUAAGUGAUUUUUCAACUUUUUAAAUUUUACUAAACGCUUAUUUUUUUCUUUAAAAAUACUUUUUAAAAUUGCUAUCAAAUGGGCUCAAAGAUGAAAAGAUUUCUCAUCUCCAUAUGUCGAUGCAAAUAUAAAUAUAUGAACAUUUCAUUUAGUUUCAUAUGAUAUAGAUGGUAAAUAAUUUAAUUGGUGCAUAUUAUUUUAAAAUUAACUCUUAUAACACUAGUCAACAAUAAGAUCAUCCAAUUCUCUAGUGUGGGAUGCUCAUGUCCAUCUAGUAUGACUCUUAAUUUGUGUAGCCGUAUCUUCGUCCAUCCAUCCAAGGAUUUGGACGGAUAAAGACUAUCCAAGCACUACUUAUUACUACCUGUCAAGCACUAAAUACAAAACACAUUAAGAACAUUGAGUGUCACAACCAUUACUAAGCAUAAAUGACAGACUUUAGAGCUCAAAAACUGUUAUGCAAGCCAAUUAAAAGGCAUUAAAGGCAAUUGAAACACAUGGGACAUGUUAUGGCUUGGCUGAAGAUAAAUAGCCAUCAAACGUCAGAAUGAAGGUAGACAAUUAGAACCCAUUGACCUCUUACCCAACUCCCCUCUGUCUAAUUUAAGCUUCAGAGAGGUGUGCCUUGGAAAACCAUCUGGACACUCUUUAUUGUAGGUAUACUUGUCGUCCAAACCAAGAGGAGGCCAACCAGAUGCAAACAUUGUUGGUCAUGCACCAACAUCUAGGACUUAAAAAAAAAAGAGUGGCAAGCCCCAUGUUGCUUCAACUAGUAGUUGUCAAUUCUAAAUACCCCACACUCCAAAUAACACCCUAAUUAGUUAGGGUUGUUCCAAAUCAUCACUACUCACUCUUAGAAAUUUCAUGUUUAUUCCUUUAAGUUCUUGCCCAUACAAUCAAAAUUCAAAUAAAUUUACUAUAUAACAAAAUUAUUUCCACAUGUAUAAAACUAUUAUAUUUUAAAUAUGAGUCUUUUAUUACGAAGUUUUUUUACAAACUGAUAAAUAAAUACAACAUUAAUUUCAUUUGACAUUUGCUUCAAUAUAUCAUAUAAUGCAUUUCCUAAAUUCCUAAAUAAUUUUGUCUCAUUUAGAUUAAUUAAAUUGUCUUAUGCAUUUCUAAGCUUCCUUAGUAAUUUUAUUUUCGUUUAGAAAAUAGUAACUAGUGUUAUUUCAAUUAGGAAGGUAACUUUACUCUCAUGUGGCUACUUUAUUAAGCAUUUUACUAUUAAGGAGCAUUAUAUAUAUACCAAAAUCUUGCAAGUUUAAGCUUUUAGGAAAAUUGUUAAUUCAACAUCGUAUCAUAAAUUUAUUUCAAAUUUUAUAUAAUGAGUGGAAUUAUGCACUACAAGGAAAAAGGUAUAUGAUGACAUUUAUAACGAGUCACCAUAAACAUAAGGUGUCACUACAACAUAGCGUCACCUUCUCCACUGACACCAUAGAGGGUACCAAUUGGUGACGUAUUUGGAAGUGACACCAAAGUAGAUAAAUGGUGAUCCAUUCAGAAGUGACACCAUAUAUUUCUAGUGAUGAUAAGGUGUCACAUUAAAUACAUCAUCUUUGAGUUAUGAUGUCACAUUAAAUGCAUCACCUUUGAGUUAUGGUAUCACAUCAUUGUAAAUUAUUGUGGAAUAUAUGAUUGGUUUUAGUUGUUGAUUUUUGUAAUGCUUAUGAAUUAAUAAGAUUAAAUUGUUUAUAUUUUGUCCAUAAACAUAACAAUCAUAUUAUAUUUAACUCAUUUUUCUGUAAUGUUUCUAAAAUAACUCAUAAUACAUUGAUCAUCUACUAAUAUUUGUAUAUCAAAUGUUCACAAAAGGAUAGUACGUCCAACAUAUCAAACCCAUCAAAACUAAAAAAGAAGAGUGAAUACAUACCAAAACAUGAUUUAGAAAUGUUAAAGAUCCCAAGAUUCAUGUAUACCUCCAUUUCAUAAGCAUAAAACCAGCUAACCAUAAAAUGACAUAGAAGUCCCAUCUAAAAAUCUAAAUUUCUCAGUUGCAAUUAAAGUAACGUUUAUGUCCUACAACGUAUGACAUAAGAGUUGCAUUUAAAAACCCAAAAUCUUGUUGCCUUCUUCUUUCUUUUUAUUCUCCAUUUCACCCUCCCAAGAGUGUAUACCUGCAUUUCAAAAUUUAAUGAGUUUUAGAGAUUUUUAUUGAAGAAAAUAAGCAUGGAUCUAUGUUAUCAUAAAUGAACAAAUCUAAGAAUUAAUUUUUUUUUCAAAUAGAAACAUUAUUCAAAGAAUAAGCAUUACUAUACAAUACCUAUGGAAAAAUUCAUGUAGUAGCUAAGGGACUCACCAUGCAUGGUGAUCAUGAUGCAUCAACAUGAUUCAUGAUUAGUUGUAGCACAAAAGUAGCCCAUUCUCCUCUAAUUUCAUCGAAUUCUACUUGAGAAUAUGUUUUUUUUAUUACCAAACUGAAAUCAAAUAAGAAAAUAACAUUAAAAUGCAUAACAUUUGGAAGCCUAAAACUAUGUACAAUUCAUUAAAUAAGUAAUACCUUUGAAGCAAUAAUUGUAGGAUCAAAAAUUAUCUCUUUAAUGAAUCUCAUAACAAAGUAGCCACAUUCGAACCCUCCUUCUUGUCUUGGACAGUAAUCGAUCAAUUAUAAAAUAACAUUAGUACUCACAUAUAUAAAUGGUGCAAAUGCAUAAGCUAAUGUGUAAAGAAAAAUUUUUGGAUGUCACCUGCACUAGUUGCUAAGAUGGCUCCCUCUUAGAUGUUUUCUUUGCAGAUAUUCGAAGAGCCCUAUGUAAAUAAGUUACAUUUUUAAAAUACGUAAAUGUUAUAUGUUUUAAUAUAUAUAAAUAAUAAUAAAAAUGUGUUUGAGGUGAAUGUAUUUUUUUUUUAUUUAAAAAUAAUACUAUGAAAAAUAAUAGGAAGAACUUACAUGUUUACGAUAUCCUUUAAGUCCUCACAUGGUUUGUGAUGCAUAGGGUCAAGAUAGUGGACUAUCAUUUUCCUUGGCUCAAGCACUACCUAAAUAUAAACCCUUUAAGUCCUCAUAUCUAUUUCUAUUAACAAAAUAUAAAAACUUUCCAAAACUCAACUACUUAAAUAUAAAAACAAAAUCAAAUAAAAUAUCUAGCUAAUUGGAUUUUAGAAACUAAAUAAACUAUAAAUAAACUAAAUAAAAUAUCUAUGUCCAUGAAUUAAUUGAAGAGGAUAGAAAGACACAGAGAGAACAUGACUAUGGUUAUGAUUUCCAUCUUAUCAUUUCCUGUCAAUACCACACAUACCCAUUUUAAGGUUGGACACUACUUUUGUUGCUAGACUUGGAAAGGGAAUUUCAAAAUUGAAAACAUAAAUAAACCCUUAUGUAAAAAAAAAUAACAUUAAAAUAUAAUUGAGCAUUAAAAUAUUUACUCUCUUUCAUCACUUUCAUUUGAAUAUUAAUAAUCUCUUAUUGAGAUAGAUACUUACAAUUUAACAAAAUAGAAAUUCCUAAUAAUAAAAAAUAUAAAAAUUUCUAUUUCUAUUAACAAAAUAUAAAAACUUUCCAAAACUCAACUACUUAAAUAUAAAAAUAAAAUCAAAUAAAAUAUCUAGCUAAUUGGAUUUUAGAAACUAAAUAAACUAUAAAUAAACUAAAUAUAAAAACUAAAUAAAAUAUCUAUGUCCAUGAAUUAAUUGAAGAUGAUAGAAAGACAUAGAGAGAACAUGGCUAUGGUUAUGAUUUCCAUCUUAUCAUCUUCCGUCAAUACCACACAUGCCCAUUUUAAGGUUGGACACUACUUUUGUUGUUGGACUUGGAAAGGGAACUUCAAAAUUGAAAACAUAAAUAAACCCUUAUGUAAAAAAAAAAAUAACAUUAAAAUAUAAUUGAGCAUUAAAAUAUUUACUCUCUUUCAUCACUUUCAUUUGAAUAUUAACAAUCUCUUAUUGAGAUAGAUACUUACAAUUUAACAAAAUAGAAAUUCCUAAUAAUUAAAAAUAUAAAAAUUUCUAUUUCUAUUAACAAAAUAUAAAAAUUUUCCAAAACUCAAAUACUUAAAUAUAAAAACAAAAUCAAAUAAAAUAUCUAACUAAUUGGAUUUUAGAAACUAAAUAAACUAUAAAUAAACUAAAUAUAAAAACUAAAUAAAAUAUCUAUGCACAUGAAUUAAUUGAAGAGGAUAGAAAGACACAGAGAGAACAUGACUAUGGUUAUGAUUUCCAUCUUAUCAUCUCCCGUCAAUACCACACAUGCCUUCCCGGAUUGGUUCUUUUGGGGUUGGAUACUCUCAACGAAAUUCUAUAUCUCAUUCCCACUUAGAUACAAACAGAAAAAUCAUUCUUUUUUUUUUCCUCUCUUGUUUUUUAGAAAGGAUGAAGAUUAUGUGAUAGUAUAUCUUAAAAAAAUUCUGUACCUGUCAUUCUCACACAAAUACAUAUUAAAAAUCAUUCAUUUUUUCCUGUUUUUCACUUUUUUUUAAGGACUUGAUCAUGUGUUUGGUUUAGAUUAAAAAAAUCAAUUAAUCUAUAGUUUUUUCUUCCAUGCUGGAAGAUUAAACCUAAAUUUUUCUUCCCUACAACUCAAGAAAACACAAUUCACAAAAAUCAUAAUACAAAGAUGUUGAAACAAUUAAUAUAAUGACAUUAAUAAAAGAAAAAAAAAUUAUAGAUCCAAGAGAUUUUGGGUUACCUGGGAGUCCACAAAGUGAAGAAUGUCGGUUUUGAGCGUGUUGACUAUGGAUGGGUGAGAGAAAAGGUUGAAGAAGAUCAUGAUUUUAUAUAUAGGAUUUAUAUAUUGAGAUAUUUUGGAUUGUGGGUGAGAUAUGGAAACAAUGGGAUUUUUAUAUAGUAUCCAUCAUUAUUAAUUCUAAAAGUGGGCUCAUUAAGUUAUAAUACUUAAAAAAAUUUAUUUUAUAUGAUGUCACUUCCCAAAAAAUGACACUAUAAAUAUAAAAUUAAUAUCAUCUAACUACCUCAAUUGAAGAUUUUUUAUAUGAUGUGUCACCUUUAUUAAUUAUAAACCCUAUGGUGUCAUUAUUUUAAAAGUGACACCGUAAAUAGUGACACCAUAAACUAUUUUUGUAGUAGUGAUGAAAAAUGGAAAUGCAUGUGGAUUGAAUUCUUACCUUAAGAUCUCAAAAAUUACUUAAACAGAUUUAAAGUUCUUCCUCAACUCUCUAGAUCUUCAGACCUUUGUUUAAUAAAUCAAACCUAAAGUGAAUUAUAACUUAAUUUAAGUUAUUAAGUAGACUAAACAUAUUUGGUAAAAUAACUUAAUAUUAAAAUGCAAAAUUAAAAAUAACUUUAAGUAGUAAGUCAAAAUAAUUAACUUCUUUUUAAUCCCAAACUUUUUUUCUUUUGGUCUUAUUUACACACAUUUAAUGAGUAUAUAUUAAACAACUAUGACUCCAAAUCCAUGACUCAUUUUUUCUACUAAAUAUUUUAAGGUUAUUUUAUAAAUUUACAAUCUUUAAGUAUGGAUGUUAAAUAACAAAUUUAUUGCUUAAGAUUAAUGAAAAUAAAUAUUAAUUAAAUUUUUUAAUAAUAAACAUGAAUUAAAACUAAUGAGAUAAAUAUGUUAAUUCAAUAACUUAAAAUAAAUUCUAAGUUAAUUUUAUACCUUACUACUUAAAAUAAAAAAAUAAGUAAUAAGUUUUAAGUUAAUGACUUAAAACCAAUUUAACUUAAAGUUAACUUAAGUCAUUAAAUAAUAAGUAUUAAGUUUUACCAAACAUCCAAGUUGACUUUAAGUUAAAUUAUUCUUAAGUUGUUAACUUAAGACUUAUUACUUAAUUGUUACUUUAAGCAUUAAGGUUGUUUUGUAAAGUUAGCUUAAAGUUUAUUCUAAAUCAUCAAAUUAACUCCUUUUCCCUCAUUAAUUUUAACUAAUAUUUAUCUUUAUUGAUUUUAACUCAUAUUUAUUUUCAUUAUUUUAAACAAUAAAUUUAUUUAUAUAACAUUCAUACUUAAAGUAUUGUAGAUAUAUAAUACAACCAUAAAAUGCUUAUUACAAAAAAAUGAGUUAUGGAUGUGAAAUCACAGUUUUAAAAUGUAUUUACUGUGAGCAAAUGAGACAAAAAUAAUUUUACAUUAAGAAUAAGUUAACUAUUUUAACUUAAUACUUAAAGUUCAAAGUAACUUUAAGUUAUAAUAUUAAGUUAUUUUAUUAAGUAGACUAAAUCUAAUUUCUCAAACUUGGUUGCAGAAGCCUAAUGAUAGGAACUCUUUCUUAUUAUACAAAUAAUGAUCACAUGAAAGAGAGUCAUGAUUUUCUUUCAAAAACUUGCACAGUUAUUUCUCACUCAUAUGUUUUGAUGUCUUAUUCCAUAACUUUAGGAAAGCGUAUUGUCACGGACUUAGUCUUUUCCUAAGCUCGUGUGGCACCUAGACAAGUUAAGACACUUGAUCUUGCUAAGUCAGCCUUACUCCCAAUGCUUAGCUUACUAAGCUAAGAUACUCACAACUUGGAAACUUUAGAAGGUGUAGUAGGCAACUCUUAAAGAAUGGAAGCUUUUGUUGCUCAAAGGAAGCUUUACAAGUGCUUUGGGAACUCACUUGCUUGGUUAGGAAGUGAUUUGGGUGGUGCCUUGGCCAAAUGAGGCCUUAACCUAUUUAUAGGCACCAAUAGAACUCUUUGGAACCUUGGAGGGUUCCUUACAAAUCAAGAAUAAUCUAGAAUCUCCUACACUAGUCUAUGUACAAGGGUAUGUACAAGAUGACUUUGGAAGAUUCUAUAACACCCCACACUAUUCCAAUGCUCUCUUAGCCAAGUAUAGAGAUGUGUGGACAUCUCUAGCCCUCUCUAGAAGCUUCCAUGCUCUUCCACUUUGUAGCUAAGUGUAGAUGUUUCCAGGGGUUUCUAGAAGCUUCUCACCUCCUAUAUAAGCCCAUGGGGAGAGUCAUUUGAAGCAUCUUGUGAUUGUAUGGUCUCGAUAGCAUUCAAAUUGCCCUUUUACACUUCCUCUUGGUAUAUGUAGCAAACCUCUUCUUUUGCAACAAAUAACCUCUUUACCACUACCAAAAUAACUUUUAUAUCCUUGUUUAACUUGUGCAAAUCUAGACAUUAGUUUGAGGUUGGAACGUUGGUCUCUAGACAUACAUUAUUUAUUCAUCCUAAUUGCACCAAUGUCUCUAUCUUUGUAAUUUGAAAACAACUUCAAUUAAGGGAUAACAUGCAUGAUAUAAGGUUAUUGUCUCUACAAUCCACUCAAUUUUGUGAUCACUAAUAGGGAUUUAAUCCAAGUGUUAAGUUGACAUGAUAUAUAUAAUUGAUUCAUUACCAAAUAGCUUAAACAUUUAUAUCAUAUAUAUUGAUAGCUUAACAUGUUUUUAAAGCCUUAGUUCAAGGGAGAUCAUGCAUGAUCUUGAGCUUCACACAUAGUUAUUUCUCAUAAUUAUUGAACUUGCAUACAAACCGAAAGAAGGUUUUCUCUUAUACAAGGUAUUGAGGGUUUAGUCCAAGUGCUACCUCAUUACCAAAUAAUUUAAUUAGGGAUGACAAUACAAUAAGUUUUUUUUGGUACUCAUCUCAUCCUACCGUGAAUAGAAUAGGUUUGAAAUGAAGAUAAAUAGGUUAGGGAUAGAGAUUUUUUUACAUAUAUAAACCAAUGGUGGGUUUAGGUAUUACCUUGUACCCUCCUAUCCUAUCGCAUCCCAAGUAUAUGCAUAAUUAAAUUUAAAAAUAGUUUUUUUUUAUUUACUCAUUUUUAACACAAAAUAAUAAUUAAAACAAAAUCUACUUCUUGAAUAAAAUAAAUUAUAAAAAUUUAUAAUAUUUAUUUAUAUAUAAAAUAUAUUUACUUUUAAUAUUUUAAAAUUUUAAAAAUAAAUAGGGUUGGGUGGGGCCUGUGCAACACAAGUAAUAAGAAAUUUUCAUACCAGUAGCCUUGCCCUACCUUACACCGCCCUGUUUAAUUUUUUUAUUGGGUGGGGGUAGCAAUAGAUUUAUAUAAAUGUGACAAGAUUGGAAUAUGGGUGAUCCAUUCCAAACCCGUCCCAUUGUCAUCCCUAAGUUUAGCUUUUAGAUUAUGUUGGUAGCUUAACAAUCACCAACAUUCAAAAGUUCAUGUUGUAGUAUCCUUGUUCUAUUCCAUUACCUAAGGCUGCCUCUUCUUUUCCUUUCUGUAAACACAGUAGUUCUAUUUCAUAUGGCUUUUUUUGCCACAAUAUCCAGACAUCUAUCCACUAUUGAUACCAAACUCUCAUCAUUCUUAUAUGCAGUGGAUGUAGUAUUCUUUUUCUCUCUCCUUUUUCUUUCUUAGGUUUGCCUCCUUUAUUUCCUUUCCCAAACAACACAGUUCUUUUCUAAAUUGCUCUCUUUGCCACAAAGAGCAUUUCAUUUUCUCCUUGGAUUGAAAUCUUUCGUUGGACUUAUUAUAAUAAUUCUAUUUUCUAUCUAUUUAUAAUAUGAGUGUUCCUUCUUUUCUCUACAUCAAACAAAUACUAUUCACAAUAGAUGUCUUGCAACAAACACAAUAGCAAAGAGACUUGCAUCUCAUCAUCAAUUGCCAUUUUCGUAGUAACUAAUUGAUUUACCGUGCUUUGAAAAGCACUUCACAUGGUUGGCCACUGAAGUGUUUCCUUCGACUUCAAUCUAGUUAACACACCUCAAUGUGGUAACUGAAAUGUAACUCACUUUUUUCAGUUGCCUAACUAGACACCUCAGCCAAGUUAUUAGUUUAUUGAAUUAGAAUCUUUUUUAGAGUAAUUUUAAAAAGCGUUUCUAAUAUUUGAAAAUUUUUAUCUUUUAAAGUAUUAUAAAGGUUAAAAAUAUUUUCUAAAAUCACUAUCAAACACACUCUUAAAUUACUAAUCUUGUGAGUCUAACCUUUCACCCCGUCGCCUAGACAAAUACUUUAGUAGAGUUGCUAAAACUUAAUUGGACUGGCCUCUCUAGUUGGAGAAAAUAGCCCUUAAAUAGAUUAGAAACAAGCAAAAAGAAAAAAAAAAAAAGCUUUCUAUAGCAAGAAUUGAACAAGGACUUACAACAAUGUAGAAUAGAUCUCAACUAGAAAUUAGAAAUUAGAAUGUAAACCAACAACACAUUACGAAACACAUGAGUAUCCAUCCAAGAUAAACACCAAUGACCUUACUUGGAAAAAACCCUUCGAGGAGGUGAAAGAAGCCAUUCAAAAAUGAAUGUCCAUCAUAUAAAAUAGGAAUUAAUCGGUGUUCGUGCAAGUCUUUUUCCAAAGAUAUGGGAAGGGAACUAGAAAUGGUGUUAUUCUCAAGCUUACAAAACCAGCACACAGAGUGGAAAGGAUCUCACCAAAUACAAUUGCCACAUUUGAUAUGGAGAAAACCCUUGGUUCAACCAAAACCAAGAAUGGUGAAGAAACAUCCCUAUUCUAGCAUAAAAGCCCAACAUAAUUAGGCUCAAGUUGCUACUGGAAGAAUCAGCCCACACAAUGGGUUUCUUGCGAUAACACAGAGACAGAGGUUCACCAAAUGGUCCCCAAGGACUAGACCCCCCAUCAGAAAAAGGGAAUGUAAUGAGUGGGAAUUGCCAUCAGUAAGGCAUAUGCAGGAGACUCAACUCUCUAGCCAUUGCUCUAUGGAAAUUUAAAAUGCCUUUUGUUAGCUAAUAAUAAAUUUAUGAUUUAUGACAAUAUUCUUUGGAAGAUCUAUUACUGGGAUACAAGUUUCAGAUUUGAGUGAUUUAGCCCUAUGGCAAGAACAUGAUUCUUAAAUGUAAGACUAAAGAGUAUAUUUGUAGUGAUUCUAUGAAGGCCAAAAGUGCUCUCUAAUACUUGAAGCAUUUUUCUUAUAAAAAUUAGGGUCCUAUUCAGUUUAACUUGUUUUUUUCUUACAUUUUUAAAGAAAAUAAAGAACAAUUUGGAAAAUAUGUUUGGAUAUUUCUAUUUCUAUUUUCCCAAGAAUUGAGUUUAGAAAAUGAAAAAGGGGAAAAAUGCCAAAUUGGUAUUUUCAAAAUUUAAUUAAAAAAGUGAAAAGAGUUUCUAAAACGUAAAAACACAAAAGUAAAUAAUGUAAUUAAAAAACAUGAAAGAAAUGCAAAUAUGAAUUUGAUAAUAAUAUUACAAUAUUAUAAUCAUCUUCCUCUUUUUUACCAAUAAUAUUACAUUUUUAUAUUAAAAAAUAAAUUAUUUUAAUAAGCCAAAAUAUGCCCAAUUGAUCAAUUGCUUCGUUAAUUAUAAAUAUAUUAAAAAAAAUAUUAGAGUAUCAAAAUAGAAAUUUUUAUUAAAGUAUCAAAAUAACUAAUAAAACAAAUAAAAUAAAAAAUAAUGAAAAAUAUAAUUUCAUUAUUUUUCAUGUACAAAAAUUAGUACCAAACAAAACAACACAACAAUUGGUCAAUUCCUUUAUUAACUAUUAAUAUACUAUAUUUUUUAUUAUAUAUUAAAAUAACUAUUAGAGAUGAUAAUUGAAAGAGAAUAAUCAAUAAAUACAAUUUAAUUAUUUUCAUUGUGUUUGAUUAAAAAAUAUAUAUAUAUCCAGUACUAAACAAGGUUUCCAAAUUUUUAUUUUUUGAAAACCAGUUUUUAAUUUUUUUAAACAAAAAUAUUACAAAGAAAUGAAAACAUAGAAAAUAAAAAAUAUUUAAAGAAAAAAUUAAAAGUAGAAAAUAAAAACUAAAAAUAUUUUCCAAACCAAAGGCAACUUAAAUUACUGUGUAAUAUUUUAGAAAAUAUUUUUUAAAAAUCUCUAGAAUAAAAUAGAUAAAACAUGGAUCUAAACAUCCUUGCAUCCAUGAAAAUAUUUUUGGAGAUAAAAUCGGAAAUGAGAAUAGAAAAUUAUUUCAUUUUUAUUCAUUUUGAUGUUUAGAUCAUUUAUUAAAUAUAAAAAUAGGAAUAAAAAGUUAUUAUUAUUGGUUUUUUUUAAUAUUUGUUUAAACAGAAGAUAUGUAAAGAUACAUCAACCGAACCCAAUAGGCUUCGGAGAAUUAAAAACAAUGGCUAGUUUGAACUAGCAGACUAAUAAUAGAGACAAUUAUCCAACUUCUCAUACCAAUGUUAUCAUAAGAUAAAAGUUGAAUCAUAAAUACUUGUACAAGACAUUCAUUACUUGAAUUACAAUCUCUGUUUCCUUCUUCAAAAACCCAUAAUAUCAUAAUUAAAGCAAAAAGUGUUAUACACCAAGUAUACAUACCAUGUACAAAGGGUAAAAAAACCCAAAGGGAAAGAACCGGUGGUAAGAGGAUGCGGGGGAGGUGACAUCUCUUACUAUAUAAUCCAUUAGAAUGCCUUGGCGGCCUUGAAAGUAAGGAGCACUGCCAUGGACUUGUAUCCUUGGAGGAGUAAGAGCUGCCUGGCAAUCCUAAAUUUUGAAAUUAGAAGACUCUGCUACUCAGGAGAAGUGGAAGACUCUGCAGUUUAGUCUCCAACCUUGCAUCACUUUCUAUCAGAGAUAGUGAAUCUAAAGUUGCCAUUAUCGGAGUCGGGCCUCCACAGGCUUACUUCUAUUUCAUCAUUGCACAUUUCUGUUGUAUUUCUAGAUAUUCCUUGGCUUCUCUGGCUCUCAAAAACCUCCCUUCCUUUGAAAGUAAAUCCAUCUAUGGGUGCCCUAAAAUCUGGUUCAUAACCUGAAACAUCUUCAGGACUUGAGACAAGUGAAAAGUAUUUUUGUUUUUAAAAACUCAAUCAGGUAUGGCUAUUUGCAACUCAAUCCCAGCUCCAGAUUGUCCUCUCCAUGGACCUAUUUGUUGAAACUCUGAUUAAUUUCAACUUUAAAUUCAGAUGGGAGCUGCUUUAUUCCUUUGACAAAUAGAUGGCUUUAGCAGCAGUUGCAAAGUGACGUUUUCUCUAAACUUGCCGGCCUCAGUUCUGUGCACAAGCAUGGUAAGUUAUACUGUUCUAUUGAAUUUGCAUGCGGUUUUAUGGUUUUAAUAAAUAAAAUAAAUAUAAAGCUAAAGCUAUGUGUAAGCUCUCUUGCCAUGCUUAAUUGGACUGCUAUUAUUUAUUUAAGAUCAAGAGAUAGAAAGUUUUUCUGCAUUUCCAGUUAUAAAUCUAUAAUUGAGUUUGUUUUAUAAACAUAUUCAAGUUUAUUCUCUGUUUUUUCUUUCCUUCCUUUUAUUUUUAUGAUUUUCUAUUAUCAUUUGUGUUAUUAAAGAUGAAAGCUCAUUUUUUACUCGCUUUUAUAGAAGUACUUCUACAAUGAAGAAAUUCAGGUUAGGAUUUUGCUAACACAAUAAAAUCUUUGGCCUGCUUGAUAUCUAGUAUCAAGUUUUGCCAAAGGCCAUAGCUUCUAUUGGUUAUCUAUGAGUCAACCAUUGCUGGAUGGAUAUGAAUAGGAGCUUGUCCUGCCUAUGGGCAGGGAUAUGCGCGCAAUCACCUGUUUUCUGCUUUUUAAGUAUCAAAGUACAAACUAACUGCUUCUACAAUAUCAUUUCCAUUUUAAUCAGCAUUGAAAGUAUGUUGCUUUUUUAAGUAUCAUUUCCAUUUUAAUCAGCAUUGAGUGUGUCCUGUCAUGGUUGGUUGGACCACUUAACAAAAAAACAGCAAGGCCUUUUCUUCAAAAUCUGCAUUCGACAGGUUCUCUGUCAAUUCUUUGCUUUUGCUUUUACGAUAACUUGUUGCAAACUUAUUUAAAAAAAUUGUGCCCUUCUCUUGUUGGCUAGGUAUUUAACUUAUGCAUAAUCUUGUGAUGCAGCUAUGGCUAGAGAUACUGUACUUGUUAUGCUCUUUUCUAGUUGGGCAUGUAAAGGGCUCUAGGGAUGUCCACUUGUCUUCAAGUGCAGUUGAUUUCUUUGGUACAAAAAUGUUGACUACAACUACAGAAGAUAAACUUGAACUAGUUGUUAAGCAAACUCUUUUAUGUUAUAUUAAAAAAUUUCUAAAGAAAAUUUCUAUUGAGAAAACUAGGGAUGUUUUAACCCUCAACCAUAACUUAAUUUGUGUUUAAUGUGUGAUAUUGUCGUCUUUACUUGGAACAUGUCUAUGAUGGUGCUUGUCUAUGUUUCAUCAUUGCUUAUUUAUUUUAUGACGUCUUUGUUGAGCAUUUUAGCUCCAGGUGGAAGAGCUGUGUUGUCUGAGAUGCAUAGGGAACUGUCUCAUUAGUGACUAUGCCAAUUGGAUGAGGAUUCUGGAGAGAACUCUCUAUCUGAUCCAAGUAUCUACUGACUUCUGCCAUGAACUCUUGAAUAGAAGCAAGGAUGGAAGCUAGUUUGUCUGACAUCUCAACUGAACUGUCUAAACUUUGAUAUGAAUCUGAUAUGAUCAAUCGACCUCCAACUCUCCUCUAAGAAUAUGACUUCAAACUCAACCAACUCCUAAACUAACUCCCUACAAUGCAAACAAAAUGGAUGAAGGACAUAAGAUAAGACCCUAAAAGACAACAGUGCAACAUGCAAACACAUGGUCCUGAGGUGGCAAUCUGAAAUCUGGAUGUAUGAUGAGAGCUCUAGAGUCAUAAAGGUGUCCACUGUGAGAUGGCUACAAAUGUGACUAGAGAAUUCCUAUCAAUAAUCCAAGAUGAAAGAGGUGUGAGAAACACACUAUCACGAGAUUGAUACUCCAUCUAUAACCACAUAUCCUUGACUCAACCUUCAACCCAAGCUCCAUAAGAGAAAAGAUAAGGUGAUCAAGGCGACUCUCUCAAAAAAGGUGUGAAUGUGAAAACAUGCCUUUCACCUUUCCAUAAUGAAAAUGUGAGCAUCAAGUUGAAAAUUGAAUCAAGGAUCAAACAAAGAAUGGGAUACUAGGCUCAUGAUAAGUGUACGGUAUAAAGAGAUGAUCAUAAUCAAUGAACAUAUCCCAAAGCAUCAAGCAAGUGACAACAAAGUGAAAGGAUGUGCCAAGCCAAGAGAGGGAGACGAAAGCUCUAGGGAGAAAGCAUGCUAAACUCAUUGAGUGAAAAGAAUAAUCUAAAGCGACAUGACAAAAGGUGAUCCAACUGAUACUGAAACUUGUACCGAUCUCUGAGCACUCUCAAUUGGAAACCAAAGGUAAAAGCACUGGGUCCAGGUGAUGAGUAAGACGGCCCUGAAGGCUCUCAGAUGCACCCACGUGUGAGGAAGGAAUCCUAAUCAAAGGAUCUAAGCUCAUCCUAUAAGUUUAAGGUGGCUUUAAAAAAAGAAAGGUAGGCUUUCAAGGGUCCUUAGAAGAAGCAAUCAUACCCUUCGGUGGUACGCAACCUUCUGUACGCCUCCGAAGAGACGGGGCGCUUCCAUGCAAGGUGGACAUCACCUCCACACAUGCACUACCUCGCAUCCCAGGGGGCUCCUAUGGUGAAGGCCCUUCUAAUGGUUAGCAUAUCUCAUAACUUUGGUCACUCAUCAACAAUCUAAGGUGCAUAGUGAGUUUGUGGGUGCAUCUGAAAAUCCUAUGAAACUAAAAAGAAAACACAUUGGUCACACAAAUAUCCUAAAAUCCAGCUUUGGGCUAUACAAGUCUUCAAAGAUCGGACUCCAAUCAACAUCAAUGUGUCGGCCACCUCCAAAAUGCUCCCAAACAUAGAUAUAGCCCAUCACUAGACCUUACUUCAAAUCACUAGCUUGGUCGAAGAACAAUCAAGGUGAUAAGUCUCAUAUCAAAUAAGAGAUCAAGGGAAACAAAGUCGAUGGAGUCUAAGGAAUUGGAAAUAAGGGGAUAGGUGUGAGACCCACACGAACAAGCAAUACAUGCAUCAUGUAGAAGGAGAGUAGUCAUACAACAAACAGUUAUGCAAAGCAGGUAUAUAUCAUACAAAUCUACACACAAGCUAAGUAAGAAGUAGGAUAAUCGAGAUGAAUAUCUAGCAAGAAUAAAUGGCAUGCUCAGAGUUAAUCGAGAUAAUAUGUAACAAAGAGAAUAAACAUGUCAAGAUGAGCAACAUUGAGAAUAUACAAGUCAGGGUGAGCAGAGCAAUCACACAGUAAGGAGAGUUGAUAUGUGAACACAAACAAGAGGAUCAAAUGAUAUAAUCAAGAUGUCAAUGUCUCAAACAAAUACACAAAUCAAGCAUGCAUCAGAGAUAAACAUAUCAAAAGUUCUCAAUGUGCAAUCAACAGUCAAACAUACAAAAGCACAGAGAGAGAAGGGUACCCACUAAUCGACCAAUCAAACGUCACAUUUGCCUUAAUCUAAGUUCAAGUUUGACUGUCUAGUGAUCCCCAAUGGAGUCGCCAUUUUACGGACCCCGCAUUUCUCCACAAUGCGUUCCCACUCGAAUGGUGAUACUCACUUUUUAUUUUGAAAAAAUGACUUUUGAAAAGUUUUUGGAGUCACCACUUAUUUUUCUUUUAUUUUUAAAGGGAAAAACAAAAUAAGAAAAAAAAAACUCUAAAUGUGACUCCUGAAGGAAAAACAGGUCUGUGAAAAACCAAGUCUAGGUUCGGGAGUGAGGUUACCUAUUGAGAAAGUACGGUGAUAAGUUGUAACACCCCUCUAAGCACCUAAAAAUGGGUCUCUACUAAUCAACUAAGACAAGUGUAGCAAUUGAUUGAUUAAUUGUGGAUACCAAAUAGUGAUCAAGGGUGUGCUAGCAAGUCAUGCAUGAUAAUGGAUAAAUAAAUAAGUAUGAUUAGGUAUGAGAUGCACCUUAGCAGCGAAUAAGGAUGUGCUAUCAUGAAACGGGGUUAGCUCAAAUAUAAAGUAAUGCGUGUCACAUAUUAGAGCCAAAAAUCAAUCAAUAAACAAUCAAACAUAGCAAACAAAAUCAACAAUCGGAUGACGAAUGCCUCAUAUGUUAGGCCACACCAAUGCCCAAAUUAUUUUUGGCAUGAAUUACUUCUACAAAUUCCAUGAUUUUUGGAAUUACAGACUUGUAUUCAUGGUUAUUUAAAAACAUUUAAAAAAUCAAGAAAAAAAAAGUGAAAAAUGCUUGCCCAAGAGAAAAAUGGCAGCAAAUUUAUUAAAAAUUGGAUUUUUGGUGACCCAAAACUCUAUGGAUGAAUAAUAAUAAUAAAAAAAUUGAAUAGUUAAAAUUAUUUGAAAAUUGGAAUUAAAAAAAAAAACAAUUUUUGAAAGCGAAGGUGAAUAAUUAAGAGAACAUGGCCUAUGGGAUUGCAUGUUAAAGGUGGCUAUGCAUGGGUGUAGAAGUGGCCCAGGGUAGGUAGUGAAUUGGCCAUUGAAUCACUUUAUUGGACAUGCAACUUGCUGUAGUGGUUUGCAUCCAUGGAUAUUGACUGUACCGAAACUUGGAAUGUCGACCAUGUCGUUCAUCGGAAAUGUACCAAGUGACAUGCUUCAUGGUGGCGGGAUUCAUAUGCUGCAUCACUUUCUUCUUAUAUAAAUACUCAGCACCUUUGGCAAUGCCAUUGCACUAGAACCACUAUAAAGACCUCUAACAAUGAAUGAUGAUCUAGCCAUACACCAUUAACGAGCUUCUCACCAAACUGCUACUUGCUGAAACUGUUCUUUAUCGUGUUAUACCCAUAUCUUGCACCGUCCAUUCCAUGCAUGACUUGAUUAAGUCCUUCAAGUAAUCAGGCCAUAGCUUAGCAAAAAUAGUCCCCUGACAUCCCUUUAAGACUAGGUAUGCUGAAGUGAUUUGAGUGUCAUGAAGGAGAGGCGAAGGACGGGUAUUGCACAAUUGGAAUCGCAGCACAUGCAACCGUUCUUCUCAACCAUGGUAACAUGAAUUCUACACGUUCAUCCUUAGUUUAAGGGACAAUGGGGGUCAGUCGACAUGGCAACAAUGACAUUCAGAAAUGCAUCCCUGCAAAUCUUUCCAAUAAUCUUUCCCAGAACCACCCAACAAGCCACCUGAAGGAAAUGGAUGUCCUGGAUUAAUGUCAGAAUCCUUAUAUCUGAUAUGGACGUUACUAAUGGGAAAUCUUAAGGAUUCCAAUUAUGGUUGCAAACAGAGAACCCAACCAUGAAUUUGCAUUAGCUGGACUUCCUUCUUGCUAUUGAUGAAGUUCCAACUUCAGUUGCAGUGAAUGGUAUCCCCAACUCCGGACUACUGUCAUUUCUUGAUGGGAUUCAAGGCAUUGAACUUACAAAAUCAUCGUAGCCUUAGUCUUCAUGCACAGAAGACCUCUUUCUCUCAAACUCCUGGACACGACUUUUUCAAUAGUGGUAAGCAUCGGGAUAUCUAGCCCAUUUUCUGACCUUGUAUGAGACGCUCCCAGAAAACCCUUCAGAAUUGCUUAGGGAGUUGCAUCUUUAGGACCACCAGAAGCAUUGGGAACCUCAUACUUUUUGGUUGUCAAAGCACAAGGGUGGCAUUUGGUUUUGUCGAAUGGCACAGCUAGCUCAUCACCUAAUUUCUGACCAAUAUGAAAUGAUUGAGACACUUCAGCGAGUUCCUUGACAUCACUUCUUGUAUGAUUCAACCACUCAUUUCCUUUUUGGACAUUUGGAAUCCAUGAAUUCAAAGAACUCGUACGCAUUUUCACAGGGACCUUGAUACAUGAUUUUCCCAUAAGAGAGGAGAAUCUUAUCAUUAAAUAGGUUGCAGGUUUCUGGUACUGGUUGGAGGAGGCAGAUCAGAGCAGUUCCAUUAAGAAUGAGGAUGAACUGCCUGAGUGAACUUACAAUCUGAAAAGCUAUUGAACUAUCCAAACGAAUUACCAUUUCAUCCAUGGAAAAAAGCUCUGUUUGUUUCUCCAUCGACUAAUGCACCAAUUAUCACCCCAUCUCCUCAUUGACCAAGAGCUUUCCUGACUCCAUCUUAUCCUCAUCAAUAAUCUCCAGUAAUAGCUCUUUCCAUUCUGUCUCUAGGCAUUUCAAUGUGGUCCAUAUGGCUUACAGGUGUCUAGAAAUUUCCAACAGUAUGUAAAGUGGUUCACAUGGGGCUCUCUCAAAAGCACCCCAACCAAAAUGGCCAGCCCAAAUGGGAUACUCAACACCCCGAACUUACCAGAAUCAGGGGAAUAAGAGGAAAAAAAAAAAGAAAAGAAAAAAUAGGAGCAGAGCGAGGACUGAAGAAAUAACAAAAGGAAAUUAAGCAGAUAACGAAUAUACAAAGCCUCAUUUCAGGUGACAUCCAUGGACUAAUAACAGGUGGAAUUAACAAAGAAUGCAAGCAUGAUUCUUAUAUAUCAAGUCCAGGGAUGAAGCCAUGCAUCAACUACUUACGGGAGGAGUCAAGGAAACCAAGAUAAAAUCAAACAAAGCAUGUAUGCAAACAAACAGAUUCGGUCAAACAGACUAAUAAUCCUUCAAGUCCAAGCCAAUCAAUAAAAUAACACCCAAGAAUCUACAAAAAAAUGUAGAAGAAUAAUAUGAAAAUGAGGAAAUGUGAGGUUCAGAGAGACCUUACCUGGAAGGCUUCCUUUCGAGCAAGAUUUUUGUCCAACUUCCCAACUAUUCUUCCUCUGCUCCAACUCCCUUUAUCUCACAACUUUUCUUGCUUUCUAUGUUCCUCUAGACACUCUUUAUAGCUCCCCUUCCUUCAGCUCCCUGUUUUUCCUAUUGUUCUCCUUCUCCUCCAUUCCUCUUCUCAACGGUCUCUGAAUCCUCUCCUUACAUGUCACCUGCUGGUUUCCCACAGAAAAAAGUCCUUGCCAGCCCACUAUCUCAUACACCUGCUGCCAAAACCUCCUAAAGGGUGGUAAAAAUAUCGCCCCUAAAAUAUCCCAAAACUUCUAGAUCAAAAUGAGGGUCUACACCUUAUAUUCCACAAGCCAAACCUUUUUAGACAUACCUAUGACUUCCUAAUUGGACGAACAACAACCCUUAUUCUUAAAUGGAGAGCAAGUUACUAUCUAAACAAACUUUUAUGACCAAACAUUAAUUGGAACAAAAUUGCCAACAAUUAUAUAAGACUCAAUGUCCUAACAAUCUCCCAUUUUGGUAAUUUUAUGACAAAACAUCAUCAAUAAACCCACCUAAACUCUCAUAAUGAAGUUUACAUAAUACACAUUAAUGCUUAAUUAAAAAUAAACUAAGGGAAUGCUUUGCAAUGCUUUGUAGUACUUAUCUUCCAACCCUGUAACCUACACACAUACAAAAAAACUAUACCAAAAGUAAAGCAAUGUGAGAGAUAAAAUAAUAUUAUGAAAGCAAAAUAGGAUAGUUAGAGGUUUUUCUUGACACCUUGUGAAAGCAUGCAAAAUGAACAGAUUCCUAUAGCGACAUCAAGGUAUAAUGCAGCUUAAGAGGAAUAUAGAUGCAUGCAAAUCAACCAAAUAGAAUAUAAGCUAAAUAAGACCUAAUUAUUUAAUAGUAAAGUGAAGGGGGCGUUCAUCAACCAUAUUACUAGCAAUGAAAGCCUUAGGAAGAAGCUUCUAUGACAGAGAUUAGUUCUAGAAAGAUAGAACAUUCAAACAGUAAUAUUUUCUAGAUGAUAGGAAAAAAAAAGCUUUUAAUUCCAAAUGGUUUCUAGAUGUGAUGAACCGGGAAAGUCAAAAGAUCAAGUUAUUGGUCUGGUCAUCGUUGCUGCUGGAAUAGGUGGAGGAACGGGUACUAGUGGGGCUCCUGUGAUUGUAGCUGCAGAAUCAUUGGGGAAGGGUCCUACAUCUUGGCUGAGAAAUAGAGUUAUUGAAUCAAUAUAUAGCCUUGAGGCUCUCUUAUUGUUUCCAUUGGAAUUGUUGAUAACUAAGGAAUGGAAGAGUAUAAAGCUUGAACUUCAGCUUCUGACAUCAGGUUCACUUGACGGCUAAGCACCCAUUGCUUGAAUGGGUUGGUUAGGAAAAUCACUACCAGAAUCACCAUCACUUAGGUGGUGUUUGUUUUUUUGGCUUUUUGCUGAAAGUAAUUUAUUUUUGAAAUUUAAGUUGUUUGUUUUUCUACUUUUUUAUGACUUAUUAUAAACUUUUUACUAAAUAGAAAAAAUCAAAAUAUGUAGUUUUUUCUUAAUAGAAAAAAUAACACAUUGAUUUUUCUUUACUUUUUAAUACUUAAUAGAAAUAAAAUAUUAUAAAAACAAAUAACCUAAUAUUUAACAUUAUUAAGCAUUAAGGUUCUAUUUAGAAUUAAGUAAAAAAACAAACACCACCUAGGGUGGUGUUUGUUUUUUUACUUAGUGUUUACUAUUAUACAAACUCUGUAGCAUGGAGGUCUGAUGGAUCUAAUAAUGGUGUUUGGAGUGCUAAUAAGCCUUCUCGGUACACUGGUGCUCAUGCAAUUGCUGGAAGCAAGGCACAUGCCAGAUUUUCAAUGAAACUGAACCUCUAUUUCACUGCACUGCUUUAAGCUUAGAUCCUGGCAGUCUGUGAUAUCUCUGUUGGGGAAAGAAGUAUGAGCAAGGUGAAAUCACAACUUGGUAGAGGAGAAUAAAUGUCGAUGCAUGAAAUGGCAAACAAGAUGAUGUUUGAGCUAUAUUUUGUCAGCCUGAAGAAGCAGAGAUGCUUGGUAAAACAAUAUUGGAGACUUGCACAGAUCCCUACUCUGAUGUUAACAAACCAAAAUGAAGUUUCUGGUGAAGAACUGAAACCAUUUCCAGAGAGGCUUUAUGUGGUUCUUUCUAGAGAAACCAUUGAAGAAAUCAUUGGAACGCCAAGGGAGCUACCAUCCUUCUGAAUUUCCAUCUGGAGAGCAUCUUCUUUUGCUUAAUCCACCAAAGAAGCAAUUCAGUAGCCAAUUGCCAUCUCUCAACGGCUCACUGGAACUGCAUUGCAAAAAUUCAGCUCAGCUGAGAAGUUUGCCAUUGGAAAAUUGCAAUUUGGUUGGUCCUGUGCCAAAAUCUUCGGGGAUUGGUAAUAUUAAGACUGUCAAUGAAUAACAAGAACACAACAGCCCAGGAUCUGCUCUCUUAGCCAGCUCGUACCAAAUCAUUCUCAUUGGAAACAGCUCAGAUGGGUUUGAGCUGAAUCAUUUGGGAAAUGAAUAACUUAUGAUUGAUUGCAUAAAUGGUGGGGCCUACAAUCCAGAAGAAAACCCUCUCAGAAGACACAAGCUCCUUCCCAUUCUUUCCCAUUCUGUUUGUUUCCAGCCUUGAUACCUUCAAUACCUGGCAGUCUCCACACAACUCAUCCAAAGUCCCUCCAUCAAAUUUGAACCCAAAGCCAAACAACUCCGUGUCUAAAACCUUAGGACUAGCUCACCACCUUGUUUUUCUUCAUACCCACCACCUUCAGCUUCACUCAUCACCAAGCCAACUUCUCUCACAUCCUCCACUACUCAUUUCCUACCCAACCUAGCUCUAUCUUUCUCACUUAACAAGUGCUGGUGAUGACAGUGAAGACUGGUCACACCUCUCUUUACUCGGCUCCAGCGAUGAGACUAAUGCCUUUGAUGAUUCCGAUACUUUUGUUUCUCCAGUUCAGGGGUUUGCCUGUAUUGGAUGAAUGGCUCCAAGAGUACAUAAAGGAAAGAUUGGUGAUGUUAGUAGCCCCAAGGAUGGUGAUAAAUCUGCUGAGGAAUCCCUAUUGGUUUUACUUCAUGCACUUGAUAAGCUGCCUGUGAAUCUUCAAGCCCUUCAAAUGUGUAACAUUGGCAAAUCUGUUAAUCAUUUACGUACUCAUAAAAACUUAGAAAUUCAGAAGAAAGCAAGGAAUUUAGCUGAUACAUGGAAGAAACGAGUUGAGGCAUAAAUGAAUAUUAAUGAUGCAAAGUCUGGUUUAAGUCAGGCUGUUCCAUGGUUCUCGAGGCCACGUCUUUCUGAAGUUUCUCAUGAUGGGAACAGACACUCUGGCGGCUUCUCUGAGAUUGCCAUGGAGAGCUCAGUCAUGCAGCUUUCUUCAUCUAAAACAGCUCCAGUUAAUAAGAUUAUACUGGGGGUUGUCUUCAAUUAACUAGAUUCAAUACUAACCAUUGUUGCCUGACUUAGUGUUAGAGAUCCAUUGGACAAAGAGGAUCUUGCAGAGGCUGCAAAAGCUCAAUUUUCUCAUGACUACAGUGAUCAUCUUGCACUUGUUCGGUCUGGAAAGAUGCUGAAAAGGACCAAAUUGGAUAUGAAUAUUGAUGGAAAAAUUUUCUUUCGGCACAUUCAAUGAAAGCUAUUGAUUCUCUUCAGAAGGAGUUCUUCUCUUUGCUAAAGGAUACUGAACUGGUUGAUGACAACAUGAACACCUACAACGCAUGGAACUAUGAUGAGCAUCUCAUUUGAGCAGCUAUUUGUUGUUGUUGUAGUAUGUGGCUCAUAUUUGAGCAAAAAGACAUAUGGAGAGAAAGGGGCAAAAUGUUGGAGCGAAGUAGAGCGAUGGCAUUUUUCAUUCAGGGUUUGUACUUCUUUGUUGUGGGGCGAAUGAUAGGUUGGGGGGUGUUGCCCCCCGCAGUACAAUUCAGGGGUAUUUUUGGAAUUUCAUUCCUAAGGGUUAGUAUAAGUACCCUUUUUAUGUAACCUUAAUUUUAACAUAGUGAAAAUCCUCUUUUCCCUGUUCCCGAUGACAUAGGCUACCCGAACCACAUUAAAUCUUUGUGUUCUUCUUUCUUGCUUUUUCUAUUAUUUUUGCCAUAAAUCGUUGCACGGAUUUCAACAAUUGUGGCCCGUAUCCUGAAAUUUGCUCUGUUGUGCAAAAUGAAAUGUCAUUCUCAUUGAAAACAAUGGAGGAUGGUCAAGUGAUCUUGCAUUCGAAUUCAAUUAAUGCUCGAGAGUGUAAACUCUGUUUUCCUCUAGGAUUCAAUAGCUAUGUCUGAUUUAGUGUUUCUUCUAUUUGGGGGCGACAUCUUGAGAGAGAUUAUGAUGGGUACCUUGAAGAAUCUUGGACAUUCAGUGCUUGAAAAUAUACCAAUGACUAAGCAUUCCAGCAAGAUUUUGGAACCAAAAUGCAAUUGGAAAGGAGCAGUUUGUAAUGAGAUUGCUGGUUUGACUGCUAUUUCAGUUGAUCUUUCAUUUGUUCCUUUGGUUGAAUCUAUUGGGAUGGAAGGAAGGGACAUGGUGUUUUCUUCCAAAAGUAGCUUAUCAUCAUAAUCAAAUGCUGGAAACAUCCUCAUGGACAAUAAGGUGGGUUCACUAAUGGGGUCUCCUUUGAGAGAUAUCCAGCACAAUGAAACUGUAUAAAAUGAAGAUCUUUUGUCUCAUUCAGAAAGGUUCAAACGGUUGGAACAUAGAUGCUAUUGUGGUAAAUGAUGUCAUUGAGCAAGGAAUUGAAACCACUAGCAUCCAUAGAGUAGACACAAUUGCACCCCGACCCCCGCGUGUGCAUGGUCAUGCAUGGCCACCUUGGUGCACACUCUCCUCCACCAUAUGCUUCUUUUUGGUGACUUACACUUUUUUUGUAAUCAGAUUUUCAAACCUAUUUUCAAUUGAAUAAUCCUUGCUGUCAAAAUUUGAUUUUCGAAACUUCAGCUUUCAAAUAAUUUUAAUUCUACUCUAGUUUUCAAAUAAUUGUAAUUCCCCCAAUUUUUCUCCCUUCCUUAGAGUUUUAGGUCACCAAAAAUCCAUUUUCAAUAAACAUUUGAUGUCAUUUUUUCUUUGGCAAGCAUCUUUCACCUUUUUUCCUUGAUUUUAAAUAAAUUUAUCUAUUUUCACGUUUUUAAUGAGCAUGAAUGCAAUUUCCAUAAUUCCAAAAUAAUGAAAUUUAUGGGCUUAAUUCAUGCAAAAUCAAUUAGGCAAUGGUGGGGCCCAACAUCUGUGAUUGAUAUUGAUUAACUUAUCCACUACUCUUACAUGCAUGUGAUUAUUUUAUACAUAAGCUAACCUUUUUUUUCAUGAUAGCACAUUAUUAUUUGUUGCUAAGGUAUGCUCCCACUCCCACUUUGCUUAUUUAAUCUCUAUGAAUGACUUGCUUCCAUUAUGUGAUUAUUCCUUGGUAUCCAUUGAUCUCCUUAUCAAUUGCCACACUUACCUCACCUUAUUUAGUAUUGACCAAUUUUUAGGGGGCUUAGAGGGGUGCUACAACUUGUCGUUGUACCUUUCCAAUAGGUAACCUGACCCUCACACCUAGACUUGGUUUUCACAGACCGUCUUUUCAUAUUAGAUGUCAUAUUUAGGGUUUUUCUUUCUUAUUUUGUUUUCCCUUUAAAAAAUAAAAUAAAAUAAAAAUAAGUUGCAACUCCAAUUUUUUUUUUUCUAAAAUUCAAUUUUCUUCACAAAUAAAAAAAUGAGUCUCACCAUCGAGUGGGAACUCAUUGUGAAAAAUGUUGGUCCACAAGUAUAUUUCUCUAAAACACAAACUCGAGGUAUUACAAAUCAUGCUAAUAUAUCAAGUAAAUAAACAAUCAUAUGCCCAAAAUAAAAUAAGGCUAAAGGUAACAAAAAGAUAUAAACACUAAGCUCAACAUCUUUGAACCUAUACCUAUGAUGAGCAAUCAAUUAGGCAUAUGCCCAAGGAUUUCCUAUGGUACUUAAACCUAAGAAAUCCAGGGGUUUGGUAAGAAUAUCUGCUUAUUGAUGUUCAGUGGGGACAAACUCUAGAGAAAUUACUUUUUCUUCUACAAGAUCCCUAAUGAAAUGAUGAAGAAUUUCAAUGGGUUUACUAUAGAAAUGAAUAAUAGGAUUCUUUGAGAUAUUUGUAGUACUAGAGUUGUCAUAGUGUAUGUUUAUAGUCCCUUGUUCAAUUCCAUAGUCUUUAAGCAUUUGCUUCAUCCACAAGAGUUGUGUACAAUAGCUCUCAGUAGCGAUAUACUCAGCUUCAAAAAUAGAUAAGGAUAUAGAUUUUUGUUUCUUAUUAAGCCAAGCCACAAGACAAUCACCAAUAAAAAAACAAGCAUCAGAUGUGUUUUUUCUAUCCUCAACAUUUUCAGCCUAAUCAACAUUGGAAUAUCCAACAAUCACAAGAGAAAUUCAUACGGAUACCACAAACCAUAAUCAAGAGUAUCAUUUAUAUAAUGAAUAAUUCUUUUAACAAACAUUAAGUGUGACUCUUUGGGGUUUGCUUGAUACCUAACAUAGGCUCUAACACUAAAAGAUAUGUUAGGACGACUUGCAGUAAGGUAAACUAAGCUUCCUAUCAUACUUCUAUAAAGCUUUUGCUCAACAUCCUUUCUAGAUGCAUCCUUGUUAAGCUUAGCAGUAGUGCCCGUAGGUGUCCUAAAGGGUUUGGAGGAUUCUAGACCAAAUUUUUUAACUAAUUCCCUAGCAUACUUGGAUUGAGAAAUAAAGAUCCCAUAUUUUAGUUGCCUAAUCUGCAAUCCUAGGAAGAAUGAUAAUUCACUUACCAUGCUCAUCUCGAAUUUAGUCUUCAUCUCUUUGGCAAAACUAAGGGCAAGGCUACUAGAUGUAACUCCAAAAACUAUAUCAUCUACUUAAAUCUGAACUACUAGCAACUCACAAUUGGACCUAUUUAUAAAUAAGGUUUUAUCAACUCCCCCUAUUUCAAACUUUUUCUCCAAGAGAUAGGUUGUGAGCUUCUCAUACCAUGCUCUAAGAGCUUGCUUUAAACCAUAAAGGGCUUUCUUUAACCUAUAGACAUAAUUAAGGAAUUUCGAAUCCUCAAAUCCCUUAAGUUGCUAAACAUAAACCUCUUCACCUAGAAUCCCAUUUAGAAAUGCACUCUUAACAUCCAUUUGGUAAAGCUUUAUCCUCAAGGAGCAUGCUAUUGCCAAAAGUAUCCUAAUUGAUUCUAGUCUAUCUAUAGGUGCAAAUGUUUCUUCACAAUCAAUCCCCUCUAUCAUUGAGUAUCCUUGGGCAACUAGUCUUGUUUUGUUUCUCAUAAUAACCCCAUUCUCAUUUUGCUUGUUCUUGACUAUCCAUUUUGUACCUAUUACAUGUUUAUCUUUUGGCCUAGGGACUAAAUACCACACAUCAUUCCUAGUUAAUUGUUUUAACUUUUCCUGGAGUGUGGUACUCCAAGAUUCAUCUCCUAAAGCUUCCCCACAUUCUUUGACUCCAAUUGGGAGGUAUAGCAUACAAGACCCAUCUCAUUUAAUCUUGAUUGUCUCUUAGUAACCACUCGUUCAUUUACAUUACCUAUAACAUUUGAGAUUGGGUGGUUCUUAGGUAUCUUGGAUCUAUGUUUAUCCUUUAUUUCUUUAGGAGUGUCAUCUAAAGGUACAACUUCAUCAUUAUUAGGGUCAAUGUUUUUAUCAAGGAUGUCAUUAGGGUUUUCUUUUGUGGUCUCCAAGUCUUUAGGGUCAUUCCCAAUUGAUUCCUAGAUUAAAAUUUGAUUAUCAAUUAUAUCCUGAUCAUACCCAAUAUCAUUUAUACUACAUUAGAAGAUUCCUAGAUGAUGUGAGAAUUUUGAUUAUACACCUUAUAGGCUUAGCUAGAAGUAGAAUAGCCUAGGAAGAUACCUAAAUAAGAUUUAGCAUCAAAUUUACCAAGGUUCUCUCCAUCCCUAAGUAUAUAGCAUUCACUGCCAAAAUUCAUAAAAUAUUUAAGAUUAGGUUUUCUCCUAGUCCAUAAUUCAUAAGAUGUAUUCUUUGUUCCUAACCUGAGAAAAAUCCUAUUGGCAGAAUAACAUGUAGUAUUAAUUGCUUCUACCCAAAAUUUCAUAAGGGUAUUAUACAUAUGAAUUAUGGACUCUAUUCUCUUUUUCUACUACUUCAUUUUUUUUUAGGAGUUCUAGGGGUUGAAAACUCAUGUUUAAUUACUUUUGAUUCACAAAAGAGGUCAACAUCCAUCCACAUUGUUGAACUCUCUCUUCCCCCUAUCACUCCUAAUCCUUACAAUUGGAUGGCUAAUUUCCACUAGUAUUCUAUUAAAUAAAGACAUUAAAUGUUCUAUGGCCUCAUAUUUCUCCUUAAGAAAACUCACAUAGGAGUAUCUUGAAAAAUCAUCUACAAUCAUAAGGACAUAUCUCUUGCCACCUCUGCUUUUAGUGUGCAUUGGACCCAUAAGAUCUAUGUGAAGAAGCUCUAAAGGUCUAAUGGUCCUUAUCUCCUUAACCUUUUUGUGUGAACUCUUAGUUUGUCUUCCUUUCAUGUACUCACCACAAAUGGGUUUAGGUUCACCACUAAGUCUAGGGAUACCUCUAACCUUUUCAAUAUUCACUAAGUGCACAAAGUCCCUAUAAUUUAUAUGACCAAACCUUCUAUGCCAAAGCUCAGUAGGAUCAAGCUUAGCCUUACUACACAUAAGAGGUGUUCUAGAGUUAGGAUUUAUGGCAUAAUAGUUAUCAUCUGUCCUAUGUCUUGUGAUGACUAUUUUUCCUUCUUUAUUAACUACCUCGAAUAAGUCUUGUUGAAAAUUCACUUUAUGAUCUUUAUCCCACAUUUGACUAAUGCUUAGGAGGUUUGCUUUGAGUCCUUCAACAUAUAGAACUCCAUCUAGUUUGGGACAACCAGGGAUAACUAUACUAUCUUUGCCUUUUACUCAAGUUAGGCUUCCAUCUCCAAAAGUAACAACUCCACCAUCAUAGUUUUCUAGAGAAGUAAAGGAGGAUUUGUCUCUUGUCAUGUGUCUAAAGUACCCACUAUCAAGGUACCACUUACUAGAAGAUUUAGCUUUAAGAGCAUUGAACACAACUUGACAUUUAGACCUAUCAUUUCUCAACCAAACUUGUUAUGUCUUGGGUGGUGACUUGGAGAAACUAGAUUGACUUCUAGGUUUUUGAUUAGCUUUGUUUCCUUUCCCAUUGUUCAAGAUGUUAUUUUUAAGGGAAUUAAAUUCAUUCAUAAGUCUGUUCAUUUGAGAUUCAAACCUUUCAAGAAACCUAGUGUAGCAUCUAAAUUGAGUGUGUCCAGUUUUCUUAUAGUGUGUGCAUAGUGAUGUCUUUUUAGGAGAUUUUAUUUUUUGUUAGGGGCACCAUACUUACCUUUGACAAACAUAGUUUCUCCAUUAUAGGGAGUUUCAUCUUUAUUAGUGUACCCUAAUCCUCUUUUAUCUCCAUGGGUUUUGCAUUCAUCAAGAAUUUCAUUAAGCACUUUAGUUCCAGGGUGAAAAUUUUCAUUCGCAAAUGAAGAAGGCUUAUUAUUAUUGAUUUCUUGAGUGUGAGCAUUAUUCUUCUCAAGGAGAAAAUGAUGCUCAUAUUUAAGAAAUCUGACUUUCUCAAGAAAAUUAAACUUUUCAACAUUUAGCACAUCAAUCUUUUUUUUAUGAGCUUUAAGAACAUCAUGAUUUUUCAUAGAACUUUGGAUCAAUCUUUCAUGCUCAACAACAAGAUUACUCACAAAUUAAACCCUUUGUUCAUUAGUAAACUCAUCAUCAUCACUAUCACUAUCACUAUCACAAUCAGUAUCAUCCAUAGGUUCCAUAAACGCAACAAAAGCUAACAUGUCAUUGGAAUCAUACCUUGCAUCUUCAGAAGUUGUGGAAGCACUCUCUUUAGAGUUUGAAUCACUCCAUGUUGCCUGCAUAGACUUUUUGAUAUUUUUUUUGGGCUAGGACAAUCUUGAGCAUAGUGUCUUAGACCUCUACAAUUAAAGCAUUCAACUUUCUUACCUUUGGAGGAACAUUUUACUUUCUCAUUGGAUGAUUAUUCAUUAGGUUUUUUUCCUUCUCCAUAUUCUCGAUUAUUGUGGAACCUUUUAUUGAAUUUCAUGACCCUUUUAAUCCUUUUGGCCAUAUGGGCAAAUUCAUCCUUAGUUAUAUCAUAUGACAUUUCAAUAUAUUUUUUCUCAUCCUCAGAAGCCUUAAAAGUAGAGUCUUUAGGCUUUUGGGAACUAGGUAGGGUCAUCUCUUAUGUCUAAAAAGAGUCAACUAGUUCAUCAACUCUCAUGGAAUUGAUGUCCUUGCUCUCCUCUAUGGUAGUUAUUUUGGGUCUAAAUCUCUCUAGAAGAGAUCUCAAUAUUUUCCUAACUACAUUAGAAUAUGGAAUAGGUUCUCCAAGGUUGAAUGAAGAAUUUACAAUAUGACUUAAUUCAGAAUAAAAAGAAGAAAAAGAUUGAUUUUCAUGCAUCCUAAUAAUCUCAAACUUAGUAGCAAAUAUUUGUAACUUAGAAACCUUUAUAGCAGACGUACCUUCAUGAGUGACUUGAAGAAUAUCCCAUGUUCCUUUACACGCUUGCAAUUUGCAAUCCUAGAAAACUUGUCUAGACAAACUCCAUUAAAAAUACUAAAUAAAGCCCUAGCAUUGGCUUAACUACCUUCAUUAUCGGUUUUGUCCCAUUCAUGUUUAAGUUUAAGUUCUCCUGUUGAUCUUCCUUGAGCAUCAAGGAUCAAUGGUGGUCCCCAACUGAAUUGCAUACCCUUUUGCCUUGAAUUUUAAGGGAAAACAUCAUUCGUGCUUUCCAAUGAGAGUAAUUAUUCCCAUCAAAAUAGGGUAGACUAUUCAAAGAGGCACCACUUUUUUACUGUUCCAUAUCAGACUUACAGGAUCAAUAAAAUUUUGAUUUUUAUCCUAUAUGAUCAAUAAAAAUUUGAUUUUUAAACAAUGAAAGCUAAAUCUUUAAUCAAUAGGAUAGAGAAUCGGUUUUUUAUCUUGUUCUAAUACCAAUUGAAAAAUGGGUAUUGAUCAAAUACCUCUUAAAUAAUAAUUGAAAGUCUAAUAGGAAACACCCAAAGGGGGAGGAGAGAAUGGGUGAUUUAAAAAUUUUAAAUUAAUAUUUAUAAAUAAUAACUAACUUUUUCUUACUCUAAUAGAUAAUAGGGAUAUCCCAAAUAACUAAAUGGAUUAUACCCAAAAUAUUUAGGUUUAUAAAAAUAUGAUUUUUAACUUUUAGGGAUAUCCCGCAAUUGGUUAGGAAUAAUAUAAUUAUGAAUAUCCAAAUUAUACCUUAUGAGAUGUUAGGUAAAACAAUAAUUAGUUAUAGGUAUAACAACCAUAACCUCCAAGAUAACCAAUCCAACAAUUUCAAUAACCAAUCAAUCAUAAAGGAAUCUCAAUAACAACCUAACUAACCUAUUCAAUAUAAUCAAUAUCAUCAACUAUAAUAUAAGCAGUAAUAAAAAGAUAUGCAAUGAGGCAUAACAUUUUUACAUGGAAAACCCCCACGAAUUAUGGAAUAAAAAAACACAAGGUCUAAGACCUAUCAAUCUAAACCCAUUAUUCGAAAUCAAGUUACAUAGAUUUACAUUACAUAGAUUUACAUAGUCAUUUUACCCUAAAUACUUUCUCUCCAGCACCUGCAACUUUAUCUAUGUCUGUGAUGCAACAACUCCUUAUUUCUCCCUAGUAGAUCCUUCAGCCACUCUAAAGGGAUUAAGGUCUUCAAAAAAACAAUUGAAAUAUCCUAAUCCUUGAAUAAGAGAUUGCGAAUGGUGUGACAAUAAGGAUUUCUCUCAAUAACUCACUCCCUCAUGAAUGAAAGGUCUCAACGAUAUAUUUUCAAUCUCCCCAAAAAUCUCUACACAAUCUUUUAUCCUUAAUGGGUUAUAAGAGAUGUAUUUAUAGGCAAAAGUCAUAAGAAUUUCGAUAUCUCAAGUUUCCAAAUUUGAGUUUGAAUGAAAUUCAUCCAAAAUAUGUUUCUAAACUCGGCAAGAAUAACAUGAUUGCUUAAGUGGACUUAGACCGCUUGAGCGGUUCAUACAACUUGAGUGGGUUGACUACUUGAGCGAGAUUAACCACUUGAGCCCCUAUUUUUUGAAAAAAAAAAUAUUAUAAUUCCAAAAAUGAAACCGAACCUUUUAUACCUUAAAUAAGUCUUAUAUGCCACAACACAAACCUUUUUAGACGUAUCUGUGACUUCUUAGUUAGAUGAACAAGAACCAUUGAUCUUCAAUGGAGAGCAAGCCACUAUAUACAAAGACAUCUAUGUCCAAACAUUGAUUGGAACAAAAUUGCCAACAAUUACACAAGACUCAAUGUCCUAAUAAACAAGAUCUCUAGUUUGGGUUAAUUGAUUAAUUAGAUGAACCUAUCUAGUUAAUUAAUCAAUUAGGACCCAUUUUAGGCUAGAUUAAGUGACCCAAGCCUUGAUGAGCUUAAGUCACUUAAGCCCAAUGGGUAACCCUAUAAAUACCACUUUUAUGAGUUAGGGUCUCAUAUAACUUUUUGAUAAGAAUUGUCUUCCACCUCUAGAGAAAGAGAGAGUCAUUGCUUCCUUUCUUCCAUUAUCCACACUUUAAAGUGUUAAGAUCAUGGUUUGAGUCAUCUUCCGAAAGAUCUUGGAUGUACAAGACCUCCAGACUCUUUAGGCUUCUUCUUGAUUAGAUGGAUUUUGAUUUGGGAACAUCCAAAUCACAGGUAUGAAUACUAUAUCUCUAUAUCUAUAGUUAAUAAUAGUUUUUAUUGUCAUUUUAUUUCAUUAUGAUAGAUUUAGAGAUGCCUAGGGAUAAAGAACAGAGUACUAAGGCAUGAGAACAGAGUACUCUAGGGUUCCCAACACCAAGAUCAUCGUUUAAGUCAUCGGUCAGAAGAUCUUGGGUGUACGAGACCUUUGGUUCAUCGAGUGGAAUUGACUUAGGAACAUCUCAGUCAAAAGUAAAAUUUAGUAAUGACUUUUCUCUAGAUCGUAUAAUGUUAAAAUUUAUUUUUUACUUUCGUUACAUAAGAUCUAGAUCUAGAGGCGUAAAGAAGUUUACAUGCACCUAUACAAUCUAGGGCUUGGGAACAAAGAGAUCUAGGGUUCCUAGAAAUUGGUAUGAAUGCCCUAUGAUAAGAUUUUUCAUGUUAGAUAUGCUCUAAGGUGUGUUAACUCUAUUUUGAAAGGCUUGUUUUUCAUUUGAUGGCCCUAGGGAUGAAUAUAUGUGGGUUUUCAAUAUAAUAUGAUGGUUAUAAUUAUGAUUGGAUUGUUUUAUUUUUGCUAGAAUAGGUUGUAAGCUUCAUGUUUAGGAGCAUAGGAUUUUUCUUGGUUGUAAAAAUCUCUCCUUUAUUAGAUUGGUUGUAAACUCCAUUAAUGGAGUAUAAUAUUUUUGUGAUGUAAAAGAUCCUUUUUUUUUUUUUUAACAAUCUAAUAACUCAUGAAAGACAAGAAAGCAAUCUAAGAUGUCAUUCUUAACCAUCAUGACUCCCACACCAACCAAGGUAAGUUUUUGGUGGAGAAAACAAUCAAAAUCUACAAAAGAAAUAGUCUCAAGUGCUCAGGAAAGGUGACUUGGGUGCUCGAGCAAUCACUUAUCAUGCUCGAGCGAUAUGAUUGAUCGAGUGGUGCUUCCAAUGAUGGUAAGUUGCUUCUAGCAUCCUCAAAAAAAUUUGAGCGCUCUAGUGUAGGUGACAAUAGAUGUGCAAUAAGGAAAUACAACAACAUAAAAAUUGCAAUUCGGGAUUUUUGUAAUAGAUUAGGGUAUUUAUGUAACUAACCCUAUUUUCUGUUACAAAUAUAACUUGGGAAAAUUUGGAUUUUUUAUCCAAAUGGGUUACCAACUUUAUGUAAUAGUAUUCCCAAGGCGAUGGAAACCAGUUCAUUAAUUUAUUAUUUAUUUUAUUUCAUAUUUUUUUCUGCUUAGCAUGUGUUAAAUAAAGAAUAAAUUGGAAAAAUGAUUUUGGAUUUUUCUUAAGGAAAAUAGAUUUUCAUGAGAAACGUUUUCCAAUAUUAUUUUUCUUUUGAACUAGUCGUUGUUAAAGACAUUGUUAUUCCUUUUUGGAUUAUCCACUUGGUUAAUAGGUGGUUCUCUAAGAUCAACCCCUUAGAAAAGGAGGAAAUCAUUUUGUAUAUGGAUAGUCUAAGGAUAAAGGAAUAAGAGAGAAAUUCUUUUAUCACAAGACUCUUAAUUUAAGAAGUAAAUAACAGAAUUGGAAAAUCUCAUGAUAGAGAAUUUAUUUUAAGAAAGGUUAUCAAAAUUACUAAAAGUCACUAUUUUCAAAAUAUUAAUUAGGAGAGGGCCUUAGCAAAUACGAUAACCUCCAUUGUCAAGCCCAUCUUGAUUUGGGUUCAUCACCACCCUCACAGUGGAUUGUAAGCCCUAGGAAUCAAGGGAUAUAGACUCUCCUUAUAGACAAGGCUUUACAUGUCUGUAGUAGGAGCAACCACCCCCAUGGUGGGUUUCCUUGCUAAGUGAUAUUGAUAGCUUAAGGACAAUGGUUAUACACUUAACAUUGGAUAUUAAGUGGUUGAAUCACCCCACACAAUCCCACCUACAUAGUUCAUAGGUCAAAUAAAAAGGUAUGUUGUUCUUGCCUUUAGGUAACGUUCAUGUUUAAGGUAGGGAGAUCAAUCUGAGAGAGUCACUAACUAAUAAUAAGGUCAUGACCUAACUUAUGUAUUCCUAAACAUAACUAAGGCUAAUAAUAAGGUCACUAACUAAUAAAUCGUGUUGGAAGAAGGAAUGCCCUAAAUUCCUAAAGAGAUAGUUAGUUAUGCAUUUUUAUUUUCUAGUUGAAUCAUGUUUAGUGUUGGAUUCUACUAAUUCUUAGUGGAUAGAUUCCAGAGCUAUUGAUCAUGUUUAUAAUUCAUUACAGGGGUUUCAACUAAGCCGAAGGCUAAAUGAUUGAGAUAUGUAUCUAACAUUAGCUUCUGAAGCGAGACUUGUUGUGUAGGCAAUGGAAGAUGUUACCUUUAUAUUUUCUUAUAAUAGUCUUAUAAUAGUCUUUUAGUAUUAAAGGAUUGUCUUUAUGUUCCCGAGUUUAUGAAGAAUUUGAUUUCGAUUUCUAAUAUAUGUAAACUGAAUUAUUCAUCUUUUUUCUAUUAAACAGGUUUGUAUUAGAUUGAAUGAUUCAUUUAUAUGCUCAAGAUCAUUGAUAGAUAAUCUUUAUCGUGUUUCUCUAUUAUCUAUUUUGUGAAGUAAUGAGAGUUAUCAUAUUUCAUAGAAAAUGAAGGAACCUAGCAAUAAUCAAAUAUAACUUUAGCACUUAUACGUAGGUCAUAUAAUCUAAACAAGGCCUAAAGAUUGGUUAAGUUUAGAACUUUACCAUUCUUGAUUCAAAAGAUCUUACAGUUUGUGAAUCUUGUAUAGAACGUAAAAUGACCAAGAAGCCUUUUACUGCUAAAGAAUAUAAAGCCAAGGAAUGUUUAGAGUUAGUGCAUCUUGACAUUUGUGCAUCUUUCAAUGUCCAUGCACAAGAAGGAUAUGAGUAUUUCAUCACGUUUACAAAUGAUUACUCCAUGUUUGGAUAUGUUUACCUGAUGCAUAGGAAGUUUGAUGCCUUGAACAAAUUCAUUGAAUUUAAGACAGAAUCAGAAAACUAAUUGGGUAAAUGUAUCAAGGCACUUCAAUUUGAUAAAGGUGGUGAGUAUAUGUCUACUCAAUUUGAUUCUUUCCUUAAGGAGCACAAGAUUAUAUCCUACUUGAGUGCACUAGGAACUCCACAAUAAAAUGGAGUAAUAGAAAGAAGAAAUCGAAUGUUGAUGGACAUGAUGAGAUCUAUGAUGAGUUUCUCAUCACUCUUGUAUCCUUUUGGGGAUAUGCCUUAGAUAUUUCAUCUUACCUUCUCAUUUUCACAUUUAGGGGUGCCUAAGACAUGUGCUGAAGCUAAAGGUAGACAAAUUGAAAGCAAGGCUUGAUGUAUAUCAAUUUUUAGGUUAUACAAGAGGAAUGAGAGGCCUUUACUUUCACAUCCAGGUCGAUCAAAAGGUAUUUUUCAGUACAAAUGCCAAAUUUAUGGAAGAAGGUUAUAUGAUGAAUAAUAGGGUAAAACAUGAUAUAGAUUGGAGGACACUUGAAGACACUCCCACACUAGCACAAAGGACUAUGAGACAACAAGUUCCUACACCUACCAUUCUAGUCAAUUCUAGUACAUUCAUGGCUCAUUGUAGUGGAAGGAUUGUUAUACAACCAGACAAGUUCAUGUAUUUGAGAGAGUUUAUCAAGGCAAUUCCAAAGGAACAUGAAACCGAUCCCAUAGAUUAUAAUAACGCAAUGAGUAGUAAUGAUGUUAUUCUUUGGCAAAGAGCUAUGGAGGUAAAGUUAAAAUCUAUGUAUUCUAACAGAAUCUAGGAUCUUGUAGAAGUACCUGAACUGCUAAAACUCAUAGGCGGUCUAAAAAAGGAAGAGAAGUAAAUGGAAAGAUUGAGACAUACAAGGCUAGGCUGGUAACGAAGAGUUAUAGUCAAAAACUUGGUUUUAACUAUAAGGAGACCUUCUCACCAAUAGCCAUGCUGAAAUUCGUCUGAAUACUCCUAUCCAUUACAAUGCACCUUGAUUGUGAAAUAUGACAAAUAGAUGUCAAGACAAUGCUCUUGAAUGGUGAUCUUAAAAAGAGCAUCUAUAUGAUGUAACUAGAUGGAUUCAUAGCAAAAUGAUAAGAACAUCUUAUGUGCAAGUUGCAUAAAUCCAUUUAUAGAUUAAAUUGGGCGUCUUGCACAUGGAAUAGGCAUUUUGAUUAGGCUAUCAAGACUAUUGAUUUUGAUCAAAAUGAGGAUGAGUCUUAGGUGUACAAGAAGAUGCAGGAAAGCAUGGUUGUGUUUUUGGUCUUAUAUGUUGAUGACAUUCUAUUCAUUGGGAAUGAUGUAGGGUUAUUGUCAUCAAUUAAGAUCUGGCUAUCUACUUAAUUCUAAAUGAAAGGUCUAAGUGAGACACAAUAUAUUCUUAGAAUUAAGGUCCUUUGGGAUUGUACGAAUAGGAAGAUUGCGUUGUCUUAGGCCACCUACAUUGACAAGGUUUUGGUCAAGUAUGUGAUAAAGGACUCUAAGAAAGGUUUCUACCCUAUGCUUUUGCAAUGGGUAGCCUUAUGUAUGUGGUGCUAGGUACCAGACCAGAUGUUUUCUUUGCUAUAGGAUGGUGAGUAAAUAUUAGUCUAAUCUAGGCAUGGAGCAUUGGACAAUAAUCAAGCAUAUACUCAAGUAUCUUUGAACAACGAGGGAUUAUAUGUUAGUAUAUCAUUACGAUAAGUUGUUACUUCUUGGGUAUAUGGAUUCAUACUUUCAGUCAGAUAAAGACUCUCACAAGUUUACCUUUGAUUUUGUGUUCACUCUAGGUGGUGGGACUAUUAUUUAAAGAAGGUUGAAGCAAUCUUGUAUUGCUAACGCUACUAUGGACGAUGAGUAUAUUGCUACUUCUAAAGCAGCAAAGGAAGUUAUUUGGCUUCGAAGGUUCCUGUUAGGACUUGGGCUAGUGCUCUUGGCUAUAUCACCCCUAGUACUAUUUUGUGAUAAUAGUGGGAUGGUGGCAUAGUCUAAAGAACUAAAAAAAACCACCUGAAGAGUAUUACUUGAUACGUAAGAUAGUAAUGAAGGGAGAUGUGGUUGUGGAGAAAAUCACUUCUACUGAGAACCUGAUAGAUCCCUUCACAAAGACUUUAUUUACUAGAGUCUUUAAUGGUCAUAGGGUAGCUUUUGUGUCAAAUGUGUUCCCAACAUGCUCUAAGGCUAGUAGGAUUUUGUUGGGAUUAAGCCCUAGAAAGCAUGACAAGAUGUAAUAGAUAUAGAUUCAUUUAUAAUUUUAUUUAUUUAUGUUUCUUUAUUUUGUGUUAUUAUCCUAUUUGUAUUAAUUGGUUAUUUAAGCAUACACACCCCACAUUAAUUGCAUUGUACAUGACUUGGGUGCAUUAGGGGUUACAUAGACGAUCUAAGUCAUUGGUUUCUUAUAGAGUGAUGAGUUGUCCAUAGUCGGUUCAUAGAUUUAGGCAAUCCAUCUGAGACUAUAGUGCACUACCUCCUAAUUGGAGGAAUAACUUGUCUUAGUUGUCAAGAUGGUUUUCCCAUGGUGAGUGCACUAGUGCAUGUGAUGAACACUGCAUUAAGCCUACGGUGAAUCAUGACAUAAGGCUAUCAAUUGUCAUGAUUCACCAAGCUACUAUACUAGAUGAACUCUUAAGCUUGAGAGGAUAUUAAGCCUAUGCCAAAGUCAAUAGGAGGCUUUAACCUACAAGUGAGUUCCUAAGGUGACCAUAUAUCUCUAUGGAUUAUGUCACUAUUGAUUAAGACUGGUGACAAUAGGUAUUCUUAAUAGAGGCACCAUAAUAUCUCAUGGAUUGAGAUAGUGUGUCCCCUUCGAUGAUCCAAAGGACAUGUGAUCUAGAAGAUUUGACAUUUUCUUUAGUGGAAAUUUCACAUAUCUCCUUGGAGUUAGAGUAUGUCAAUUGAUCACAUAAUAAGUAGGAUUUGUAAUCUAAGGACUGAAGACGUAAUCUUGAUAGGUGAUAACACUAUCUUAUUAGAUUGCAGACACCAAUUCAUGGGAAGUCUACAUGUAGUGGAUAUUAGGUCACAAAUUUGAGCUUUAUAUCAUUGUUAUUUACAUAAGUAUUGGAAUGUAGUUGAUUCUCUUAAAUGAAAUGUUGAAUCAACUUCAAAAUUAGAUUUUGAGGGAUCCAUUACUCCUAUGGGUCCUAGUGAUCCCCACUCUAAGCUCAUAUAACAUGAUGACAUGAUUUUUAAGGGUUAGAUUGGCUCUAGGUUCACUCUUGUGCAUAAGGGUAUUUUGGUAAUUACGUAAGGUUGCAUAGGAGAUAGUGAACAAGGUCUCUAGAUUGGACUAAUUGAUUAAUAAGAUGGGCCUAUGUGGUUAAUUAAUUAAGACAUGUUUUAGGCUAGAUUAAGUGACUCGAGCCUUAGUAGGCUCAAGUCACUUAAGCCUAGUAGGGAGACCUUAUAAAUACCCCUUUAGGGGUCAAUGUUUCCAUCACUUUUCAAAGACAGUCGUCUUCCACUUCAGAGAGAGAGGGAGAGAGCUAGGAUUCUUCCCUUCCAAAGUCCACACUUUAGAGUACCAAGAUCGUGGUUCAAGUCAUAGGGCAAAAGAUCUUCGGUGCACGAGAUCUCCAGACUCUUCAAGCUUCAUCUUUAACUAGUGAAAUUGAUUUGGGAUGUCUAAAUCAAAUUUAAAGUUUUCUAAUGACUUUUCUUUGGAUCCUAGAAUGUUAAAAAAAAAAAAAUUCAUUUCCGUUGCAUAGGAUCUAGAGGCAUAGGGUAGUUUGCAUGCACCUAUAUGAUCCAAAGCUUGGGAACAAAGAAACCUACCCAAAAUAAAAGGUACUCGAUAUGAUGAUUUGAAAUUUUUGCAAGGAAUUACAAUUACACUGAAUGUAGCAACAACCUCAUAUGAAAUUCUCGGUGAAGUUUCUAAUUCUUCAAAGCUAGUGAAAAGGCAUUACAAAGUCUUGCAAAGCCAUGUUUGUUGAAAGGUAUUUCUACAUCCAAGUUGGAAUUUUGUGAGCACUAUAUAUUAAGCAAAAACAACAGGGUAAAGUUUGGUAUUGCAGUCCAUCGCACCAAGGAAACAUUAGAUUAUGUGUAUACAAAUGUCUAGGGACAUACAAAAACAACUUCUUUAUGAGGUAAGCAUUGGUUUGUGAAUUUUUUUUAUGAUUACUUAAGAUAUGUGUAGGUGUAUUUAAUGUGAUAUAAAAGUUAUGCUCUUAAUGUGUUUCUCAAAAGACAAUGGUAGAAAAUAAAGUUAUUAAAAAAAUAUAUAUUAAGAAGCAUAUAUUAAACAAUGAUGGGGAAUAUAAGUUAAAUCCUUUUACGCAAAUUAGAGAAAAAAAAUGAUUGUGUGACACUUACCAGUCAUGAAUAUUCUACAAGAAAACAGGGUAGUAGAGAAGACAAAUCACAAAUUGUUUGAGAAGUUGAGGUGCAUGUUGUCUAAGAGCAGAUUGAGGAAAAGAGUUUUAGGUUGAGGUUGUAACAUAUACAUGUCAUCUUAUUAAUAGAUUACCUUCUAUAAUACUUGAGAUCAAGACUCCCAUGGAGAUACGAUAUGGUACUCCAACUUCUGAUUAUGAUUCAUUACAUAUAUUCAGUUGUUCUUCUUACUACCAUAUUUAGAGAAUAAGUUAAAGCUUAGAUCCAAGAAAACAAUUUUCUUAGGUUUUAGUAGUGGUGUUAAAGGCUAUUGUUUAUGGUACUCUUUGCAAAGGAAAAUCAUUGUGAGCAUGGAUGUUGUGUUGAGUGACGAUGUUAUGUUAAAAAAGAGUUUCACAGAAGAUGGAGUUUGGAAGUCAAGUUGAAACUACUAUGAUGUCUUCUCUAGAUCAUUCAAGUAUGGAUUUAGAUGUCAUAGUAGAUGAACUAGAGUUUACUUCCCUAAGGUCCAAUGAAUAUUUUAAGUCAAUUGCAGUAAGUAGACCACAUAAAGAGAUAUUGUCACCUGCAUGACAUGUUGAAUUGGUUGCAUAUGCAUCACCCAUUGUUACUAAAGAUAUUCCAGACACUUAUAGGGAUGCAAUUCAUAGUCCUUAAAGUGAAGAUUGGAAAUUGGAAAUAUAGAAUAGAUGAACUCUCUCCACAAAAUUAAGACAUGGAAAUUAGUUCCAUUUCUUCCAUGAAGAAAGUUGUUGGAUGUAAAUGGCUAAGCAAAUAAAGAGAACUCAAUAAAAAAAAAGGUGAUAUAAGUUUCAAGGUUAUAUUAGUUGCAAAAGGGUAUGUAUAACAUAAAUAUAUUCAUGAUAAUAAAGUGUUUUAUCCUAUUGUUAAUCAUUCUUCUAUUAGAUUAUUGUUCGCUCUUAUUGCUCAAUAUGAUUUGGAGUUGUCUUAGUUAGAUGUUAAAACUGCUUUUCUCCAUGGUGAUUUAGAUGAAGAGACAUAUAUGUCUUAACUAGAAGGGUUUUAAAGAACUAAGAAAGAAUAAUUUGUUUGUAAAAUUGAACAAAUCAUUAUAUUCAUUUGAAGCAAUCCCCAUGGCAAUGGUACAAGACAUUUGAUCAAUUUAUAAUAGAAAUAAUUACAUUAGAAGUAAAUUUGAUCAUUAUGUUUAUUUUAGUAAAUUAUCUUAUGAAAAUUAUAUUUUUUUUGUUAAUAUAUGUCGAUGAUAUGUUGAUUGCUUGUAAGCCUCUGAUAGUCAUUCAUAGGUUAAAAAAUUAGUUGAGAACUAAAUUUGAAACUAAGGAUCUUAGAAUGCAUGAAAAAUUAUUGGAAUGAAGAUGACAAGGGAUAGAAGAAAGGGGAUUGAUGAAUUGUCACAACAACAAUGUUUGUAGACAUUACUUUAGCAUUGUGGUAGGACUUCCAAAAUAAAAAGUGUACUCCUUUGGCACCUCAUAUGAAACUCAAUGUAGAGAUGUCUCAUAACUUAGAUGAAGAAGUAAAGUGCAUAUGCAUAAUGUUCCAUAUGCUAGUGUCGUUUGAAGUUUGAUGCAUACCAUGGUUUGUAAUAGACUUGAUAUUCCACUUGUUGUCAUCAUGGUUAGCAGGUAUAUGCAUAAUCCAAUGGCUCUAGCAAACAGUAAAAUAAAUUUUAAGAUAUAUUCUAUGCACAACUGAUGUUGGAAUAGUAUUUCAACAAGAAUGUUCAACACAAGAUAUGGGUUAUGCAUAUUCAGACUAUACAACUAAGCUUUGUAAGUGUACGUCUAUUAUAGGUUCUGUAUUUACACUUGUAGGUAGACCUAUUUGCUAGAAAUCAACAUCUAUUGUGGCUUUGUCUGCUACAGAGCUAGAAUAUAUGAUAAUUAUAAAAGCUUUCAAGGAAGCUAUUUGGUUACAUGGUUUGGUUAAGGACUUGGGAAUCAAACAUGUCACAUCAUAACUUAUUGUGGUAGUUAAAAUGUCAUUCAUUUGGAAAAUAAUCAAAUUCAUCACUCCCAAACAAAGCAUAUUGAUGUUUGAUUUUAUUUUAUUAAAGAAAUUCUAGAAGAAGGUGAUAUCUUUCUUCAAAAGAUUGCUACUAUAGAUAAUCUAGCUCAUAUGCUGACAAAGAUAGUUUAUGGGAUCAAGUUCAAUCAUUGUGUAGACUUAAUCCAUAUUGAGAGGAUAUGAGUAUCCUCAAGUGCAUUUGGCUACAAGAUCCUUAAAAGAAUUUGUGUAGCGUUCAAUCUUGGCAAGGUGGAGAUUGUUAAAUUGGCUUCACUUAAGUUAAUCAACCAAUUGCAAGAGAAUUUUGAAGCCUUAAUAGUUGAACCAUAUAUUGUUUUUUUAGGUAAAGUCUAUAGUUACAAUGCAUGUAGUUGGAUUGAAAAGUUUCUUGGGGAACAUAGGAUAUAAUUGAUGUUCUCUACAUUGGUUUUUCUUUUUUCUUUUUUCAAUUUUGAAAUUCCAGAGAAAACUAUCUUACAAAGGAGAAAAUACCACACUUAGGACAAAGAGUACUUUGUAAUUAUUCUAUACUCUUUUGAGAUCUUUAGUGAAUGAUCUUACUAUAGGCAAAAACCUUGAAGCUUUACAACGUUAUGAUGUAGUAUUUCCAAUAAUAUAGGCACUUCAUUUUCAAAACCUUUCAAGUAUGUUGCCUCAUCUCUUUCUUGUCCAUGGAGUUUUUUUCGAGGCUACCACAUUGCCUAUACAUAAUUAAGCCUUUAAACACUACCAUAGCCUUCGAUACCUAUGUAAUUUUUUAUAUCGAAAUCUUUUGUUGCCUUGAUGAUGUCUUCAUAAGCAAUCUUACCAUCAUAGUUCCAUGCCAAAAAUAUAUAUCCUUAUGGAUGUUACUUUGGUUUGAUUUUUUCUUAUCUUCAAUGAAAGUGGGAGGGCCACAAAAGAAAGAAACAAAGUGGUAAAAAAAGAAAUAAUGAUGAUGAGUAUGAUUUUAUGUCCCUUCUUAGAAUGAGGCAAGUCUUCUAUGUCCACACAUAAACCUUUAUUGUGGUCAAAUACUGUAAAUAGAUGUUCAAACUACAUUAGAUUCUUCAAAUCCCCAAUUUCAAAAGAGCUAGCAUCGUUGAUUUGAUUGUAACAAAGAUAAAAAUGAGUCAAAUCAGUAGAUGCCCCAAAGAUGAAGGAAUAACACCAAUAAGGGAGUUAUGACUAAGAGACAAUUCCAAGAAUUCUAGGUUGGUAAAAUAUCCAAGUGAGGAAGGGAUGACUCUGGAAAAAGAGUUAGAACCCAAAUCCAAGUGAAUCAGAUUCAUUAAAUUCCCAAUCUAGUAAGGAAUAAAACCAUGGAUUUCAUUGCAACUUAGGCUUAAAUAUUUAAGCAAGUAAACAAUAAUAGCACAAAAUAAACAAGAAAAUAAUAACAUAAUUAUUUCCUCAUGGGCUUUAAGGAUCUUAUUGCAUAAUUAGUAAUAAUUUGGAUAAAAUCCAAAUAAAAAAUAUUACCAAAAAUACCUAUAACCAAAAAUAUGAUUAUAAAAUAAAAAGAAACCUUAAAAAUGAUGGGAGAAACUUGAAUCUCUUCAUUUUCCGAGCCUAGAUUAGGCUAGGAACAUGCUUAACUAUCCUAAGCUUUUCUAAAUCCCAUGCAUAGUGAAAAAAUUGCAUUUUUAAAACUUAAUAUGGAUUCAAUAAGUGCUAACGAAAACAUAAUUUGGAUUAAAAUGUUCUUAAAUCCAAUACACAUAGUGAAGAUAAAGAAGGAAGUCACAGAAGUCUCAUAUACCCGAAGUCUUCCAUUCGAUGACUUGAACCUUGAACUUAACACACUUCAGGUGGGAAUGUAAGAGAAGGUAAAGGUUAUGGCUCUCUCUCUCUCUCUCUCUAGAGGUGGAAGACAACUCUUUAAAAAAAACAAUGGAAACCCUAACCCUUAAGGGGUAUUUAUAGGGUUUCCCACUAGGCUUAAGUGACUUAAGCCCAUUAAAGGCUAGGGUCACUUAGUCUAGCAAAAAACAAGUCCUAAUUGAUUAAUUAACCUAAGAAGGCCAAUUAAUUAAUUAAUUAGUUCAAUUUAAAGAACUUGUUCACUUGCCUUGUGCAACCUUACGUAAUUACCAAAAUGUCCUAAUGCAUAAAAGUGAACCUAAAGUUAAUCCAACCUUUAUAACCCAUGCCAACAAGGUAUAUGAGCGUAGAAUAGGGACCAAUGGGGCACAUAAAAGUACUAACACCCUUAAAAUCCAAUUUUGAAGUUGAUUCAAUAUCCCACUACAGAGAAUCAACUAAACUCCAAUAUCCUAUGUGAAUAACAACAAGACACCAUGUGCUCGAGUCUAUGACCUAUUAUCCAUUACGUUCAGUCUCCCCAUAAACUUGUGUCCAUAGUCUAAUAAGGUGAAAGCUAUCAGUCUUUCAAGACUACCUCUACUAUCCUUGAGCAAUAGAUCCUUCUAUUUUGUAUUCAAUUAACAUAUCUUAGCUUUCCAAGAGCUAAUGUCAAGUUCCACUUAAAGAACUACUAUGACCAUAGUUUCCAUGAACAUACCUCCAUAGGAUCAGCCAAGGGGACACUCUAUCUCAAUCCUAUAAGAUAUCAUGGUGCCUCUAUUGAGAAUACCUAUUGCUACUAAUUUCCAUCAAUAGUGACCCAAUCCAUAGGGAAUAUAUAAUCAGCUUACGAUAUCACCUAUAGGUCAAAGUCAUUGCUAACUUGAACAUAAGCUCAAUAUUCUCUCAAGAUUGAGGGACAAUACAAUGAAGCAGCUUGGUGAAGUCAUGACUACAUGAUAGCCUUACAUCAUAACUCAUCGUAGGUCUUGUCCAAUGUGCAACCAUACACACUAAUGCACUCACCAUGGGAAACCUAUCCCAAUGGCCAAGACCAGUCAUCCCUCCAAUUAGGAGGUAGUGCACUAUAACCUCUAAUGGGUUGCCUAAGCCUAUGAACUAGUUGUGAACAAGUCAUCCAUUUGCAAGGAACCCAUGACUUAGAUCUUGAAUGCAACUCCUAAUGCACCUAAGUCACGUAUAAUGGAAAAAAUGCAUGCCAAAGUGCUUACAAGAUAUAAUGCAUAGAAAUAGGAUAACUAAAAGUAAACUAAAACUUUAUUAAAUAAAUAAUAGAAAUUCACAUGUUUAUUACAUCAUGUCAUGUUUUUAAAGGCUCUAUCCUAACAAAAAAAAUACCCUAAAAAUGUCAAAUAGCAAUCAUUUGCACUUUAGCGUCCCAAGGGUCGCUGGAAGGACUACUCUAUCACUCAUGCUGCCUAAGCACUAAUAUGAUCACUUAAGCAUUGAGGCCACUUGAGUGCUAAUCUAAGCGCUUAAGCACUACAUCCUACACAUGAGGUUGGUUCUAUAACUAUUUCAACCAUCGUUUCUAUGAAAGCCUCAUCAUUUUGGAUGACUUUUUGCACCAUAGAUGCUCGUGAAUGCUUGGAAUCUUUAAUCUUCAAGUUUUGGGUUACCAAAGACGGAUAAAAUUUCGAUUUUUACAUUAAGAAAAACCUUAUGCUUCGUUAGAUGGAGUGUACAGUCCAUCUAAGAACAAAAGACUUGAUAUUUACUUAUAAAAUUAAAAUUUUAUGCUCCUAACCAUGAAGUUUCCAACCUAGUCUAUACAAAGAACAAAUCCAAACACUUAAUCACAAUUAUAAACAUCAUAUUCAUAAAAAUAACAUCCAUACAUUCAUCCCUUUAGGUCAUGGGAUGAACAAACAUGCCUACAAAACCAAGUAAGCACACCUUAGAAUGGAUCUAAUAAGCUUUUUCGUAACCUAGGGCUUUGAUACCAAUUGUUGGGAAAACCUAGAUUGCUCCAUUAUCAUGUCUUGGAUCGUUAGGGUGCAUGAAAACCUAUUCUAGGCUCUCUAAAUCUAUCAUACAAUAGAAACAUUGCAAUUGAAACCAAAAAGAAUACCAUAGAUUUAGAGAUUAGUGCCAUACAUUUUAUUUAGAUAUUCCUAGAUCGAUUCCUAUCAUUGUAGAAAGCUCCAAAAUUGAAGAAAAUCUUAUAAACAUCAUGAUUUUCCACCCAAUGACUUCUCCUUGAGUGUAGGUGCUAAGAUGGUGGAGAUCUCAAGGGUUGGAGGCUAGGUUUCUCUCUCUAGACUAUAAGGAGAGAAUGGUAAGAUUGAACUUCACUAGAAACCCUAAUCCCCUAAAGGGGUAUUUAUGGGCUUCUUACUAGGCUCAAGUGACUUAAGCCCACUAUGGGCUUGGGUAACUUAAUUUAGCCUAAAGGGUGCUAAUUGAUUAAUUAACCCUAUAGAGCUCCAAUUAAUCCAUUAGUCUAAUCCAGAGAUAUUGCAUACUUAUCCUUAUGCAACCUUGCAUGAUUACCAAAGAGUCAUAAUAUUCAUAAGUGAACUAAAAACUCAUCCAACCCUCAUAAACUGUGUCAUCAAAGAAUAUGAGCUCAAGUGAGGACCAUUAGGACCCAUAGAAUAGUACUGGCUCUCUCAGAAUCCAAUUCUAAAGUUGACUCAAUAUCCCACUAUAGAGAGUCAAUUGCACUCCAAUACCCCAUGUAUAUUACAACGAGACACUAAGUGUUUGGGUAUGUGAGUCUCUUCAUGAACUGGUUAUUGAUAGUCUAACAAGAUGAAAGCUAUUAGCUUUUGAAGACUACCUUUACAAUCCUUAAGUUACAGAUCCUCAUCUUAUUAUGUGAACAAAUGACAUACUCUAGCUUACUAAGAGCAUGUGUCGAAUUCCACUAAAGGAAUUACUGCAAGCCCAUAAACUUCAUGAUCAUGUGUCCUUAAGAUCACCUAAGUAGACACACUAUCUCAAAGUCCAUGAGCUAUCAUGGUGUCUAUAUUGAGAAUACCUAUUACUACUAGUUCCAUCAAUAGUGACCCAAUCCAUAGGGAAUAUAUGAUCAGCUUACGAUCUCAACCAUAAGUCAAAGCCACUACUAGUUUCUACACAAAAUCAAUAUCCUCUCAAGGUGAGAGACUAUAUAGUAUAGCUACUUAGUGAUGUCAUGACUCCUUGAUAACCUUAUGUCAUGACUCAUCGUAGGUCUUGUCCAAUGUGUAAACUAUACACACUAGUGCACUUUUCAUGGGAAACUCAUCCCGACAACCAAGACUAGCCAUUUCUCUAAUUAGGAGGUGAUGAAAUACAACCCCAAAUGGAUUGCCUAAGUCCACAAACCGAUUGUGAACAAAUUAUCUACUUGCAAGGAACUCAUGACUUGUAUCUUAUGUGCAAUUGCUAAUGCACCUAAGUCAUGUACAAUGCAAGGCAAGAGAUGCUAAGCCAAAGUGGUCAUAGAGAAUAAUCCAUGGAAUAAGUAUAGAUAAGAGUGAACUUGGAAUAUCAUCAUGAAUUUCAAAUUUGUUAUAUCAUAUCAUGCUUUCAAGGAAUCUAUCCUAACACUGUGUACCUUGAGUAUAUAGUUUUCUUUAAAUUUUAUAAUAUAUUGUUGCUUUCUUAUUAAAAAAUCAUUAAAAAAAACCUCAUUUAACCCUUUGUAUAUUGUUUUUCUAUACUUGAAUGAUAGAAAUGGUGAUUUAGGUUUGGCUUUCUAGCUUAUAUGACUUUUAUGGUAAAUGCUUCAAAGCAUAUUCAUGAUACUAUCUUGCUAAUGUUGAGGAUGACGUAGCACAACUUCAAGAAGGUAUUUGCAAAGUAGAAUGUACAAUUUCUAGAUUAAAUUUUUUAGAAAUGUUUAUAAAGUUUAGAUUUGAAGAUUACUGUGGAUUAUUUUUAAUAAAAUAGAAUUUAUAGAUAUCCUAUUAUGUAAUCGCUUUAUACAAAAACAAAAAAAAAAAAAACAAAAAAACAAAAAAAAAAACAGAAACAAAAAAAACACAAAAAAAAAAAACAAAAACAAAAAAAAAGGGUUUAAUUUUGAUGUCUUCUACAAGAUGCUUUCACUUUUAUAUUAUUUAAAUAACAUUUUCCAAUAUGUUGUCAAAUAUAUGUUUUCUUAUAUUAAUUUCUUCCAAUAUUUUACUUAGGAAUAAAAAUGGAAUAUUGCUAUUAUUUUUAAUGUUGCAAUUAUUUUUCCUACACACACACAUAGAUAGAGCCUAUCUAAAAAGGGAUUGAUUAGGGUUUAAGCUUUUUCUUUGCACAAAUUUGAUCAUGAAUGAUACUUACAAUGAAUCAACUUAAUUAAUAUAAACAUCUCAUACUAAUUUAAUCAUAUAUAAUUUACUAUAAAAUAUUUCUAAUUCUUUCUUAAUUCAAACUAAAAAUUUAAUUCUUUUAAUCAAAACUUUUUGUUUUAAAAAUGAGUAAUACAAAAGGUUGACGAAAAAAUUAUAAAAAAAAUGUAGAAGAAUAAUAAAUUUAUGAUACAUGAAAUGUGUAUAUAUCUCAACUUAGAAUUAUUAUAUCCUAUAUUAAAAGGAUGUAUAAAGGGAUUGGAUCAAUAAAUUAUCUUAUUGAAUGUUUGAUUAAAUAUGAUAUAUGAUAAUUAAAGGAUGAGAUCAUUUAUCCUAUCCCAUAGCUAACCAAACAUGGGAUAUGAUAUGUUAUCUCAUCUCUUAUCUCAUCUAAUAUUAUGUAUAUUAAAUCAACUAAAUACAACCUUACUUUAGAAGGUAAUUCAAUUGAGAUGUGGGGAUGUGGACUACUAUUACUUUUAAAAGAAAUAUAGAAGUGAUAUAGACUAUUGAUAAGUUGAGUGCAUUAUGGGGGGGAUACGUUGAGUGGAUUCAAUUUGACAUCCACCUAUCUAAAUAUAUUAAUAGAUCAUCUUGGAUUAUGAAAAUUAUGAAGUUCAAAAACAAUAUGGAGCACACACUGGUAAUAUAAAAACAAAUCAAAAUUGGUAUCAUCGUUGCAUGCUAGUCACCUAAUUAUAUUUGUUGAAUAUUUAGUUGCCAAAGUGAAAUCUCAUGAAAAGAUUCAAGAAAUGGUGAUUGAGGAAGAAGCUUCGAUGAGAUGUGUUGCAUUGUUGGACGAGAUCUCGGAUUAGCAUGUAUGCAUUUCAGUGCCAACCAAACCACAAGAACUACAUCUUUAACAACUUGUUGGUCUUGAGGAGAUGAGAGAUGUGAAUCUAAUAUAUUAGUGAGCAUUAUAUUUUGAGCUGAUGAGGAAGACAAUAAAGUGACAAGUUCUCCUAGAUGUUUUCCCAUCAUUGUCUCAAGUGUAAUCACUCCAAAGUUAUAAACAUCACAUUUUUCUGUCACAAUCAUAGUAUAGGCAAGCUAUGCUAAGAAUCAAAAUAAGAAAUAAAUAUUGCACAAAUGAGAAAGUUACAUUCAUUUGAUUUUCUCAUAUUAGCCAUAACUAUAAAAUGUUAAUAAUGUUUCAUAGCAUUCCAUUGACAUUUGGCUACAUUUUAUUUCUAGGAUUGUGAUGAAAUUAAGUUAAUUUUUACAACUUAUAUGAAAUCUUUGAAAAACCAUUCUAAGGAGUUUUUAAAAAUGUUUAGGUAUUAUUAGGAAAAUGAAGACAACCAUUUGGAGAAUGCUUGAGAGACCAUUGAUAAGUAUUUUGUAUAUAAAGUUAUCUAGCUCUCUAAUAUCCUAAACCAUUUUUUUUUAUAACUUUUUAAAAUAACUAUUAAGAGUUUUCUUUUUCUUUUUCUUUUAUUUUUUUGGGAAUUUUAGAAUAAAUAAAUAAAAAAAGAGAGAAAAAUAUGUUAAAGAUAUUUCAACUUCUAUGAGGGCCCUUUGGGCAUAUAGCAAAUAAUAUUUACACAGUUGGAAGCACAUCAUUAUAAAUGAUAUAAAGUUUGUUUGGCUCUAUAAUCCCAUUGGACACAAAAAGGAUGUUAUGUUUGCAUAAGGGAUGAGUGUGAUAUCUCACAAUAGAUAUUAAAACAAACAGUUCUAAAACUACAUAUGAAUGAGCUCUUCUUAACCUUGUAAAUGCAUUUUGAAAUCGUGUGGACCCUUAAGCCUAGACCAAACAAUAUCUACGCGGUUUGGAGAUAAUAUCUAGUUUGCAUGAAAAAAUAAAGAAAAAUAAUAUAUUAAAUAUUUUAAAGAAUAUAUUUACUUUUGAGCUCUUCAUAAUUUUGAAAUAAGUAAUAAUAGUAGAAGAAGUUUUGUUUGGCUUGUAAAAAUAUUUCCUUUCACUUCAUCCAAUAUAAUAUAUCACUUCUAUGAAGUAUAUAAUGAGAGGUAUAAAAGUACUAAAUACAUCCAAUCUCAAAGAUACCAUACUAAAACGAAAAAUAGCUAGAAGUUCAAAAGAUAUAUCGGAUAAGUAAAAGUUGAAAGAAAUAUCAGUGUGUACUUACCUGGUGCUAUGUAACCAUAAGUGUCUGCAAAAAGUGUUUAAUUGGAUGAAUCAAGAUGUAGCAGUCUAGCGGUGCCAAAAUCCAAUAGAAAAGCUUCUAGUUUAAAAUCCAAAAGAAUAUUGUUGCUUGAUAUGUCCCUAUGAAUAAUGGAAGGAGUACAGUCAUGAUGCAUGUAGCAUAAGGCAUGGACUAUGCUUUUAACCACAUUCACCCUUUUAAUCCAAUCCAAUUCCAAAGCUUCAACUUCAUUGCUCAAUACACAAAAUAAGCUUCCUCUUUCCAUGUACUUUUAAAUCAAAAACAUGAAUUUUUUUUGCAGACAAUAGUCGUGAAGUUUUAUAAUAUUCUGAUGUUGUAUUUUUGACAAUAUCUGCACCUCGUUUUGAAAAGUUUUCAAGUAUGUUGCCUCAUCUAUUUCCUAUCCAUGAAACUUUUUCAGGGCUACCACAUUGCCUGUAGGCAAUUGAGCCCUAUAAACAUUGCCAUAGCCUUUGGUGCCUAUGCAAUAUUUGACAUCAAAAUCCUUUGUUGCUUCAAUGAUGUCUUCAUAAGCAAUAUUACCAUCAUAGUUCCAUAUUGAAAAUAUAUCUCCAUUUUUUGUCGAUGUUGUCUUGGUUUGAUUUUGUCUCGUAUUCUGUAAAAGCAAGAGAAACCCAAACGUCGCAAAAAGAAAUACGAUGGUAGAUAUAGCAAUAACAAUGAUGCAUAUAAUUUUAUGUCCUCUUCUACAAUGUGUUCAACCUUUGAUUUCACCACAUAAACCUUUUUUGUGGCUAAACACCUUAGGGUGAUGUUCCAACUAUAAUUCAAUGGGUAUAUGGCCCUCCAAAUCAUUAUACGACAAAUCAAUUGAUGACCACCUAUAUAUUGGAAGAGUAGGAAUGCGACCUAAGAGGUUAUUGUGAGAGAGAUUCAAGUUUUCCAAGCUCUUCAAGUUUUGGAGCUGGGAAGUUAUCUUUCCAUUGAUCAAAUUAUCACUAAGGUCUAAGAUAGCCAAAUUCUUCAAGUUCCCUAUCUCGAAAGGAAUGCAACCCUUGAUUUGAUUUCCACCAAUAUUGAACUCAGUUAAAUUAAUGAGAUAGCCCAAAAAUGAAGGAAUAACUCCCAUGAGGUUGUUAUGAUCCAAUCUGAGAUGGAUUAUAUUCUUCCAAUUCCAAAUUAUAGGAGGGAUGGAACCAUUGAUUUGAUUAUAACAAAGAUAAAAAUGUGUCAAAUUGGUAAGAAGACCAAAUGACAAGGGGAUGGACCCUGGAUUUGUUUGUUGAUGAGAUGGAAAUAAGUCAAAUUGGUAAGAUAACCCAAAGAUGAAGGAAUAACACCAACAAGGGCAUUAUGACUCAGGGACAGUUGAACCAAAAUUUUAAAAUUCCCAAUUUCAAAAGAGAUGGAACCGUUGAUUCGAUUUAAAUUAAGGUACAAGUAUUCCAAGUUGGUUAAACUUCCAAGAGAUGAAGAAAUGACAAAGGAAAGAGAGUUAGAACCCAAAUCAAAAUAAAUCAGAUUCUUUAAAUUCCCAAUUUCAUAAGGGAUGGAACCGUUGAUUCGAUUGAAAUUAAGGUAUAAGUAUUCCAGGUUGGUUAAACUUCCAAGAGAGGAAGGAAUGACACUAGAAAGAGAGUUAGAACCCAAAUUCAAAUGAAUCAAAUUCUUUAAAUAUCCAAGAGAGGAAGGGAUGGCACCAAAGAGAAAGUUAGAACCCAAAUCCAAAUGAAUCAGAUUGUUCAAAUGUCCAAGAGAGGAAGGGAUGGCACCAAAGAGAGAGUUAGAACCCAAAUCCAAAUGAAUCAGAUUCUUCAAAUAUCCAAGAGAGGAAGGGAUGACACUAGAGAGUGUAGGGAAUUAAACCGAAUUCCCAACCCGUGAGAAACAAAAAUUUAGAGAAAACACAUGCCAAAGAAAAACAAUCACACGCACAAGACAGUAUUUAUGUGGUUCGGCAAUUUGCCUACGUCCACGGAGUUGCAAGGAUAUCACUAUUAUAAGGGAAAAAUACAGAGUACAACCACAACGAUUACAAUAUUUUCUCUCUAUAUAUAACACGGCAACCACACCACACUAAAAAACCCUAAUUACAAAAGGUGGUUCCACAAUGGGCUAAAUGGGCCCAAUAGGCCUCAGUAAAUCUCCCAUUAAAAAGCCAUGCAAUAUUAUUCAGGUUGGGUAGUCAAAUCGGAUCAAAUAAAACUAGGCUCCACAAAGCCCAAAAAAUCUCCCACUUGGAGACUAGUCCAAUCACUAACAUCAAACCGCUAUCCUCCAAGAAACAAUCCCUCAUCCCUGCAACUCAUCCUCCUAUCCUCAAGCUAGAAGACCAAUUGAAGCUACGCACAACUUCAACUUCUCAAUAGUGACACCCUUAGUCAACAUGUCUGUCGGGUUCUUAAAUCCAUAAAUCUUCUCAGGUAUUACCAGUUUAUCUUCAACAAGGUAACGGAUAAAGUGGUAUUUUGUUUGUAUAUGCUUCGACUUUGAAUGAAAAGCUGAAUUUUUGGCAAGAAAAAUUGCACUCUGACUGUCACUGUGAAGAAUGUCUAUCUCCUAUUUUUUACCCAAUUCAUCUAAGAAACCAUGCAGCCAAAUCAUCUCCUUUCCAGCUUCAGUUGCUGCAACAUACUCAGCUUCUGUAGUAGACAGAGUAACAAUCUUCUGUAGAUUUGAAGCCCAUGAUAUAGCUGUACCACCUAGAGUAAAAACAAACCCAGUAGUACUCUUUCUACUAUCAAUAUCACCAGCAAAAUCAGCAUCUACAUAACCUUGUAGUUUCAAACUUGCACAUGUGAAGCAAAGACAUGUAUCUAAUGAACCCUUCAGAUAUCUUAGAAUCCACUUGACUGCCUCCCAAUGCUGCUUUCCAGGCCUACUCAUGAAUCUACUCACAACUCUCACUACAUGUGCAAUGUCUGGCUUUGUACACACCAUAGCAUACAUCAAGCUGCCAAUAGCUGAGGCAUAGGGCACCUUGCUCAUAUGGUCCCUUUCUUCUUUUGUCUUCGGUGACUGUUCUUUGCUUAGUUUGAAAUGACUGCCCAAGGGUGUGCUCACUGGUUUAGCUUCAUUCAUGUUGAACCUGCUGAGAACUUUCUUCACAUACUCUGACUGUGAAAGCUUCAAUGUACCAUUAGCUUUGUCCCUAAUAAUUCUCAUACCAAGGAUUUGUUUUGCAGCUCCCAAAUCCUUCAUUGCAAACUGUUUGGACAAUUGUUUCUUCAGAUUAUUAAUCUUUCAAUGUCAGACCCUGCAAUAAGCAUAUCAUCCACAUACAAUAGUAAUAUGAUGUAAGAAUUGUCAAAAGACUUAACAUAACAACAGUGAUCAGCUUCACAUCUCUUGAACCCAAUUCUAUGCAUAAAACUGUCAAACUUCUUGUACCACUAUCUAGAAGCUUGUUUAAGGCCAUACAAGCUUUUUCUCAGUUUGUAGACUAGAUUCUCUUGUCCUUGAGCAAUGAACCCUUCUGGUUGAAUCAUGUAAAGGUCUUCCUCCAAGUCACCAUGAAGAAAUGUUGUCUUCACAUCUAACUGCUCAAGAUGUAAGUUUUCUGCAGCUACCAUUCCCAGUACAAGUCUGAUUGUUGACAUCUUCACAACUGGAGAAAAUAUCUCUGUAUAGUCAAUGCGCUCCUUCUGCUGGAACCCUUUAACAACUAAUCUGGCCUUGUAACGUUUGCUACCAUCAUGCUCAUUCUUUAUUCUGUAUACCCACUUGUUGUGCAAAGCCUUCUUUCCUACUGGCAAUUCAGUCAGUUCCCAUGUUUAAUUCCCCAACAAGGAAUCCAUCUCAUCCUUCAUGGCUAACUCCCACUUGCUUGAAUUCUCAUCUUNNNNNNNNNNNNNNNNNNNNNNNNNNNNNNNNNNNNNNNNNNNNNNNNNNNNNNNNNNNNNNNNNNNNNNNNNNNNNNNNNNNNNNNNNNNNNNNNNNNNUCUGGCUCACCACCAUCAAUCAACAAGAGAUAAUUUAAAACAGGUGAAUAACGCUACGGAGGUCUAAUGUUCCUGGAAGAUCUGCGAACUUCAGCUACAGGUGUACUCAGAUCUACCUGUGAAUUUACAUUCUCCUUAUCUUCUUCACCCCCUUUUUGGACAGUACUUUCAGUCAAUUCAUCUAAGUUGACAAACUCAGAUUUCUUUUGAUCUAUCUCUAUAAUAUCUGACACUAUAGUUGACAUGUCCUUGUACAUAACUUGUUCAUUAAAUAUCACAUUUCUACUUCUGAUGAUUUUCCUGUUUUAUUCAUCCCAAAACCUAUAGCCAAAUUUCUCAUCACCAUAGCCAAUGAAAAAACAUAUUUUUGACUUUGCAUCAAGUUUACUACGAGCAUCAGAAUCAAUAUGAACAUAAGAAACACAACCAAAAACUUUUAAAUGUGAAAACUUCACCUCUUUGCCGCUCCAAACCUCCUCAGGAAGUCUGAACUCCAUGGGAACUGAUGGUCCUCGAUUUAUCAGGUAAGCUGCAGUGCUAAUAGCAUCAGCUCAAAAAGUUUUUGGUAGUCCAGCAUGCAACCUCAUACUUCUAGCACGCUCAUUGAGAGUUCUGUUCAUGUGCUCAGCCACACCAUUCUGUUGUGGUGUCCUAGGAAUAGUCUUCUCCAUCCUAAUUCCCUGUGCAGCACAAUACUCAUUGAACCCUCCAUCUAUGUACUCUCCUCCAUUAUUUGACCUCAAACAUUUUACUUUCAAACCUGUUUCUGUCUCAACCAUGGCCUUCCACUUCUUAAAAGUUUCAAAUUCAUCAAAUUUAUUUUUCAGAAAAUAAACUCAUACUUUUCUGCUUGAGUCAUCAAUAAAAGUGAUGUAGUACCUCGAACCUCCAAGGGAUACAACCGGAGAAGGCCCCCAUAAAUCAGUGUGUACUAGUUCCAAUUUUUCAGCCUUCAGUGUCCUGCCAGUUUUCAAGAAGCUCACAUUUUUUUACUUUCCUAAGAUGCAACUUUCACACAUGUCAAAAUCAAUGGACUUCAAUUCUGGUAGUUUUCCUUUUGACAACAGCAUCUUCAUCCCUUUCUCACUCAUGUGACCAAGUCUACGGUGCCAUAGGAUUGUAUCAGUACUUGCAUCAGCAACUGCAAUUGUGUCUCUUGGACAUGAGGUCAUAUACAAAGUACCAGUCUUCUUUCCACGAGCCAAUACCCUAGCUCCCUUUGUAACCUUCCAAGUACCACCAACAAAUAGUAUUGCAUGUCCUUCAUCAUCAAGUUGUCCAACAGAAAUCAGAUUCCUCCUCAGGUCAGGAAUAUGUCGAACCUUCUCCAGUAACCAAACAGACCCAUUGGGCAACGAUAUCUGAACGUCUCCCAGACCCACAACAUCCAAGGCUGAACCAUCAGCCAAAUACACCUUACCAAAAUCACCUGCAACAUAAUUCUGUAUGAUUUCUCGGUGUGGAGUGGUAUGAAACAAAGCUCCUGAAUCCAAAACCCAAUCAUCAAGUGGACUGUCUACUGCAAGAAGUAAUGCAUCCUAUACCUCUUCUGUUACAGCAUUAGUAGAAUCAUCCUCAUUCUUCUUCUUUGGACUUUUGCAUUGCCUUUUAAAGUGACCUGUUUUCCCACAGUUCCAGCAUUGUACUUGUUGGCCUGAUCUAGAUUUACUUCUGUUCCGAUUAGAAUUUCUAGAUUUUGAUCUACCCUGGUUUGAAUUUGUGUCAUUACCUCUGCCUCUUGUCUCAAGGUUUAGGGCAGAACCAGAUCUUGAGGUUUCGCCUACAUCUUUUUGGCGAAUCUCCUCAGCCAGAAUUAAAUCUCGUAUAUCAUUGUACUUGAGCUUUUUCUUUCCCGUAGAAUUGCUUACUGUCAUCCUCAUUGCCUCCCAACUAUUUGGCAAAGAAGCCAAGACGAUCAAAACACGAAUCUCAUCAUCAAAAUCAAUUUCUACAGAUGACAAUUGAUUUGUGAUUGUAUUAAAUUCAUUCAGAUGUUGUGCUACUGAUGCAUUCUCCGCCAUCUUCAAAUUGAACAAUUUCUUCAUUAGAUGCACCUUAUUGUUUGCGGACGACUUUUCAUACAUACCAGACAAAGCCUUCAUCAAAUCUGUUGUGGUCUUCUCCUUUACAACAUUGUGUGCAACAGACCUAGACAGAGUUAACCUAAUAACUCCUAUAACCUGUCUGUCAAGAAGCGCCCAUUCCUCAGCCUUCAUACUCUCAGGUUUCGUCCCCAAAAGAGGCAGAUGCAAUUUCCUCCCAUAGAGAUAAUCUUCAAUCUGCAUCCCCAAUACGCAAAGUUUGUGCCAUCAAACUUUUCUAUUCUAGACGCCUUUCCUGCUUCCUCUGCCAUUGCUCCCACUUAAACCUAACCCUAGGUUCUGAUACCAAUUGUAGGGAAUUAAACCGAAUUCCCAACCCGUGAGAAACAAAAAAUUAGAGAAAACACACGCCAAAGAAAAACAAUCACACGCACAAGACAGUAUUUACAUGGUUCGGCAAUUUGCCUACGUCUACGGAGUUGCAAGGAUAUCACUAUUAUCAGGGAAAAAUACAAAGUACAACCAUAGCGGCUACAAUGUUUUCUCUUUAUAUAUAACACGGCAACCACACCACACUAAAAAAUCCUAAUUACAAAAGGUGGUUCCACAAUGGGCUAACUGGGCCCAACAGGCCUCAAUAAAUCUCCCGUUAAAAAGCCAUGCAAUAUUAUUCGGGUCGGGUCAUUAAAUCGGAUCAAACAAAACUAGGCUCCACAAAGCCCAACAGAGAGCAAAUAGUUAUAACUCAAAUCCAAUUCCUCUAAAAUAGUGAGGUUACCCAGUGAAAUAGGUAGCUCACCAUCAAGUCUACAACCAAAGAUAUGAAGGUGAGUGAGUUUUGUAAGCUUACUUAUCUCAUAUGGGAUGCUACCAUAGAUGAAAGAAUGGCUAAGAUUGAGAUAGAGGAGGCUGGGAAAUGAUGAAAACUUCAACUGGCUAAGCUUACACCGUGGGCAAUAGUGAUGUGAAUAGGUAAUCUGAAUAACAUGUCCCUCCCUGUUGUAGGUGAUGUCAUCCCAUGUGCAAUGAUGAGAAGUAGUGUUUUCCAUGUACCACCACCGAGUAGAGUUGCGGAGAGCCUCGGCCUCGGCCUCCACUUGUGCGUCAGUUGUAGCAGUGAUUCGUCCCUAGCAGCGGCAGUGGCAAUGGCACCAUUUGAUUCGAGGUUCGAUCCCCGGCAACGGCGCCAUUUGAUUCAUGCCCAAUUGGUGUCUCAGCUGAUUCGUGUCCAGCUGGUGCUCCUUGAUUGAGGGAUUGAUCAACAAAAUUUAUAACCUAUUACACCAUAUACUAGGGUAGCAAAGACAAAGCUACUAUAGUAUAGUGGCUCUAGGAUCGUUCACUGGGAUGGGUUUUCAUUUCACAAAUGAUAUCAAUUCAAAGCUGAAUUGGUGCCUUUUCAUUUCAAGGUUAGCUUUAAAAGAAAACAUAAACUUGAGUUGGAAAAGGUUUGGUUUUAAACUAACCAAAAAUAGUAACUGAUUUUACUUAUAAAGAAAAGUUGUUUCUUGGAGUUCAGAUCACUAGGCUCAGAUUCCUCAUACAAAAAGGGAGUUCCGGUCACUUGUUUCUUUUCCUCGCAUUAGAGAAUUAACAUAUAGUUCCUUCUCCAACCGGUGUUGUACAGAUGCUUCCCAUUAAUGGGUUCAAACACUAAAUCCCUCUCACUGAUGCAACUUGCAAUGGUUCAUGCCUCUCACGAGCACUUACCAUUCAAGAUGAUCGUUAACCUUGGACUACCCGUCAAAAGCUCGCAAGAGAUAACUAAUGGAUGUCUUCUUGGAGUCCAAAAGCUUACCAAGUGUUGGCUAUUCUAGAAAAUCCUACCUUCAAACCACCUCUCAAAGGCUCGCAAGGGGUAAACUAGUGCAUUUCCAUGGUUGGAAAUCACUUGCCUUACCAAGUGUUGGCCCAGGUGAUUUAAAGGCGUUUUAAGUUAACUAAAAAGAUAAAAACCAUUAACGGGUCACACUUUCUCUUCAUUAAAAACUAAAACAACAAAACUUCCAAAUUAUGCAUGUGGAAACUUACCCGGCUUUCCUUACUCCAAUAGAAAAAAAGCUUAGCCUCUCAUCCUUUGAGGAAAAAUCCUCAAAGUUUGGUUGGCUAGAAAUAAAAAGAAAUGAAAAAUAAAAGAGAAGGAAAAACAGAGCAAGGCUCUGUAUAUUCUAUAUAUUGAUUGAUAUUACAUAUAUGAUGAUUUUACAGUGGAUGCAAGGGAGUUUAUAUAGGAAGAUAAUUUACCCUUCCUUGGAUAUUUUCUAGCUAAGGAAUUACAUGAGUGGUUGAAUACAAGGAGAAAAUGGAAAUUAUACAAAAAUAUCUGAAGAAAAGAUCUAAAAGAGUCGGUGCAAAAAUAUCGGGAAGCUCCAGGAACAUUUCGCAGGUGAAAAAUGGUGUCUGCGAGGAUAAACCAUCUUGCUUCAUUGGCUAUCUCUCUUGCUCUUCCUUACAUCUUUAUACACACCACUUCUAGUCCUUACAAACUCGUAUCUCUUUCAUAACUUUUUCACACUCAAGAGGGCUGCGAAAUAUUUUCGCAUCAACAAGCUGAACUCGCCCCGCUGCGAAGUUGGCUUUCAUCUUGUGGUGUUUGGCUUCCAUCGCGGCGUGAAACUUCAAGGGAAAUCCAAAGCACUGUGCAAAAAGGCUGCGAAAUUCUCGCAACAAAAGGCUGAUUCCGCAACACUUUAAAGUGAUUGACUUGCAGUGGCUGUAACUUCUUCGUUUCAACUCCGAAUCGUGCACCGUUUGAAGAAUUGGAUUCUUGACUUCCUGAGCUUUGAAAUGGUAUAUAGAAUGUACAAAAUGGACUUCGGGAAGUGCUCCAAAAGUGCACAAGAAGACUGCAGCUAGCUUUCCUCUGUUUUCUUCACUCUGUUUUUCCUCUCUCCUUGCUUCUCUCCUUGCAUACUUUGAACGACUUUGGCAAAGGGCUAUGGAGCUCCAAAGCUUUGUUCUUCAUGAAUUUAAGCUUCCAAAAGCUUUUCCAUGAACUAUAUACAGCUCUCCCUCAUUCUUGGAUUGCUUUGGUGAUCAAAAAGCUAUCAAAACACCAAAACUUAACACAAUUUGAUUAGAAUUGAUUGCAAGGGUCCUUAACAUGUUAAUUGGGUUAAAAGGCAAUAACUACUACUCAAAAGUGUUUAAAAGAGUUAAUUACAAGUUAUGAAAUAGCACUUUUUGAGUAGUAAUCAAGCAGCAGCAAGAGGUGAUGAGAUCAAGAGCAUGUUAUAUUAUAACAAUACCACUGAAACCACCAACACCCUACAAGAAUUAAUGGAACACCUCUCCAUUUUUUCUUAUUUUCGAUUAAUAUUGCUAUAUAUGCCCUAGUUGAUGGUUUUGAAAAUGUGAAUCUCAAUAAUGAACUACACCUAGAGGGGGGUGAAUAGGUGUUGUAGAACAAUUUAAAAAUUCUCCCAACAAAGAUUACCUAACCUUAGACUAUCUUAAUGUCAAGAAUUUUUUCUUCCAAUAACUUUCCAACAAAGCAAAACAUCCACAAGCAAUAAUGUAUGCAUCAACACCCUCCCAACAAUUUAUAAAUGCAAAACACAUGCAAAUGCUUCAACACCCCUCAAAAAUAAAUCAAAAUAUAGAGUGAGAGAAAGAGACAAUGAACACCGGAUUUUUAAUGUGGAAAACCUCCGAAGAUAUCAAAAACCACAAUCCUGUCACCGAUUGAAAACUCCACUAUGAAGAAUAAAAACUAAGUACAAGGUUUUACCUAGCUCAAGCCAACCAAUCCUUCCCGGAAUACUUGACUAGUACCUUCAUUUUCAGUUUCUCCUUUUGGAGCACACUUGGAGUCCACACCAAGUUCAAUCUCGGCCUCUUCUUGAAUCCACACAAGAAGAAAAUGGGUUUUUGCACAAACCCAAAUAGAAUGAGAGAUUGAGAUGUGAAUGAAGUAAUGAAUCAACCCAUUUAUUGCUCAAGAAAAUCCAUUGAAAACUAGUUUGGAAAACAUUAAGAGAAGUGGAUUUUCUUUGCAAUCAAAAACCCCAAAUUAGGAAAGCAAAAAUGAGAAAAUGAAGAACACUUGGAGUGUGGCUGCUCUCCCCACGUUUUUAGUAGUCUCUCUACACAGAAAAUGAGAGAAGAUUGGUUUUUAAAGUGUAAAAAGAAACCCUUAAUCUAAUGGCUGAGAUUUGAUAAAAAAAAACAUUAGUUGGAUAGAUCCACCCCUACACCUGGAUCGAUCCAGAAACAGAGAAAUGAAAGCCUUGCACCAAAAACCAUUUUUCCCAACUUUCUAACACAUUUAAAGAUUAAAAACCGGGUUGAUUCACAUCCAAUCACCACAAACUCGACUACAUACCUCGGUCUCUUAGCAAAGUCUUAGUCUUCAAAGUCAAGUAGUCCGAAUAGGAAUAGGAAAGCCGAGUUAGGGAGCACUUAGGAAUUUUGUCCGGAAUUGCCAACUUAGCUAAACACUCACAGGUUUUAUAGAAGUGGUGUCGGUGUUGAUCCGACAACUCUCUUCUUUCACCCACACAGCAUCUCAAGCAAGUCAAACAAGUCUUCUCCUGACUCUCCACUAGACAUUAAUUUGUUGGGAAACGAGGACGUUUAUAUAUCACCCAUAGUGAUAUAUAAAUCUUGUAUUCACAAAUUUUUUAAAAUAAAUUUUAUGAUGGGAAAUUAGUGAUCAUGAUCAAACCAUAUUUAAUUUGCUCUACCAAGACAACCACAUGAUCAAAUCGUGCAUUUUGUUUUUAUUUUGAACCAAAAAAAAAAAAGAAAAAUUUAGUAUAUAGAAACAUGCUUAAUGUUAAUGUAGACUAAAAAUACAACCCCAUAAGUACUUAUCCAAACAACAUAUUAGCUGACUAUAAUUCUUGGGUACCUGUCAGAUGGUUGCACAUGUAAUCUCUAUAUAUUAAAAAUUAAUAAAAAUAUUGAUACACAAAACAUGUAUUAAUAUUUUGUUUUUGUACUUAAAUUUUAUUUUCUACUUGUUAUAGUUAUCAAGCAUUUAUUUAUUUUUUAUUUUUUAUUAUUUAAUAGUAAUGAAUAAUGAUAAAAUUAAAAUCACAAAGCAUGUUUUAUUAAUAGCAUUUUUAUAAUUUUAUUGUUAUUCUACUUCAUGAUUAGCUUGUCUAACACUUCAUUUGAUUUUUCUUUCAAGCAAAUCAACUCAACCAAGUCUUCUUAGGCCCACUUAUUAGACUUUCGAUUAUUUUCUAUUAUGCUGCUAAUUAACUUAGAAAUUUUCCUAUCAUAGUAAUUUGAUAAAAAAAAAUUAUCAAUUUCACUAAUUUUAAACAGGAAUCAAUAAAUAAAUAAAAACAUUUGAAAAAGUUUUUCUAUUUAUUAGGCAAUCAUAAUUUUUUUUCUUUUUUGCUAAUAAAAAAAUAAAAUUAGCUCCUAUAAGCACUCCAUUUUUUUUCUCUCUUAAACAAAACAAGUCCAGUCAAGCAACCACCCUCAAAUCAUUUCUAAAACGCCAUAUUGAAAAUUUCCUAUAUGAUGACAUGUAAGACCACACAAAAAGAACACAAAAUAAUAAUAAUAAUAAUAAAUAAAUAAAUAAAUGCAAAGUAGUCCUCCCAAUUUGCAAAGUUUACUAUAUAAGGAGUCAAUGAUUUCAAAUGUUAAAAGUUGAAAAUUUUUAAUUUCUUUUUUCUUUUCUUGCUCACUUUCUAGAAUUAAUGAUGCCUUCAUAACUCUUGUUUCAGCCACGCAACAAGUCAAGCAAGUUGUCUUCCACUCUUGAUUGGGAAUUUAGUGGGAAAUGGCCAUAAUUAUUUUUGAAAUUUUUAAAUAAAAACUCAAACUAUAAUGAUAUAACAAAAUAAUUAUUCACAAUUUUUUUUUUAAAUGAAGUGUGGGAAAUACUCAUACCUCACAUGUAUUUGGAAUAUAUAUAUAUAUAUAUAUUCCAAAUAAUAAAGAUAUUAAAAAUUUUAACAUUAUCUCAAUCAUUGCAAAAUAAAUGUUUUAUUUGUCUUAUUAAUUUCACUAAUUUUAAAAAAGAAAUCAAAAUAAUUUUUUAAAUGUUUUUCUAUUUGCUACAUAACUAUUAAAUACCUAUUUUUAUUUUAAUCAUAAUAAAACAUAAAAUUACAAAUAUUAAAUACUUUAAUAUUAAUAUAAACUAAAAAUAUGUUUUAGCCAAUAUUUUAUUUGGUUCUUUUCUAAGUAAUAGGAGGUCUUUUCAAUCCCACCACCAAUGAUUUUUAAUUUCAUUUUAUGUAAAAUUCCACAAUGGUCGUGUCAUGUCCGUCAUGAUGUUUGAAAAAGUUGUUCAAAAAGGAUAAGGGUACUCUAAUUUAUUUAUUUUUUAAAGAAUUAAGACUUAAUUUUACUGACUUUCCUUCGAGUUAUUUGAUGAAAUUUCAAACAAAUGAGAACGAAGUAUAUUAAUACUUUUAUAAUCUUGGGUUUAUUUCUCUACAAAUAUUCUCAAUUUCAUGUUUUAUUCAGCACUUAAUGAUUCUAUUGAGAACUUGCAUUUUGUUACUCUUUUUUUUCACCAUUUAAAGAUUUCAUUUCACAGACUUCCUUUUUUUCAUAUUUAAAAAAGAAUUUUGUUAAUUAUAACUCCAAGGAGAGAUUGGUGUUGUUCCUUGCUUCUAAAAUGUUAUCUUUAUUAAUUUAUAUUAUAACUUUUUUUAUCAAAUAUUAUCAACAUGGUAUCAUCUUUUUUACUUCAAUUCUUUUCUAGAGCGAGGAGUUCUUAUGUGCGAUAUAUUUUCCAAUAUUGCAAUAUCAAAGAUAAUAUUUAAGAUUUAAGGAAAAAAAAACUAUAUGUAGUUCCGAUUUGAGUUUUGUUCUUCAAGAUCAAAAUUUCAAAGAUAACAUUUAAGAUUUAAAAAGAAAAAGAAAAAAAAAUGAACAUCUAAUCAACUAUAUGCACUAAUAACUCUUCAUCCUCAAAUGUAAUAAUUAUUAUAACUAGUUUAUUAAUUGUUUACUGUAAAUAAGUUAUUAAAGUCUCAUUUGGAUAUAUUUUACAUUAUUUUUAAAAAAAUAUUAUUUAAUAUUAAUGACUAUUAUAUAAAACUUGGAAACUCUUAUAAAAAAAAAUAUACAAUUACCUUAUGUUUCCCAAAAAAAAAUUUUAAAUUUUGAGAUAGUAAUUUUAAAAAAUAAAUAAAUCAAUUUUUUUUUAACCAGUUUUAAAACUUUUAAAGAGCUCUUAGAAAUUACCAAUAUUUUUUAUUUUUAAAAAUAGAAAAUAGAAAAUAGAUCUAAACAACUAUUAGUUAAUUCAUUUGUACAAUUAGUAAAAUAUAUUUCACAAGUGCAAUAAAACCCAAUAAUCUUUGUAAAACUUUCUAUUAGAUAAGACAUCUAUAAAUGAAAAAACCAAAAAGUUGAUAGGAAUGUACCCACUCCUCAUACGGUUGAAGAGAGCAUAAAUGUAGAGUCAUAGUGUGUGAUAUUAAUCCAUUUACAUUAAUAUAUAGAGUCCAUCUAAAAAGAGACUAAUUGGGAUUCAAGUUUUUUCUUUGCACAAAUUCAAUCGUGAAUGAAAAUAUUCUAUUAAAAUAUUUAUAGUGAAUUAACCCAAUUGGUAUUAACAUAUUCUAUUAAUUUAAUCAUGUAUAGUUCGCUUUAAAUAAUCUUUUUUUAAAUAGUACAUGAACUUGUUUAUGGUAUAUAUAUUUAAUUCCACCUUUUUUUGUAAUUAAAUUUUUCUCUACUUGUCAUAUAAUCACCAAAUAUUUUUUAUUUUCUAUUUUUUAAUAAUAGUGAUAAAAUUAAAAUCACUAAUAUGUUUAGCAUUGAUAUAAAUUAAAAAAAUAUUCUAUGACAAUAAAAGUCAAAAGAUUGCAUUUUUACUAUUUGGUUGUCAUCCACCUUACAUGAUUAGUUUGUUUAAGACUUUAUUUGAUUUUUCUUCCAAGCAAAGUAUGUCAACCAAGUCUUCUUAUGUCCACUUCUUAGACUACCCACUAUUUUCUAGUCAUGCUUCUAAUUAACUUGGAAAUUUCCCCGAUUUGAAAGCUUGAAAGCCCAGAUUUGAUCAUAUAUGCAUGGAUGAAGAUAUAACAUUAAAUAUUUUAAAAUUUUAUUAAAAAAUAUACAUAUGAAUCACUCUAAUUAAUACUGCCACAUUCUUCCCAUUCAAUAAACAAUAAUAGCAUAAAAUAAAUAAAGGAAUAAUAACAUAAAUAUUUCCCCAUGGCCAUUAGGGAUCUUGUUGCAUAAUGGUAAUAAUUUGGAUAAAAUCCAAGUAACUAAUAUUACCAAAAAAUCUUGCAACCAAAAAUAGGGUUAUAAAAUUUUAAAAAAAUACCCCCAAAACGUCAAAUAGGCAUCAUUUGCGCUUGAAUGUUCGAAAAGCUGCUGGAAGGACUACUUGAUCAAUUAAGCCGCUCAAGCACUAAUAUGGUCGUUUGAGCGUUUAGGCUACGCAAGCACUAAUCUAAGUGCUCGAGCACCACAUCCUACACUUGUGGAUACAAGGUUGUUUCUACCACCGUUUCUCCGAAAGUGUCACCUUUUUAGAUGCCUUUUUGCACCAUGGAUGCUUGUGAAUGCUUGGAAUCUUCAAUCUUUGCUUUUGGGUCACCAAAGAUGGAUAAAAAUCUAAUUUUUACAUUAAGAAAAAUCUUAUGCUCCAUCAAGCGAAGUGUACAAUCUAUCUAAAAACAAAAAAAAACAAAAAUAUUUUUACAUGUAAAAUAAAAAUCCUAUGCUCCUAACCAUGAAGCUUACAACCUAAUUUGUACAAAUAACAAAUCCAAACAUUCAAUCACAAUUAUAAACAUCAUAUUCAUAAAAAUAACAUCCAUAUAUUCAUCCCUUUGGGUCAUAGGAUGAAUAAACAUAUUUGCAAAACCAAGUAUGCACACCCUAAAAUGAAUCUAACAAGCUUUUCCCUAACCUAAGGCUCUAAUACCAAUUAUUGGGAAAACCUGGAUUGCUCCAUUCUCAUGCCUUAGAUUGUUAGGACGCAUGAAAACCUAUUCUAGGCUCUCUAGAUCUAUCAUACAAUGGAAACAUGGCAAUUGAAACAAAAAAUAAUACCAUAGAUUUAGAGAUUAGUGUCAUAUAUACUUGUGAUUUGGAUGUUCUUGGUCAAUUCUUAUCAUUGUAGAAAUCUCUAAAACUAAAAAAAGAUCUCGUGAACACCAUGAUCUUCCACCUAAUGAUAACUUCUCCUUGAGUCUAGGUGCAAAGAUAGUGAGAUCUCAAGGGUUGGAGGUUAGGGUUCUCUUAUUGAUUGUAGUGAGAGAAUGGCAAGACAAAACUUCACUAGAAACCAUAACCCCUAAAGGAUUAUUUAUAGGCUCCUUACUAGGCUUAAAUGACUUAAAUGACUUAAGCUCACAAUGGGCUUAGGUUAGUACUAAAUCUAGCCCAAAAAGGGCACUAAUUGAUUAAUUAACCCUAUAGGCCUCCAAUUAAUCAAUUAGCCCAGUCUAGAGAUAUUGCUCACUUACCCCUAUGCAACCUUAUAUAAUUAUCAAAAUGCCCUUAUGCAUAUAAGUGAACUAAUAACUCAUUCAACCCUUAUAAACGAUGUCAUCAAAGGAUAUCAUGAGCUCGAGUAGGGACCAUUGAACCCAUAAGACAGUAUUGUCUCUCUUAGAAUCCAAUUUUGAAGUUGACUCAACGUCCCACUAGAGAGAGCCAACUACACUCCAAUGCCCUAUAUAUAUUACAAUGAGAUACCAAGUGUUCGGGUCUAUAACCUACUAUCCACUAUAUAUAAUCUCAUUUUGAACUGGUCGUCCAUAGUCUAACAAGCUAAAAGUUAUCAACCUUUCAAGACUACCUCCAUAAUCCUUGAGUUACAGAUCUUUUUAUUAUGUAAUCAAAUGACAUACUCUAGCUCACUAAGAGCAUAUGGUGAAUUCUACUAUAGGAAUUACUACAGGCAUAUAAAUUUCAUGAUCACACAUCCUUAAGAUCACCUAAAGGAACACACUAUCUUAAAGUCCAUGAGAUAUCGUGGUAGCUAUAUUGAGAAUAACUCUUGCUAUUAGCUUCCGUCAAUAGUGGCCCAAUCCAUAAGGAAUAUAUAUGAUCAACUUAAGAUCUCACCCAUAGGUCGAAGUCAUUGUUAACUUUUGCACAAGUUCAAUAUUCUCUCAAGGUUGAAAGGCAAUACAGUAUAAUAACUAGGUGAUGUCAUAACUACCUGAUAGUCUAUAUCAUGACUCACUAUAGGUCCUAUCCAAUGUUUACACAUUAGUGCACUCUUCAUGGAAACCUCAUCCUGACAACUAAAACUAUUUAUCCCUCUAAUUAGGAGGUGGUGCACUACAAUCUCAAAUGGAUUGAGUAAGUCCACAAACCGACUAUGGACAAAUCAUUUAUUUGUAAGGAACCCAUGACUUAGAUCUUUUGUGCAACUGUUGAUACACUCAAGUCAUGUACAAUGUAAGAAUGGUAAGCUAGAAUGCCCAUAGAGAAUAAUGCAUGGAAUAAGGAUAGAUAAAAAUGAACCUAGAAUAUCAUCAAAUAAAUAAUGAAUUUCAAAUCCGUUACAUCAUGUCAUGCUUUUAAAGACUCUAUCCUAACAAUGUGUUCAUUGGUAUAUAGUUCACUUUAAAUUUUAUAAGAUACUAUUGAAUGCUUAUCAGCAAAUUACAAAAAGGACCCAUUCAGCCUUUUUUGUAUUGUUUUUCUAUACUUGAAUGAUAAAAAUGGUGAUUUAGGUGUAACUUUCUUGCUUACAUGUACUUUUACAAUAAAUGCUUCAAAACAUAUUCAUGAUACUGUCAUGUUAAUCUCAAGGAUGAGGUAAAAGAACUUUAAGAAGGUAUUUGCGAAGAAGAAUGUACAAUUUCUAGAUUAAAUUUUUUUAGAAAUGUUUAUAAAGUUUGGAUUUAAAUAUUAUUGUGGAUUAUUAUUAAUAAAAUAGAAUUUAUUAGAUAUCCUAUCAUGUAAUCUCUUUAUUUUAAAAAAAAUGUUUAAUUUUGAUUCAUUCUAGAAUAUGCUUUCACUUCUAUAUUGUCUAAUUAACAUUUUCUAAUAUGUUGUCAUAUAUAUGUUUUCUAAUAUUAAUUUCUUCCAAUAUUUUACUUAGGAAUGAAAAUGGAAUAUUGCAACAACAACAUUCAAUUUGAACUAAAUUUAAUGUUUCAACUAUUUUUCCUACACACACACACAUAUAUAGGGACCAAAAAAGGACUAAUUGGGGUUAAGCUUUUUCUUUGCACAAAUUUGAUCAUGAAUGAUAGUUACAAUGAAUCAAUUUAAUUAGUAUAAACAUAUUCUACUAAUUUAGUCAUGUAUAGUUUACUGUAAAAUAUUUCUAAUUCUUUCUUGUUUCAAACUAAAAAUUUAUUUAUUUUUAAUCAAAAGCUUUUGUUUUAAAACUGAGUAAUACAAAAGGUUGAUAAAAAAAUUGAAAAAAAUGUAGAAGAAGAAUAAAUUUAUGAUACAUGAGAUAUUUAUAUAUCUCAGCUUAGAAUUAUUAUAUCCUAUGUAAAAAGGAUAUAUAAAGAGAUUGGAUUGAUAAAUUAUCUUAUUAAAUGUUUGAUUGAACAUGAUAUAUGAUAAUUAAAUGAUAAGAUCAUUUACCUUACCCCAAAGCUAACCAAACAUGGGAUAUGAUAUGUUAUCUCAUAUCUUAUCUCAUCCAAUAUUAUGUAUAUCAAAUCAAUUAAAUAUAGCCUUACUUUAGUAGGUAAUUCACUUGAGAUGUGGGGGAUGUGAACUACUAUUACUUUUAAAAGAAAUAUAGAAGUGAUAUGGACUAUUGAUAAGUACCAUGUGGGGGAUAAGCUGAGUGGAUUCAAUUUAACAUCCACCUAUCUAAAUAUAUUAAUAGAUCAUCUUGUCUUAUAAAAAUUAUGAAGUUGAAAAACAAUAUGGAACACAUAUUGGUAAUAUCAAAGCAAAUCAAAAUUGGUAUCAUCAUUGGAUGCCAGUUACCUAAUUAUAUUUCUUGAAUAUUCAGUUGCCAAAGUGAAAUCCCAUGAAAAGGUUCAAGAAAUGGUGAUUGAAUAAGAAGCUUCGAUGAGAUGUGUUGCAUUGUUGGACGAGAUCUCGGAUUAGAAUGUAUGCAUUUAAGUGCCAACCACACAACAAGAACUACAUCUCUAGCAACUUGUCGAUCUUGAGGAGAUGGUAGACGUGAAUCUAAUAUGUCGGUGAGCAUUAUGUUUUGAGCUGAUGAGGAAGACAAUAAGGUGAAAACUUCUCUCGGAUGCUUUCCCAUCAUUGUCUCAAGCGCUACCACUCCAAAGCUGUAAACAUCACAUUUUUCCGUCACAGCCAUAGUGUAGGCAAGCUCUGUUAAGAAUCAAAACAAGAAAUAAAUAUUGCACAAAUGAGAAAGUAACAUUCAUUUAAUUUUUUUUCAUACUAGCUAUACCUAUAAAAUGUUGAGAAUGUUUCAUAGCAUUGCAUUCACAUUUGGCUACAUUUUAUUUCUAGAUUGUGAUGAAAUUAAGUUAAUUUUUACAACUUAUAUGAAACCUUUGAAAAACUAUUCUAAAGAGUUUUUAAAAAUGUUUGGGACUUAUUGGGAGAAUGAAGACAUCUAUUUGGAGAAUGCUUGAGAGACCAUUGAUAAGUAUUUUGUAUAUAAAGUUCUCUUACUCUCUAAUAUCUCAAACCAUUUUUUUACAACAUUUUUUAAAUAACUAUUAUGAGUUUCCUUUUUUUUUUUUUUCUGUUUGUUUGGACUUUAGAAGAAAUAACCAAUAUAUAUAUAUAUAUAUAUAUAUAUCAAGGCCCUUUGAGCCCAUAACAGAUAAUAUCUACACGAUCAGGAGCAGGUUAUUACAAAUGGUAUUAGGGCUUAUCUGUAACCAUAGUAUGGAAGUUUGUUUGGCUCCGCAAUCUUAUGGGAUAAGUGUGAUAUUCCAUGAUAGAUAUGGAAAAAAAAAUAAAAAUUCUAACAUUAUUUAUAAAUCAACUUCCCUUAACCUUAUAGACAUAUUUUAAAUUCAUGUAGGCUCCUUGGACCCAAAGUGAAAAAUAUUUACACAGUUGAGAGUUAUUAUCUAGUUUGCAUGAAAAAUAUAAAGAAAAAUAAUAUAUUAAAAAUUUAGAAGAAUUUAUUUACUUUCAAGCUCUUCAUAAUUUUGAAAUAAGUAAUAAUAGUAAAAAAAGUUUUGUUUGGUUGGCAAUAAUAUUUCCUUUCCCUUCAUCCAAUAGAAUUUGUGACUACUAUGAAGUAUAUAAUAAGAGGUGUAAAAGUUCUAAAUAUAUUGAAUCUCGAAGAUACCAAACUUAUUAAAACGAAAACAACCAAAAGUUCAAAAGACAUAUCGGAAGAGUAAAAGCUGAAAGAAAAACUGGUUUGUACUUACCUGGUGCUAUGUAACCAUAAGUGCCUGCAAGAAGAGUUUGAUUGGAUGAAUCAGGAUGUAGCAGUCUAGCAGUGCCAAAAUCAGAUAGAAAAGCGUCCAGUUUAAAGUCCAAAAGAAUAUUGUUACUUGAUACAUCCCUAUGAAUAAUGGGUGGAGUAGAGUCAUGAUGCAUGUAACAUAAAGCAUGGACUAUGCUUUUGAUUNNNNNNNNNNNNNNNNNNNNNNNNNNNNNNNNNNNNNNNNNNNNNNNNNNNNNNNNNNNNNNNNNNNNNNNNNNNNNNNNNNNNNNNNNNNNNNNNNNNNAUUCGAUUUCUACGAAUGUUGAACACAUUUAAAUGAAUGAGAUAGCCCAAAGAAGGAAUAACACCGGUAAGGUUGUUGUGAUCCAAUCUGAGAUGAAUUAAAUUCUUCAGAUUCCAAAUUACAGGAGGGAUGGAACCAUUGAUUUGAUUAUAACGAAGAUACAAAUGAGUCAAAUUGGUAAGAUUACCAAAUGACAAGGGGAUGAGACCCUGGAUUUGAUUGUCGAUGAGAUGGAAAUAAGUCAAAUUGAUAAGAUUACCCAAAGAUGAAGGAAUAGUACCAAGAAGGGCAUUAUGACUCAAGGACAAUUGAACCAAAUUUUUUAAAUUCCCAAUUUCAGAAGGGAUGGAACCGUUGAUUCGAUUGAAAUUAAGGUACAAGUAUUCCAGGUUGGUUAAACUUCCAAGAGAGGAAGGAAUGACACUGGAAAGAGAGUUAGAACCCAAAUCCAAAUGAAUCAGAUUCUUCAAAUAUCCAAUAGAGGAAGGGAUGGCACCAGAGAGGUAAUUAUAACUCAAAUCCAAAUGAAUAAGAUUCUUCAAAUAUCCAAGAGAGGAAGGGAUGGCACCAGAGAGGUAAUUAUAACUCAAAUGCAAAUGAAUAAGAUUCUUCAAAUAUCCAAGAGAGGAAGGGAUGGCACCAGAGAGACCGUUAAGACUCAAAUCCAAUUCCUCUAAUAGAGUGAGGUUACCCAGUGAAACAGGUAGCUCACCAUCAAGUGCACAAUAAGAGAUACGGAGGUAAGUGAGUUUUGUAAGCGUACCUAUAUCAUCUGGGAUGUGACCAUAGAUGUAAGAAUGGCUAAGGUUGAGAUGGAGGAGGCUGGGAAAUGAAGAAAACUUCAACUGGCUAAGCUUAUACCGUGGGUUAUAGUAAUCUAAAUAGGUAAUCUGAAUAACACGUCCUUCCCUGUUGCAGGUGAUGCCGUCCCAUGUGCAAUGAUGAGAAGUAGUGUUUUCCAUGUACCACCACCAAGUGGAGUUGCGGAGAGCCUCGGCCUCAGCCUCCACCUGUGCGUCAGUUGUAGCAGCAGCAGCAGCAGGAGGUGAUGAGAUCAAGAGCAUGUUAUAUGAUAACAAUACCACUGAAACCACCAACACCCUACAAGGAUUAAUGGAACACCACUCCAUUUUUUCUUAGUUUCGAUUAAUAUUGCUAUAUAUGCCCCAGUUGAUGGUUUUAUAGAAGUGGUGUUGGUGUUGAUCCAACAACUCUCUU